CUGAAGGAAAAAGAGAAACCAACUACAAAACUUGGGCGGUGGCAGAGAGCAAGACAAAAUCUGUAGCACCUCUCCUUGCCAAGCUAGCAUCGAGAGAAAACAGAGAGAGUGAGAAAAGAGAGCGAAACUGAGGAAGAGAGUGGGAGCUUGGUUGGUUUCUUCACGAAUUAACCCAGGGACAAGAAGAAAAUAUGGUAAGGAAAGUAAGGGAGGCUGGAGCUAACACUCGAGGGCACAAAAGUUGGGAAGAGAAACUGAUUACGUUUGCAAUUCCUAACACUUAAGGCCAGAGGUAAACUAUAGCCUUUCUUUCCAUUUCUUUUGCGUUUUUCUAGUAGUCUCUUAGGCUGAGUUAGAACCAAGUAAAGAAAGAAACUUUCUAGAAAGCAAAGAUCAACAAAGCUGGAAAUGUUCGUUUGAAAUUGUUAUCCGAUAUUUGAUGAGCUAAGCUGUAAUUUUCUGGUUGUUUCUUAUGUUGCGUAUCUUAUAUACACUCUCUAGCCAUAUAUCUUGACAUACAUACAGAUUAUAUCUUCAAAUAAAACCUGUUAAGAUGAAAUUAUGAUGAACUGCUGGCUGGAAUUCUUGAUACAAUGAAGGAUGAUUGCCGAUGGGGUAAAGUUGGAAAGAAUUUCGGUUCUGGCCAAAAGUUUUGUUGAAACUGGUUAGGACUUGUUUGGUGCACCAUCGGUGACCUUAAUCUGAUUAUGCAUGUAAUGUUUGAAGUGCUAAAAGCAAGAAAAAAAUGAACUUUGAAAGCAACACUGAAGCUGGAAUUUCAAGACAGCAGAUUGGGAUGGAAAAGCUGCAAUUUUGGUUAUUUCUCUAAAAGUUUUGCUAGAUUGUGACUAGAACUCAUGCAUUAUGCUCUGCAUAAUGUUUCUGGGGUGAUGCAUGUGAAUUUCUAUAGUAAAAAUUUGAGUUUUAUGGCAGGUUUCUUGCUGGAAUUCCCAGCUUUGGCCGAGAGAGGAAAUGAACUUCAGAUCAGCUUUUCUUUGGAAUUUUAGCUGCAAAUUUUUAUGUUUGCUGUUCAAGAUUACUUUGUAGCCUGAUAAUUAUAUUUUGCAUGUUGAGUUGGAGUUAAAACUGAAGAAAUUAUGGAGGAAGUGCUGUAUACUAAACUGCUACAUGGUUGGAUGAUUUAGCUAGCUGAUGACAAGAUAUGUGGUGUAGCAUAUGUUACGCGAGUUAGUAUUCGCAUCGAAUUCAAUGGAUCUGCCUGAGUACAGUUGCCAGCUAGCCUUACCAUUGUUCAUUAGAUAAUAUCGUGGAAGCAUAUUGUUUCUUCAUUGCCUGCAUGGCACAGACUGUUCAUGCUUGCCCUACCAAGAGCAAUCACAUUUUUAUACCACCACUAGCUGCUGAUCUGACUAAUUCUCUUAAUGGAUUUCUCGGGGGUCAUUCAAUUUUUGCCAAUAUGCUACUCUUAUCAUGCAUCAAACAUCACUCUGGUCUAGGGGUUAUUAGACCUUGCACAGGAUUUGUGGUCUCGUGGCUUGGAGUUUAUCAGUAAGGCAUUUUCAGCAAGUACCCCACACUCACCAUCCUUGUUGGAGCAAGAGUGCUAUACGUGAAAUGUACCCUCUACUUUUCAUAUUUCCGUGUAUCUGUUAUAUCUCUUUUUAUUUAUUGUAGAACAGAGCAUUGAGCAUGUUUGCUUCAUGUACGUCUUAUUGAUUUUAACACUUGAAAAGCUGGUGAAUUAGAGCAAAUUUAAACAACAAGCAAACUAGAAUCUGGUUUAGCUUAAAAAGGAAAGGAAUGAAAAGUUCACUAGCCUUAAUCUUUAAAUUUGGUUGAAAAUAGUUUAAACUUAGUUUAAACACCUCACCGACCUUAAAUUUGGAGUAUAUGUAUAUCUCCCUUGUUUGAGUUGAUAAAUUUGAUAAAUCUCGCAGAGAAAUGUAAGAAAGAAUUGCUGGAAUUUCACAUCUUGUUUGAUAAGCUAAGGAACUUGGUUUCUAGUGAUUUAAACAUUAAAUCGGUGAGAUUUUAAAGCUUAAAACUUCUCUCUUUACACUUUAGAACUUUAGAACUUAUGUUUGGGGCUGCACAUAAAAUUCCUAACCCUAAAAGUGUGAAUCAAAUGGAAGUGUUAAGAGUACUAGACUUGGAUUAGUUGAACUUUGUUUAGAGAAUCCUAAAACUCUAAAUAAACUUAUUAGAAUUCACAUUAAGAAUACCUGAAUGAUUGUAGUUGUAUUUUACCUCAGGAAUUGAGAGUGAUCAAGGGUUUAACCAGAAAGCGAAGCUUAAUCGACAUUUAACGCGUGAAUAUUUCCGGAUUUGUGUGUUUAACUGUUUAUGCUUACUUAAGUGAAAUUAUUUGAUAAAUGUGUUUAUUAUGAUUAUGUGAUAAAUGUGUUUAUUAUGGAAUAUUGCUAGUGACUCAAUUGUAAAGUGUAUCUCAAUUAUCCCUCACCUUCUAAGUCGGAGUGUACUUUAUCGCACUUAAUUUAGUUUGAGUUUGAAGGUUGAUAAUUGAUCAAGUGUUAUUGUAAGUGUGCAUGACUGUAAGCCGUGUGUGUACUUUACCACACCGGCUGAACUGAGCCCCAAAACCCUUUGUUCAAUGGACUAUUCGAGCCAGCAAAAGGGUUUGGUCGGAUAGGACGGUAGUUUUGGGUAAGUGUAUUGGUAUGCUCGAGUAUUACCACGGAGAGUAGCAGAUUACUAAUAUUGAUAUGACCAUCUAAGUGAGGGAAGUGUUUAUUGUUUUGAAGUUAUAAGGAGGAGUUCGGUGGAGUGUGUAGUGCAUUGAAGUGGCUCUAAUGCGAGCACCGUAUCCUUUUAAAAGUGAUUGUUCAGUCAAAUAUUUCCUUAAUUGUUUAAUUUUGCUACUUGUUUAAGUGUUUAAUUGAAUUUUACUUGUUCGGCAAAUCUCACUGAACUUUAUCUCAAUCUUUUAGCUUUGUUUUCCUUACAGGAGCUAGAGAUUGAAGAGUGAUUGGAUUGAAUUAGAAAGUUAUUUUGGGAAGAUCCAUUACCGUGUAUAUAUUGUAGUCAUAGUUUCUUUUAUAUUUUGAGAUGGUUGAAUCUUUUGUUUUGAGGUUGGUGUGAUAUUAAGAAUGGAUGUUUAGAAUAUGUAUUUUAUUUUUUUUAUUGGACAAAUUUAUGUUUCAAACUGAAUAGAGUUGUACCUAAGAGUGAAUGUUCAGUUGUUCAAUGGUAAUGUUAUUUCUGAAAUUAAUGUAAGUGAGUGACCCCUGGCGAGAGUCAGACAGGCGGUCCACUAACUUCUAGAGUAUGCCCUAGGAGAAGGUGGGGUCGUCACACAUAGUUAACGAUUAAAUUUGAUGGAAUGACCUGAAAUUUAAAUUUUAGAUAGUUCAAUGAUCAAAACCAGACUUUUAAUAGUUCAAUAGUUAAAAGUCAAUGAUUCCAAAAGUUUAGUGGUCAUCUGAAUAAUUUGCUCUAUCUAUAUAUAUAUUAUAACAUGCCAUGUUCAUUAAUAUCAAGUAAGAAAGCUUAAUAUAUCAUAUGUCAUGUUUGCUCAUCAAUAAAGCUAAGUAUGGCUCAGAACGUCACUGAAACUGAAUCUAUCGCCACAAAAUCAAGGACAAAUUUGUGAGGCUAGAUUGUUUAUUCUUUCGUCCUUUUCUAUAUCAAACUUUCCUACAGCAUUAUACACACUAUGACUAUAUUUUUUUUUGUCUUUUUACCAUUCCCACUAGAAAAUCCAAAGAUUUGUGAAACUUUUCUUGAAUGGAGAAAAAACUCUAUUUGUCACUUUGAGGACUGGAUACAGACCCUUUCAACUAGGAAUGAACGGAAGGCAAUUUACUACCAGAAUCUAUAAGCAGCCUCACUAUUAUACCACUUGUCACAGGCUGCUUAAACCAGAGCCGAAAAGCUCUUUUAUUGGUAUCAUAAUAACUAUAUGUAUUCUCAUUUUUGAAUUCCUCCUAGUUAGAAUUCUAAUUGUCAAUGGAGACUCGAGCUUCAGUUUCAAUUAUAUGCCAUUGAAACUCAAGAAAAAAGUAUCAAAUCAUACCAUGAACAACUUACUGGUUCACUAAAAUAUUUUGCUUUUACAUCAAACUUCCAACCAAAUACUACUAUAAACAGUUCUUGGAAUAAAAACUUAUGAAAUAGAAUUUACAAAUGAACUCUUUAUUUUUCUUUACAAGAUAAUAACUCAUAAAUAACAUGAGCAAUAUGAUUACUGGGAGCUCAUACAAUUAGAUUCCUUUGAUAAACCAGCCUACAAUCUGCUUUUCAGAUUUUUAAACCACGCUCUUUUCCCUCUUAGCUCCAUCUCCAGUAUGUCCAACAAAAGGUUACAUACAAAAGCUUCAUCUUGGUCUUUAAGAACCAUAUCUAUAUAUCUUCAGCCAAACUAUUUUAAUAUAAGUAGUGUUUUCCAAUAUCCAAAUGAUUUACUCCACAUUCUAACAAUUUUACUGCUUUUCAAUUGACAUUGAUAUCCAUCUGACAAUCAACCAAAAAAAUGGAUUCAUCAAAAUGUCUUACCAAUAAGUGUGGCAUUCUUCAAAUAUGGUGUUAUGUGGAAACAAACACCAUUCAUAUUGAAGACCUUAUUAACAGCUGCAGAAAUUUAUAAAGCAUUAUAAUCACAUAAAAAAUACAAAUUGAAUCAAACUAUUCUGCGGUAGAUCAAUUUUCUAUAUACUCAAAUUAAACGGCAAAAAAAAUCUUCCUCUUUUCCAUGAAAUUUCACGGAUAGGGUUCCUGAAUCUUAAUCUACAAAUCUUGUAGUGUCAUUGAAUGAUCAAACCUACGGUUUAUACAAUGUAUGAUACUUUUAUCAUCACAGUCUAUGUCUUAUACGAACAUAAUUAAAAUCAAACUCAUGUCACAAUACUAUUAUAUAAAAGGAAAAAUUGCCAAUUUGGUCCCAUAUAUUUUCAAAACAAAAAACUUUUCAGUCCUCACAUUCAAAAUCAGCCAAAAUGAUCCCUCAGAUACAAAAAUUUUUGUGCAUUUGGCCCUACAACUUUUUUUACACAGUUUUUUGACCAAAAAUACAUGCCUACCUCAUGUGCCUACAAUUGCAAGGGCAUAAUGGAAACAAAAUUUGUUUCCUAUCACAGAAAAAAAAAAAGAAACACACACACACACGCACUUGACCGCCCUCCCCACUUUUAGCCAUUAAAACCUAUUUCUAAUUCUUAAGCAACCAAAGCCCAAUUCCCAAUUAUGAAACUUUAGCGAGUGCAACUUCACAAAAGGUGAAGAAAAUGGCAUAGAAUUUAGAUUGGAAAAGGGUAAAAAUGAUAAAAAAAAAAGCAUUGGUGAAUCACCACACAUAAUAUUGCGAGUCUGUCUAACAAAGAAGGAAAGUAUUGCAAAUCACAACACAUAAUAUUGUGGCACAUAAUAUUGGUGACACAUAAUAAUAGUCUGUUUGACACAUAACAUUGGUGAAUCACCGCACAUAAUAUUGCGAAUCACCACACAUAAAGAAGGAAAGUAAAGGCUUGAAUCCAUUUGACUAUUGCGAGUCUAUCUGAGAAAGAAGGAAAUGAAUUUUGCUUCCAUUUUGCCCUUGAAAUUAUGGACUGUGAGGUUUUUUGGUCAAAAAAAUUGAGCAAAAAUGAGCUCUGAGAAAAAAUUGGCAAAAUUUUAUCUAUAAGGGACUACUUGGACUGAUUUUGAAUGUGAUGGACAAAAAAGUAUUUUUUUUCCAAACAUUUGAGGACUAAUUUGACAAUUUUUCCUUAUAUAAAAUACCAAUACUUAUUUUAAACAUGUUACAAUAUAUUGAUAUUUUUGACACACAUUAAGCGGACUACAAACUACUCAAUUGUCAUCCCUUCUCCUCUCACUUUAAAAUUUCUUUCUUCCAAACAUAGAUAUAACUAGAUUCCAAUCUUUUGUCUUUUGCGCACGGUGCCGUACUGGUGAUCAAACCACAAAAAAAAAAAAAACUCUGGACACAAAAAGAAGGGAUCUUCUUCCAUUACAGUACAUCGGAUUGAUACGAGAGACUUCAGUUGUUUAAUGAACCGCUACUGAUACUCUCAAAACUCAAGUUUUAAUUGUACAGUACAAUAGUAAUAUUUUGAUGAUUCACUUUCUAAAAUCGUAUAUAUAUAUUUUUUUUCUUUUUAAUUUCCAUGACAAUUUAAUUUAGUGGCUUUUCUUGUUUUGGGUUCACUCAAUUGUCAGGGAAUAACAAGGGAUAAAAGUUUUAUGCAGUAUUCCAAGUACUGCCGUAGAUCAACGUCUACCUUCGGGCUCUAACUAGCCCAAAAAAAAAGCCCAGAAUACUUCUCCGCCUUUUGAUAUAAUGAAUAAAAAUAAAAAUAAAAACAAAAAUGAACCUAACCUGGGAAGAAGCAUCUCCCUUUUCUGUGUCCUACUGAUCGUUUUGUCAACCGUGAAAUAAACGUAAUUGCAUUCGCAUCCGCCAAUUCCUGAUACCGAUCGUCAUUGCUGACAGAAUAAUAUCCCCAGAAAAAAAAAAUAUUUUUUUGACUGACCAAAUCUUGACUCAAAUAUUACCAAUAUUCCAUCAUUAGUCGUCGUCCAGCAGCAAAGUCAAGGGUUCGUUUGGAUUGACAGUUUUUCCAAAAAUUGUUUUUGUCUUUGAGAAACAACUUUACUGAUCAAUUAAGUCUACAGUGGGUCUUUAAUGAAACGACGGCGUUUUUGGCAAAAUACCCAAUUACUUGUUUUCGGCUUUCCUUUGCCGACGCUACUUUCCCAAAUUGCCUUCUGUGCUGAAUGCGAAGACAGCUUCAGAACAGGGACCAGUCAGUGGCUUGUGCAAAGUACUCCUCUGAAGCACCAUUGCCGGCCAUCGAGAGGCGAAUUUGUGAGUAAUCGAAGCAGAUUUCAGCUCGCAACCUUCGAAUCCAGCCUCCUUCAGCUCGUGAUUUCAGCUUGCGACUUCACUUCCAAACCUCCUCUGAGCUCCGACCCCUCUUCGCUCUUCGAUCCAGCUUGCUAGUACGCCCCUCUUUGAGAGCGACCUUGUAUGCAAGAGCCCAUCCUCGCGCUUCAAUCCAUCAGGAUCUUAACCCCCUUUCACAGCGAGUAGCACAUCUCGAGAACUGGCAGCUCCGACCCCUCUUCGGCCUUCGAUUUACUGUUAAGGUUAUGUUUCUAAGGCAUUUUGCACAAUUCACUUUACUGUUCUUGCUGCGUAUUGUAAAGAAUAAUGCGUGGUUGGAGAAAAAUUUGAUGUCCGGAUGCCCCAAAAAUUUGACUGUGAGGUCAAAAUUUGCUUGCUGCUUUCAAUUUUCCAAUUUGGCCGUUUAGAGGUGUUGGACAGUAGAGUUAGAGAUUAGUUGUGCAGAGUAUUGUGGUGUCUGAACCAAGUCUCGGCAAUGCUGAAAAUGAACCAUGAAAAAUUGAACUGGUUUGAAUAUUGAGACGAUAAACUGGCCAUGCUCUGGAUUCAAUGUCAGAUUAUUAUCUUGAAAAAUAAACUGGUUUGAAUUUUGAGACGAUAAACUGGCCAUGCUCUGGUUUGAAUUGAGAAAAUCUCUUGAACACAAUACGGCAUUGACUUCAAUUCAUAUCAGCUGGUCAUGAAUUUUGUCUGGUGCUGUUUUGCCGGAGUUGGUGGUUGCAUUCGAUAAUCCUUAUAUAAAUUUACCAAGAUGUCUUACUUGCUUGAGAUUCAUUAGAAUUGCCUAAAUUCAGUGAAAGAAGUAUAUGUGAGUGCUUCUGAUGGAAAUAAAAUAUUUGUUGGGCUGCUUCUGAUUGUGUUUUUUUGGGAUAUUAUUCCCCCCAUGAGUGUGUCUCGCUUUGUUGAAAUGCGACCCUGUGGAGCCUGUUUUCGUAUUAUUGUAGUAUUAGUUCUUGUGUUUUUACCCCAAAAUGAACUCUCUGAUGCUAUUUCUGUGAUUUUAAUUUGUCUUCUCCGGCUAUAGAUGAGAUUGGUAUCUGCAGUCUAACUUCAUACUGCUGUUUGGUGAAAAUAAAACAGGGUAGGUUGGUGUUCUCAUUGCCGUUGUCUAAGGUUACAUGCCCCCUAUUACUCGCCGUGCUUCCAAAGGUAGUUUGUGUGGCUUGACUCUGUUUACUGCCUUGUUUAGUGCGACUAAUUUUGACUCGUGUGUAAACACAGCAUUGAAGACGAAAAAUUGUGACAAGGGGUGGGGAUCCAACUCAGCUUGGGGGGAAAACGAUUUACAAAAGUGCAUUUCUAACUACUACAAGGUAAUACAUGCUAAUCCUCUACUUUCGCUACUUAUUAUUUCAAAUAUAUUUUGUCCGGCCGAUAGUAUAAGUACCAACCGUUGCUGAUUGCCUUUAUUUAUGGGUUAAUAAGAUGAGAAAACAAAGGCGCAAUCCAGGCCACCAGAAACUUUAUUUCACUAGGCAGCAGGAAAUAGAAAUUGCCAAGCGCCUAGUCAGCAUGCAUACAGCUAGUGAAAUUAGGGACAAUAAUAUUGGUAGCUACGUGGUUCCCGAGAUUCAACAGCAGUUGAACUGCCAAUUUGGCACAUCGUUCACAUGGGACAGCAUAAGAGCCAAAUACUAUGCCUUGCGAGAACUUACCAAGCUGUACAUUGCCUUCAAGAGGCGGGAAACGGGACUGGGUUGGGAUAGCCAGAACUUUACCUGGCUCAUGGACGAUAGCAAGUGGGCUGAGCUUGCACAGGUAUUUUUUGUCAAGUCAAGUGUUUUUAUAUCAAUUUAUGUCUAUUAAAAGUUAUUCAGAUUAUACGUGCAGCUCCCUCAAAUAACCUUUUGGCUGUGGUUUUUUUUUUGUCAGGUGAACCCAAAAUAUUUAAAAUUUCAAGAUGAUUGCACCGUCUACCACUUGCUUGAGGAGGUUUUUGUCAACCAAGGAGCAACGGGGGAUUUCAGCGCUGGCUUUGAGAACGAGCCCCGUACUUCACCCGAGGAGAGAUACAUGGAGAACCUUGCCCAAUCGUCACGGGGAAAGGAAGGUCGGACGCUGCGCACGAGGGUGUUGAAACUGAGUUGGUAGGGGCAAAUGCAGCGAGGGGGAGAAAGGGCAAAGGAAAGCGGAAAUCGGGGGACAUGUCAAGCGGUAGUCCUAUGUCCACCGCCUCCCAUUCAGCUUCUGAUAGGUACAUGAAGGCUCUUGACACCAUUGAGUCCCUGGUUAGUCGCCAUAAGAGCAGUAGCAUAGGUGUGUCAGUCAGUUCUCCGGACAAGCAGUGUUCCGGCCGCGGUGGCCCUCCCAAAACUGCCUAUGAAGCUGCCAUGGAUCAACUUCGGGGAAUGGAGAACGUUUCAUACGCAGCCAAAAUGGCCGUGGCUGAAAUAUUGAAGGAUAAGCAAGAGCUGGCCAUUUGGAAUUUAGCACAAUCGGACGCCGACCGCAUCACAUUUAUGAAAAUAAAAGGCUGUUUCCCACCUGAUACGCAGGAGCCCCCUCCCCCACCUCCAUUCUAGUCGUUUCGCGGAAAUCGGGAGCUUGUAUUGAGACCUUAGUUGUUGACUUGAGUUGUUGAUUUCUUUAUAGCCAACUCAGCUAUUGUAGCAUUUGCUACCGAUACAUUUGAGUGUUUUUUUUUCAGAGGUGUUGUGAUUUGUCUAUUUGGAUUCCGGCCCCGUACUGGCCAUGAGUUUGUUCAGUUUUUUACUGCAUUGGGUUGGAGUUGUUCAGUUUUUAUUAUUAUUGAUGAUGUGUUUGUGGCAUUGACUAUCUUGGUUAAUCUCUAAAUUCAGGGGUGCUUUGUGUCCAUGAAUGGCCUGGAUAUUAUAUGUCGAAACGCAGGAUUUGAGUUAAUUGUGUUUGGUCCUCUGUUGGUUACUAUUUAAAACCAUGUUGUGUUUAUAUAUUUUUGGAGAUGACUUUGUGGGAUAAUUUCUAAGGAUUGGAUUAGGAAUGUGGUGCUAGUUUUCAUUAACAACAGGUUACUUGUUUUAAGGCAUUUGUUCAUAGCUACAAAUGUUGUGAACUGGAAUGGCAAAGUAACAUGCUGUCCUUUACUGCUAUGAUUGGCCAGGUUUUGUUGUUGUCCAAAUAUUCACUUAUUGGCUUGUUAGUAGCUGUCUUGACUUGGAAUCUUCAAAAACUGUGGUGAAUAUAUAUUCCAAGAGCUAUUGCCAUAUAAACAGAAAUAAACUGCCAUGAAAUUUUUUUUUCAGAUUUGUUGCCCGAAAUAGCAUAUAACCUGCCUUCUUGAUUUGCUGAUGCUAUAUAACUAUUUGCCAGUAUGCUUUAAUUAGGAGAUAAUGGCGUUGUUGUUGAUCAUGCCUUUUGAAAAUGACCUUUUUUCUUAGGACCACGAGUGAUUUUGGCUGCCGAGAUCACAUAUGAAAAUGGAGUAUGAGGAUUAUUUGCAAGGUGGGGAUUUCUUCGACGAAGGAGAUGAGGAGGAGAUACUUUUGACCUUCAUCUACUUUGUGCUUGCUGGAUUGGCUCUGUUCGACCCAUAUCUAAACCCUGUGGAGCGCCGACGAAUUCGAGAUGGUGCACAGUCGGGUGCUCAAUGGGUUAUAGAACUCAUAAACGGCCAUCGAGAUAGAAUAUUCGACAACCUUCGUAUGGAAGCUCCGCUUUUCCUGCAGUUAUGUGAUUUGUUGAUUGAGAGGGGCUAUUGGGAGCCCCACCCGACAGGACGGGUAGGCAUUCACGAGUCUCUCGCCAUUUGCCUUCUUUGCUUGAGCCAUAACGAGCGACAUAGGGUGCUAGCCGAGAGAUUCCAACGCACAACCGAGACCACGGACCGUCAUCUACGACGCUGCCUUCGAUCUCUCGUUCGCUUGGGACGCGACUUUGUCCGGCCGAUAGAUUAUCACACGACGAAUCCAAGAAUACAGAACAGUGCUACGUUUUGGCCCUGGUUUAAGGUUAGAGAUAUUUUGUGAAAUCUCUUAUUAAUUAUAAUCUAUUUGAGACUGAACGUCUACUUAUUCUGAUUAGGAUUGUGUUGGAGCUAUUGAUGGAACGCAUGUUUCAGCUUGGUGUAGAGCCGAAGACAGGGAGUGUUAUCGGAAUAGGCAUGGCGGCUUAUCGCAAAAUAUAUUAGCAGUGUGUGAUCAUAAUAUGCGAUUCACUUAUGUCAGGGUAGGGUGGGAGGGUAGCGCACAUGAUUCUAGGAUCUUAAAAGAUGUCUUACUUGAUCCUAAUUGUGCUUUUCCACGGCCACCAGAAGGUAAUUUGGGUUUUAAAUCAUCCAUUUGGAAUUUAUCGCAUGACAUUUCUUAAAACAUUUAUAGUAAUAUCUAUAAUGCACUUAACUAUAAUUACUUUGUGUGCAGGGAAGUAUUAUGCGGUCGAUGCGGCAUACACGAACAUGCCAGGAUUUAUGGCUCCCUUUAGGGGUGCACGGGGAACCCAACAGGAGCGGGCAGCAAGAACACUUUUCAACAGACACCAUGCAUCUUUACGGGGCAUUAUAGAACGCACGUUUGGUGUUCUUAAGAAGCGAUUUCCGAUACUUAAGGGCCCCAUGCAGAACUAUUUGAUGGCGACACAGAAUAAUAUUGUCCUGGCUUGCUGUGCAUUACACAACUUUAUGCGUGAUAAUGUCCCGAAUGAUGCAUAUUUUGUUGAAGAAGAGACUAUUGCAGCACAGGCAGAUAAUAUAAAUCAUAUGGUGGACCAAAUGGCCGGCGCAGAACCACUGGAUAUGUCGCCUCAAGGAAUUGCUGGUUGGAAUGAAUUCAGGAGCGCUUUGGCAAACAGCAUGUACUAUCACCAACAUUAGUAGCUCCAUUUAGUCGUUAUCUAUUUAGUGCUUUUGUAACUAGUGGGCGGAUUGCAAAUGGCAAAGCAUAAAUAAUGGUUCCACGGUGGCUAUUGUAUAUGGCAUGUACACUUAUGCAAAAUUUCUAUCUAUUAAGUUUACUUUUAAUUAUAUCAGUGGUGUACUGCUAAAGUAUUUUGGUGAAUGAAAUUUAUUGAUUUUUUUAAUGCCCAAUUUGAAUGAUGUUUUUCAAAAAUAGCUAAUAAAAAACAGCUUGUUUUUCAAAAACAAGCUGUUUUUCAAAAACAGAUAAAUCCAAACAAGCUUGUUUUUGAAAAACAAAUCGUUUCUCAAAAACAGCUAAUCCAAACAACAUUUGCUGUUUUUCAAAAAAUGAAUAGUAUAGUUUUUAAAAAACAACCCCAAAAACAGCUAAUCCAAACGGACUCCAAAAUUUUCCUGAAACUUUAAAGAACAGGUACUCACCACCAAUCCGACGUCUCUUGCAAGCUUCGUAGCUCCUAUAAAUAGUACUAAAUAUACUUCAAGAACUUCACCCCCUAACUAUUCUGCAAAGUGAAAUUUUUAGCUUAUUUUUGUGCUAAAAAGAUUUGAAAAAGAAAAAGGGUUCGAGAGAAAACUAGCCAUGGCAGCAAGUGAUGUAAAGCUUCUUGGUGCACGUCCGAGCCCAUUCGUGAACCGGGUUCAGGUUGCCCUCAACCUCAAGUCAAUAGACUAUGAAUUCAUCCCACAAAACUUGGCAGAGAAAAGCGAGCUCCUUCUUAAAUCUAAUCCUGUUCACAAGAAGGUCCCAGUACUCAUCCAUGGUGAUCAGCCCAUCUCCGAGUCACUUGUGAUUGUGCACUACGUUGAUGAGGUCUGGUCUGGUCCUCCCUCUCUCCUUCCUGCUGAUCCCUAUGACCGCACCACAGCUCGCUUUUGGGCCGCUUACAUUGAUGAAAAGGUACCACUAAAAGUUCUCUGCUUCAUCACUCACUCCCCUCUUUUCAACAUCAUAUAUACAUACAUACAUAUAUAUAUAUGACAAAAAAUUUCAGUGGCCACUAAAUUAUUGAUCGGAUCAUAUUUUAACGAUCAAACUAUUUUUCAUUAAUAAUUGGUCAUUAAACAACUUAAUCAGUAAACUCAUGACCAUUUAGUUAAUAAUUACUCUUAAUCUGUGAAAUUAGUAGUACAUGUGGCAAGGCGUGGGGAUAAUUUUAUCCAACAACUACAUGAUCUUAUUUCAUAGAUUAAUUGUUAAUUUCAUAAAUUAAGAACAAUUAUCAACCAAAUGGUCAUGGAUUUAUUGAUUAUAUUGUUUAGUGGUCAAUUACUGGCGAAAAAUAAUUUGAUGGCCAAAAUAUGAUCCGAUCAAUAAUUUAGUGGUCACUGAGAUUUUUUAUCUUAUAUAUAUAUAUAUAUAUAUAUAUAUGAUACUUUUUCUGCAUAUUCUUCAGUUAUCAUGUAGUACUACUACAUUAUAAGAAAAAGAGUCAAUGGGUUUAAUAAAUGUGGCAGUGGUCUCCAUUGGUGCGGAAUCUUAUAAAUGCAACGGACGAGCAGUCAAAAGCAGUUGCAGCGGAGAAAGUAUUUGAAGGCUUAAAAUUGUUGGAGGAUGCAUUUGUGAAUUCAAGCAAAGGGAAGGGCUUCUUUGGUGGAGAAAAAUUAGGUUUCCUUGAUAUUGUUCUGGGUUGCUACUUGGGAUGGGUAAGGGCUGGAGAAAUAAUUACAGGUUUGAAAAUACUGGACGAAACCAAGACAGCAGCCCUGGUGGGAUGGGCUGAGAGGUUUACUUCUAAUAAAGCUGUUGAUGGUGUUAUACCCGAGCCUAAGGAACUCGUUAGCUUUAUGAAAAUGCAAGCUAGGGCCGCUGCUGCUGCUGAUGCUUCUUCAAAGUGAAAAGGCGCAUCUUCAAAUGAGCCCAUGAAUGAUGGCCCGAGUGGUCAUCGUUUUUUCAUUUUUUUUUCUUUUUUGUUGUUGUUUGGACUGUGCGAGAAUAAUUGUAAUGGGGAAGCUUCCUUUCCCAAAUGAAAGUUGUAAUGGGAGAGCUUCCUUUCAUGAAUGGAAGUUCUCUCUUUUUUAAAAAAAAAAAAAUUAUUUCUUCUGAUUCCAAUUUCGUGGGAUGACCUAUGAAACGGUUUUUUUUGGUUACAUUGCACCUUGCUGAAACUUAAAAUCAAAUUAUUUCUUUUCUUUUCUUUUUAUAAAUUGAUUAUCCAAUCUGGAAGAAGAUCAGAAAGGAAAUUUGAUUAAAGUGGGGAGGGGCUCAAGAACUUAGCACAAGGCAUUAAGUGCGACUUGAAGUAGAAAUAUGUCAGUAAACUGGCGUUGCUGCACUUUGUGGCCCAAACUAAGACAUUUGACGGUGUCCAACCGUUCUAUGAGCCUUCUAAGUAAUUCUGCGCAAUGUAACGUAUUUGCCCAUUAACCAAUAAGUGGUACAAUAAAAGGUCCAAUUAGGGGCGUUCACGAAUCGAGCCGCUCGCGAUCGGGUAUGAGCUCGACUCGAGCUUGGUCAAUAUCGAGUUCGAGCUAAUUAAGUCGAACUCGAACUCGAUCUCGAGCUUGAACUCUAAAACAUUAAGUUCGUUGGCUCGCGAGCUCAAUUAUAUAUAUAUAUAUAUUUUUUAUUUUUUAUUUUAAUAGUAAAAUUACACAUAUAUCCCUAAUAUUUUAUUAUUUGUUAAAAAAUUAUUAUUUUAUUCAUUUUUAAAAUAAAUAAUUAUUUUUUAUUUUUUAAAAUAAAUUUAUUAUUAUUAUUUUUUAUUUUUUAAGCUCUAGCUCGAGCUCGAGUUUGAGUUUCACAAAAUUAACUGGAGGCUCGGCUCGAUUAGGCCAAAGGUCGGCUCGACUCGACUCGUUUGCACCCCUAGGUACAGCUUUGUAUUCCUGGACAUCCAUGUGAGGACUUGUAAAUUUGUUUAUAUUUUCUUAUAAUUCCCUUUAUUUUUGAAUAAGUAAAUUUAUAAUUUCUUCAAUACUAAUUUAUUUGCCUUAGUAGGUGUAACAAAUAAUAGAGUUGGGAGUUUUACUUUUACUUUUAUAGUUGGUGCAUGCUAGGGUUUAAGGUAUAUAAUGGUAGUGUGAUUAAUUAGAAAGGUGUAUGCAAUAAAUUUGGUGGAUGAGAGUGGGUAUUAAGUAAGAGAAAGUAUGUGAUUAAAAGUGCUAAGAGUAAAUUAGUGAGUCAUAAGUUAAAAAUACAAGUGAGACAAAGAAAUAGGUUUGAACAGACUUGCGCUGCUUGCCACCGGUUAGAGACACUACUCGAACUGACAAAGAACACAAGUGAGACAAAGAAAAAGGCUUGAACCAACUUGCGCCACUUGUUAUCGAUUAGAGACACUACUUGACCAAAGAUUUUCUUUUCUUAAUCUUCUUAUUUCCCUUUUAUUUUUCCUUCCCUAAAUUUUUUUGGGGUGUUGGCAGAAAAUUUUGGCCAAAAAAGAGAGGAACAGAAAAGAAAGAAAAGGAAAAAAAUGGAAGGUGACAAGUGUUGGCAAUAAAGGCCAACCUUGACCAAAAACCUUUCUUCCAUUCUUAUCUUCCAUUUCACUAAAAUUUCCUUCAUUUUUCUAUCAUCUUGGCCGACCAAAAAAGAGAGAAAAAGAGAGAAGAAAACUUCAAUUUUCAUCUUGAUUUUGCCUUGAUUUGGUGAGGAAUCAAUAAGAACCACAAAUCUAAUCCGAACAAACUUGCAACAAGGUGACAAGAAAACUUGAGGUGGAGUGAUUUUACAUAGGUAGUCUUGGUUUUGUGUUUUUCCUUGAGGUUUGAAAGUAUUAAACUAAGAAACUCACUUUCACUUUCUUAUCUUGUAUUUUAUUGGAUAGAUGACUUGAAUAUGGAAGUUUUAUGGAAGAUAUCAUGGAUUUGUGAAAUUGGUGGAAUUUUUCAACUUUGGUUUGUAUUUUUUAGCCAUGAAAUGAUAGUAUCUAGCUUUGGUAUGGACUUGAGAGUGUUUAUAUGAAGAUUUCUAACUUUAGUAUUAAUUUUUAGCUUCAAAAUAGAAUGUUUCAGUUUUAAUGGCAAAUUUCCUGCUUAGGGUUUCAAAAUUCCAGCUUGGGUAUAGUUGUUUAUAUAUUAAAUAUAUGUUGAAUUUGGUUAGCCUUUGUAACCUAGAAUAGGUACCAAUUGUCUCCUAUUACUUGUGGUUUCGAUUUGGGCUGUUUUGCCAUGAAACUUAGGGCCUGUUUGGAACCGAGUUCUUUGGCCAAGUUUUUUAGCUACUAGUUUUUUAACAACUUUAACUACAGGAACCCAAAAAACUUAUCAAAUUUUUUAAUCUACACACUUCAAAAUAUCUAAUACACAAAAACUUCCUCUUUUCUUCUUCUUUCUUCCCCACCCCUAUCCACCACACCUUCAUCGCCGGCCACUCCUCCGCCGCCGGCCACCACCACCUCCGCCGCUGUUUCCGGCGCCGGCCUACCCCUUUUUUUCCCUUCUCCCUCUCGCUCUCGCUCUCCCCCCUCCCCCUCCCCCUCCCCUUCCCCCUCUCCUUCCCUCCCCUCCCUGGCCACCCUCGCUCGCUUCCUUAGCUGCGAUCUGGUCGCACGGUACCAGAUCGCAUCUGCGAUCUAGCGAACGACUGGAUUGGGCAAAAAGGGAGGGGGAAGGGGAGGGGAGUAGGAAAGGGAGGAGAAUGGGAGAGGGAGAUGGAGAAGAGGGGCAGAGAAAAAAAAAAAAAAAAUUGUAGGUGCCAUGGCUACUGGUUCUCUACUUCGGGAGGGAGAGGAGAUGGUGAAGGGGAGUAGAGGGGGAGAGGGGAGCAGAGAGGGAGAAGAGGGGAAGAGAAAAAGAAAAAAAAAAUUUGGGGAGAGGGGUUGCUGGUUUGUCUGGUACCGCGGGGAAGAGAGAGGGGGAAGGAAGGAAGAAGAAGAAGAAGAAGAGAGGAAAGAAAAGAAAAAGGAAAGAAAGAAAGAAAAAGAAAAAGAAUGAGAAAAAGAAAGAAAAGAAAAAAAAUGGUAGGGCCAUGGCUGCUGGGAACUGGGAAGGCAGAGGGAAGGGGGAGGGAGAAGGAAGAAGAAGAAGAAGAAGAGAGAAAAAGAAAAGAAAGGAAGAAAGAAAAAGAAAAGAAAGAGAAAUAGAAAAAGAGAGAAAAAAAAAGAAAAGGAAAAAAAAAUUUCACCUCACAAAAACAUCUACAAAAAAGUUUUUCACCUUACAAAAACUUCUACAAAUUUUUUCAAAAACUAUGCACUACAGUAAAGUUUUAGACAAACUCCCAAAAAACUCAGGUUCCAAACAGGCCCUUAGUUUGGAAAAUUGGAGGAAAAGUUAGGGCAAAAUAGGGGAAAUGCUGCUGUCCGUUUGUUUUCUUGUAACUUAAGUGAGUGAAAUUGAUAUUGAACUUGUGAUUUUUGGUUGAUUCGAACUUAGUUUGUUUAGGAUUUUUGAGUUUUCAUUUGUAGGGAUAUGUAAGUUGAAAUUUUACCAAAAAACUAUAUAUUUUACAAGGAGAAAGUAAUGGCCACGUUAACCAAGAUUUUUUAGUUGCAUAUCAAGUUAUAAACUUAAAAAUUUCAAUUGUUUCUUUACCAAAACCAAAAGAACGGGCAUGUAUUUUCUAGGGUUUAUCAAGUACCAUUUAAAUGAAUUCUAUUUACUUGAUUUUCUUUGAAAUUAAUAAACGAAGAUCAUAUAUCUUGAAACCCUAUUUGAUUACAUGUUCCUAUAUGACAUAUUAUCGCUGAUUUUGGCUCUAGUCAGAGGGCUGGACUUGAACUUGAUUUUGACAAGUAAUGAAUCAUUGAUGAGUGUCUCCAAUUGCAUGAUGGAACUUGAUACUUGAAUGCAACGCUUUCUUAAUAUGAUUGGACAGUACUUGACUUGUUUGGUUGGACAAUGAUGUACUUUAUCGCACUUGCCCUAAUUUGACUAAUUACUGUACACUGGUUAUGAAUGGUUUGAUGUAUAUGUAUAUAACUUGAAUAUUAUUUGGGAUCCCAACCCUAUUGGUUAGUUGGUCGAAUCAAGCCAGGAAGGUCUUGGUCAAGUCUCCUUGACCAAGAACUGUUUCAUAAGUUUUUAUUCCAAGAACUGUUUAUAGUAGUAUUUGGUUGUAAGUUUGAUGUAAAAGCAAAAUAUUUUAGUGAACCAGUAAGUUGUUCAUGGUAUGAUUUGAUACUUUUUCUUGAGUUUCAAUGGCAUAUAAUUGAAACUGAAGCUCGAGUCUGCAUUGACAAUUAGAAUUCUAACUAGGAGGAAUUCAAAAAUGAGAAUACAUAUAGUAUUUAUGAUACCAAUAAAAGAGCGUUUCAGCUCUAUUUUAAGCAGCCUGUGACAAGUGGUAUAAUAGUGAGGCUGCUUAUAGAUUCUGGUAGUAAAUUGCCUUCCGUUCAUUCCUAGUUGAAAGGGUCUGUAUCCAGUCCUCAAAGUGACAAAUAGAGUUUUUUCUCCAUUCAAGAAAAGUUUCACAAAUCUUUGGAUUUUCUAGUGGGAAUGGUAAAAAGACAAAAAAUAUAGUCAUAGUGUGUAUAAUGCUGUAGGAAAGUUUGAUAUAGAAAAGGAUGAAAGAAUAAAGAAUCUAGCCUUACAAAUUUGUCCUUGAAUUUGUGGCGAUAGACUUGAUAGAAGGCGAUAGAUUCACUUUCAGCGACGUUCUGAACCAUGCUUAGCUUUAUUGAUGAGCAAACAUGACAUAUGAUAUAUUAAGCUUUCUUAUUUGCUAUUAAUGAACAUCACAUGUUAUAGUAUAUAUAGAUAGAGCAAAUUAUUCAGAUGACCACUAAACUUUUGGAAUCAUUGAGUUUUAACUACUGAACUAUUAAAAGUCUGGUUUGAUCAUUGAACUAUCUAAAGUUUAAAUUUCAGGUCAUUCCAUCAAAUUUAAUCACCAACUAUGCCUCUUUUUUUUGUCUCGUGAAUCGUGCGAACACUCAAAUCUGUCAUGUUUAACGAUUAAAUCUAACAAAAUAGUUUGAUAUCUAGACUUUAAAUAGUUCUGUAGUUAAAACCAAACUUGUAAUAGUUCAAUGACCAAAAUUCAACGAUUCUAAAAGUUUGGUUGUUAUCCGGAUAAUUUGCUCAUAUAGAUAUCUAAAAUUCAAUAGAAAGUGUAGAAGGUCAUUUGCCAUUACUUCUUAGAAUGUGUUGCUACUAAACACCGAGACUAGUGUUGUCAAAAAAAGAAAAAAUAGGUGUACAUUUUAACCUUAGAAAAAUGGACAAUAUCAAAGUUUAAGUUUCCAUUAUGCCAAACUAGUAUUACAUCAAAUGUUGUCAUUAGAUUGUCUAUUGUGAAUCGUGUCCUCCCUGUCCAAAUUUGCCUUUGUAAACUUCAACUUUCCAUUUUUUCGACCAUAUAAUUGUUAAUAACAGUUACUUGCUACUGCGUUUACUAAUUAUUUGCAGAAACCAAAGUAGAUCCUCAGCUCAGAUGGCUCUGAAAGUUUUUGGGAAAGAUGAAGGCACAGAAAGUUUUGAAAACUUGAAUUAUUUUCAAGCACUUGUGUUUGGAUUGCAUUUUUCUGGAUUUUUUGUAGAAAAAUUACUGUAGUGAUUUGAUGUAUGUAAAGUAAAAAGGUGAUAAGGAAAUGUGUUCACGGAAAACCUAGCAAUUUUUCGACGGAAAAUGGCUGUCCAAACACAGGAGGCUCAAAUUUCUUUUUGCUUGAAGACCCAUUCCAAUGCCCUCAGGAUGGACUCCAUAGUCUGCUAAAAGGUUGGUGAACGUAUUUUUCAUGCUCCUUCCUAUUUAGUAUUCACUUGUUUCCCUACUCGUUUUAGCUCUUGUUCUCAUUGUGCUCCACCAAAGAGGUAAUUAUUAAUCCAUCAUUAAUUAAACAACCUCUCCCAUUGCUGUCUCUUCCUAAAUGUUUUCUCCUUCCCAUCGUCCUCUCAAUUGCCCCACUGUGUCAGCUCUUGAUCCAUCAUUUUUUCCAUGAAAUCUACUGCAAAAAUCCCUCUUUAGACUCCUUACUUGUUUUCACUUUGCUGUUCAAAAAAUCUACUACAGUUCCUCUCAUCAAUCUCUCUGUCACACAAAAGAAGCUCUAGCCAUUACACGUAAGCGUUGGUUUAGCUCGAUUUUGAAUUUCAAAUUUUUAAAUAAUUUUCAUCGCUUGUUUUGGCCCCUGUUUUGAUGUUAUUUAUUCAAAAUUUUGUAAUUUUGUAAUUUUGUGUCUCAACAAGAGUAUAAUUGUUUAGGAACGUUCAUGUUAUUUUGUUAAAGUGUACAUAUGCAUACAUUCAGUUAGGGUGACAUGUAAAUUAAUAUUGAAUGAUGCAAUUUGUGUGAUUUUUUGUGCGACAUCCAUGAUUUUUGAGCGAAAAUUUUCUCAAACUUUGAAUUUUCAAUUCUUUUGUUUUAAUUAUAUUAAAAUUAACUUUUAUCCAAAACAAGUAGCAAAAGAAUAGUGCUAUAUUCAGUAUUCAAAUUGAAGUUGAGGAUAGAGGAGAUUAAUGUUUAUAAGUAAUAAGGACAAUGCUUUAGUAACGAUAGUUAUGAUAACGAAACAGUUUUUACGUGAUAUAACAGAUUGUUACACUUUUAACGACCAUUUAAUUACUUAUUGGCUUAUUCACCAAAAUAGGAUAAUACCUAAAAAUAAGGAAGUAAGUUUUCCAUCCAAAAUAGUAAGUUAAUCGUAAUAAAUUAGUAACUUUUAUAUCUCAAAAGGUAAAUUGGAAUAAAUAUUUAACUUACUUUUUAAAUAAAUAAAUUACUACUUUAUAUCCCAAACUUACUUUUUAGAGAGUAAGUUUAGUUCAAGUAAUAGUAAGUUUUUAUACAUAAACAGUAAUCUUAUUGAUAACAUGGUAAAUUUAAUUAAUGAUAAAAAAUUACUGAUUUAUGGAACACAUGUACUAUUUUAUAUUAAAAACUUAUCUCAAACUAGUAUUAGGAAGUUUAUUUGAAAUAAUAAUAAGAUGUUUUAUUAAUGAUUAAAACUUAGUACCUUAUUUAAUAAGUACUCGUAAUAUACUUGUAUAAUACAUGAUUAUAGGUAUAAUUUAAAUAUAUUUAUAUAUUUAAAUAUUUUAAAUAUUUACAUAUUUUUGUAUUUAUAUAUUUUAAAAUACUAUGAAAAGUAGUUUCACUUUUCACAUGACUUUGUAAAAUAUGUAAUAAAAAUUUUUCAUAUUAUAAGUUUUUAAUCAUUUUCAAUUUUUAAAAAGUUUGAAAGUUUGGAUAACAAAUAACAACAAAUCUUCUUAGUUAUAUAUAGAAUAUCACUUGUUUAUAUAUCACAAUUUUAUAAUUUAACACCUAUGAAUAUAAUAAGAUGAUAAAGUUUUAACAAAUUUACAUCCGGAACACAAGAAUUAAUGACAGUUAAAGCCCAAACAAAAUAAGAAAUAGUAUAACGAUAAAAAUGACAAAAUUAGUAUAACAAUUAAUAUAAUAAAAUCAGUAUGAUCUGGACUUUUUUCCUUGGGAGAUUGUUCAUAAAAAUGAGAUUUCACAAUUAAAUGAAAAUCACUUGCACAUAUAAUCUAUUGUAUAAUUUAAAUUAAAUUUAGUUUGCGUAUAAAAUGGUUCUAAAAUAAUUAGCACACUAUGAUAUAAUGUCAUUUUAACAACAAUUUUUUUUUUACUGAAAGUCUCAAAUAUCCAUGACAUACAUAUGAGGGAUAUUUUACCAUAUUUGUAUAUAACUAUAAGCACAAAUUUCAUUGCCUAAAAUAAAAGACAAGAAAACUUGCACAAAUAUCAAAUUUAUUAAAUCAAAUUAUAAGAUGGUUACAAUUUCUGAAAAUUCUUCUUUUUGUAAUUACAAUCUCUACAAAUUCUUGAAUCAAAGAAAUUGCAAGGGCAUUCUUGUCCAAAAGCUGCUGCUUCUCCUAUCCAUCUUCAAUCCCUAGUUGCUGUAAAGGAAAUAGCGUUUCCCCAAAAUUCAAAUCACACUUAUAGCUGAAUUCUUAAUAAAGGAAAGAAGAAAGUAAACCAAAAAGCAGAAAUCAAGAACCAAGAAAUAGUCUUUUCACCUACACCAUAGCUGAUGGAGGGCUCGAGGCUGAUCGUGUGUUGCUCACAUGGAUCCCUUGCAAGUUGCGGAAGGACCAAUGACUAGAUCACGCGCUAAGAAGCUUAAGGAGUCACUACAAGCUUUGGUGUGUCGAGUGCACGAGCAAGUUGGUCAACCAAGCAUUGAUCAAGAGGAGUAUUCCACGUGCACCUUGCUCCAAGUGUUGGACCAUGGGGAUGAAGAGGUUUCAAAGGGCCAAUGCGGUUCAAUAGAGGAACCAUGAGGCCGAGGCUGUUUUGCCAUUUUACUUCGUCUUACGUCUUGUUUUAAUUGUGAUUCGUUAGUUGAAUAAUUGGCAAGGUCAUGUUGACCAAGUAGUCCGCCAAAUCAGUUUGUUAGUCGUUGUUUAGACAUUUCCUAGUCACAUUCGGAUUUAAUACUGUCCAAGUCAGCCUUGUGUACUUGGUUUGAAGUAAAUCCUAGUUAGUUUCUACCAUCCAAGUCUUGGUAGUUGGUCGCAUGCGUUAGAUAGCCGCGAUCGAGAUUAGUCCAAAUAAGAUUAGGGUUUUCUAAGUUGUAAAGGCUAUAAAUAAGCCUUGUCUUUAUUCAGUUUUAACUAGUUAAGAAAUAAAAUCAAUCUUUGUCGCUUUGUGUGCGAAUCUCUCUUGUCUAAGAGAACCCUUUUGAAUACUUGAGAGUUGUUCUUGAGAGUGUUCAAUUCGACUUAACAAUCAAGUGAUCACCCUUGGUUGUAGCGUCAUCUACCCAAACACUUUGGUUCGCUAAUCGUUAAGUCAUGGGUCAAGUCAUCCUUGAUUUGUGAUUUCGAAUGGCCUGAACUCGUAUCCCACAAAAAUCCCCGGAUCUAGACGAAGUACAAGUUGGUGCAGAAACCUCGACCCCUCUAAACCCCGAAAUCACGAACCAAGGAUGACUUGACCCACGACUUAACGAUUUAGCAAACCAAAGUGUUUGGGUAGAUGAUGCCACAACCAAGGGUGAUCACUUGAUUGAUAAGUCGAAUUGAACACUCUCAAGAACAACUCUCAAGUAUUCAAAAGGGUUCUUUUAGACAAGAGAGAUUCGCACACAAAGCGACAAAGAUUGAUUUUAUUUCUUAACUAGUUAAAAUCGAAUAAAAACAGGCUUAUUUAUAGCCUUUACAACUUAGAAAACCCUAAUCUUAUUUGGACUAAUCUCGGUCGCAGCUAUCUAACGCAUGCGACCAACUACCAAGACCUGGACGGUAGAAACUAACUAGGAUUUACUUCAAACCAAACACACAAAGCUGACUUGGACGGUAUUAAAUCCGAAUGUGACUAGGAAAUGUCUAAACAACGACUAACAAACUGAUUUGGCGGACUACUUGGUCAACAUGACCUUGCCAAUUAUUCAACUAACAAAUCACAAUUAAAACAAGACGUAAGAUGAAGUAAAAUGGCAAAACAGCCUCGCCCUCAUGGUUCCUCUAUUGAACCGCAUUGGCCCUUUGAAACCUCUUCAUCCCCAUGGUCCAACACUUGGAGCAAGGUGCACGUGGAAUACUCCUCUUGAUCAAUGCUUGGUUGACCAACUUGCUCAUGCACUUGACACACCAAAGCUUGUUGUGAUUCCUUAAGCUUCUUAGCAUGUGAUCUAGUCAUUGGUCCUUCUGCAACUUGCAAGGGAUCCAUGUGAGCAACACGAUCAGCCUCGAGCCCUCUAUCAUUCCCCUCUCUUGAAGGCGAUUUAUCCCCAAAUCAUCCUCGUCAUCUGCAAGAUAAGGGCUCAAGUCAGCAACAUUAAAAGUAGCAUGGACACCAUACUCACUAGGAAGCUUGAGCUUGUAAGCAUUGUCGUUGAUGCGCUCAAUGAUUUGAAAUGGACUAUCUCCACGAGACAUCAACUUUUUGCGACGUUGUGCUGGGAAAUGCUCCUUGCGCAUAUGAAUCCAUACCAAAUCGCCAGGCUCAAAGACCAUCUGACGACGACCUUUAUUUGCAUUUUGCACGUAUUGAAGGGUGCGUUUCUCAAUGUUUGCGCGGACCCUUUCAUGCAAAGCAUGAACAAAUUCUGCACGCUUCUUCCCAUCUAGGUUAACUCUCUCAGAUAAAGGUAAGGGAGAUAAAUCCAAAGGAGUGAGAGAGUUAAAACCAUAAACAACUUCAAAAGGUGAGUAAUGUGUAGCACUAUGAACAGUGUGGUUGUAUGCAAAUUCAACGUGUGGCAAGCAUUCUUCCCAUGUUUUAAGAUUACGUUUGAUUAUAGCACACAACAAAGUAGACAAGGUCCUAUUAACUACCUCAGUUUGUCCAUCAAUUUGUGGAUGACUAGAAGUAGAAAAUAAGAGUUUAGUUCCCAAUUUACUCCAUAAAGUCUUCCAAAAAUAGCUAAAGAACUUAACAUCCCUAUUAGACACAAUGGUACGUGGUAGACCAUGCAAACGAACAAUUUCCCUAAAGAAGAGUUCGGCUAUAUGCUUAGCAUCAUCGGUUUUAUGACAUGGAAUAAAAUGUGCCAUCUUAGAGAACCUAUCAACAACCACAUAGAUGGAAUCAUGACCUCUCUUAGUUCUAGGUAACCCUAAAACAAAAUCCACAGACAAUCCUUGCCAUAUCAACCUCUCAACAGCCCGCAUGCCGUUUCAGUUAUUAACAAUAGCAGCACUCAAAUGAAAAAGGUUCUAUCUCUUUAUCAUCAGUAACAUGCUUAUCAAUCUCUAUCCUUUCUUUUUUCUUCAUUCUAAACACUCUCAUCUCCAUCUCUGACGCCCCCAAUUCCAAAGACCACAUCAGUUUUGUCUCCUUUUUUUCCUCAACUCAACUUUGAAUUUGUUCAUGCAUGUCAAGAGUUUGUUUCAAUUUCCUUCAAUGAUCCUCAAUGUGCUAUUUUUUUUGCUUUCGGCGAAGAAUUUCUGUUCUUUUACAUUAGAACAAGGUACCUUAGUGGGAUAGAAAACCAUUACUAUGAUCUUCUUCUUGUGCCAACAGGUAAUCAAAUGGUCGCUAAAAAUAUAAUAACCUGUUAUAUCAGGUAAAAACUAUUUAGUUAUCAUAACUAUAGUUACUACAACAUUUUCCAAGUAAUAAACCAGAGCACUGUUCAGUGAAGAAACAAUAUGUUUUUAAGUAAUAACAAGAAAUUGGGCCUUUAAAUAAUUCUAGAGUACGCUGCCUUUAAAUAAUUCUAGAGUACUUUCUCUUUAUCCUAAAGUUUCAUUCUUGAAUCCAACUUUUUUUGAGUAAUGUUUUGAUAGAUAAGAUAUGUUUGUUCAAGUCUUUGACAACAUUAACCUCCAAAUUGAAAUUUGAGUGGUACAACACAUAUCUUCCACGUAGGGAUAACGAAUAAGAGUGCAUGAAAAAAGAGUAAAAAUUAGAUAAUGACUUUCUCAAGAUAGCAUGCAUUUCAUGUAAAAGGCAGAAAUAUGAUAUCAGCACAAUCAGAUGGAGGGAGUAUUAUCUAUUUCUUCUAUGAACCUUGCUCAUCUAUAGAAUAAUUAUUCAUAAUCCUCAAUCAUAAUUGAAUGCUAAACAACAUAAAAUACUUGGAAAUGUAAUAUGAUUAAUUGUAGGUGACUUCCACAAACUUCUCAAACAUUCAUUACCUAUUGAGCUUUCUCAUAGACUAUAUAGCCUUAUUUGAUAACCCAAUUCAACACAUAAGUUUAAUGUGUUCAGAUCUUAAUAUAUUUAGACGUAUUUGAUAACAAAAAAUAGAGUAUUUUAAAUUAAUUAAGUGGCACUGAGUUAUUUAGAUAAAACUUACUCAAAAUAAUAAGUAAUAAAACUGUUCAUGUAUCAUGUAAUGCAGAAUACGUUCAAACGUUGAAUUUCAAGUUAAAAUUUAUAUUAGUUGUCAUUCAUCCAAAACUGACAGUGUACAAUAUUAGCUUAUAUAAGAUUAAUCUUAAAUAUAUAUCUUAAUUCUUGAAGGCUGAACUAGGGCAUGUCAAUACAUUCUUCGGAUUAAUAGCUGCAUGCAGUUAGAUGUGAGUCCGAGUUACAACGCACGUUAACGCUUACCCGGAAGCGGAGUGCAUCUGCAAAAGUGUCUACUUCUACAUGUUGACUGGCUUUGCAACAUACACAUCCAUGGACACCACACAGGCUUGUUAUUGGUGAAUUCAGGAUACCCUCUUGAAUUUUCAUGGUGAAUCUCACUGCCAAGCAGAUCAAGCACUAUCAAGACGGAGAUCAUGGACAGAAGCAUAAGCACGAAAAUAGCUUUUAACAAAUUAGAAGUCCUAUUCUUUUUUGGGAGACAAUGUGUUGUGUUGAUCACUUGAAUUUACAGGGCUUGAGCUCUCAAGGCUAUGAAAAAGAAACUUUUAAAAUAAAAUGUGAAUGUUAGGAGCCUGUAUACGAGCGCCGGACAGUUUUUACAUUAGUAUCACUAUAAAACAAGAAGAAACUGGACCUCCUUGUUGGUUUACUCAGCAAAACUCAGGGCCGGUUGUUUUCAUGUUUUAACAUGGAAAUUGUAAAUGGAAUAAGAUUUGAGAAUUGGGAGACACGAAUUCGGGAUUAAUUUACUAAUUGUCAAUACUAUUUAUGCGAGAAAAUUUAGACUCUAAAAACAUGAAUAUAGGCAUUAAAACAAUACACGUAAAAUUAAAAGCAUGGUCAACUAUAAUGGGUAUGGUACCUAAUAUAUUUACGAUUUUUCUCCAACUAUCAAUCUCCAACUUAUGAAAUUCAGGCAAAAAGAUGGGCGUUUGGUAAAACCGAGAACUAAAGUCUAAAAUUUGAGGCCUGAAAUUUAAGUGUUGAAGUCUUAAUUAGCUGAGUUUAUAAAGUAAGACGUGUUAGAUAAUAAGUUGAAUUUUGGCGCUUAGUUGAAUAACUUAAUCCAUAUGUAUGUAUUUUUAAUGUUACCAAGAUUAUAUUUCAUCACUGAUAUUACGUUUUAUAUUAGGAUUAGUUGAGUAAAUAUUACUUCUUAAUACCAAUAAAUUGUAUAUUAAAAUAGAAAAUGUGUCUAUAUGUGUCAAUGAACCCUCAAUCUUGUGGUUAAACUUGAGAUCUAGGAAUUAGAUGUCGCUGGAUUCAAACCUCCCUUUUCUCUCUUUUCACUUUUUAAAUCUCGCUCUUUCCCUACUAGAAAAAUAAAGUAUAUUUGUGUGUAUGUAUAUGAGUGAUAGAGUAUGUGCUUAUGUGUGAAAAUGUGAAUGUAUAAGAGACAAAAGAUGUAUCUUUCUAAAAAUGUGUGCAAGGAAGAUUACGUGCAUGUUGGCGGCACCAAGUCCAGGCCCAACGUGAUAAAGUUGGCGGCACCAAGUCCAGGCCCAACGUGAUCUUGAAGUUGGCGGCACCAAGUCCAGGCCCAACGUGAUCUUUUGAAGUUGGCGGCACCAAGUCCAGGCCCAACGUGAUAAAGUGAUUGGCGGCACCAAGUUGGCGGCACCAAGUCCAGGCCCAACGUGAUAAAGUGAAGUUGGCGGCACCAAGUCCAGGCCCAACGUGAUAAAGUGAUGUUGGCGGCACCAAGUCCAGGCCCAACGUGAUAAAGUGAAGUUGGCGGCACCAAGUCCAGGCCCAACGUGAUAAAGUGAAGUUGGCGGCACCAAGUCCAGGCCCAACGUGAUUUGGAAUGUCAAGAGAAGGGGGGAACAGAAUGAUGCGCGGCGUGCAUUGGAGCUUCGCCCACAAGAAAUCAAAUUUGAUUUUUCAAGAAACAAGAAUUUGAACUUGAUUUUUGACUUUUUGAUUUGAUUUUUGGUUUUUUCUCUUUUUUUCUUUUUCCCUUCUUUUUUCCCUUUUUUCAAAAAUUUUAAAAAAAAAUAAUUUGCCCCAAGUGUAGUGUCCAUUUUUCCUCCUCUUUCUUCGCUUUCUUCGGCAUCGGCUUCCCACGUUGUCAGAUGCUUUUCGUCGACUUCAACUGUGAAUACCUGCACAGGGCUUACGUGCACUCAAAUGAGCAUGACUGAUUUGAAAAAAUGCAUUAUUUUGAUUCUUGGACGAAAUCCUCAAUUGGACUUAAAAAUAUUUGCCCCUGUGUGGGCUUAUUUUGCGAAAUUUUGCAAAUAAAAAUUUUGCCCCAGUUUGGGCCCAUUUGAUUGCAAAAAUUGGUUUAGAUGAUUUCCCAUUUACUUGAACAAAGAAAAACCGCACUUUCUAAAAUUUAGAAAAGAGUGCACAUACAACAAUGUGAAGAAACUUUAAUCGUCAAGUUUGAACUCAUGCAGAAAUUUCAUGAUGAAUUCCUCGAAAUAACACCAAAUUUAAGAAGAUUUCUUCCUUACUUUUAGCAUUGGUGCUUAGUGUAACGGGUCACCACUUUUGGUUGGCUCAUCUUUUCAGAAUCAAUCAAGUGACUUUAUUUUUGAAAUGGCUAAGGAAAUGGGAGAUAAGAAUCUGUCUCAUUUUCGUGCCCCAGUUGUAUGUAAUCCAUUCAAUGUCACAUCUUAGUGAAAGCAAAGAGUUUGCUACCCUUAUCUUCAAGAAAACUUAGUCAACAUACAAGCUUUCUAGGCUUGUAACGUAUGGACAGAAGUGAUAGCUAAACAUGUGGAAACGGGUUAUGCCCUUAUGAUCACAAAUGAUUUGAUGAAUUUCUUAUGAGCAUGAUCCUCACUUUGGAUUGUCAUGAAAGAAUAAGUCAACGAUGGACUUUAUUAGCUUGUAAUUUGGCUUGAAAACGAUAGUUUAAGACUUUCAAGGAUAUUGCACCAUAGAUCGCAUUUUUCCUAAAUUGCCCCUAUUUUGAAAUCAAAAGAUCUCAGACUUUGUUUGCAUUUUUCUCAUCACUCACCGGAGACUUCAGCGUCGAAUUUUCUGCAUUUUCUUGCAUUUACUUUUCUUGCUUUGCUUUUUGCCUCUUUUCCAAAAAGACCCUCGAGCUGAUGGGUUUUCACAUGGUGAGUAGCGUCAACCUCAUACUCAAGCAAUUCAGAAAUACAGCUAAAAUUUUCCGGCAUCAGAAAUUUUCUUGACAGGGCCAUUGCAAAGAACAGGAGUCAGGACUUUCGGCUUUGUAAUGGGGUCAGGUGGGGUGCUUAGAAAAGUUAAGGCCUGAAAACGGAUUUCAAAACUGGUUUGAAGAAUCUGAGAUCGCAUUGUUGCGUCAACCCUAUUUUAGGGUAAAAUCAGAAUUUGCCUCAGUUUUUGCUCAAUUGAGGCUUUUCACUUUCAUUUCCUUUUUCCUUUUGACUUUUCGGCCUUUUGCCAUUCUUUUGAACUUUCACAAAAUUUGCCCCAGUUUAUUUUUGAACUGAGGUUCUCUUUUCUUCCUUUGUUUUUGAUCUUGUUGUUUUUCACUUUUCACUUUUUGAAAUUUUCUUUUCAACUCAAACUCGCCCCCAGUGUGGGGUUUGCGAUUCUCAGGGGUUGCCAAACGACAUAAUUUAUUCUGAUGGCUCAAAAGGGAUAACUAGGGAUAAAGUGUUCGAUUGGAAAAGAAGAUGGCCUGACUUGUAUUCCAUUCCUUACAACAACUCUGAAAGAAAACUUUCGUUAAUGCGAAAUUUUUUGCAUGUAUCUGAAUUAAUUGACUGAGGAAAACCCUUGCUCAUCCAUAUUUGUGAAACAUAGGCGAUUCACAUGGACAAAACCCUUCCUUUUCUUUUUUCAAACUUGGAACCCAAGUGGAAUCAAAUUUCCCCAAUUUGCAGUUCCCUCCUUAUUCUAGCAUUUUUGCUUUUUCCCUUUUCCCUUUUUUCUUUUUUUGUUUUUUUUUGAAAAUUCUCCAAUCUCCCUCCCCAAUGUGGGGUACGACCAUGAGUGCAUUAGAAAAGAACCACCAAUUUUAGCUCAAAAUGGGGAUGCAAGGGGUGAUCAGUGUUUAGGUUGUAGAAACGACGGCCAAAGCAUCAUUCUUACACCUCAUGACAACCAAAGUAACGAAACGGUUAUUGAAAAUCCAUUCCCCUAUUUGAAAAUUUUCCAAUAUAGGGUAGUGAUCAUUAGGGCUCUUAUCUGAAACGAAAUUAUUCUUUUCAUAGGCUCAAAUGGGAGAGCAAGUGAUAAAAAUCUGUAUAGAUAGUGAAACAAAUGCUCAAAGUAUCACUCCAAAUUUUCCAAACGAAUAAGGAUGAUGCACAUUUUUGCUUUCACUUAGAUGUGAUUGAAUCGAUUAAACACAAUGGAUAUUUUCAAGCAAAGAUGGCCCCAAUUUGCGAUUUAUCAAUCAAUGUGACUGAUUUUAUUUUGGGGUUCAGUGAAGGAAAAAAGAUAUCUCAUUGGGCCUUCUGAAUGAUCUCUUUUAAUUCUGAACACUCUUAUUGUGAAUUUUCAGGUCGGAGGUUGAAAAAAAAUCCCAAUUUAGUCUUAUUUCUUAAAAUUCAUCAUGCAAUCUCCAAUGAAUAAGAAUAAAGAAUGAAAUGUACAUAAAUAUACACAAAACAAUGAUUGUCCAAAAAGUUUAUUGCUGAAAAAGUUUGAAACAAAUUUUCUCAUUCAAUUACGAUACAAGUGAGAAGAGAGAAACUUGUAAAGAGCUCCACAUAUACACUUUUUGUCUCCUUUUCAAAUAUACAAAAUUUCCCUUUGGAAAACAAUUACAACAUCUAUCAGAGGGUUUUCAUCGUAGGAUCCGCCCAAGAAUCAAAUAACACUUGUAAUCUUCAAACUUUAUUGGAUUAAAAUUAUCAUCAGAUAUAGAAGAACAUUUUCGUCUUAUUGAAAUAUUUUUAUGAAUGCAGGGGAGGGGGGAAACAAAAGAAAAAUACCCCGAGUUAGUAGGCAAAACUGCAAAAUCGGUAUGCAUGUCCUAUGGGAGAACCCUUUUAUGCCAAGGGUAGGCCUAGCAUGAAAAUGCAAUCCUCCAGAGCAGGCACUAUACAAUACCUGAUGGAUCCAAUCAGCUCAUGGAGUGAAAAAUAAUUUUGAAAGAAUUUGGUCAAUUGGGGUGACGAGAGAUUUGUCAAAAUGAGGACAACGUCCGAAUAGAUUGAUCACCUUUGAUUUGCAAAACGCAUGGGUUUGACCUUGACGAACUCCUAUCGAAGAGAUUGGAAUUCGUUGAUAAAAUUUCUCAGUGAAUUACGGGUCAAAAACCCUAAUUGAUCAAGUGAUUGGAUGCAAUGGACGGUUUUCUUCAAAAUUGACUAGAUUUCCCAAUUUGGAAUUCGACAUUGAAAUCCUAAUUGGUCAAAUGAAAUUGACAAUUUAUUGAAAAUCGACCGGAUUACCCUAAAAGGGAAAUAGGUCAAAAAACGGCUCGGUUGCCCUAAAAAUGGGUAAAUUGGCCAAAUGAAUGAAAUUGAAUUUGAUUUAUUCAAAAAUCGGCCGAAUGACCCUAAAAAGGGUAAAUUGGUCAAAAGACCCUAAAAAGGGUAAUUUGGUCAAUUGAAUUGAUAAUUUAUUCAAAAGCGACCAAAUGACCCUAAAAAGGGUAAAUUGGUCAAAAGACCCUAAAAGGGUAAAUUGGUCAAAUGAAUUGAAUGAAAUGAAUUUAUUCAAAAAUGAUUAGAUUGAACUAAAAUUGAAUGAAUUGGAAAAAAGUGGAUUGGAUAAGAUGGAUGAUUUGUUCAAAAAUCGAUUGAAUUAUUCGCCCACUGGGUGGUUUCAAAAAAUCAUUACAAUGCCUUGGUCUAUGAGCCUCUAAAAUCAAAAUUUGGCCUCUAUAUUUAUCGUCUCAACAAUGAGGAAUCAUUUGUGAAUUUUCUUCGAAUUAAUGUCCUUUUACGCAAGGGAAUUUUACCAAUUUUGAGAAAAUGGCCAAAAAGUGAUUAUUAGAUGCUCAUAUUCCAAAAAUUGCUUCAUGAAAAUGAUCGGAUCUUUACCUUACCUUGUGCACUACCCCUUCGGAUGAUACGAGAAAGGUAAACGUGCAAGUCUCAUUUGGAUUAUAUAUCCGAGACAUGGGGUGGUUUAUUCCUAACACGGGAUCCCCUAAAUGGCAUUCCCUUUCUAGGGUUUAUGCGUGAUGCCAGUUUAUUAAAGCAAUGUAAAUAUGCAAUAAAUAUGGCCUAGAGGACAAAAUAAUGCAACGGGGGGAAAGGGUCUAAACAUGAAAUGUAUUUACUGAAAGGUAAGUGCAAAGACUGAAAUUUAGACAUGUGAGCUAUCUAGUGGGUGAGUCACUAAAAGAGUGCCAAAGAGGCCCCUUAUUGCUAAGGCACAUGAAUGCAAUCCAAGAAAACAAAAAAAUGGUUAGUGCAAUUGAUAGUACACAUAACACAUUGGGAGCAAUUAAGAAAAGAAAUACAAUAAAGCAAGUAAAAGGGGUGGAACCCCUUCCCUCGUGCCUAAUGUGCUUAAAAGGGUGAAGUUGACUCUAACCUAGGCAAACUAAUAUGGAUGCAUGAGGUUGGGGCUCACUAAUGCAACUAGACUCGAUAAGUCUCGGCUCCCAAGCCUUCAGACCUAAAGGCGAAGGGUCAUCACUCCCAGGGCCUUUGAUCGGUGGCUCGAGUGAUCCCUUAGGUAGCGCUAUGGGCGCAGAGCACACCAGCCGCCUACCCAAGGCAAUCGAUCCUAAUCCUACAAGGCGGUGUGGGAUGGCGCCCACGAAAAUACAAAUAAAAUGGGAUAAAGCAAAUAAAUAUGCACGUAUGAAGUGUUCCCCUAAUUUGAGGGAAGGGGUUGAGAACCACGCGAGGCUCUAAAGGUGACACACCCCCUCCCAAAUGCAAUGCAAGCGCGAAAUAAAGAAGUAAAUAUACAUCCAAACAUACAUUCAUGAGUCGAGGGAUUGGUUUGAGACGCGAGUGAUGCAAAAUCCUAAAAGGAAAAAAAAAUGCAACCCUAAAACACCCAAAUGUAAUAUAUGAAAAGGUUAAAAGAAGGAAAAGGUUGAUUAAAUCAAAUUUGCUCGGACUCUCGAAUGUCCCCAGUGGAGUCGCCAACUGUCGCGCCCCACUUUUCGAUCGUCGAAUGUAUGUGUGUGAAGUGUGGUGUGUGAAGUGUGGUGUGUGAACGUGUGCAAAGUAAAAGUAAAGGCCAUGGGACUUUGGAAAGCGACGAUUUGGCCAAAAAAAUAGUUUUAAAAAGGGUUUUGAAAUGAAAAGUUUGGAGUCGCCACUUGGUAAUGGUUUAAGGUGUACCAAGUCACCCAAAAAUGAGUUUUAAAGUCAAGUAGUAAUAAACCCUUUUUAAAACGACUCCUAGUCUACGUAAACCAAAGAAAAAGGUUCGGGAGUCACGUUUGACAAAGGGGAAGGCAAGGAUAGAAUCCAAGGCACCCCUUUGACCUAGCCAAGGCUAGUUGCGUUGAUUUAAUCAAAGAUUUUCUUGUUUUAACCAAAGAAUUUAUUACAUUUGAGUGCCCUACAUGAAUGCAAACCCUAGACCUAGGGGAAUUGGGGGAAAUUUCCCUUCAAAGGUUGAGUGGUGCCAAUCACAUUAAUUGUGAAGCCCAAUAUUAAUCCUUUGAAGAAGUCACGAAUAAUGCAAGUGGGAUGCAAAUGAAUGAAAUGCAUGCGUGCAAUGUGAGGACAUGAGUUUGAAAAAGUAAUAAAAGAAAAUAAAUAUGUAAAUGAAAGUGUGCACGUGAGUGGGCAAUGUACGGUAUGUGAAAUGGUAAUAUGAAGUGCAUGUGUGCAAGUAAUGAUAAAAGUGUUCGUGUGCAAGUGAAGGUAAAAGGGUUCGUGUGCAAGUGGAGACAAAAAAGUGUUCGUGUGCAAGUGAAGGUGAUAAAAAGGUGCAUGUGUGCAAAUGAGACAAAAAGUGAAAGUGUAAUGAUAGAGUGGAUUGAGAGUGCGUGAGCCUAGGGAAUUCAUGCAUAUUGGGUACGGGAGACCUAAAUCGUGACUUGAUUUUCCCUUUGAUUAGAAGGCGAAACUAGCGUGCUAAGGCUAUCGAGUAGCCACACUCGCUCGUUUCCCUUUUCAAGAGGGGACUCUCAAGCAAAAUGAACCCUAUAGCUAGUAUGGGAUGCAAAACCUAAGAAUGAGGGGAAAGGGGGUUCGAGGAGCAUGCCAAGUGAUAAAACUAAGAAAAAAUGCAUGAUAUGUGGUGCACAGGCAAAUAAUGCAUUAGUGAAAAACAAAGGAAAAAUUCUAUUGGGUCUAGCGUUGGACUAGCCCUUCCUAUGAAUUCCUAAUGAAAUAAUGAACCACAACUAGCAUUGGACUAGUGUGGUGACGUUCGUCCAUCACAUUCAUUCAUGCUAUAGAAAGCGAGUAGACAUGCCAAACACUUAUAAGCACAUAGCACAUAACAUUUAGCAUGCUCGACUAGAUGCAAAGCCCUAACAAAGCAAAUUAACACGUAGUAACUAAGCAUGCAAGACACAUAAGACAAUUAAAGCCCUAACUAUUACAUUUGCUAGCUAGGCACAUGACUUCGAUAGGUCUUCAUUGAAUGCUCCUCCAAACCCUAUCUAUUACAUUAGGGAGACCCCACUACAAUCUAAAAGGGGGAAAAGAAUAAAAUAAUUAAAUCCCUAACUAUUACAAGCCAAGAGGUGUACACAUACCCCAUAAUGAAUAACUUAAAUAAAAAGCAAAAGUAAGUAAAAAAAAUGAAAAGAAUUAAAGAAAGGCAAAGAAAGCAAAGUAGACAGGCAUAUUCACAUAACACGUAGGAGCACGUAGGAAAAAAUAAACUCAAGAAUAUAGAAGUUACCUCCCUCGCAACGGAAAUCGAGUAAAUGAGAUAUUAGCUUCAAAACAAUAAAAAGGUCAAGGUACCAAUUUAUUUGGCAAAUAAUCACAAAGGAUAAAAAAUAAGCAUGAAUUUGAAUCAAUUAAAUCAUGUCGACAAUUCACAUUUAAGAAGUCAAGAGAAGAAAGGACCUGAUUGCAAAGAUUGACAAAGUUUGGAGGUCAAAAUUAAAGAAAAAUAAAGUUCAGGGACCUAUUUGCAAUUAAAGCAAGGACCGAAUUAAAAGAAGUUGAAAAUGUCCAGGGCCACAAUACAAUUAGGGAGAAAUUCAGGGACUGAUUUGCAAAAUCGUUUUCUGGUUUCUUAAUGGACCAAGCCAUUGGGCCAUUUCCUUUAUUUGUUUGGGCCAAAGCCUUACAAGCCCAACCGAAAAUCCAAAACAAAAAGGGAAUGGGCCAUCUUCACCUUUCUUGGGCCAAGAUAACUUGACCCAAUCGAAAGUCCAAGGAAAACAAGUGGGCUAGUAUAAUAUUUUGACCCAAACAUUAGCCAACCAAAAAGAUGGGCCUUGACCCUCUAGCCCGAACCAAAAAACCAAACAAAAUAAACUAAAACGACUUUCUUAAACCCAAACAAAAAUAACCUCUUAGCCCAAGGCACUUGUUUCAUUAAACCCAACAUGAUAAAAUCAAAAUAAAUUAUUGAACCACAAUUAGAACCUACAAACAAGAAUUAAUCUAGUAAAAGGACUAUUCAUGCUUAUUAGAAGAUGAUUUAAAUCUAGAAGGGAGAAACAAACGCACUUUUUCCACUUUUCGGGUCAUAUCAGAACAAGGGGAAGCUGAGGGGUUAAAAUGCAACAAGAGCAGGGACCUAAUUGAAGGACUUAUGAAGGUGUUGGAGGAAAAAUUAUGAAGUCCUAAAAUUCUGGGGUUAAAUCAUAAUGGAAAGGGAAAUUGAGGGACUGGAAUCAUGAAUUUAAUCAAGCAAUCCUCUUCUUCCCAAAUUGGCUCAACGUUCGCUGCUAUUUCAUUCCUCUUUGCAACCAGAAAAUUCAACUUCGGACUCCAAUCAACAAAACAAAACAAAAGCAAAACAAAUGACUCUCACAUGAAUCCCCUCGCACGCCAUUUUAUGUCAUGAAUUUAAAUCCAUACAAGAGGAACACCAAACAAACGAGAAGCGGAGCAGAUUGCCAAAACAAACGGACGCCCAAACAAACCCAUUCGAAUCAAUUAUUUUGACAAGCAUGAAACAGUCGAACGUAUAUAAAUCAGAAAUUAAUCCAUUCUUCAGGCCGAACUUUCAUUGAAGCAUUCUGUCGAACAACAAACAGCCAUUAAAAAACUUCACCAAUUUCUCGCCCAAUUGACAUGAAUCAGCACCCAAAAUUUCAUCAAAUGCAAGAAAACUCCAGUCCAAUCGACAUUCAAAGCAUACAUACUUCCAAUUAGUGAAUAAUUCAACAGAGAAAUGGCUACAAGCCACAACGUGAAAAAUAAAACACGCUUCGAAAACUUACAUGAAAACUGAAAUUUGAAGGAUGAUGGUGGCUUACCGUUUGUUUCUUGGUAAAAAUUUUGCGGGUGCUGAUGUCGGAUUUGGUUGCUUGGGCGGGCGGUUGGCCACUUGUUUGUGCCGGCAGAGGGCGGAGCUUGAACUAUGAUGGAAGAAGCGAUGAAGCUGGCGUCGCGCGUGACGGAAGAGGGCGGCAACAGCUUCCCGCGAACGGCAGUUCCAGCUGCUCUGCUUCCUCAGUCGCAAGCUCUUUGUCCGCUGCUAUCCUCUCUUUCUCUGUUUCUAAUUUUCCCAGCUUUUCCCUUCAUCCGCCGCCCUUGAUUUUUCUCCUCCUUUUCUGAUUUUUCCUCCUCGGCUCUCCACUCUCUCGGCCCUCAACCGCAGCCGUUCUCCCUUUUCUAUUUUUUCCACUCUAGCUUCUCCCAGCCGAAGCCUUCUUCUCUUUUCAGAUUUUUAGCCUUCCCCCCAGCCGUUCUUUUUCUCCUUUUUUCCGCUAUCUCUCCGCUGUUUUUCUUAGCCCACAGACUCUCCCCAGAUUUUUCCCUACUCUCCCCUCCUUUUUCGAUUUCGUUUUUCCUCUCCCCUUUCCUCCGAAGCCCCCUCCCUGUUUUUUCUCUCUUUUUGGCCGUCAGCCUCCCCUUGGCCUCCACCAAGUGUGUUUGACACCUACCCCUAUACACUUGUCCUAUAAUUCUUUAGACACUUGUCUAAUGAUUGUUGUGUACACUUGUUCAACAUGCCCACUUCCACCUAUUUUGCCAUUUUCAUUUUUCUUCAAAAAUCAAUGAAUGAUAAAUUAACAAUUUUCAAACCAAAUUUAAGAGAAUUAAGGCCACUUUUAUCAUCUUACAAAAAUAAAAAUGAUGAAUCUAACCCAAUUAAAUUAAAAAAAAAAAAAAUAAUAAUAAUAAUAAAUAAUAAAUGAUAAAGAUGAAAUUUAAAAAUAAUCAAAAUUUGGUGUCUACAAACACUCGAAACCCUAUUGUGUGUAUCUCCGGUACCUUGCAUCUCAAUGGCAGCCAACCUGUCGGAUAAUUAUGUCAUCACAAAUUCAUGUCUCGCCGCUUGUUUUCGAAGAGCUUGGAGCACCAGUUUGAGUGACACGUCGGCCUCAGACUGGUCGGAUAUGUUCACUUCUUGAGACAUAUUGUCAAACCUGCAAAGCACUCGUGUAUCACUCAAAAAACACACUCACUCUCAACUUUUCUUCUCAAAGUUCUUAAAACAACUCAAACUCUCAAAAAUUCUAGAAUUAAUUACCCUAUAAGCAAGUAACAAGACACAAAGCAGAAUUUUUGCAAAUCUUAGAAAACUCUACUCGAAGCUAGAAUUUUUUUUUGAGCUACUAUUUUUGCUGAGUUUCUGGUCAGUAUUUUGGAGGGUAAGUGGUGUUUUUGGGGUGCUCAAAUAUUGCAAGAACCAGUCCUCAAAUUUCAAUCAAAUCAGUUCGCAAAAACUAGGUCAACCGAUUUUAGAAACUCAAGAAUUCAAAGGCGGUUUGGCUAAGGUGUUUGUGGUAGUUUAGGUUUGGUUUUGGAAACUGAUUUGGGUGUGUUUUGGGGCUGGUUAGGUCGUUUGGGGUUGUUGGAAUUCACUCAAGAUUUGGAAACCAAUCAAGAAUUGGAAACUCAAGGUUUUGGGAAAUCAAUCAAGAUUUGGAAACCAAUCAAGAUUUGGAAACUCAAGGUUUUGGGAAACCAAUCAAGAUUUGGAAACCAAGCAAGAUUUAGAAACUUAAGGUUUUGGAAAACCAAUCUAGAAUUGGAAACUCAAGAUUUGGAAACCUGAUUUGUGACGCCCCCACUUCUCCGAAGGGCGAACCCGAGGGUAUUGGCGGGACGCCUACCUUGCUAGCGCCAGGACUCAAAACACAAAGCUAAUAAAACUAUACAAAUCAAAAGAGUUCUAUUCAUAAUAUAUUCACUCCCAAAAGGGUAUUUACAUCCUCAAAAGGAGUUAUCGAGACUAUUUCAGAACCAAGAGCAGAAGUAGACCCGAAGACGGGUUCUUUAUACAGAUCACCAGAGUAAAAGAAAUAUCUUAGUUGUCCAACCAUUACAACCCAAACCUAACUACAUUAGUGAUAGCACAAAAGGGUUCCCCCGCGUCGUCCCCUGUUAAGGAAAACAAAGGAAAAGGGGUAAGUUAAAUGCUUCGUAAGUAAACGGGGGUAAAAGCGUAAAUAUCACAUUAAGAUAAACAACUAUUUCACAAAAAUGUCAAGUCAAGUGCAAAAGUAACAAUACAAAUGAAGGAUACAGGUUGGCUCCAAAGCCAAAUCAUUUGCCAUGUAUGACCUCCUGCCGACACUCCGUCGACCACAAAUAAUGGUCCGUAGAACUCCACUUGUACUCCCACCUAACACCUUAUCACCCUCACUGGCCAGUCGCCUCACAAAAUUGCUUGAGCGAACGAAAUUGAGCUUGGUUCACAAGCUCGGUUCACAAACUUGGUUCACAUUCUCGGAAGAUCAACCCCAACUUACAAACGUCACCCCGAGCUACAAGCUCAAGGGGUUCAAACCCAAAAUAAUUCAUAUAGAUAUGUCAUGUAUAAAUAUGCAUGUAAAUUAGGGUUUAGGUCGAGUGCGAUGAAGUACACUCUCGCCUAGGUACCCUAUCAUUCACCUCAAAACACAUAAGUAAGUUAUAUACAAAAAUGGCCCGAAUACUUACUCAAAGAACAAAGAUAGCAAAAGUACGAAAAUCUCGUCGCGAAAGAUAGCUAGUAGGCCCCACCAGCUCCGUCUAGCUCACCACCGUCUGAAAUAAAAGAUUGCAUCACAUAAUAUCACAAACGGCUACUAGCAUGCCUAAAACAAGCAAAACGGCAAAAUUGGCACAUGCAUGUGUGGAAUCGGCAAACGGAAAUGGAAACGGCCGGCAUAACCGUUUUGGUGUCAAAAACUGUUUUGAACACAAUCGAAGCUACGAGUGUCGGAUCAAAGUACAUGUGGUACCGUUAUGAAUCCAAGAGGAAGGGAUACAAUUUUCAUGAAGACACCUAAAUCUAGAUCUGAAUGGAAGUAGGUCGAAUUUAUGGAAAACAGUACCAAAAGGUUGCACAUUAGGGUGACGGACAGGGUCUGUUUGCCGAUCAAUAACUUACAGCUCGUAAAUCCAAAUCAAGGAAUUCCAAAGGCGUUAGAAAGCUAUGCCAUAAUGCUAAAAAUUUUAUGUUUUGGCCAAAACCUGAAUCAAUACAGAGCAGGGUGAAAAAUGGGUCCAAAGUUCCUGUCAGAACUGUCCAAAUUCAAAGGCAGUUCUGACAACCGAUCUUGUUUUGGUUAUAACUGGAGCUACGGAACUCGGAUUUGGAUGUACUUUAUACCGUUUCGAAGCUAAAACCAAGAUAUACAUUUAUUAUGAAGGGGUUAACACCCAGUUCACACGUUAUCCAGGCAAACCGAGCAUGGUCAGAGGCUAAAUCCAAAAGCGUAACACAAUCCAGUGUUCAAAAUAGGUGCAAGUGUUUUGGCUAUAACUCGGGCUACACUGAUUCGUUUAAUCUGAAAUUUUGUAGGCACAUUAAGGACUUAAGAAGCUACAACUUUCAUAUUUUGAGAAACCUCUGAAUCCACACGUAGCAUAAAGAAAAAUAGAACCCAAGUUCAGAUUUGUGGACUGCCCUGUUUCCAGUUUUGCCGGUUUCGAACGUCACAAUUGUACAGUCCGUUUCUAUGGUUCGCAUACAAGCUUUUUAGCCAAACUCAUACCAAAUAAACACACAUAUACCAGCUUCUAAUAGCUUCACAAAAGGUCCGAAUUUGCUCUUCCAAAUUAACCUCAAAACCUAACAAACACUAACCAUAUUCUAUGCUUUUAAUCCUACAAGUUCAACUAACCCUUCAACCUAUCCAAUCAAACCCUAAUCAUCUAAGCCUUAACUCAACCAAACUAACUUCCCUUUGAAUUAGGGUUUCAUGACUAAUCUGGAAUUUGCUACUCACCAACCAUACAAGUGAAAUUAAUAUAUCAAAGAUGCCAUUAACAAGCUAAAAUCCAACCAAACCAACUCUAUGAAUCAUGAAUCAAGAAACCCUACCUUUUCCUCCUAGCCUUUACCAAAAUCAGCAAUAUAACCAUCAAAAUAAACCAUAAAACUACUCCAUAAUCAUCAUACAACCUAUAAAAAUGCAUAAUCACAACAAAAGCAUCACUUCCAUAGCUUCAAGAUUAAAACCCCAAAAUUUAACUUCAAAGUAAGAGGAUAUACCUUCAAAUCAACUUUGUUGAUGUGCAAACUACAAUAAUCAAGUGCUCAAGUUGUCUUCUUAAGCUCCACAAGCAAGAUGGAUGGCUAAAAAUUGAAGAACUUUGAAGAAAAUCUCUCCCCUCUCUUGCUCUCUCUCUCUUUCUCUUUAGUUUUUGUUUUGUUGAUUUCUUAUGAAUAUCUUACAAAUCCUAUGGUAUAAUAUAGUCAAAGCUUAUGGAAGAUAUUUUCUACUCCCACCAAUCACAUAAAAGUUUCCAAUUACACCUUUAACUUUGCAUUUGAUCCACUCUUGCCCUUAAACAUUUGGAACUCUUUCAAUUUACUCCAUAAGUUAUAAACUUAAUCUAGUCCAAAACAUGUAAUCACACUUAAUUGCUUCACUAAUCACUUUCCUUUCUUAAUCACCUAUACUUAAUCAUACCUUAACUCACAUAAAAGCAACUAAAUAACAAUAUUUUUGUCAAAGGCAAAAUUAGGGUUUUCCUAACUUCUAAACUCACUUGACCUAUAUAAAAUGGAUCAAAUCCUAUACUUAUCCGCACGAAAACACACACUAGCAUAACUAACUUUAACCACCACUCGAACUUAGGAUUAGUACAAAACUAGGGUUUCAAUCCUAACCCCAACUCAGGGUUUUCUAAUUAACCCUAAAACCCCAAAUUUUACCGCACAAAUAAUGAAUAUCACCUAAUAUCAAACUUAAUACUGACCGGGGUCUCACACGAUUUCCUUUUUGUGAGAGCCGAUUCCUUCUCUUCUUCCUUUUUUUUUUCAUUUUUUUCUCUUGUUUUUCAUUUUUUUUUUCUUUGGCUCUUCAAGGAACACAAAUUCAGGUCACACCAACAAUUUCAAGAAACGGAUGAAAGGUUAUGCAAAUUCCAAGAAAACCCUAGUUCUUGAUUUAUUGUUCAAGAACUUUCAAAACAAGACUUGGUGGUCCAAGAACUUCAAGAAUUUUUUUCAAGAAGCUCAAGAACUUCCCCAAAUUAUGUUGUGGUGUUCAAGGUUUGCAAGAACAACAACCAAUAGGCAAAACAGAAUUUCAGCAAUAUUCAAAAAAAAUUCCAGCAACUUGGUCACUAAAACAAUAUAAGGUACGUGACCUUUUUUUUUUGUUAAUAAACCCUAAGUUCGACAGCAAAAAAACAGAGACAAAUCAGAUUUUUUUUUGACUCGGAUGAACAGUAACGUGAACAGUAUGCUACAGUACGAUGAACAGUGAUUCGCUACAGUUUUUUUUUUGGACAAAAGACACAAACUAACAUGAUAUGAGCAACUUCAAUUGAAAGAGAAUCAACCUGAUGCUCCUGAUGCCAACUGAUGAGCAAUCCUAGGGGAAGACCCUCCUAGAACCUCCCAACUUUGUAAUAUCAGAGUUGGACCUUUUCUCCCAAUGGAAAUUGAACUCGAUUGUUCUCAUGAACUCAAGACCUCUGACAAACGAAGGUAAUCAGCAACCUUAAGCAAAUAAAGAUGGAUGAAGAGACACCACGAUUAGGGAACAAACUAAUCGAUAAAGUAUGAUUUGAAUCCUAAGCUAUGAACUCAAGAAUUCAAGAGUAAGUUCGAUUAAGAACUUGAAGGAAAAUUCCUCACGAUUUCUGGUUUUAAUAUUCCGUCCCUUAUUUUGAAAGACAAGAAGCCUUAUAUAGGCGUGUAAAAGACUUAAACUAAGCUGCCAACAAAAACCUAACCCGACUUGGAAUUUCCUUUGCUAAACUCGGCCCAAGCCCAAGUGCAACUAGGAAAACCCUAAUCAACUUAAUACGAAAAAAUAACGUUGGUGCUUGACUAAAGCAAGCUUAUGACCAAGCUAAGCUACUUUAAGGAUUAAAACUUGAGGACAACAUGUCCUUUGUACGAUUACUAAGCUAGACAGCUUUAAAACAACUACUAACUAAGCUAACAAGUAUGAGAUCAUUCUUUCACUUCAAACGUACAAGUGAACAAGGUAACUUCAUGGUCCACCAAAUCUUCAAACUUAGCUUGCUUCUUGCUUGUAUGGUGAAUGAUCAAGGCUUGUAAAGCUUCCUUCACCCUCUUGAAUCUUGAUCUUGUCAUCAGACCACCAAUGUUGACCAAAGGAUCCUUGACCCAAGGUUGAAGUUGUUGCGCACCCGUAUCCGCAUCAUUCCCUCUCUCCUCGAAAGGAUUCGUCCUCGAAUCUUCAAAGUCUGUAUCAAAGUCAAAAGGAGAUAGGUCAGACACAUUAAAAGAUGCACUUAUGCCAUACUCACUUGGAAGUUCCAAUUUGUAGACAUUGUCAUUUAUCCUCUCCAGGAAACGAAAAGGUCCAUCUCCUCUUGGAUGUAAUUUGGUCCGUCGAGAUGCUGGAAACCUUUCUUUCCUCAUGUGCACCCAAACCUAAUCACCAGGUUCGAAUACAACAUGCUUCCUACCCUUAUUCGCAUGUUUUGCAUAUUACGCAUUUUUCUUCUCAAUUUGAGCUCGAACUCUCUCAUGCAAGGUCCGAACAGCCUCUGCCUUUUUGACACCAUGUGCGCUUAAACACUCAACAGGAAUAGGUGAUAAAUCUAGAGGAGUUAGCGGCUGAAACCCAUAAACAAUUUCAAAAGGAGAAUGAUUAGUAGUAGAAUGAGUGGUUCGGUUAUAUGCAAACUCGACAAUAGGCAAACAUCUUCCUACUUCUUCAAAUUCUUUUGAACAAUCGGUCGAAGUAAAGCACCAAGGGUUCGAUUGGUUACCUCAGUUUGACCAUCCGUUUGAGGAUGACUAGAAGUAGAAAAUAACAACUUAGUUCCCAACUUUCCCCAAAGUGAUUUCUAGAAAUAGCUUAAGAAUUUCAUGUCCCUAUCACUUACAAUAGUACGCGGUACCCAUGUAAUCUAACCAUGUCCUUGAAGAAUAAAUCAGCAACAUGGCGCGCAUCAUUUGUUUUCCUACAAGGGAUAAAGUGAGCCAUUUUAGAAAAUCUAUCCACUACAACAAAGAUACUAUCCAUACCUCUAGAAGAUCUUGGUAAACCAAGCACAAAAUCCGUGGAUAAGUCUGUCCAGGGAGCAUGAGGUACGGGUAGAGGAGUGUACAAUCCAUUAGGAUUACUUCUUGACUUUGCCUGCUUACACUUCAAACACUUAUCACAGAUGUUAGCAACAUCACGCCUCAUUUUAGGCCAAUAGAAGUGUUCAUGCAAAAUAUCAAGAGUUUUAUCGAUGCCAAAAUGUCCCAUCAACAUUCCGCCCAUGGGCUUCUCUAACAAGUAAUUCCCUAAGUGAACAGUUGGGAAUACAUAGGCAAUUUUCUUUGAACAAGAAACCUUUAUGCCUAUAAAACUUUUGAAAUGCAGCAUGUGCACAAGCUUGAAACACAUUAGAAAAAUCGUCAUCAUGUGCAUACAAGUCUUUAAUGUGCUCAAAACCAAGUAACUUAGUUGAUGUGUGCACGGACCUUAGCCCAAGUAAUAACCCAGUCCGAGUUCCAUUGGGCCCAGUCACACGUGCGCGAGCCAAGCUCUUCAAAGAAUCCCUCCAAGCCCUUGUUCGAAUUGUCCAAAACCAACAUGGAGUCCAUAGAGAUAUUGAAGGCUUGAAGGAUUUUAAUCAAGUUAUCUACACCAUGACCCAAGCCCAUGAAGAGUCAAGUGGGCCUCCAAAUGAGUUGGCCGAAUAGGGCCUUAGGCCUUAGUAGUUAUUUAGCAAUUGAUUAGUGUUUAAGUAAGAGCAUGGGCCGGCCCAUCUUGUCCCAAGACCAUGGGCCGACUUUUCCCUUUCCUAGUCCCUUUAGGGUUUCAGUCACUUUAGCCUAUAAAUAGGCUUGCUUUGUAAGGUUUUAGGGAAGACGUUUUAUCAAUAAAGUUUUGCAUAUUUUCGAUUCUUCUUGAGAGAGAGAUUCGACCCCUUUACUUGCUUUGGCAAGGGUUUUGAGCAGUCUUGCGUCCUGUCCUAGAUUGUUCUACCGACCUAUUCCCCUGGAGUAUUCACCUUCAUCGGAGUGUCGUCUACCGUCUUGAAUCAAAUCGUGUCGUCCGUUUGGUUCUAGAUCCCGCAAUUCCAAGCGUUGGACGUCCUCGCUAGAUCCUUGGGCAAACGUGCUACGUGUCUCGAAACGUGUUGAUCGAGGAACGUAUCAGUUGGCUUCAGAGCUGUGGUUGAGGUAUCUUCCGUUAUAUCCGUAGUUUUGUCGUAGUUUUCCUUGUUUUCGCUGCCUUGUUUUACAAAAAAAAAAAAAAACGUCACUGUUCAUCGUUACUGUUCAUCCGACACUGUUCAUCCGAACACAAAAUCUGUUGUGUGUUAUCUCCUUUGUGUUGUGUCUAGUUUGUUGAUAAUUUCUGUCCACAACUUGUUUCUUGCGUUUGAGUCGUUUGUGCAUCAAAAAUUCUGGUUGUUGGUGUUUCAACGUUGCUCCCAAAUCUGUCUCGUUAAUUGGUUGUCGCUUGGGCAGCAAGAACAAUAACGUGACGGCUGCUAGGGUUUCCUUAUCUUGCUAGGGUUUCCUUCUCUUGCUAGGGUUAUCCUUGCGGCUAGGGUUUUCUACUUGCGGCUCGGAUGUCUACUUGCGGCUAGGGUUUCUUUGUUUCACUUGGACACUCUCCUAUAUUCUCUCCUAUAUUUUGGGGCACUCUCCUACAUUCUCUCCUACAUUUUAGGAAUACUCUCCUACAUACUCUCCUAUAUUUUAGGAAUACUUUCAUACAUUCUCUCCUAAAUUUUAGGAACACUCUCCUACAUUUUCUCCUACAUUCUCUCCUACAUUUUAGGAAUACUCUUCUACAUUCUAGGAACCCACUCCUACAUUUUAGGAAGCUAGGGUUUCUUUCUUUUGUGUCCCCAUUGGCGCACUUCCAUUUCUGUCCGCCAUUAUUGGCCUUUCAAAGUCGUCCAUUUCCGCUUCAUUUUGCACCCAUAUUUGUGUCUUACCUUCUUGGUUACUCUUGUGGAAAAAGUUGGCGACAAUUAUUGGACUUGAGCGGCCUUUCUCAACUACCUAACCCAACAGGUAAAGGUAUUUGGUAAGUCCAUUAGAGUGACAUCCAUAUACACGAGUGCGAGUGGAUACACGUAAGGGAGCGUGAAAGGCAAUAUCUUCGGUUUCGUUGCUAACUUUUUGCAGGUUCCCUCAUACGUCAUGGCGAAUACAAGACGCAUAAAAGCUAGCCCACAACAUUGUCUUCCUGAUCCUAAGGGAGUCAAAGAAGUGGCAUUACGUGGUGUAGAUGAGCAAUUGGACCUCGUCAAAUCUCAGUUGCUUGGUUGGUUUUAUACUCGUUGCGGUGUCAAAGAUAAAAUUUGUAGCUUGGCCAUUGAUGGGAGUUGUGAAGUCAACCUUGCAAGCGCUAUCAUGGUUGAGAAAUUAAAUCUUCCAACCAUUGAUCAUCUUCAACCGUACAAGUUGACGAGCACUCAUGGUGAUGUUUGGGUUACUAAGCACACACUUGUACCUAUUCACAUCGGCAAAUAUGUGGAUGAGCUGUUGGGUGAUGUAGUCCCAAUUCAAGUGACACAUGUGUUGUUGGGCAAAGCAUGGAUGUCGAGGCGAGAAAUUAAAUAUGACGGACAUACUAAUAAGUAUUCCUUCUUAUUUAAUAGUCGUCGUCUUGCACUUGUAUCACUUACUUAUGACCAACUUUGUAUUGAUCUAGCAUGCAUGAAAAGUGAGCUUGAGCGUGUAACCCUGUUCCUUAAAUUUCGGAUGGCUUUGGAAUUUCUGGAUUUGGACUUGGGUAGGCUGACUUAUGAUGUUUGAACCAGAAUGCGUUCUGUGAAUCUGUUUUUCCGGUUCUGGUGUAGUAUCUUGCAUUUUUGACCUGGUUACACUCGAAAUUGGGCUGAGUGACCUUCUAUAAUAUUGUAGCCCUAUCUCUUAGCUUCGAAAAGGUUUAUCUUGCACCUCCAUCCGAUAAUCAUAGUGCCAUUGGUACCAAAACCGUAAAAUGAUGUCAAAAACUAUUUUUUUUGGGUUAACACUUAACUCCAUUUCCGGAUUUUUCUGGUUUCCUCUAAUGCUUAUGUAUGCUUAUGGAACCCUAUUUCGGUAGUAUUUGGCAUUGGUUUAUGACUUGUAAUCGAGUCUUAUUGUACUUAUUGGAAUAUUUUAGGGCUUGACUUUCCUUUCCGGUCAUUUUCCUAGCCAAAUGACUUGAAUGGCUUUAAGCCUAGUGAACGGCUUUUGGAAAUGAGAUUAUUUUUGUACGAGAUGUUGGGACUGAUUUGAGGAAAUAAUGAAGCCAUGACGGCUGGAAAAGUAAGCAAAUUUAGGGGAAAUGCUGUCCAAUUUUCUAGGCCAUUUGGUUCCUUUAAGUUUGAAUUGCCUUUUGCUAGAAAUGAAGGGCUUUUGGGUUGUUUGAGCCUAGGUCUUCAUGUUACCUUUUCGUUUCCAAAAAUCAUGUUUUGCAUCCUUGCAUUAGUAAUUAUUUAGCGAGGCAUACGACUGGUAGUCGAGCCUCACAUGUGCAUUCUGUAUACUCGAUUUUUGAAAGUGGAACCUUCAAUUGUUUUACUUUGAUUAUUUUAGGGUUUCUUGGUGAUUAAAGCUCUCUUUUGGGCAAAAAAUUUUGAGGUAUCUGUACUGACACCGAUGAGUAUACCACUCCCCUUAUUUGUUACUUAACUUGGUUUAUGUACUUGCAAUUUGUGAUCUGAAUGACUGUACUAUCUGUUUAUUCUGUUUGAGACGAGGGUGUACUUUAUCACACUCGUUCUCUUGUCUGUUCAUAUGCCAAAUUUUGGUGCGAAUCUGAAUCUGCUAUCUGUCAUCUGUAUUUGUAUCUGUAUCUGUUCUGACGUCGUUUGGAAGUUUGUAUCCAACGACUUUUCUGGGACCUCUGAGCUCAACCCCUGUGGCUAGUUACUCGAGUCGGGCCGGCAAGGGCCUGGUCGAUUAGAUAACGAACCACGGCAGUCUGUUUUGGGAUCUUUGGGUAUUGAGACCCUUGAUUCCGGUAUACUCGAGUAUUACCACUUCUGAUCUGAUUGGAUUUCGGGCCCGGUGGGGGUAUGUGAGGUGGAAGGAAUCGAAGAAAGUGGAGUCUACGGUAUUGGUUACUUCUGUAACGUUGACGGAGUGUCAACUGUUAUUUCGAUCAAGUUUCGGUGAAGCAAAUGGGAAUUUGGUUCCUGAGAGCCACCCGUAUCCUUCCUAUUUGAAUCAUUGGUUCCUUUAUUUUACAUCUGGCAUGUGUACCUGAUUUGUUAAAUGUGAAAUGCCAUGAUUUUACUGCUAUAUGUUUAGUACCUCAUUGAGCGUAAGCUCACCCCUUCCCGUUAUCUUUGUUUUCCUUACAGGGAACCACUUUUGGGACUAAGAUGUUUUGACGCACGAGUCGAGCUAGUUUUAUUAUAUUUUUGUAAAGCUCCUCGAUAGUGGGAAAACCCUAAAUGUAUUUUGAUCUAAUUAUCUUCUUUUGUUCCGUAAAUUACAAACGUAUGUGUAUAAAACUGUUUACCCUACUCAAGUAUCCUAUUUGGAUUGGAAAUGUUUUCCCGAGUCACAUGGCCAUAUCCGUAUUCGUUGGGCUCCUGGCUGGGUGGUGAUGUGGCAACCACUAUUCAUUGUGGUGUUGAUUUUCGCUUUGCCAUUUGGCGACUCUGAAUCGUUUGAACGCGCUAUUACCUUCCUGAACGUUUUGAUUUCUUUUAACGGCUUGACUGAGUCCCGGCGAGAGCUGGACAGGCGGUCCGCCGAACCCUUUGGUUCUCCUUAGGGUGAGGUGGGGCUGUCACAGGUGGUAUCAGAGCUGCUUUGCGUGGUCUCUGCGCGGAGGGAGCUUGGGCCAGUGGUAUUACGAUCUUGAUUUCGUGAAUGUGUCUAAGUGCUCGUUUGAGCAUAAGUUAUGAACUAUGCACGGUAUAAGUGUAAAACUCUUUAUCAUGAAAUUUGAGAAAGAUAGAUCUGUCUGUCGGGUAGGAAACUUUAAUAUGGAUGAUUUACGCUUGGGACCGGCCGGCUCGAGUUGUGAAUUAUCUUAUUUGGGAUUCUCGUGCCCGGCUACUAAAUCAAUGAGAGCCUAGGUUAGAAAGGACUUAGGCGAACUAGAAAGGCGAUUCUAUGGAACUUCGUAUGGUCUGUUCGGGAGUGGUUAAGCGUGAUCAACUUUGAUUAAGAUAUAGAUGGUGUUGUUGUCGUAGAUUAUGGACGGAGCCCUAGAGGGGGAAAAGCUCUUCAUGAGUUAUUUUUGUACUCGUGACCUAGUCUGUCUAUAGCACUUUCGGAUGAUCCCGCUACUUUCAUGGAUCUCUCAUAUUUACUUGACUGCUACUGUGUGACUGGUUCGGUCCAGUUGUGUGUAUAUAUGCUUUUGAUCUGUGUGUACUUCUUGUUAUUUGCUUAUGCUUAUAAUUAUCUUUAAUACUAUCGUUGCAUCUCGACCCUAGAUUGACUUAGAUUAAUGGAGGGCACACGUAGUGGUCAGGGACGUGGGCGCGGGCGUAGGCAACCCACGCCGGACAGAGGUGCUUGGGAAACCUCAUCUGGACCUAAUCCUGAACCGCGGGUUGACCCCAAUGUGCAAAUAGCUGCCGCUAUGCAGCAAAUGACCAACUUGCCGGCACAAGUGGUGCAGCAACAGGGCCAAAAUCCGAACCCUAAUCCUGGAAACCCUGGCAACCAUACCGAGAGCGAGGACAGAGCUCUCGAAAGAUUUCAAAAGUUUGCUCCACCCAAGUUUCUUGGGGGGCCCGACCCGGAUGUCGCCGAAAGGUGGCUCGAGAAGAUGGUGGAUAUCUUUGCGGCCCUGCAUUACACCGAAGAAAGGCAGGUGACUUUUGCCGUCUUCUAAGUAGAAGGGGCGGCCCGUUCCUGGUGGAAUGUUAUUCAGCAAAAAUAGGAACGGGAACAAACGCCCAGGACCUGGGUGAAUUUUAUGCGGGAAUUCAAUGCCAAAUUCUUCCCUCCUCUAGUUUAGGAGCGGAAGGAAGAUGAAUUUAUUCGGCUUCGUCAGGGGGCCCAAUCUGUAGCGGAGUACGAGAGCCAAUUCACCCGCCUAUCCAAAUUUGCGCCCGAACUCAUCAUGACCGAGCAACGAAAAAUACGGUGAUUUGUCCAGGGCCUAAACGUAGAAAUCCCGAAGGACCUCGCGGUAGCCCAAAUUAACGCUUUCAGAGAUGCAGUGGAGAAGGCGCAACGAGUAGAGAAUGCGAGGCUGCAGGUGAAAAACUUCCAAGCCAAGAAAAGGGGCUUUCCUGGGAGUAGCUCUGAGCAAGAAGGUGCAAGUACGCCCCCUAAGAUUGGAAAGGGAACCGGGGAAGUACGACAACCAGGGGUAUCACGUGAUGUCUCUCAUGGGGGACCGGUCUCUGCUACUCGUGGUCCCUGUGGAGAUUGCGGAGGGCCAAAUCAUACGGAAGCAAAUUGCUGGAAGAAAGAAGGGAAAUGCUUGCGCUGUGGAAGCGCCAAACAUCGGAUUGCUAAUUGUCCAGCUCGCCUGCGCGAGCGGAGAGAGACUCUGCCACCAACCAAGACCAAUUCUCAGCAACCAGCCAAGAUCAACCCUGGACAGACGAAAGGAGAAGGGACUGGGUCGAAGGCACCAGCUCGGGUAUAUUCUCUAGAGCAGCAUCAGGUCCCUGACUCGUCUGAGGACGUAGAAGGUACGGUCCGUUGGGUACCUUAGGUUUUGAUAGAUUCCGUUGAUAAGAAAAAUUUCGAGGGCGAAAUUUCUUUAAGGGGGAGAGAGUGUGAGAACCCGUAAUUUUUCCAUUUUCCAGGUUUUAUUAUCUUUCAUGGCAUGUUUUCUGCAUUUUCGAGAUUAGGAAAAUUUCUAGAUAUUUUUAAGGAGCAGAUAUAGUUUUAGAUGAUUUUUCUAGUAUUGAAUAGUUUUUAAGAAAUUAAGAGCGUAUACCGGACGUGGGACCCACUAGGGCGAAAAGUUCGGAAAAAUUCGGCCAACUAGGUUAAGUCUUAGAUACUGGAAUUAAUUUACCGUGUGUUAAGAGAUAAGUAGAGGGUGCUAUUUGCAUUGGUGUGAGAGGAAACAAAAAGAUAGGAAUGCAUUAAAUAAAGUGACAAGUGUCACUCAAUGAUUGGUUGGACUUGAAGACCACUAUUCACCUUUUUCCAUUUGACCAAAUAAAUCACAAAAAAUUACCAAAAUUGCACCAUUUUCUUCUCCUCUUGGCCGGAUACUUCAAGGACAAAAAGAAAGGGAAAAGCUCUCCAAAAUUUUGCUCUUUCCUUGCUCAAUCUUCAACUUCAACCGGUUAAAUUUGUAAUUGCUCCAUAAAACUCCUCCACUUAGUGAUUUUGAGGUGAUUGGUGAAGUUUUUUGGAAAGCUAAGGUGUUGAAUUGCUUCCUAUCUUGUGUUAUAAGGUGAGUGACUAAGGAACUGCUCUUUUCCUUCCAAUCAUGUUGAAUUAGUAACUUAUGUGAGUUGAGGUGAUGAUUAUUGGUGCUAUUUCAUGAUUUGGGUUGAGAUUGAUGACAUUUUUCUAUUUAAUCAUGUGAUUUCUGUUUUAAUAUGAUUUUUAUGGUGUAGCCAUGUAUGAUGAUUGGAAAUGGUAUUUAAAGAAGCUAGAAGGUGGAAAAAGUGGUUAAUUGCAAGCAAUUUCUGUUUUGGAAAGAAAAUUGGAAAACUAGGUUUCAUUGUUCCUACAUUCUGUCCGGUUUUGUAGCUCAUAGUUAGGGGCCGAAUUGGCCUUGGAUUAAAACAUGAAAGUUUUAGGGAAUGAUAUUUUAGAGAUGUCUACAAAAUUUCAGGUCAAUCGGAGUAGCGUAGCUUGAGAAAAGAUGGAAUUACCCUUGCUGCUCUGGUUUUACCCGAAAUUGAGAAUUGCUUCUGUAAUAGGUUAUUUUGGUUGGGAAUGCUUCCGAAUUGGUUGUUGAGGUCUUCUGAUGAAAUGUAACCCUGUUCCUUAGAUUUCGGAUGGCUUUGGGAUUUCUAGAUUUGGACUUGGGUAGGCUGACUUAUGAUGUUUGAACCAGAAUGCGUUCUGUAAAUCUGUUUUUCCGGUUCUGGUGUAGUAUCUUGCAUUUUUGACCUGGUUACACUCAAAACUGGGUUGAGUGACCUUCUACAAUAUUGUAGCCCUAUCUCUUAGCUUCGAAACGGUGUAUCUUGCGCCUCCAUCCGAUAAUCGUUGUGCCAUUGGUACCAAAACCGUAAAAUGAUGUCAAAAACUAUUUUUUUUGGGUUAACACUUAACUCCAUUUCCAGAUUUUUCUGGUUUCCUCUAAUGCUUACGUAUGCUUAUGGAACCCUAUUUCGGUAGUAUUUGGCAUUGAUUUAUGACUUGUAAUCGAGUCUUAUUGUACUUAUUGGAAUAUUUUAGGGCUUGACUUUCCUUUCCAGUCAUUUUCCUAGCUAAAUGACUUGAAUGACUUUAAGCCAAGUGAACGGCUUUUGGAAAUGAGAUUAUUUUUGUACGAGAUGUUGGGACUGAUUUGAGGAAAUAAUGAAGCCAUGACGGCUGGAAAAGUAAGCAAAUUUAGGGGAAAUGCUGUCCAAUUUUCUAGGCCGUUUGGUUCCUUUAAGUUUGAAUUGCCUUUUGCUAGAAAUGAAGGGCUUUUGGGUUGUUUGAGCCUAGGUCUUCAUGUUACCUUUUCGUUUCCAAAAAUCAUGUUUUGGACCCUUGCAUUAGUAAUUAUUUGGCGAGGCAUACGACUGGUAGUCGAGCCUCACAUGUGCAUUCUGUAUACUCGAUUUUUGAAAGUGGAAUCUUCAAUUGUUUUACUUUGAUUAUUUUAGGGUUUUUUGGUGAUUAAAGCUCUCUUUUGGGCAAAAACUUUUGAGGUAUCUGUACUGACACCGGUGAGUGUACCACUCCCCUUAUUUGUUACUUAACUUGGUUUCUGUACUUGCAAUCUGUGAUCUGAAUGACUGUACUAUCUGUUUAUUCUGUUUGAGACGAGGGUGUACUUUAUCACACUCGUUCUCUUGUCUGUUCAUAUGCCAAAUUUUGGUGCGAAUCUGAAUCUGCUAUCUGUCAUCUGUAUCUGUAUCUGUUCUGACAUCGUUUGGAAGUUGUAUCCAACGACUUUUCUGGGACCUCUGAGCUCAACCCCUGUGGCUAGUUACUCGAGUCGGGCCGGCAAGGGCCUGGUCGAUUAGAUAACGAACCCAAAGGCGAUUUUACAUCCUUUGGGGUUGUUGGAAUUCAAAGGCGGUUUUGGGGCUGGUUAGGUCGUUUGGGGUUGUUGGAAUUCACUCAAGAUUUGGAAACCAAUCAAGAAUUGGAAACUCAAGGUUUUGGGAAACCAAUCAAGAUUUGGAAACUCAAGGUUUUGGGAAAUCAAUCAAGAUUUGGAAACCAAGCAAGAUUUAGAAACUCAAGGUUUUGGAAAACCAAUCUAGAAUUGGAAACUCAAGAUUUGGAAACCUGAUUUGUGACGCCCCCACUUCUCCCAAGGGCGAACCCGAGGGUAUUGGCGGGACGCCUGUCUUGCUCGCGCCAGGACUCAAAACACAAAGCUAAUAAAACUAUACAAAUCAAAAGAGUUCUAUUCAUAAUAUAUUCACUCCCAAAAGGGUAUUUACAUCCUCAAAAGGAGUUAUCGAGACUAUUUCAGAACCAAGAGCAGAAGUAGACCCAAAGACGGGUUCUUUAUACAGAUCACCAAAGUAAAAAAAUAUCUUAGUUGUCCAACCAUUACAACCCAAACCUAACUACAUUAGUGAUAGCACAAAAGGGUUCCCCCGCGUCGUCCCCUGUUAAGGAAAACAAAGGAAAAUGGGUAAGCUAAAUGCUUCGUAAGUAAACGGGGGUAAAACCGUAAAUAUCACAUUAAGAUAAACAACUAUUUCACAAAAAUGUCAAGUCAAGUGCAAAAGUAACAAUACAAAUGAAGGAUACAGGUUGGCUCCAAAGCCAAAUCAUUUGCCAUGUAUGACCUCCUGCCGACACUCCGUCGACCACAAAUAAUGGUCCGUAGAACUCCACUUGUACUCCCACCUAACACCUUAUCACCCUCACUGGCCAGUCGCCUCACAAAAUUGCUUGAGCGAACGAAAUUGAGCUUGGUUCACAAGCUCGGUUCACAAACUUGGUUCACAUUCUCGGAAGAUCAACCCCAACUUACAAACGUCACCCCGAGCUACAAGCUCAAGGAGUUCAAACCCAAAAUAAUUCAUAUAGACAUGUCAUGUAUAAAUAUGCAUGUAAAUUAGGGUUUAGGUCGAGUGCGAUGAAGUACACUCUCGCCUUGGUACCCUAUCAUUCACCUCAAAACACAUAAGUAAGUUAUAUACAAAAACGGCCCGAAUACUUACUCAAAGAACAAAGAUAGCAAAAGUACGAAAAUCUCGUCGCGAAAGAUAGCUAGUAGGCCCCACCAGCUCCGUCUAGCUCACCACCGUCUGAAAUAAAAGAUUGCAUCACAUAAUAUCACAAACGGCUACUAGCAUGCCUAAAACAAGCAAAACGGCAAAAUUGGCACAUGCAUGUGUGGAAUCGGCAAACGGAAAUGGAAACGGCCGGCAUAACCAUUUUGGUGUCAAAAACUAUUUUGAACACAAUCGAAGCUACGAGUGUCGGAUCAAAGUACAUGUGGUACCGUUACGAAUCGAAGAGGAAGGGAUACAAUUUUCAUGAAGACACCUAAAUCUAGAUCUGAAUGGAAGUAGGUCGAAUUUAUGGAAAACAGUACCAAAAGGUUGCACUUUAGGGUGACGGACAGGGUCUGUUUGCCUAUCAAUAACUUACAGCUCGCAAAUCCAAAUCAAGAAAUUCCAAAGGCGUUAGAAAGCUAUGCCAUAAUGCUAAAACUUUUAUGUUUUGGCCAAAACCUGAAUCAAUACAGAGUAGGGUGAAAAAUGGGUCCAAAGUUCCUGUCAGAACUGUCCAAAUUCAAAGGCAGUUCUGACAACCGAUCUUGUUUUGGUUAUAACUGGAGCUACGGAACUCGAAUUUGGAUGCACUUUAUAGCGUUUCGAAGCUAAAACCAAGAUCUACAUUUCUUAUGAAGGGGUUAACACCCAGUUCGUACGUUAUCCAGGCAAACCGAGCAUGGUCAGAGGCUAAAUCCAAAAGCGUAACACAAUCCAGUGUUCAAAAUAGGUGCAAGUGUUUUGGCUAUAACUCGGGCUACACUGAUCCGUUUAACCUGAAAUUUUGUAGGCACAUUAAGGACUUAAGAAGCUACAACUUUCACAUUUUGAGAAACCUCUGAAUCCACACGUAGCAUAAAGAAAAAUAGAACCCAAGUUCAGAUUUGUGGACUGCCCUGUUUCCAGUUUUGCCGGUUUCGAACGUCACAAUCGUACAGUCCGUUUCUAUGGUUCGCAUACAAGCUUUUUAGCCAAAAUCAUACCAAAUAAACACACAUAUACCAGCUUCUAAUAGCUUCACAAAAGGUCUGAAUUUGCUCUUCCAAAUUAACCUCAAAACCUAACAAACACUAACCAUAUUCUAUGCUUUUAAUCCUACAAGUUCAACUAACCCUUCAACCUAUCCAAUCAAACCCUAAUCAUCUAAGCCUUAACUCAACCAAACUAACUUCCCUUUAAAUUAGGGUUUCAUGACUAAUCUGGAAUUUGCUACUCACCAACCAUACAAGUGAAAUUAAUAUAUCAAAGAUGCCAUUAACAAGCUAAAAUCCAACCAAACCAACUCUAUGAAUCAUGAAUCAAGAAACCCUACCUUUUCCUCCUAGCCUUUACCAAAAUCAGCAAUAUAACCAUCAAAAUAAACCAUAAAACUACUCCAUAAUCAUCAUACAACCUAUAAAAAUGCAUAAUCACAACAAAAGCAUCACUUCCAUAGCUUCAAGAUUAAAACCCCAAAAUUUAACUUCAAAGUAAGAGGAUAUACCUUCAAAUCAACUUUGUUGAUGUGCAAACUACAAUAAUCAAGUGCUCAAGUUGUCUUCUUAAGCUCCACAAGCAAGAUGGAUGGCUAAAAAUUGAAGAACAUUGAAGAAAAUCUCUCCCCUCUCUUUCUCUCUCUCUCUUUCUCUUUAGUUUUUGUUUUGUUGAUUUCUUAUGAAUAUCUUACAAAUCCUAUGGUAUAAUAUAGUCAAAGCUUAUGGAAGAUAUUUUCUACUCCCACCAAUCACAUAAAAGUUUCCAAUUACACCUUUAACUUUGCAUUUGAUCCACUCUUGCCCUUAAACAUUUGGAACUCUUUCAAUUUACUCCAUAAGUUAUAAACUUAAUCUAGUCCAAAACAUGUAAUCACACUUAAUUGCUUCACUAAUCACUUUCCUUUCUUAAUCACCUAUACUUAAUCAUACCUUAACUCACAUAAAAGCAACUAAAUAACAAUAUUUUUGUCAUAGGCAAAAUUAGGGUUUUCCUAACUUCUAAACUCACUUGACCUAUAUAAAAUGGAUCAAAUCCUAUACUUAUCCGCACGAAAACACACACUAGCAUAACUAACUUUAACCACCACUCGAACUUAGGAUUAGUACAAAACUAGGGUUUCAAUCCUAACCCCAACUCAGGGUUUUCUAAUUAACCCUAAAACCCCAAAUUUUACCGCACAAAUAAUGAAUAUCACCUAAUAUCAAACUUAAUACUGACCGGGGUCUCACACGAUUUCCUUUCUGUGAGAGCUGAUUCCUUCUCUUCUUCUUUUUUUUUUCAUUUUUUUCUCUUGUUUUUCUUUUUUUUUUUUUUCUUUGGCUCUUCAAGGAACACAAAUUCAAGUCACACCAACAAUUUCAAGAAACGGAUGAAAGGUUAUGUAAAUUCCAAGAAAACCCUAGUUCUUGAUUUAUUGUUCAAGAACUUUCAAAACAAGACUUGGUGGUCCAAGAACUUCAAGAAUUUUUUUCAAGAAGCUCAAGAACUUCCCCAAAUUAUGUUGUGGUGUCCAAGGUUUGCAAGAACAACAACCAAUAGGCAAAACAGAAUUUCAGCAAUAUUCAAAAAAAAUUCCAGCAACUUGGUCACUAAAACAAUAUAAGGUACGUGACCUUUUUUUUUUGUUAAUAAACCCUAAGUUCGACAGCAAGAAAACAGAGACAAAUCAGAUUUUUUUUGACGCGGAUGAACAGUAACGUGAACAGUAUGCUACAGUACGAUGAACAGUGAUUCGCUACAGUUUUUUUUUUGGACAAAAGACACAAACUAACAAGAUAUGAGCAACUUCAAUUGAAAGAGAAUCAACCUGAUGCUCCUGAUGCCAACUGAUGAGCAAUCCUAGGGGAAGACCCUCCUAGAACCUCCCAACUUUGUAAUAUCAGAGUUGGACCUUUUCUCCCAAUGGAAAUUGAACUCGAUUGUUCUCAUGAACUCAAGACCUCUGACAAACGAAGGUAAUCAGCAACCUUAAGCAAAUAAAGAUGGAUGAAGAGACACCACGAUUAGGGAACAAACUAAUCGAUAAAGUAUGAUUUGAAUCCUAAGCUAUGAACUCAAGAAUUCAAGAGUAAGUUCGAUUAAGAACUUGAAGGAAAAUUCCUCACGAUUUCUGGUUUUAAUAUUCCGUCCCUUAUUUUGAAAGACAAGAAGCCUUAUAUAGGCGUGUAAAAGACUUAAACUAAGCUGCCAACAAAAACCUAACCCGACUUGGAAUUUCCCUUGCUAAACUCGGCCCAAGCCCAAGUGCAACUAGGAAAACCCUAAUCAACUUAAUACGAAAAAAUAACGUUGGUGCUUGACUAAAGCAAGCUUAUGACCAAGCUAAGCUACUUUAAGGAUUAAAACUUGAGGACAACAUGUCCUUUGUACGAUUACUAAGCUAGACAGCUUUAAAACAACUACUAACUAAGCUAACAAGUAUGAGAUCAUUCUUUCACUUCAAACGUACAAGUGAACAAGCUAACUUCAUGGUCCACUAAAUCUUCAAACUUAGCUUGCUUCUUGCUUGUAUGGUGAAUGAUCAAGGCUUGUAAAGCUUCCUUCACCCUCUUGAAUCUUGAUCUUGUCAUCAGACCACCAAUGUUGACCAUAGGAUCCUUGACCCAAGGUUGAAGUUGUUGCGCACCCGUAUCCGCAUCAUUCCCUCUCUCCUCGAAAGGAUUCGUCCUCGAAUCUUCAAAGUCUGUAUCAAAGUCAAAAGGAGAUAGGUCAGACACAUUAAAAGAUGCACUUAUGCCAUACUCACUUGGAAGUUCCAUUUUGUAGACAUUGUCAUUUAUCCUCUCCAGGAAACGAAAAGGUCCAUCUCCUCUUGGAUGUAAUUUGGUCCGUCGAGAUGCUGUAAACCUUUCUUUCCUCAUGUGCACCCAAACCUAAUCACCAGGUUCGAAUACAACAUGCUUCCUACCCUUAUUCGCAUGUUUUGCAUAUUGCGCAUUUUUCUUCUCAAUUUGAGCUCGAACUCUCUCAUGCAAGGUCCGAACAGCCUCUGCCUUUUUGACACCAUGUGCGCUUAAACACUCAACAGGAAUAAGUGAUAAAUCUAGAGGAGUUAGCGGCUGAAACCCAUAAACAAUUUCAAAAGGAGAAUGAUUAGUAGUAGAAUGAGUGGUUCGGUUAUAUGCAAACUCGACAAUAGGCAAACAUCUUCCUACUUCUUCAAAUUCUUUUGAACAAUCGGUCGAAGUAAAGCACCAAGGGUUCGAUUGGUUACCUCAGUUUGACCAUCCGUUUGAGGAUGACUAGAAGUAGAAAAUAACAACUUAGUUCCCAACUUUCCCCAAAGUGAUUUCUAGAAAUAGCUUAAGAAUUUCAUGUCCCUAUCACUUACAAUAGUACGCGGUACCCCAUGUAAUCUAACCAUGUCCUUGAAGAAUAAAUCAGCAACAUGGCGCGCAUUAUUUGUUUUCCUACAAGGGAUAAAGUGAGCCAUUUUAGAAAAUCUAUCCACUACAACAAAGAUACUAUCCAUACCUCUAGAAGAUCUUGGUAAACCAAGCAUAAAAUCCAUGGAUAAGUCAGUCCAGGGAGCAUGAGGUACGGGUAGAGGAGUGUACAAUCCAUUAGGAUUACUUCUUGACUUUGCCUGCUUACACUUCAAACACUUAUCACAGAUGUUAGCAACAUCACGCCUCAUUUUAGGCCAAUAGAAGUGUUCAUGCAAAAUAUCAAGAGUUUUAUCGAUGCCAAAAUGUCCCAUCAACAUUCCGCCCAUGGGCUUCUCUAACAAGUAAUUCCCUAAGUGAACAGUUGGGAAUACAUAGGCAAUUUUCUUUGAACAAGAAACCUUUAUGUCUAUAAAACUUUUGAAAUGCAGCAUGUGCACAAGCUUGAAACACAUUAGAAAAAUCGUCAUCAUGUGCAUACAAGUCUUUAAUGUGCUCAAAACCAAGUAACUUAGUGCUCAUGGUAGUGAUCAAGGUAUACCUCCUAGACAAUGCAUCGACAUUAUCUUUCCCCUUGUUAUACUUAAUGAUAUAUGGAAAGGAAUCAAUAAAUGCAAUCCAUUUAGCAUGUCUUUUAUGCAACUUACCUUGACCCUUAAGGAAUUUAAUUGAUUCAAGAUCAGUAUGUAUCACAAAUUCCUUAGGCAUAAGAUAAUGCUGCCACUCUUCAAGAGCACGCACAACAGCAUACGAUUCUUUAUCAUAAGUAGGGUAAUUAAGAGCUCCCCCACUCAACUUCUCACUGAAAUAUGCCAAGGGUCUAUUGUUUUGAUGUAGGAUAGCCCCUAUGCCUAUUCCACUAGCAUCACAUUCAACUUCAAAAGUCAAAUCAAAAUUAGGCAAAGCAAGAAUAGGUGCUGAAGUUAACAAAUUCUUAAGCUUAUUAAAUGACUCUUUUUGCUCUUUUCCCCAUUGAAACCCCACAUUCUUUUUAAUGAUCUCAUUCAAAGGUGCUGCAAUAGUAUUAAAGUCUUUAACAAAUCUCCUAUAGAAAUUUGCAAGACCAUGAAAAGACCUUACCUGAGACAUAUUGGUUGGAGUCGGCCACUCCAAGAUGGCCUUUACCUUGGCUGGAUCAACACUUAUGCCAUUUGCACCAACAAUAUAUCCAAGAAAGUUAACUUCAGGAGUGCAAAAGACACAUUUUCCAUGUUAGCAAAUAGUUUAUUUUCAUGCAAGGCGCUUAAAACAAGUUUCAAAUGCUCAACAUGCUCAUCUAAAGACUUGCUAAAUAUCAAUAUAUCAUCAAAAUAAACAACAACAAAUUUCCCAAGAAAAUGCCGUAAAACAUGGUUCAUUAAUCUCAUGAAAGUACUUGGAGCAUUUGUUAAGCCAAAAUGCAUCACAAGCCACUCAUAAAGACCAUACUUUGUUUCGAAAGUAGUUUUCCAUUCAUCUCCUUCCUUUAUCCUUAUUUGAUGAUAACCAGAUCUUAAAUCAAUUUUAGUGAAAAUGAUUACCCCAUGCAAGUCUUCUAACAUAUCAUCUAACCUAGGAAUAGGAUGACGAUACUUAACAGUAAUAUUAUUGAUUGCACGACAAUCUGUACACAUUCUCCAAGUCCCUUCUUUCUUAGGCACUAAAAUAACUGGAACUGCACAAGGACUAAGAGAUUCACGAACCCGUUCUUUUUCAAGGAGGGAAUCGACUUGCCUUUGAAUUUCCUUUGUUUCCUCCGGAUUUGCUCUAUAGGCUGCUCGAUUUGAUAGAAUUGCUCCAGGAACAAAGUCGAUUUGAUGUUCAAUGCCUCGAAUUGGAGGUAAUCCUUUCGGUAGUUCCUCCGGGAACACAUCCUUGAAUUCCUGCAAAAGAGAGUAGAUUGCACUAGGAAGAGAAUCGGUUAUGCCUAGUGUGUAAAAAGAAGAAUAAUCAGCUUCCCUAUACAUAAGUACUAUGAGAAGACUUUGUGCAUUCAAAAACCCUAUCUACCUCACGCACACUUGCAUAGAAGCUCUUUUUUUUCACUUUCAAGCUCUUAGCCUCACUGAAGGUUUUUCCACUCGAAUUUUCUUUUACACUCAACUCGACCUCUACUUUCUUUUUCCCUCAUUCUCUCUCACAUUUGGCUUUUUCUUUGCCUUUCUCGGAUGCCUUUUCUCUCUCUCUUUUCUUAGAUGCAAUUGUUCUUCAUACACUUGUGUAGAUGUCAAGGGUAAAAGAGUGAUUUUGAGAUUGUUCAUAAUAAACUUAUACUUAUUAGUAAAUCCAAUAUGAUCAGCCUGUCUAUCAUACUCCCAAGGACGCCCCAACAAAACAUGACUAGCAUGCAUAGGAAUUACAUCACAUAAAACUUGAUCCUUGUCAUUUAACGAAGACAAUCUAUAUGAUUUAGGGUGGUAAGUCCAUGGAAUGUAUUUUUGCUCAACAAAAUCAGCAGCUACACAAUUAGUACAAGAGCCACUAUCAAUGAUCAUAAGACAUACCUCAUCUCCAAUUUUGCAUCUCGUAUGAAAGAUGUUGGUUCGUUGGAGAUCAUCUUCUUGAGCUUGUGCAUUGAGCACUCUCAUGGUCACCAUAGUUCAAGCUACGGGGUCCUCCUCUAUCUCAACCAUGUCAUCAUCUUUCCCUUCUUCUUCAAGCGGUGGUAUGUCUGCAUAUUCCUCCUCUCCUUCGCUUUGCCACACCCCUUCUUCAUUCAUGUGCAUGAUGCUUCGGUUAGGGCAUUGAGCCAUGAGGUGGCCAAUUCCCUUGCAUUUGAAGCAUGCCUUUGGCUGCUUGAUAGAUGUAUUUACCCCUGGAAGAGUCGGCCGCGGGCCUGGUUUAGAAGAAUUUGCACUCGGAUGGGAAGGUUGUUCCAUCCGCUUGUUUUCGCUCUCUCUAUUACCUUGCCCGGGCCACGCAUUGGUUGUUGGCAAUUGAUUUCUUCUCCAAGGAGUGGAAGAGGAUGUGAUGGAUCGGCCACUAGGUGUUUUCAUAGGUAAGGCUUGCUUUUCCACCUUCUCUGCAUAAGACACCAUUUGUUGAAGCUCAACCUUCUUCCUAAUGUCAGGAUUUAAUCCAUUAAGGAACCUUGCCAUGAUUGCUUCCGGAUCCUCUUGUACAUUGGCCCUUAUCAUCACUACCUCCAUUUGUUUGUGAUACUCAUCAACCGAAUUAGAUCCUUGAGUCGUUCGAGCCGAUUGUACAAGUCCGUGGUAUAAUGGAAGGGUACAAAUCGUUUUCCCAUCACUUGCUUCAUUUCAGUCCAAGUGUCAAUCGGUUGUUCCCUAUAUCUUCUCCUUGUGGCACAUACUUGCUCCCACCAAAUAGAUGCAUAAUCUUGAAAUUCAAUAGCCGCAAGUUUCAUCUUUUUCUCUUCAGAGUAAUUGUGAACUUCAAACACUUUCUCAACUCGCCUAACCCAAUCCAAGUAAGGUUCAGGAUCAUUUGUCCCAUGAAAGGUAGGCAUCUUGGUCUUGAUGGAAGGUAGGCAUAUUGUCAUCGGUUCUCUUGCCUCCCUUUGGUUUUUCCUUGAUCGAAUUGAGGUGUUAGAAUGAUAUCUCUCAUCAUCUGCAUCAUGAUCAGCAUUCUGAACACUCGAAACCCUAUUGUGUAAAUCUCCGGUACCUUGCAUCUCAAUGGCAGCCAACCUGUCGGAUAAUUAUGUCAUCACAAAUUCAUGUCUCGCCGCUUGUUUUCGAAGAGCUUGGAGCACCAAUUUGAGUGACACGUCGGCCUCAGACUGCUCGGAUAUGUUCACUUCUUGAGACAUAUUGUCAAACCUGCAAAGCACUCGUGUAUCACUCAAAAAAACACACUCACUCUCAACUUUCCUUCUCAAAGUUCUUAAAACAACUCAAACUCUCAAAAAUUCUAGAAUUAAUUACCCUAUAAGCAAGUAACAAGACACAAAGCAGAAUUUUUGCAAAUCUUAGAAAAAUCUACCCGAAGCUAGAAUUUUUUUUUGAGCUGCUAUUUUUGCUGAGUUUUGGUCAGUAUUUUGAAGGGUAAGUGGUGUUUUUGGGGUGCUCAAAUAAUGCAAGAACCAGUCCUCAAAUUUCAAUCAAAUCGGUUCGCAAAAACUAGCUCAACCGAUUUUAGAAACUCAAGAAUUCAAAGGCGGUUUGGCUAAGGUGUUUGUGGUAGUUUAGGUUUGGUUUUGGAAACUGAUUUGGGUGUGUUUUGGGGCUAGUUAGGUCGUUUGGAGUUGUUGGAAUUCACUCAAGAUUUGGAAACCAAUCAAGAAUUGGAAACUCAAGGUUUUGGGAAAUCAAUCAAGAUUUGGAAACUCAAGGUUUUGGAAAACCAAUCAAGAUUUGGAAAUCGAUCAAGAUUUGGAAACCAAGCAAGAUUUAGAAACUCAUGGUUUUGGAAAACCAAUCAAGAAUUGGAAACUCAAGAUUUGGAAACCUGAUUUCCUUUCUGUGAGAGCCGAUUCCUUCUCUUCUUCUUUUUGUUUUCAUUUUUUUCUUUUGUUUUUUUUUUUUUUUUUUUUUUUUUUUUUUGCUUUGGCUCUUCAAGGACACAAAUUCAGGUCACACCAACAAUUUCAAGAAAUGGAUGAAAGGUUAUGCAAAUUCCAAGAAAACCCUAGUUCUUGAUUUAUUGUUCAAGAACUUUCAAAACAAGACUUGGUGGUCCAAGAACUUCAAGAAUUUUUUUCAAGAAGCUCAAUAACUUCCCCAAAUUAUGUUGUGGUGUCCAAGGUUUGCAAGAACAACAACCAAUAGGCAAAAUAGAAUUUCAGCAAUAUUCAAAAAAAAAAUUCCAGCAACUUGGUCACUAAAACAAUAUAAGGUACGUGACCUUUUUUUUUUGUUAAUAAACCCUAAGUUCGACAGCAAGAAAACAGAGACAAAUUAGUUUUUUUUUUUUACUCGGAUGAACAGUAACAUGAACAGUAUGCUACAAUACGAUGAACAGUGAUUCGCUAUAGUACGAUGAACAAUAAUUCACUACAGUUUUUUUUUUGGACAAAAGACACAAACUAACAAGAUAUGAGCAACUUUAAUUGAAAGAGAAUCAACCUGAUGCUCCUGAUGCCAACUGAUGAGCAAUCCUAGGGGAAGACCCUCCUAGAACCUCCCAACUUUGUAAUAUCAGACUUGGACCUUUUCUCCCAAUGAAAAUUGAACUCGAUUGUUCUCAUGAACUCAAGACCUCUGACACACGAAGGUAAUCAGCAACCUUAAGCAAAUAAAGAUGGAUGAAGAGACACCACGAUUAGGGAACAAACUAAUCGAUAAAGUCUUAUUUGAAUCCUAAGCUAUGAACUCAAGAAUUCAAGAGUAAGUUCAAUUAAGAACUUGAAGGAAAAUUCCUCACGAUUUCUGGUUGUAAUAUUUUGUAAUGAUGCGGAUACGGGUGCGCAACAACUUCAACCUUGGUUCAAGGAUCGUUUGGUCAACAUUGGUGGUCUGAUGACAAGAUCAAGAUCCAAGAGGGUGAAGGAAGCUUUACAAGUCUUGAUCAUUCACCAUACAAGCAAGGAGCAAGCUAAGUUUGAAGAUUUGGUGGACCAUGAAGUUACCUUGUUCACUUGUACGUUUGAAGUGAAAGAAUGAUCUCAUACUUGUUAUGUGACGCCCCGAAAGAAUGAGUGUGAGAACCCGAAAAUUUUGUAUAUUUUCGAGACAUUAUUUUGUUUUCUUGUCUAUAAUUUUGUACCUUUCUUCAAUAUAUUAAUUUUCUAUACAUUUUUAUAAGUAAAUAUAGUUUUCAAAUCAUUUCCUUGAUACAAGUUAGUCCACGUUAAUUUUGAAGUGAAUUUUGGACGUGGGACCCGUUAGUGCGGUAAAUGUAAUAUAUUUUUGACAACUCGUUGGAGGUUUGUAUUAAGUGAUAUUAUUUUACAAGGUGUUAAGAGAUAAUUAGAUGUUACCUAUAUGGAUUAGUAUUAGAGAGACAAAAAGAUAAGUUUUAAAACCAAAAGGUGACAUGUGUCACCUUCUUAUUCAAAGUUGGACUUUUGACCAUCUUACCUCAACUUUACUAAAACCAAAAUUUGACAAAAAACCAAGCCAUUUCUUCCUUCUCAUGGCCGAAACUUGGAGAGCAAGAGAGAGAGAAAAACCUUCAUCUUUCACUCCAAUUUCUUACUCCAAUCUUGAAUUCUAACCGAUAGAAUUGCCAAUUCCUCCAUAAAAGUCACUUGCCUAGGAAGAUUGAAGGUAGUGGUGGAGUGAUUAGAGAAGGGAAAGGACUAAGCCAUCACCUUUCUUGAGAUUUCAAGGUAUCAUGUCUAGCAAUCCUUUCUUUGUUCUUAAUAAUGGUUUAGUAGUGACUUGUGUUGGCUUAAGAGGUGAUUUUAUGGAAGAUUUCAUGGAUUAAAGUGAAGUUAGUUAAAUUUCUGAUUUUUUUGGGAUUUUUCUGUUUUCAUAUGAUGAUUAUGGUUGGCUUUGGAUUGAUGGCUCUAAAGUGUGUUAAAUAGCUCUCUUGUGCGUUAAUUGCGGUUAUUUGCAGAAAAUUUCAGUUUUGUGCGAAAAUUCCAGGUUUAGGGUUUACAUUUGCCCUGUUCUGGCCGGAUAUAUUUGGGCAUGUUAGAAGCCGAAUCAGGCUUAGGUUAAAACAUGAAAGUUGUAGAAAAUGGUGUUAACUAGUUACCUGAAAAAUUUCAGCUUGAUCCGAGCACUGUAACAUGUGAAAUGACCGAAAUACCCUUGACUGUCCAUGAACCCUAUUUCGCGCCCAGAUAUCUGUUUUCGUAGAGUUUUCCAUUUUUGACCAUGAUAUUACAUGAUUUGGCUUUGGAGGUCUUCAUAAGAAAUGUAGGGUUAUGUCUUGGCUUCGAAACGCCAUAAGAUUCAUUUCAAUCCGAUAAGUGUAGUUUCAGUUAUGGAUAUUGUGCCGAAAGAUGUAUUUGAUAGUCUAUGAUGUGUAUGUGGUUGAUUUGAGAUGAAAUGGUGUUGCUUGUAGGAUGGAAAAGUAAGGAAAUUAAGGGGAUAUGCUGUCCGAUCUUUGAAAGCAUUUGAUUGCUUUGUGUUUGAGUUGAAGGGCUUGGAUUUGGGCAAGGCAAUGAUAUAUGAUGGAUGGUUCCUAAGCCGUGGAGGUGAGUGACCCCAAACUGUUUCCAAAGCUACUUAUGAAUUGUUUCUUGCAUUAUUUACUCGAUUGCAUAUCAUGUGUGCUUGUAUGCGAGUUCAUGACAUGAUUUGGCUUAACUGAGUCUUGGGAAGUCUUGGGCUUAGAACCAACGUCUCUACCACGGUUUACUGUUUACCUGGAGCAAAUGGCUCCCUAUUCCUGUUUCACUGUUUAUUGUUAACUGAUCAACUUGAGCGUUGGCCGUCUAAGUACCAUGAUUUCACUGGCUCACGAGAGCAAUAAACGUACAUUUGAUUACUGAUUCAUGACAUUAAUUGCGGUUGAUUGCGGUUAAAUAGCUAUUUGUUAAAUAGCUCUCUUGUGCGUUAAUUGCGGUUAUUUGCGGAAAAUUUCAGUUUUGUGCGGAAAUUCCAGGUUUAGGGUUUACAUUUGCCCUAUUCUGCCCGGAUUUAUUUGGGUAUGUUAGAGGCCGAAUUAGGCUUAGGUUAAAACAUGAAAGUUGUAGAAAAUGGUGUUAACUAGUUGCCUGCAAAAUUUCAACUUGAUCCAAGUACUGUAACAUGUGAUAUGACCGAAAUAUCCUUGACUGUCCAUGAACCCUGUUUCGCGCCCAGAUGUCUGUUUUCGUGGAGUUUUCCAUUUUUGACCAUGAUAUUGCAUGAUUUGGCUUUGGAGGUCUUCAUAAGGAAUGUAGGGUUAUGUCUUGGCUUAGAAACGCCAUAAGAUUCAUUUCAAUCCGAUAAGUGUAGCUUCAGUUAUGGAUAUUGUGCCGAAAUGUGUAUUUGAUAGUCUAUGAUGUGUAUGUGGUUGAUUUGAGAUGAAAUGGUGUUGCUUGUAGGAUGGAAAAGUAAGGAAAUUAAGGGGAUAUGCUGUCCGAUCUUUGAAAGCAUUUGAUUGCUUUGAGUUUGAGUUGAAGGGCUUGGAUUUGGGCAAGGCAAUGAUAUAUGAUGGAUGGUUCCUAAGCCGUGGAGGUGAGUGACCCCAAACUGUUUCCAAAGCUACUUAUGAAUUGUUUCUUGCAUUAUUUACUCGAUUGCAUAUCAUGUGUGCUUGCAUGCGAGUUCAUGACAUGAUUUGGAUUAACUGAGUCUUGGGAAGUCUUGGGCUUAGAACCAACGUCUCUACCACGGUUUACUGUUUACCUGGAGCAAAUGGCUCCCUAUUCCUGUUUCACUGUUUAUUGUUAACUGAUCAACUUGAGCGUUGGCCGUCUAAGUACCAUGAUUUCACUGGCUCACGAGAGCAAUAAACGUACAUUUGAUUACUGAUUCAUGACAUUAUUUAAAUGAACUAUUAUGAAACUGAUUUGAUUACUGAUUUGACUGGUUACUCGCUGAGCUUCUAGCUCACCCCAAAAAUAUUUUAUUCCCCUCCACAGGGCUCGAGGCAAAGGAAGUGCUUGUAGUACUUAUUCAUGUGGUUGGAUGGAUUAUCUCCUGUAUAGUUUGAGUUUUAGAUUUCUCUUGUGUAAUAGUUGGGUUUGUAUGAAUGUUUGGACUUGAAUGGAUGUACGUGUACAUUCCACACUUGGGAAUUAGUUUCCGCUGCGUUUGUGAUAUGUAAUUCUUGGAGAAUUUGAUGUAAAUUUGAGAUAUAUCUUGUAAUUUAAUUGAGGACUGUAGUGAACGACUGAGUCCCGGCGAGAGCUGGACAGGCGGCCCGCCGAACCCUUUGGUUCGCCUUAGGGUGAGGUGGGGCUGUCACAUGUUAGCUUAGUUAGUAGUUGUUUUAAAGCUGCCUAGUUUAGUAAUCGCACAAAGGACAUGUUGUCCUCUAGUUUUAAUCCUUAAAGUAGCUUAGCUAGUUGGUCAUAAGCUUGCUUUAGUGAAGCACCAAUGUUAUUUGUUCGUAUUAAGUUGAUUAGGGUUUUCCUAGUUGCACUUGGGCUUGGGCCGAGUUUAGCAAGAGAAAUUCCAAGUCGGAUUAGGUUUUUGUUGGCAGCUUAGUUUAGGUCUUUUACAUGCCUAUAUAAGGCUUCUUGUCUUUCAAAAUAAGGGACGGAACCAGAAAUCGUGAGGAAUUUUCCUUCAAGUUCUUAAUCGAACUUACUCUUGAAUUCUUGAGUUCAUAGCUUAGGAUUCAAAUUAGACUUUAUCGAUUAGUUUGUUCCCUAAUCGUCGUGUCUCUUCAUCCAUCUUUAUUUGGUUAAGGUUGCUGAUUACCUUCAUGUGUCAGAGGUCUUGAGUUCAUGAGAACAAUCGAGUUCAAUUUCCAUUGGGAGAAAAGGUCCAACUCUGAUAUUACAAAGUUGGGAGGUUCUAGGAGGGUCUUCCCCUAGGAUUGCUCAUCACCUAGGGGAGUUGCCUCUUACUCAUACAACCAAGAAUUCUUGGAGAAUGAGCCUCUCAAGAGGAGGGGUUCCAAGCGGCCUACUUCCAAGCACUCUAGCUCCAUGGAAUCUAGUUCACAACAUGAGUUUCGUUCACUCCGGGAGGAGAUGGAACGUUACCGUGCUUCGUGUGUAUAUGAAAGGUAUAAACGAGAUUGUGAUGAGUAUGAGAAGGAGCAAAGAAGUUUGCGCAGAGCAUCUAAAGCGAGGUCAACCUCAAGCAAACGAGAUUCAUAUAAGAAGUGUCUUGGCAAUCAAGACAAGGAGUUUGAGAAUUCUUGAAUUGAGUCAAAGCUUCGUGAAUCAAAGGAUGAAUUCCGAAGUCGGACUAAAGCAUUGGUUGAUUCUAUGAUGGACAGACUUAGCCAAGUGCUGGAUUCCCACUUGGAACAACUUAAUCAUGUGUCAACCGGUCGUAAUAAAGGGAAAAUUCAUCCUAGCCCCUCGUUGAUUGAAGAGCCAUAUGUGAAUGAGUUGCAACCGAGCAUGAACAUGAGCUAGACAAUGAAAAUCCAAACUCAAAUGCAAUGAAUGAACAAUGGUCUGAGAAGAAUGGAGUGGGAAAAGUCAAGAAUAAUUUGGCCUUAUUGAUGAGUAAAGAGGAGGAGUUGGCCAUGUUCGCAAAAGUUAAAAGUGUGGACGUUUUGUUUGCUAACAAGCUAACAUGUGUUUUGUUUAGUACCUCUUCUUUUGUGCAGAUUAAACAAAGUCAAGUAGACUUGUUCAUGACAUGUUCCAUUCCCAAGUCACUUGGACACUUUGCGAGUUUCCAUGGAGUUUGUCUUCUAGGAGCUAACUCUCUUCGGUCUCAAUUCAUGGAACCAUGUCAACUCAAACAUGUCCACACCAUUGGAGGAUUGAUUCGAGCUCAUCUUACAGGGGGAAUUCCAGAUUUCACUCCUUGUUUUUUACCUAUGGGUCAUUCAUCAUUUUUGGCUUAUUUUGAGCAUGUUACUCAUCCUAAAUCUUGUCGUUCCUAUGUAGAUUUUGAUGAGAAGUAUAGAGAACCCGCACUAGAUUCUCAAGUUCAAUCAAGUGGUGGAAGGCACGUUGAAGUGUCAAAGGGAGUUUUCACAUUUAAAUCUUGUUCUACACCUUCUUACUAUUUAGCUAAUGAUGUCCCAUUGCUUCUUUAUCCAAUUUCUGGUUCAAAACAAACUGAAACUUAUUUCAUUUUUGUAGGUAGUAAAGCUGUCCGAAAAUUUUCAGCUUUGACCAAAGGGUUGCAACCUGUUUUUAUGCUUGUUCCAGCUGCAUGUUGCGAAGAAAGGCCGAACUAUACCACCUUGUACAAUCCGAUUCAGGAUUUCUCUAGCUUCAAUGAGCAUCAUUAUGAAGAUCCUUAUCUUGUGCACGUGACUGGUAAGCUAUUGCAUAGUUUUAUACCUAUGACUACUGUAGACACCAGAUUUUGAAUAAUUUUAUGUAGCAUCUAUUUCAUGAUUUUCAUUUUAGAUUGCUUGCGUUCGUUGUUUACUUUUAGUUUUAAUUUUUAGUUUUAGCUUUUAAGUUUUAAGGUUAGCGUAGAGUUUUUAGAUAAAAGAAAAGGAAAACAUCAAAAAUAUGUUGUAGUCAUUUUGUUUUUAUUCAAUGUUUUUUUGAAAAGAAAAAUUCAAAAAAUAGGUUUUAGUUGGAUUGGAAAAAUGAAAAAAAAGAAAAAGGAAAAAGGAAAAUUUGUUCACAAAAAUAUGUUUAUUUCUUUAAAUUCAAUCUUUGGGCACUUUAGUUAUUUUUAUUAAGUUAUUUUGAGGAAAAAGAAAAUGAAUGAAAAUGAAAAAAAAAUGUGAAAAGAUGGAAAAAUGGCCAUUUUUGUUGUUUUUAGUUGUUUAGUUUUUAAAUUAUUUUCAUUAUUAUUACUAUUAUUAUUACCUGGUUUUUUGUCAAUUUAUAUUUUAUUUUAUCAUUUCUGUAAUCUUCAAGUUGUUUUCUUAAAAAAAAAAAAAAAAAAAAAAAAAAAAAAAAAUUGUGUGUGGCGCGGCAUGCACGCUGCAAUUUUUUUCAGCGUGCAAAGGACAGCCAGACUUGCUCUUUGGAAGGCUGGAUGUGAGAGGCAAGGCCGAGCCUUCAUCCUCGCCAUUCAAGGGAGGGUUUAGGAGAUUUGGAGGCGGAUAUAAAAGGGAAAGCAAAAGCAGCAGCCGCAAGGGGGAGAAAAGGGAGAGUUUGACGGAAAGAAAGAAAAAACAGCGGCUAAGAAAGAUAAGAAAAGAGAGGUUUUAGUAGUGGCUGGGGCCGAGAGCAAGAGUGAGGGAUCAACGAGGGGAUAGAAACACAAGCAAAAGGAAAAGAAAGAAAAACAGCCGAGAGUGAAAAGGGAGGAAGGACUGAAUGACGGCUGGGUUUUGAGCAAGAAACAAAAGAGAGAAGAAAACUGAGAGAGCUGCAUCUGAGAAAAAAGGGGAAGGGACUAGCGGCUAGCUGGUGUGGGGGAGAAAAAAAAGCUAACGGAAGGAAAAACGAGCGAGAGAAAGGAUGGGAGGAAAAGAACGAUAGAGAGGGAAAUCUGAAAAGAGAGGAAGGAACUGAUGAGAACUUGAGGGCUGAGAGCUGGGAGGUUACAUAGCGGCUAGGCUAGGAUCUUAGAGGGAAGAGGUUUUUGUAACAACGGCAAAAGAGAGCGAUCAAGAGAGAGGCUUGGGACGGCUGGAAAAUCAGAAGACUGGCGGCUGAAGGAAGAGGAGAGCUGUGACUUCGGACAGAAAGAGGAAAAGGGCAGCAAGUGAACAAGGGAUGAAGGGCCUGGUUUCCAAUUCGGCAACCAGCAAUCAUUGAAGCCACUGGUACCAACACUGUCCCCGCCAUCAAACUGCCGCACUCGGAGGAGCUGCCACCACUUCACCAAAUAUACAGCUUCAUCAUCGCAGGGCUUUCACGUAGAAAAGGAACACGGUAAGUCAUUUUUUUUCAUAUUUCAGUUUCUUCAAGCUCCUGAAAUUUGUUCUUCUAUGCCUGGGUUUUAGCAACUUACUGUGGGCUAUUUAUGAAUUUGGAGUAUGUAUGUUAUAUAUGAUGAAUGGAAUUGAAAUUUCUUUUUGUGUUCUGAUAAUUUUUGGGGUAGAUCAUGGCUUCAAUCGAGUAGAGAAUCAAUGACCUUUUGCACACCCGUCAGUCGUUUGAUAAAUGCCUAAGCCAAAGUCUUGAACCAAAAUGAAGAGAUUUUCUGCGUUUUUAUGUAUACAUGUGAAGAAGAUUCUAGCCAACGUGCGUUUGUUAGUGGGGUUGAUGAACGCUUCAUCAUGUUGGUUUUCAUUUCUCCCAGUGUAUAAGGCAGAAAUUCAUUUUUAUGUUGCUUCCUUGCUGUCUUCUAUAGCUGCCUGAUAGUAUAGAUUCUUUCCCUCACUCCCCUCUCCCUGUGAGCAAAUUACUUUGAAUUUUACAAAGCUAAAACUUGGUCAAAAGUAGGAAGGAGCUUCUUGGUUUGUUGCAGCAACAGAGGUAGACAUUAUUUUGCAAAUAAUCGAAACCUUUGCUGCUCCAAAUUCAUUUCUUUUAUUUGCUGCAUUUCAUGCCCUGCUUUCUCGUUCAGUUAUGGGGGGUUGGAUGAUCAUGUUUAGGCAUGUUAAAUGAUAGUAAGUUGAAGCUGCAAAGUUUGUAGCAGAACAGAAAAGAAAAAUAGCUCUCACGUUCUCUUUGUUUUUUUACCUGCGACUGCUCAUAUGAGUUCGGCCCUCUGUUUUGGCUAGCUGGGGUUGCAUGUUUGGGGUAUUAGUGUACUGGUUGAAAGGAAUUGGAUAAGGGGGUGUUGGGUGUGUAUGUUUAGGGGCUGAAAUGGAAAGUGGACGAAAGAAUGCUUGCUGGAAAAUGACCGAAAGAAUGCUUGGGUGUUGGGUGUUUAGGGGUUGUCAAGUUUUUGCAUCAGUGUUUUUCCAGAAUCUUGCACUAGUUCUUUUCAUGCCUGGGUCCCUUCCCAUGUCUUUGCUUGUUGGGAUAUCCAAUCCAUGUCUUGCUUGUUUGUUUACUUGGGUUAAUGCAUAUGCUUGGCUAUGAAAUCUGGUCUUGGAAGGUAAAACUAGAAAGGUUGCAGCAGUUUAGUUCAUCAAAUGCUUGCAUAAUUGCCUGGAAUUUUUUGCAUGGGAUGUUGCUAAGAUUUCUGCUUGCUAGGAUGAUGUUAAUGAUGUAGUAUACUGCCUAGUUUGAAGCUGUGAACCUGGAAAAUUGCGGUGAGCUUGGGGGCAAAGGGCCGCAAGCUUUGUUUUUUUUUAAUUGCAGAAACUUUUGUUUUUCAAGCAUGCUGUCCAGAAUUUCGCAUGAUGCUUUUUUCUAAGAUUUUGCUUGUUUGAAUCGUGGGGGCUGUGUAGUUUUUGCUUGCUUAAUCUAAGGUUGUGAUGUUGGGUUGAAAAUAUCUAAUCAAAAUUAUGAAUUGGAAUCAGAAAUUUGAGCUUGGAAACGAAAUGCAGUUGGUUUCAUUGUAGUUAGCUGCAAAAGUUUCAGCUUUGUACGUUGCAUGCAUGAAUAUUUUUCCAGAAAUUGCAUUCUAAUCCCCAAGUCUCCCCUUGUUCUACUAUGGCCCAAUCAAUUGAAUAACCUCAUCAAUUCGGUCUUUGGCAAUUUUAAUUCUACAAUUUCAUUGCUUGUUUGUUUUAAUUAAUCACUAUGCUUUGUUUCAAUUGCACUUAAUUCAUGAUUUUAGGGGCGUUAUGACCAAGUGAGCUUGUGUUUGCCUAUUUUCUUUAAUUUUUCCAAAUAAAUUGGUACCUUGACCAUUUCUUUUAUUUUGGAGGAUAAAUAAGUGAUUUCACUUCAUUUGGACUCAAUUGCAAGGGAGGUAACCUCUAUCUCCUUGAUUUUCAUUUCUCCUAUGUGAUCCAACGUGCUAAGUGUGAAUUGCAUGUCUACGUUGCUUUCCUUGCCUUUCUUUAAUUCCUUUCCUUUAUUUCAUUUACUUUUGCUUUUUAUUUAAGUUAUUCAUUAUGGGGUAUGUGUACACCUCUUGGCUUGUAAUAGAUAGGGCUCGGAGAGCAUCUGGUCCACUUCCCCUUCCCCUUGGUUGCUUGCUUUUUGUUGCUACAUGCUUAAUUGCUUUAUUAGGCUCUUGCAUCUAGUCGAGCAUGCUCAGUGUUACGUGUUACGUGUUUACGAGUGUUUUGGCAUGUCUACUUGCUUUCAUAGCCAUGAAUGAAUGUGAUGGAUGAAUGUACGUUUCCGCUAGUCCAACGCUAGUCGGAAUUCAUAGAUGGGCUAGUCCAACGCUAGACCCUUAGGAUUUCCUUUUCGAUAGUGCAUAUUUGCGUGUUCACUACAUGUCAUACAUUUUUCUUAGUUUUAUCAUUUGGCAUGCUCCUCGAAUCCCUUUUCCCCUCAUUUUAGGAUUUUUGCAUCUCAUACUAGUUAUAGGGUUCAUUUGCCUGGAGAGUCCCCUUAAAUAUGGGAUAUAGACGAGUGUGGCUUUUUCUAAGCCUUAGCACGCUUGUAUUCCCUCUAUAAAAGGGCAAAUUGAGUCACGAUUUAGGUCUCCCCGUACCCAAUAUGCAUGAAUUCCCUAGGCUCAUGCAUUUUUAAAUCCACUCUACCAUUUUAUAUCCUCAUCACACUUUCAUUUUUCCUCCCAUUUUGCACACGUGCACCUUUAUGUUUCUUCACUUGCACACGAACAUUUUUAUCAUCACUUGCACACAUGCACUUCAUAUUAUCAUUUCACAUACCGUACCUUGCCCACUCACGUGCACAUUUUCAUUUACAUAUUUAUUGUCUUUUAUUACUUUUUCAAACUCAUGUCCUCACAUUGCAUACAUGCAUUCCAUUCACUUGCAUCCCACUCGCAUUAUUCGUGACUUCUUCAAAGGAUCGUUAUUGGGCUUCACAACUAAUGUGAUUGGCACCACUCAACCUUUGAAGAGAAAUUUCCCCCAAUACCCCUAGGUCUAGGGUUUGCAUCCAUGUAGUGCAUCCAAAUGUAAUAAAUUCUUUGGUUAAAACAAGAAAAUCUUUGAUUAAAUCGUGCAACUAGCCUUGGCUAGGUCAAAGGGGUGCCCUGGAUUUUAUCCUCGCCUUCCCCUUUGUCAAAUGUGACUCCCGAACCUUUUUCUUUGGUUUACGUGGACUAGGAGUCGUUUAAAAGGGGUUUCUUAUUACUUUUUCCUAUUUUUUCUUUAAAAAUUCAUUUUUUGGUGACUUGGUACACCUUAACUCAUUACCAAGUGGCGACUCCAAUUUUUAUUUCAAAAACCCUUUUUAAACUAUAAUUUUGGGUCAAAUCGUCGCAUUCUCAACCCCCAUUUAGACCCAUUUUUUCUUUUAAAUCACAAUUCAUUUUCCAAUCACAAAAAAAUACAUUUUUUAAACCAUUUAUUUAUUUAUCAAAAAAUGGGGCGCGACAACUACUCACUAUGUGAUUUAUUGUGUAGGUAACAUCAUGAUAGUCCAUGCUCGAAGGCUAAUUAGAGAGUUUUGGGUUGCAACCUGGAAUUUUCGCAAGCCUUAUACACGUUCUUUCCUACCUUGGCGAAUGUCCUUGUUUGAGAGCCCCUUGAGGUUGGUCAAACAGCAUUUAACUUGGCACGUAACCCUUCAUUUCUUUCCAACGUGGUUGUCCUCUAAGCGUACCGUCGAUUUGUGGCCAAAUCGCUUUCAAGAGGUGGGGAAUGAUGCAAACAUGAAGAUCAUCCUCCAAACUAUUGAGUCAAAUGAAGAGUGGUUGCGAUCUGUUUCCUAUUCCGAGUGCCCCACCGUGUCAACAACAAUGCUUACAAAUUGGAGUUACCUAGGGAGUGCAACGUUAGCAUGACUUUCAAUGUCGCAGACUUGAGCCCAUUCCUUGGCGAGGAGGAUCCAGAUUUGAGGAUAAAUCCUUCUCAAGUGGAGGGGACUGAUGUGUGCACGGACCUUAGCCCAAGUAAUGAUCCAAUUCGAGUUCCAUUGGGCCAAGUCACACGUGCACGGGCCAAGCGCUUCAAAGAGUCCCUCAAGCUCUUGUGCGAAAUGUUCAAGACCAACAAGGAGUCCAUCGGGAUAUUGCAGGCUUGGAAGGUGAUAAUCAAGUUGUCUACAUGAUGAUCCAAACCCAUGAAGAGAGCCCAUGAAGAGUCAAGUGGACCCCCAUGUAGGGGUGGUCAACUAGGUCCUAGGCCUUAGUGUUAAGUUCAAUUGUUUAGAGUUGGAUUAGACUAUUUUAUUUGAGUCAUGGGCCGGCCCACCUUGUCCAAGGAGUGGCCGACCCUCCUUUUCUAGUUUCUUAGGGUUUCAUUAGCCCCUUAGCCUAUAUAAAGGCUCACUUUGUACGGUUAACGGGUACACAAUUUUCAUAAUAAAAUUCUGAUUUGUUUCUCUUCAAUUAUUGAGAGCAUUCGAUCCUUUACUUGCUUUUGGCAAGGGUUCUUGAGCAAUCUCGCGAAGGUUCUUGAUUGUUCUACCGACCUAUCCAUUAGAGUAAUCACCUCUGUUGGAGUCGUCGUUCUAUUACCCUUCAACCAAUUCGUGUCGUCCGUUUUGGUUUUAAGUCCCGCAAUCCAAGCGUUGGACAACCUCGCUAGAUCCAUGGGCAAGCAUGCUACGUGUCCUAAAACGAGUUGAUCGAGGUCCGUAUCACAUGAGGAGAUUGGUUGCUUAGUUGUGCGAAAGGUCCUUACUACCCGAGCCAAGGAGGAGGAAAUGUGUGACGCCCCUACUUCUCCCUAGGGUGAACCCUAGGGUAUUCGCGGAACGCCUGCCCAACUCUCGCCGGGACUCACUAUAAUGUAUAAUUCAAAAGCUCGAAACACUUCAAAUAUUUUCACUAUAUAAUUAAAGUACUCCAAAAUAUUUCAUACUUACAAUUAGUUAGCUUUCAAGCUUAAUACAAUCCAAAAGAAUAUGUACUACAACCAUCCGUUAUAAUACAACUUAAGGUCUUCAAAAGAAAAUAAUCUAGUACUAUUCACGAGCACCCUUGGUCUCUAACCCUGUUAAGAAAAACAAAAACGUGGAAUGAGCUAAACAGGCCAGUGAGGUUCCAAGACACUCUAGCAGUUCUAAUAAAUCAUGUAAGUUAAGCAUGAUACAUAUACGGUUCAAGAUUUCACAUUGGCAUAUUUACAAUAAGACAGUUAUCAUGAUACAGAAAUAAACACAUAUUGAAGGAUACGGUGUUCCAGUGGAACCAUUUCGGUCAACUUCGCCUUAUAACUUCAGAUCCCCUCAAUUUGUCUGGCCAUCACCUUAUCUCUCCAGUGGUAAUACUCGAGUAUACCGAAACGGUGGCUCAAGGUUCCAACCUACCCGACCGAGCCCAAUCCUGACUCGAACAGGUAAGUAACCAAGGGCAAGGCCUAGUUCAUCUUAGAGCUUACAACAUGCACAAGUAAUCAAGUAAGCAGGUAAUCAAGUAAAUCAGUAAACAGUAGAUCAGUUGAACAGUAAAUCGGUAAAUCGGUUGAAAGGUAGAAAUUUAUCAUUUUAGUAGGUCGAGUGAGAUAAAGUACACACUCACCUCAAAACGGUGGGCAAUUUCAUAUGAGUAAUCAUCAGUAACACUUAACACUUAAACACGUAAGAAAUAUGCGGUAAUUUCAUAUGAACACGUAAUUUACGGUAAUCAAGUAGUCAAGUAGUCAAGUAAUCAAGUAAUCAAGUAAAUCGGUAAACGAUAAGUAAUCAAAUAGAUUGGUAAACGGUAAGUAAUCAAAUAAAUCGAUAAACGGUAGAAAUUUAUCAUUUUUGUAGGUCGAGUGAGAUAAAGUACACACUCGACUCAAAACGGUGGGCAAUUUCAUAUGAGCAAUUAUCGGUAGCACUUAACAGUUAAACACAUAAUGACCAUGAAGUAAACAUGUCAUAAAACUAUUCAAGUCACGUACUCCUAUAUGGAACACUCACCAAUCAAAAUAAGUGAGUAAAAAAAGUCGUCAAUGAUCCACUUCGGGAUUCUCUUCGAGACCUUUUUGAUCGCCUGAAGAAAAGUGACCAAUAAUCACCCUCACAAUUUCACAAAUUCCUUAUCAAACAAGAAAGAAUGCACACUUGCUUUAGAAUUCAAGUCAAUGUCUUUAUAAGGGUUUCAUUUUAUCGAAAGUUAAGAUUCAAAAGUGUGGAUUUUAAAGUUACUGAAGAAACUCAUACCCUCCAUGAAAUCGGGUUCAAAACGAUAGAUUAAUAUCAAGAUAAGAAGUCAAGUUUCCAAAAUUUCAUUUUCUAAUAAAUCGGCAAAUUUUAGCCUUGUGCGUCAAACUUAGAAAAAUCAUAUCUUGCACUCAGUAGGUCCAAAAUUGGAAAAAUUUGUACCAUUGGAAACUAGUUCCAAAGUAAUAAAAAUUCCUAGAAAACACUUUUCCAAGAUUCUAAAUGGAAGACAUUCAAAUUUCAGCUCAAAGUGGCUGACUUACACUCCCAAGACAGUUUCAGUCUUAGUUUUUGGUAAAGUUUGAAAAUUCGGCAAAAUUCACAAAAAGUGAACUAGCUUCUAGAAUUCUCAGAACUAUUAGAGUUCCAAUCAAAGUUUCAAACACAACAAACGGAACUAGAAUCGGAGUUUUGAGCGUCAAGAUAUAGCAGCUCAAAGUUGGCAAAAAACAAGGACUGUUGGGUCAAUUUUCCAGAUUUGGAAAACAACUUUGGGAUAUCAGUUACAUAUCAAAACGAUCUUAGAUUAACACAAAAAUUGGUACAAUUCAACUUCCAUAUGAGGACUACUCCUCAAUCAAAUUUCAUUUGAAAAUUCGCACGGGAAGGUAGUUAACUAAACUACCAAAGUUUAAGGAAAUCCCAAGACAAAUCUGUCUUUUGCUUCCUUUUUCACUUUCCAAACUUUUUGCCCAAUGAAAUCAACUCAAUUUUGUCUCAGUUGUGAAACAAAGGUCUAAGAAAUAUCUAAUAUACAUUUGGUAGGUGAUUGACACCAAAAUUUUCAAAACAACAAGUCCCAAGUCAAGCUAGGCCAUUGGGCUAGCAAAAAUUAGGGUUUUCUAUCACUGGUGAAGUUUGGUAAUUUGACCAAUCUCACUCAAUUCAACUUAAAAUUGAACAUGGUUGGUGGCGUUGGAAACUACAUUCAAUAGGCUACAAUUCAUCAGAAGAAGUCGUUUUGAAAUUUGGUUUGCAAGUAAGAGAAAAUAGAGCCACAAGUUUCAGCUUCUACAAUUUCCUUGGGUGAACAGUCAUGUAGGGCAGCUAAAUUUGAUCAGUCACUGCCAGUGACUCAGUUCGAAUUAGAAGGUGCAUAAUACACCAUUAGAAAACUACGGAUGUCUAGUUUCAAAUACUGGAAACGGCACUUGAUUUCAACGUCUGAGCAGAGAGUUAUGAUAAUUCAAAGUUUACUGCCAGAGAGCCCCUGUUAUACGAUUUUCCAGUUUUGUUCUUGCCCAAAACUCAACUUUUUCUCAACCAAAUCAAGCGAUAUUUGGUGGAAACUUUCCACACAUCCUAUACAACAUAUCUACAUUAGAUUCAAGGUCAUUUGAUCACCAAAAAUUCGAAUCAAAGGUUCAGGAAAAACAAGGUAGAAUUGGUCAUCAACCAACUGAAAUUUUCCUCAACUUUCCUUGUUUACUACUUAAUUAACACAAACCACACUUAUAAUCACCAUAUCAGUCCAAUAUAUCCAUUGUGGGAUUUCAUAGAGCCUACUCCAAUCAUUUACAACCAAAUAAUAACACCCAUAUGAAGCUACAAGCUCCAAGGCCAAAUUUAACCAACUAGAACUAAGAUUAAGGGACCGAAUGAUUACCUCCUAAUUCUUGAUGAAAAAUCAGAAAUUUUGGUCACCAAAAGCUCCAAGAAACUCGGCUAGAAGACCUCCUCCUCCAAGCCAAGGUGAAUCUCCAAGUAGUUUAAGUGUUGUGUGAAAAUUUGUGGAAGAUUUGGAAGCAAGAUUGGAAACAAAUGAAGAGAGCUUUGCUUCCCUUCUUCCUUGGGGUUGCUGGUCGGCUGAUACUAGAAGGAAGAAAGAGUGUUUUGUACUUUGAAUCUUGUCUUAGAAGCUUACGAGAAUUGUGGCCCAAAAGCUUUACCAAAGUCAACUCUUAAUAGUGCGCGUACGCGCACGUUUCGUGCCCGUUUUCUCUCUGGUUUGCUCCACUUGUGCACUAAAUCUCCAAAUGUAAUUCCUUUAACACUAUAAUUAUUCACUCGUAGUAGUCUAAAAUAAAUUUCUAAAGUCCAUCAAUUAGUCGCGCGCAUGAAAACGCGAACUUCCGAUUCGUACGCGAUAAAACGCAAUUUCAAAGAAAUUCUUGUAACGAUGAUAUAACUAACUAAUACUAGGGUAAAUAAUCAUGAAAAUAACUAUUUUAGAAAUAAAAACAUGAGUCCUCACAUGAGUAUAGUAUUAAUUCCUCAAAUCUCCAAUUAAUUUGUACCAGCACGUCUUUCGGAAAACUUUCGACGCGCGCACGGUAUAAGCUUAAUUUUAACUUACUCACAUCUAAUCUCUCAAUUAACUUUUCUUAAUCUACUAGUGAUCAUUCUUAAUUCUCCAAGACUAAUGUACUCUCGGAUCGAACAGAGUCUCGAAAAACGUGUACUCCUUAUUUCUCGCUAAACGAUCCUUAGAAAAAUUAAUUUUACUAACGAGACGUGUUAAAAAUAUAAUUGAGACAUUAUUCCAUGUAAAUAAGUUUAAAAUGAUUGAAAUAAAUUAUUCAGAGAAAAUGGGUGAGUAAAUAAUUAAUUAAGCCAGAAAAAUAAAAUAAAAAUAAGAAAAUUUGGGUCCUCACAAAAUGGAGGUACAACGGGACAACCUUUUCUACACAAGGUGUCAUAUCAAGAAUAAGGUUUGAAGUGUUGUUAUUGAUAGUGGGAAUUAUGCCAAUAUAGCUAGUCUACUCAUGGUAAAAUAUCUAAGGCUCUCAGUUGUAAAAUAUCCAAGACCUUAUCGCCUUCAAUGGCUGAACAAUGAAGGGGAAGUCCGUGUGUUUAGACAAGUCAAGGUUCCAUUCCGAAUUGGCAGGUAUAAAGAUGAAGUUACUUGCAAUGUUGUGCCAAUGCAAGCAAGUCACCUCAUCCUUGAGCGACCUUGGCAAUAUGAUCGAGACGUUGAAUUCAAAGGAAGAGCUAACAAAUAUGUUUUUACUCAUUGUAAUAGAAAAGUGACUCUUGUACCCUUCACCCCAAAAUAAGUGUAUAAAGAUCAAAUAAGACUCCAAAAGGAGCAUGAGCUAGAACUUGAGAGAAAAAAACGAGAGAAAAGUGAGGAGGGAAAAAGAGAGAGUAGGGCCGAACCUCUAGGUAAGAAAAAGGCAACAAAGAGAACCAAGGGAAGCUAAGCUUGCUAGUAAAAGCCAAAGAUGUAAAGUGAGCUUUGUGAUACAUUCCUCGAUCAACUCGUUUCGAGACACGUAGCACGUUUGCCCAAGGAUCUAGCGAGAUUGUCCAACGCUUGGAUUGCGGAACCUAGAAUCAAACGGACCACACGAUUUGAUUAAAGGCAGUAGACGACAACUCCGAUGAAGGUGAAUACUCCAGGGGAAUAGGUCGGUAGAACAAUCAAGGACAAGACGCAAGAUUGCUCAACACCCUUGCCAAAGCAAGUGAAAGGCUCGAAUUCUCUCUCAAGAAGAAGAAUCGACAAUAACAAACUUUAUUGACAAAACGUCUACCUAAAACCUUACAAAGCAAGCCUAUUUAUAGGCUAAGAGUUACUAAAACCCUAAGAAAAACAAGGAAAAGGUAUUCGGCAGUCUUGGGGUCAAGAUGGGCCGGCUCAUGCUCAACUAACUAACUAAUCCAACUCUAUUAGCUACUAAGGCCUAUUGCCUACUCGGCCAACUCUCUUGGAAGUCCACUUGUCUCUUCAUGGGCUUGGAUCAUGGUGUAGAUAAUUUGGUUGUCUCCUUCCAAGCCCUCAAUAUCUCUAUGGACUCCAUGUUGGUCUUGGACAAUGCGAACAAGGGCUUGGAGGGAUUCUUUGAAGAGUUUGGCUCGUGCACGUGUGACUGGGCCCAAUAGAACCCAGACUGGGUCAUUACAUGGGCUGAGGUCCAUGCACACAUCAGUCUCCUCCUCUUGAGAAGGAUUUGCCUUCAAAUCUGGAUCCUCCUCGUCAAGAAAUGGGCUCAAGUCUGCGACAUUGAAGGUCGCGCUAACAUUAUACUCCCCCGGUAGCUCCAAUUUAUAAGCGUUGUCAUUAACUCGUUGGAGCACUCGAAAGGGUCCAUCUCCCCGUGGGGAUAACUUGUUUUGUCGUUGCUUGGGAAAUCUCUCCUUCCUUAAGUGAAGCCAAACCCAGUCUCCAGGCUCAAAAAUCAUCUUACAACGGUGCUUGUUGGUUGCUGGAUGUAUUGCUGAGUACGCCUCUCAAUGUUUGCCCUAACGGCUUCAUGUAACCUGUGCACAAAAUCAACUUUCUUUUUCCCAUCUAAGCUUGUGUGCUCAGAGGAAGGUAAGGGUACCAAAUCCAGGGGGGUCAGGGGGUUAAAGCCAUAAACAACCUCAAAAGGUGAGUAGUGUGUUGCACUAUGAAUAGUAUGAUUGUAGGCAAAUUCAACAUGAGGCAAACACUCUUCCCAAGUUUUAAGAUUCUUUUUAAUCAAAGCCUGGAGUAGAGUACCAGGUGUGCGAUUGACAACUUCAAUUUAGCCAUCGCUUUGUGGAUGACUGGUGAUGAAGAAUAACAAUCUAGUGCCAAGCUUAGACCACAAAGUCUUCCAGAAAUAACUCAAGAACUUGACGUCUCUAUCACUAUCAAUGGUUUUAGGCAUGCCAUGCAGACGAACAAUUUUUUUGAAGAACAAAUUAGCAAUAUGAGAUGCAUCGUCUGUUUUGUGACAGGGGAUAAAAUGUGCCAUCUUAGAGAAUCUAUCAACCACGACAAAGAUGGAAUCAUUACCCCUCGGUGACCUAGGUAGGCCUAAGACAAAGUCCAUAGACAAGUCUACCCAAGGAAAGUGAGGAAUAGGCAAUAGGGUAUACAGGCCAUAUGGAUUUGUUUUAGAUUUUGCCUUAUGACAAGUGACACAUCUACCAACCAUGCGUUCAACAUCCCUACGCAUGUGUGGCCAGUAAAAGUGCUCUUGUAACAUGACUAGAGUCUUAACAAUGCCAAAGUGUCCCAUGAGACCACCACUGUGGGCCUCUCUAACCAAAAGAUCACGAAUGGAAGAGUUAGGGACACACAAUUUAUCCACAUAAAAUAAAAAUCCAUUGUGCAAGAAAUACUUUCCAUGUGGACGCUUUGUACAAGAUGCAUAGAUUUUCCCAAAGUCAUGGUCAUGGGUAUAUAUCUCCUUGAGCAUCUCAAACCCUAACAACUUGGCAUCAAGAACAGCAAGCAAAGAAUGUCUACGAGAUAAAGCAUCAGCAACCACAUUCGUUUUGCCAGUUUUGUACUUAAUGACAUAGAAGAAGGUGUCGAUAAAACUUACCCAUUUGGCAUGGUGCUUGCUUAACUUUGGUUGGCCCUUGAGAAAUUUCAAGGAUUCGUGAUCAGUGUGUAUCACGAACUCCCUUGGGCGGAGGUAGUGUUGCCAGGUCUCCAAUGCUCUUACAAAUGCGUAAAGCUCUUUGUCAUACGUGGGAUAGUUCAGGGCAGCACCUCCCAGCUUCUCACUGAAGAACGCACAAGGCCUCUUGUCUUGCAUGAGGACAGCGCCAAUACCUACACCCGAAGCAUCACAUUCAAUUUCAAAAGUUUUGUUAAAGUUAGGUAAUGCUAGAACAGGUGCAUGUGUGAGUUUGUCUUUGAGGGUGAGAAACGCUUGUUCUUGGGCCUCCUCCCAAUGGAACUUGUCAUUCUUCUUGGUCACGGCCGUCAGUGGGGCGGCAAUGGUGCUGAAAUCUUUGACAAAUCACCGGUAGAAACCUGCCAAUCCAUGGAAGCUAUGCACCUCAUGGACGGAUGUUGGAGUCGGCCAUUGCUUGAUGGCCUCAAUCUUGGACUCGUCCACUUUGAUUCCCUGUGAGCUCACUACAUAUCCUAAGAACACAAGCUCGUUAGUACGAAAGUUGCACUUCUUAAGGUUAGCGUAUAGACGCGCCUGUCGAAGUGUCUCGAGAACUAAUCUCACAUGCUCCAUGUGCUCUCAGAAUAUCGUCAAAGUAAACAAUAACAAAUUUUUCAAUGAAAUGCCUCAAAACAUGGUUCAUUAGUCGCAUGAAUGUACUAGGGGCGUUAGUCAACCCAAAAGGCAUGACUAGCCACUCGUAGAGAGCAUGUUUGGUUUUGAAGGUCGUUUUCCAUUGAUCACCUUCUUUUAUCCUAAUUUGAUGAUAGCCACUCCUCAAAUCAAUUUUGGUAAAGAUUAUAGCUCCAUCGAGUUCAUCAAGCAUAUCAUCUAAUCUAGGAAUGGGAUGACGAUAUUUCACAGUAAUAGCAUUAACGGCCCUACAGUCAGUGCACAUGUGCCAAGUACCAUCCUUUUUGGGGACAAGUACCACAGGCACAGCACAAGGACUUAGACUCUCUUUUACCCAACCCUUACCUAAUAGGCCAUCAACUUGCUGUUGAAGCUCCUUUGUCUCCUCAGGACCCAUGCGGUAAGCAGGUUUGUUGGGUAAUGGCGCUCCAGGAAUCAGGUCGAUUUGGUGCUCGAUUCCCCGAAUGGGUGGUAAGCCAUCAGGGACCUCAUCAGGGAAAACAUCCUCAAAUUCCUGCAAAAGAGCAACCAUACUCGAAGGCAAUGCCUUAUCGAGCUCAGCAACAUCUAAGAGCACAUGUUUGCAAAUCAGGAGAAGUACAGGCUGAUCAGAAUUCACAACGUUUCUAAUGUCCUUAGCCUUAAUGAUCAUGUUUUGCUUCCUAGUGGGUGGUUUGUCAUGCGGAACGCUAGGUGUGCUCAUUUGUCCCUUGGUCGAUUGCUCACUUGUAGAAGUGGAGCUCUUGCCAGGGUCGGUCGUCUUUGGCUUUCGCUUUUGACGGUCUAUGUCACACUCCCUUUACAAUUUUAAUUGGUCCUCAUAAACUUGUGCAGGUGUGAGUGGUGUGAGGACCUUACGUUUACUAUCGUGCAGAAGUGUGUACUUAUUUGCCCUUCCAUCGAAUGUGACGUGUUUGUCAAAUUGCCAGGGUCUCCUCAAGAUGACAUGUGUAGCAUGCAUAGGCACUACGUCACAUACAACUUCAUCAGUGUAACUACCAAUGAAGAAGGGAACGCGUACCUAUUUGAAGACACGUACCUCGCCAUCCUCACUCAGCUAUUGGAGGCGGUAAGGAUGUGGAUGUCGAGUAGUUGGGAGCUCUAGACUCUCAACCAUGAGCAAGCUCGCCACAUUCAUGCAACUCCCACCAUCGAUGAUGAGGCUACACACUUUGUCACCUAUUUUACAACGAGUGUAAAAUAGGUUCUCUUUUUGUAAUUGCUCGUCCUCCUUAACUCGGGCGGUUAGCACUCGUCGUGCCACCAAGCAACCUACUUCCCCUUGUGUAGGCGAGCAAGCAUUCGCAGCUGAAUCAUCUUCCAGGCAGUCGUCGUUGACCAAUUCGGCCACCUCCUCACAAUCGUCAUCAUCGGACACGAUCUCACCAUUGUGAGUGAUUAACAUGACCCGUUGGUUUGGACAUUGGGAUUGAAUAUGUCCAAACCCUUGGCAUUUAAAACACUUGAUGUCCCUACUUCUAGUCUUAGGAGUCUCAUGUGGUGCCUUAGAGGUAGACCUGGAUGCAUCAAGAGCUUUGUUAGGGGUAAAAUUGGUAUUACGGGCAGAGGCAUUACCUUGAAUUCGGCUAGAAGAAGUUGGUGUAGCCGAAUUUCCAACUUCGUGGGUUGUUCGCCGUGGGAGGUUUCCCUUCCAGGAAGGCGAGUUGGAAGUUUGGUAGGUACGGGCCCCACGCCUCAAUUUCUUUCCCCUCUCAGCCUUGAUGGCUAACUCAAGAAGGUCAUGGAUGUCCACAUAAUGUUGGAGCUCCAAGGCUUCCUGAAGGUCAGGAUUGAGACCUCUAAGAAACCUGGCCAUGGUCGUUUCGCCAUCCUCUUGAAUGUUUGCCAUCAUCAUGGCUAUUUCGAUCUCCUUGUAAUAAUCCUCUACACUCAUGUUGCCUUGAGUGAGGGUUUGCAGUUUGGAGUGGAGAUCUCGAUUGUAGUAGCUUGGAACGAAUCGCUUGCUCAUCAAUGCCUUGAGUUCUCGCCAAGUUCGGACGCGUGGUUCUCUCAUUCUCCUUCUAUGGGUCCUUACUUGGUCCCACCAGACUAGGGCGUAGUCGGUGAAUUCAACGGUGGCAAUCUUAACCUUUUGUUCCUCACUAUAGUCAUAACAGUCGAAGACCAUCUCGAUACGGCCUUCCCAUUCCAAGUAAGCCUCAGGAUCACUCUUGCCUUUGAAUGCGGGGACUUGGAUUUUGAGUCCCUUGAGUUCGUUUUUAGAGGUGUCUCUCGUAGGCCUCUCAGCACGUUCAUCAUCCUCACUACCCGAGUAGGCUUCACUAUUUGCUCCUCUGGUGUCACGGUUACUCCGGUUGUGAGAUCUAGAACGAGAGCCUCGUGUGAGACUCUUGGAGAGUUCAUCAAAGCGAGUGUGCAAUUCCUCCAUUUGUUGCUCACUAACUCGCCUGAGCUCGUUCUUCAUGGCGGUGAACAUCAAGGAGUAGUCAGUGGGUGGUUGUUGUUGCUCCAUGUCUCUCUUGACGCCUUGCAAAAGGUUAGAAACAAGAAGAAAUAGUGCAAUUAUAUCCUCACUUCACUCCCUUAGUGGAUCACUCUCGCUCACGUUUGUCACUCAAGUCACUCUUGAAACAAUCUUACCCAAGGCCUUCACCUAUCGGUUUAGGUAGGUGAGAAAUGCUGCUCGAGUCCAAUUAUCGCCACCGACUUUUCCCACAAGAAUGUUCACGAGUGUAAGACACCAAUGUGGAUGGAAAAUGAGGUGAAAGGGACGGAUUUGAAAGGGAGGUAGUGACGGACAGCAAGGGGUGCGCCAAUGUGAAUAAAAAGGACAAGAAACCCUAGUUUCCUAAAAAGUAGGAGUGAAUGUAGGAGAGUAUUCCUAAAAUAUAGGAGAGAAUAUAGGAAAGUGUCCAAGUAAAACGAAAGAGUUAUCCAAGUAUUUUACUUAGUUUCCUAAAUUGAUUUGGAAGACAAGUUAGUUUUGAAACUCUUUAGAAAUCCUUUCUUAAACAACUUUUGGAAACUUCCAAAUUCCUUUCCAAGAAUGCUUCCAAGUCUGAUUUGGUCUUCACCUCUCUCAACCGAAAAUUUCCAGAUUUCCUCCUUCCAAAUUACUUCACCAAUGUCGGUUGGAUUCUUAUAAAACCCUUCCAAGGCAGCUGAUGUGUGCACGAGUCUCGGCCCACGCAAUGACCCAAUCCGAGUCCCAUUGGGCCCAGUCACACGGGCACGGGCCAAGCUCUUCAAAGAAUCACUCCAAGCUCUGGUUAGAGUCAUCCAAGACCAACAUGGAGUUCACAAAGAUAUUGAGGGCUUGGAGAGAGACAAUCGAGUCGUUUACACCAUGAUCCAAGCCCAUGAAGACUCAAGUGGACCUCCAAGAGAAUCGGCCGAGUAGGGCCUUAGUCUUUGAUAUUUAUUAGAUUGGAUUAGUUGCUUAAUAGAAUGGACCGGCCCAUCUUUACACCAAGAUGGCCGACCACCCCUUUAGGGUUUCUUAGGGUUUCUUUUAUUGUUACCUCUAGCCUAUAAAUAGGCUUGCUUUGUAAGGUUUAAGGGUAGACGUUUUAUCAAUAAAGUUUGCAUACUUUUCGAUUCUUCUUGAGAGAGAGAUUCGACCCUUUACUUGCUCUGGCAAAGGGUUUUGAGCAAUCUUGCGUCUCGUCCUAGAUUGUUCUACCGACCUAUCCCGUGGAGUAUCCACCUUCAUUGGAGUCGUCGUCCUACCGUCUUGAAUCAAAUCGUGUCGUCCGUUUGGUUCUAGAUCUCGCAAUUCCAAGCGUUGGACAUCCUCGCUAGAUCCUUGGGCAAACGUGCUACGUGUCUCGAAACAAGUUGAUCGAGGAACGUAUCAGUUGGUAUCAGUUGGCUUCAGAGCUUUGGUAGAGGUAUCUUUCGUUAUAUCCUUAUUUUUCGUAGUUGUGUCAUAGGAUCUUGUGUUAUUUUCCGCUGCCUUGUGUCAAAAAAAAAAAAACUCUGUUCGUUUAAGUUGUUAUUCUUGUUGCACCGUUUUCAUUAAAAGAAAAAGGAGAACAAAAUUCUGUUUGUGUCGUUAGUGUUCUUGUCGUUGAGCCUUGCUCUAAUCUGUCCACAAUUUUGUUCUUGGAGUCGUUGUUGCGUAACAUUCUGGCCGUAAGUGUUACUCCUUGUUUGUCUCCAAUUUGUCCGUAUCUUUGUUGCGUCCUUCCAAAAAAAUAAAAUAGCAAAACAGAAAUUUCUGUCCGUUAGUUGUUUCUUCCAUUGUAGCGUCGCGUAUUGUUCCAAUUCUGUCCGCAACUUGCUUGUUGUGUUGCAUCGUAGUUGUUUGUAAAUCUGUCCAAAUUGUGCGUUCUAAUCUGACCAGAUUUUACUCCCUGCUGUUGCACCGAAUUCUGCCAGCAUCUUAUCAUAGCCGAACUACAAAAGAAAAAAAAAUAAAAGGAACGGCUAGGGUUUUGUGCGGCUAGGGUUUCCCUUGGUUGUCAAAUCUGUCCAAGUGUUCAAUUGUUUAUCUAAGUUGUUUUAGUUAGUUUUUUAAACAGAUUUGUGGUUCAAACUUGUUGGAGUUGAGCAUCUUGAAGGGAACUACAAACAUCUUGAGGGUUCUUGAAGUUCUUGAUUACUCUCUUGAAAUUUUUGAAAGUCUUGGAGAAAAUCUUGCUAGUUUGAGGAAGUUGGGUUGUGUGUUUUGCGAGUUGAGGGCUGACCUCAAUUCUGGAAUUUUAUUCCAGUUCGGCCAAGUAGUGAUAUUCAUUUGAUAUAUAUAUAUAAAAAAAAAGAAAACAGAAACGAAAACAAGAAGAAAGCCAUUCGGGUGGGACAAACCAAACAAAGAAGAGCCGAACAAGAAAGAGGAAAACUUGGUUUGCUUAUUGCCAACUCAGAUUUGUUACAUCUUGGGGUACCAAAACCAGAAAAUUACACCAAGGAAAAGAAAAGAAAUUCAAAAGUUUUGACCUACCUCUUCUUGAAAUUCUUGAUCACCUUGAACUUUGAUUACUUGUACUACCUUUUGAGGUUCUUGGAAUUCUUGAUUAUCUUGGGUCUUGAAUAGGGGUGUGCAAAGUCGAAAAAUUUCGAUUUCAAAUUCGAUUUCGAUUUGAAUUCGGAAGUUCGAAUUCGGAAGUUCGGUAAUUCGGUAGUGAAUUCGGUAUUUUCGAUUUCGAAUAUGUCGAAUUCGGGUCGAAUUCGAAACUAUAAUUUUUGAAAACGGAAUUACCGAAUUCGAAUUACCAAUUCGAAUUCGGAAUUCGGAAUUGAAAAUUCGAUAUCGAAUUCGAAGAAUAAUAUUUAUAUAUAAUAUAAUAAUUUUUAACAAUACAUAUAUAAUAUAUAUUAUAAUAUUAUAUAACAUAAAAUAAGUUAAUAAUUGAAAUUAAAAUUGAAAGCCAAAAACCCUAAUCUUUUCAGUUUUCACUUACUCACCAGUCACCUUAGCUCUUCCGCCGCCCUCUUCGGCUCUUCCUCAUCGCCUCUCCGUCACCUUCGUCACCUUCCUCAUCGUCUCAGCCUCUUCAUCACCUUCCUCUUCGUCACUGGCAAAGAUUUGGCUUCUCGAGGUAGAGAGUUUGCUCAAGGGACUACUAUAUAAUACUAUCCCUGUCAUCAAGGUCUCCAGCAAGGAUCAGAUCCAUGCCCUCAACGAGGAGCUAAAUAACUUCGAAAAAAUUUUCAGAAGGUCUACCGAGUACUAGAAGCAAAUCAUAGCAAUUUGGCAAAGAAGUGGUCAGGGAGUUAGCAUCGCUCGCAUCAUCCUUUGGUGUCAAAGAAAUCACAAGCUAGGGGGUAAGAAAAUUACUCUGUGUGUUGCUUUAGAUGUCGUCCCUUCAAAGAAAACCACUGGAAUUUGGACUGGUUUGGACUGUAAUUGCUGGAAUUGUUUGGACUGGUUUGGACUGUAAUUGUUUGGACUGGAAUUUACAUAGUGACUCUGAUUUGGACUGUAAUUGUUUUGUAUUAUUUCCUGGAAUUGUUUUGUAUUUCCUGCAUUUACUUUGAACAGGUUUCUGUUUUUUAUUCCGACUGUUUUUGAACAGGUUUCUUGAAAGAAAUGAGAGGGCCAAAAAAAAAAAAAAAAAGAAUUCGGUGAAUUCGGAAUUCACCGAAUUCCGAAUUCAAUUCGGCAGCGAAUUCGAAUUCGGAAGUUGCCAUUUCGAAAUCGAAUUCGGUCGGUGAAAUUGAAGCCAAAUUUCCGAAAAAUUCCGAAUUCAACUUCCGAAUUACCGAAUUCGAAUUCGAUGCACACCCCUAGUCUUGAACACUUGCACCUCCCUUCGAACAAAAAGUUUCUUGUAAGAUCUUGCAUCCAUACGAGGCUUCCUUGUUUUAGGAGUAAAUUUCUUGGGAGUUUCUUGAGCAAGUCGCUUGGGGGAAUCUUGGGUAACAUUACUUGCAUUAUCUUGGGAGGCCAUUAUCUUGAAACAAGAACCAAGGCUGCCUUGCCUUGCAAAGAGAGGGGGGAGCCGAAUUGUCUUGUUCCUUGAAGAGGGGAGGGAGCCGAAUUGCUUGGGGCUAGUUGCGGCUAAGAGAGAGGGAGUUUUAUAGGGGAGUAACUGACUUGGGCAAAGGUUUAAGUGGGAGAAAAUCUGGAAAGUUUCGGCCAAAGGGAAGAAAGGUUGAAUCUGAUUUGGAGAAGCCAUUGGAAGUGUUAAAGGUUGUUCAAAAGAGGACUUCAAGUCUGACUUGUUUUCCCAAUUGGUUUAGGAAACUAAGUAAAUACUUGGAUCACCCUUUAAUCACUUGGACACCUCCCUAUUUCCUCUCCUUGCUUUAAGGGACCACUCCUACUUUCACUCCUACGUUUUAGGAACCACUCCUAUAUCUUAGGAAUCCUAGGGUUUCUUUUCCUAGCAUUACUUCCAAGUCUGUCCGCCACAAUUAACCUUCCAAAACCGUCCUUACCAGUCCAAAGUCUCAUCCAAUUGUGUCCUAUACUCUUACUUACUCUUACGGGGGAAAAGUUGGUGACGAUUAUUGGACUUGAGCACGAUUUCUCAACUACCUACUCCAAUAGGUAAGGGUACUUGGUAAGUCUACUAAGAGUGUUUUGAGUGCUAUACACGAGCAUGAGUGAUACACUCAGGGAGUGAAGUGAAGACACAUUUGCACUAUUCUUGUACUACUAACCUUUUGCAGGGCGUAAGGAGAGACAUGGAGCAAGAUCAACAACCGCCUUCCAAAGACUAUUCUCUGUUGUUCACCGCCAUGAGGCAUGAGCUCAAAGGCAUUAGUGAGCAACAAAUGGAGGAGUUGCACACCCGGUUUGACGAACUCGCCAAGAGUCUCACCCCAGGCUCUCGUUCUGGAUCACGCAACCGGAGUAGCCGUGGUCUCAAAGGAGCACCCAGUGAGGACUACUCCGCCAGUGAAGACGACGAGCCACCCGAGAAGCCUCGACGAGACACGCCUAAUAACGAACUCAAGGGGCUUAAAAUUCAAGUCCCCGCAUUCAAAGGCAAAAGUGACCCUGAAGCUUACUUGGAGUGGGAAGGCCGUAUCGAGAUGGUCUUCGACUGCUACGAUUACAGUGAGGAACAAAAGGUUAAAAUUGCCACCGUGGAGUUCACCGACUACGCAAUAGUCUGGUGGGACCAAGUAAGGACCCAUAGGAGGAGGAUAGGCGAACCACGUGUUCGGACUUGGCGAGAACUCAAGGCACUGAUGCGCAAGCGAUUUGUUCCUAGCUACUACAAUUGCGAUUUCCACUCUAAACUUCAAACUCUCACUCAAGGCAACAUGAGUGUGGAAGAUUACUACAAAAAGAUUGAGAUGGCCAUGAUGAGGGCCAACAUUCAAGAGGACAAUGAAGCCACGAUGGCUAGGUUUCUUAGAGGUCUCAAUCCUGACCUUCAAGAAGCCUUGGAGCUCCAACAUUACUUGGACAUGCACGACCUUCUAGAACUCGCUAUUAAGGCCGAGCGGGGGAAGAAACUAAGACGAGGAGCACGUACUUUCCAACCUUCUAACACCACUUCAUGGAGGGGCAACCAACCACGAAGGGCGACCCACGAAGUUGGAAGUGCGGCGAUACCAACCUCUUCUAACCGAAUCCAAGGUAACGCCUCUAACCUUAAUUCCUAUUCUACCCCUAACAAGGUUUUCGAUGCAUCCAGGUCCACUUCAAAGGCACCGCAUGAGACUCCUAAGGCUAGGAGUAGAGACAUCAAGUGUUUCAAAUGCCAAGGGUUUGGGCAUAUUCAGUCUCAGUGUCCAAACCAAAUGGUCAUGCUCAUCACUCACAAUGGCGAGAUUGUGUCUGAUGAUGACCAUUGUGAGGAGAUGCCCGAAUUGGUCAAAGACGACUGCCUGGAAGACGAGUCAGCUGAGGAAGAUUGCUCGCCUACCCAAGGAGAAGUAGGGUGCUUGGUGGCACGACGAGUGCUAACCGCCCGAGUUAAGGAGGACGAGCAACUGCAACGCGAGAACCUGUUUUACACCCACUGUAAGGUAGGAGACAAGGUGUGUAGUCUCAUCAUCGACGGUGGGAGUUGCACGAAUGUGGCGAGCCUACUCAUGGUUGAGAGCUUAGGGCUCCCCACUACUAAACAUCCACACCCUUAUCGCCUCCAAUGGCUGAGUGAGGAUGGAGAGGUACGGGUCUUCAAACAGGUACGCGUUCCCUUUUCCAUUGGCACUUACACUGAUGAAGUUGUUUGUGACGUCGUGCCUAUGCAUGCAACCCAUGUCAUCCUGGGGAGACCCUGGCAAUUUGACAAACACGUCACAUUCGACGGAAGGGCAAACAAGUACACCCUCUUACAUGAUGGCAAACGCAAAGUCCUCACCCCACUUACACCUGCACAAGUGUAUGAGAACCAAUUUAAGUUACAAAGAGAGUGUGAACAAGAUCGUCAAAGGAGGAAACCAAAGGCGGUCGACCCUGGCAACGGCUCCACUUCUGCAAGUGAGUCAUCGACCAAGGGUCAAGAAAGCACACCUAGGGUUACACGUGACAAAUCACCCGCGACACAUACCACUAGGAAGCAAAACAUGAUUAUUAAGGCUAAGGACGUUAGAAAAGUUGUGAAUUCUGACCAGCCUGUACUUCUCAUGAUUUGCAAACACGUGCUCUUGGAUGUUGCUGAGCUCGAUAAGGCAUUGCCUGCGAGUAUGGUAGCUUUCUUGCAGGAAUUUGAGGAUGUUUUCCCUGACGAGGUCCCUGAUGGCUUACCACCCAUUCGAGGGAUUGAACACCGAAUCGACCUCAUUCCUAGAGCACCAUUACCCAACAAACCUGCUUACCGCAUGGGCCCUGAGGAGACCAAGGAGCUUCAAAGGCAAGUUGAUGGCCUCUUAGGUAAGGGUUGGGUGAAAGAGAGUCUAAGUCCUUGCGCUGUGCCUGUGAUACUUGUCCCCAAAAAGGAUGGUACUUGGCGCUUGUGCACUGACUGUCGGGCUGUAAAUGCUAUCACUGUCAAAUAUCGUCAUCCCAUUCCUAGACUUGAUGAUAUGCUUGAUGAACUCGAUGGUGCCAUUAUUUUCAUCAAAAUUGACUUAAGAAGUGGCUAUCAUCAAAUUAAGAUGAAAGAAGGCGAUUAGUGAAAAACAGCCUUCAAAACCAAACAUGGUCUCUAUGAGUGGCUAGUCAUGCCUUUUGGCUUGACUAAUGCUCCUAGCACCUUCAUGCGACUAAUGAACCAUGUUUUGAGACAUUUUAUUGGCAAGUUUGUCAUUGUUUAUUUUGAUGGCAUCCUGAUCUAUAGUCGUAGUGAGCAUGAGCACUUAGAGCAUGUUAGAUUAGUUCUUGAGACACUUCGACAGGUGCAUCUAUACGCCAACCUCAAGAAGUGCACAUUUUGUACUAACGAGCUUGUGUUUUUAGGCUAUGUGGUAAGUUCGCAGGGCAUCAAGGUGGACAAAUCCAAGAUUGAGGCCAUCGAGCAAUGGCCAACUCCCACAUCCGUCCCUGACGUGUGCAGCUUUCUUGGAUUGGCGGGCUUUUACCGGCGCUUUGUCAAAGAUUUUAGCACCAUUGCCGACAAGUUCCACUGGGGAGAAUCACAAGAACAAGCAUUUCUCGCCCUCAAGGACACACUCACACAUGCACCUGUGUUAGCAUUACCAAAUUUUCACAAGACUUUUGAAAUUGAAUGUGAUGCUUCUAGUGUAGGUAUUGGAGCAGUCCUCAUGCAAGACAAGAGGCCUUGCGCCUUCUUUAGUGAGAAAUUGGGAGGAGCUGCAUUAAACUACCCCACGUACGACAAGGAGUUGUAUGCAUUAGUGAGGGCCUUGGAGACCUAGCAACACUAUCUUCGCCCUCGGGAGUUCGUGAUCCACACUGAUCACGAGUCAUUGAAGUACCUCAAGGGGCAACCCAAGUUGAGUAAGAGACAUGCCAAAUGGGUAAGCUCCAUUGACACCUUCUCUUAUGUCAUUAAGUAUAAAACUGGCAAAAGGAAUGUGGUAGCUGAUGCCUUAUCACGUAGACAUUCAUUGCUUGCCCUUCUGGAUGCCAGGUUACUAGGGUUCGAAAUGGUUAAGGAACUCUACACAAAUGAUCAUGACUUUGGUGAUAUCUAUGUUGCAUGUGUUAAGAACCCGCAUGGAAAAUACUACUUGCAUGAUGGAUUUCUAUUCCAUGUAGAUAAACUGUGUGUGCCUAAUUCUUCCAUUCGUGAUCUUUUGAUUCGUGAGGCACAUAGUGGUGGUCUCAUGGGCCACUUUGGCAUUGCCAAGACUCUAGCCAUGUUACAAGAGCACUUUUACUGGCCCCAUAUGCGUAGAGAUGUUGAACGCAUGGUUGGUAGGUGUGCUACUUGUCACAAGGCAAAAUCUAAGACAAACCCAUAUGGCUUGUAUACCCUAUUACCUAUCCCUCACCAUCCUUGGGUUGACUUGUCUAUGGACUUUGUACUAGGUUUGCCUAGAUCACCAAGGGGUAAUGACUCCAUAUUUGUAGUGGUUGAUAAUUUUCUAAAAUGGCACAUUUUAUUCCUUGUCACAAAACUGACGAUGCAUCUCAUAUUGCUAAUUUAUUCUUCAAAGAGAUUGUCCGUCUGCAUGGCAUGCCUAGGACUAUUGUUAGUGACAGAGAUGUGAAGUUCCUGAGUUACUUUUGGAAGACUUUGUGGUCCAAACUAGGCACUAGGUUAUUAUUCUCCACCACUAGUCAUCCACAAAGCGAUGGACAAACUGAAGUUGUCAAUCGCACACUUGGCACUUUACUUCGGGCCUUGAUUAAAAAGAAUCUUAAGUCUUGGGAGGAGUGCUUACCUCAUGUUGAAUUUGCCUACAAUCGAACUGUGCAUAGUGCAACACAAUAUUAUCCCUUUGAGAUUGUUUAUGGCUUCAACCCCCUGACCCCCCUUGAUUUGGUGCCCUUACCUUCCUCUGAGCACACAAGCUUAGAUGGGAAAAAGAAAGCUAACUUUGUGCGCAGGUUACAUGAAGCCGUGCAAGCAAACAUUGAGAAGCGUACGCAGCAAUAUAUCCAGCAAGCCAACAAGCACCGUCGCGAGAUGAUUUUUGAGCCUGGAGAUUGGGUUUGGCUACACUUGAGGAAAGAGCGAUUCCCUAAGCAACGUCAAAGCAAGUUGUCCCCCAGAGGUGAUGGACCAUUUCGAGUACUCCAAAGAGUCAAUGACAACGCAUACCAGUUGGAGCUACCUGGGGAGUACAAUGUUAGUGCGACUUUCAACGUCGCAGACCUAAGUCCAUUUCAUGACGAGGAAGAUCCAGAUUUGAGGGCAAAUUCUUCUCAAGAGGAGGGGACUGAUGUGUGCACGAGUCUCAGCCCACGCAAUGACCCAGUCCGAGUCCCAUUGGGCCCAGUCACACGGGCACGGGCCAAGCUCUUCAAAGAAUCACUCCAAGCUCUGGUUAGAGUCGUCCAAGACCAACAUGGAGUUCACAAAGAUAUUGAGGGCUUGGAGAGAGACAAUCGAGUCGUUUACACCAUGAUCCAAGCCCAUGAAGACUCAAGUGGACCUCCAAGAGAAUCGGCCGAGUAGGGCCUUAGUCUUUGAUAUUUAUUAGAUUGGAUUAGUUGCUUAAUAGAAUGGACCGGCCCAUCUUUACACCAAGAUGGCCGACCACCCCUUUAGGGUUUCUUAGGGUUUGUUUUAUUGUUACCUCUAGCCUAUAAAUAGGCUUGCUUUGUAAGGUUUAAGGGUAGACAUUUUAUCAAUAAAGUUUGCAUAUUUUUCGAUUCUUCUUGAGAGAGAGAUUCGACCCUUUACUUGCUCUGGUAAGGGUUUUGAGCAAUCUUGCGUCUCGUCCUAGAUUGUUCUACCCACUUAUCCCGUGGAGUAUCCACCUUCAUUGGAGUCGUCGUCCUACCGUCUUGAAUCAAAUCGUGUCGUCCGUUUGGUUCUAGAUCUCGCAAUUCCAAGCGUUGGACAUCCUCGCUAGAUCUUUGGGCAAACGUGCUACGUGUCUCAGAUUUGCAGCUAGGGUUUGCUAAGUGCGGCUAGGAUUUCUUCUUGUUUUCAAAUCUGUCCAAGUAGCUACAUGAGUCAUCCGAGUUGUUUUAUUAAUUUUCUAAACUGAAUUUUUGUUAAAACUUGUUGGGGUUGGGAAUCUUGAAGAGAACCUACCAGAUUUUAGGGUUUCUUGAAGUUCUUGGUUACUACCUAGAAGUUCUUGAAAUACUUGAAAGUAUCUUGCAAGAUCUUGGCGUUUUGGGCUGUUGGAUUGUGUGUUAUUGGGAGUUGAGGGCUGACAUUAUUUCUGGAAUUUUUACUACUUCAGCCGAAUAUUUGUAUUGUUGUUUGCGUCAAAAAAAAAAACAGAGUCGAAAGAAGAAAAGAAGAAAGCAAUUCGGGUGGAACAAAAGGGUGAACAAGAAAGGACUUGGUUCUUUUAUUGCCAAGACAACAACCCUUACAUAUUGUUUCUAAACCAACCAGAGAACUUCCCUUUGUUUCCUUGUUGAACACGGACAGGUUGUAGACAACAACAAUACAUGACUUUGGAUAGAAGUUGGACACAAAACAUGGUCAUGUUGUCAAGGCAACAAACGAUGCAUGCAUGGACAGAUUUGAUCCAAAACAAGCGACACAAUUACGGACAGAUUUAGAAGCAACAACAUGGUGCGAAACGGCCAGAAAUUUGGCACAACAAAAGGAGACUCCAUGGUCAGAAUACUUCGAAUAGCAAUACACAAAGCAUACGGGCAGAAUUGAACAAGAAAGACGUGACAGAAUUGACGCAACAAGACACAAAAAUUGCGGACAGAUUUUUUUUUUUCAAUGAACGACGCAACAAGAACACAACGAUAACAAAUUGAAUUUGUUUUUUUUUUUAACAGAAGGCAGCGGAAACAAGGAAAACUAAGACAAAAACUACGGAUAUAACGGAAGAUACCUCUACCAAAGCUCUGAUACCAACUGAUACGUUCCUCGAUCAACUUGUUUCGAGACACGUAGCACGUUUGCCCAAGGAUCUAGCGAGAUUGUCCAAUGCUUGGAUUACGGAACCUAGAAUCAAACGGACGACAUGAUUUGAUUAAAGGCAGUAGACGACAACUCCGAUGAAGGUGAAUACUCCAGGAGAAUAGGUCGGUAGAACAAUCAAGGACAAGACGCAAGAUUGCUCAACACCCUUGCCAAAGCAAAUGAAAGGCUCGAAUUCUCUCUCAAGAAGAAGAAUCGACAAUAACAAACCUUAUUGAUAAAACAUCUACCUAAAACCUUACAAAGCAAACCUAUUUAUAGGCUAAGAGUUACUAAAACCCUAAGAAAAAUAAGGAAAAGGCAUUCGGCCAUCUUGGGGUCAAGAUGGGUAGGCCCAUGCUCAACUAACUAACUAAUCCAACUCUAUUAGCUACUAAGGCCUAAUUCCUACUCGGCCAACUCUCUUGGAAGUCCACUUGUCUCUUCAUGGGUUUGGAUCAUGGUGUAGAUAAUUUGGUUGUCUCCUUCCAAGCCUUCAAUAUCUCUAUGGACUCCAUGUUGGUCUUGGACAAUGCGAACAAGGGCUUGGAGGGAUUCUUUGAAGAGUUUGGCCCGUGCACGUGUGACUGGGCCCAAUGGAACCCAGACUGGGUCAUUUCAUGGGCUGAGGUCCAUGCACACAUCACUUUGUCUUCCAACCAACUUUUACUUGUACUUCUGUGCAAGGAAGAGUUGGUUAUUUUAUCCUUACCUACUAACUCUUUACUUUCCAAUGUUUUAUCUCUCUUGCAGGAGUUUGAGGACAUAUUCCCUGAGGACGUGCCCGAUGAACUACCACCCCUAAGGGGAUUUGAGCACCAAAUUGACCUCAUUUCGGGAGCUCCACUGCCUAACAAACCUGCCUAUCGAAUGGGCCCUGAGGAAACAAAAGAGUUGCAAAGGCAAGUGGAGGAAUUACUAAGGAAAGGCUGGGCUUGAGAAAGUCUAAGUCCAUGUGUUGUACCCGUGAUUCUGGUGCCAAAGAAGGAUAGAGCUUGGAGGAUGUGCACCGACUGUAGGGCAGUCAAUGCUAUCAUGAUAAAAUAUCAUCACCCUAUCCCUAGGUUAGAUGAUAUGUUGGAUGAACUGCAUGGUGUCAUUAUUUUUACCAAAAUUGACUUGAAAAGUGGUUAUCACCAAAUAAGAAUGAAAGAAGGAGUUGAGUGGAAAAUCGCUUUCAAAACUAAACAUAGUUUGUAUGAGUGGUUACUAAUGCCUUUUGGUUUAACUAAUGCACCCAGUACCUUCAUGCGUUUAAUGAACCAUGUUUGAUACUGAUGCGAACCCGAAUCUCCAAGCUCCCGCUCUUGAAGAAACGAAUUGCACAGACAGCGGAAGGAUCUAUCUUGAUCAGGCUAUGGACAAAUUUGGUGGAUUCUAAACCAAUCAAGGACAACUCGAGAUUGAUUAGAAGGAUAGAAGGCGCCACAAUUCAACAUGGUCUUGAGUUGAUAAGCCGAUUUGAAUCCUCGAGACCAACUCUAAGGUAUUCAAAGUCGCUUCAAAGAAGCCAAGAGAAAACUCUCAAUUUUUAAUUCAUAAAAUGUCUACCCUUAUUAAUGAAAAUUGAUGCCUAUUUAUAGGCUUACAAGACUCAACUCCUAACACAAUUAGAAUAAGGAAACUAACAAGGCUUUGCAAAGAACUUGGAAACCCACGGCCCUUAUCUCUUGAGACUGCCGAAUACCUAACCUAAAGACUAGCUAAUGGAUCUGUGAUACCCCGACUUUUAGGAUAUUACGGUUUCUAUAUUUUAUUUUUUUAUUUAAGACAUUGUUUUGUUUUAAAGAUUAGAAACCCUAAAUUCUAAUCAAAAGAAAAAAAAUCCCAGUUUACUUGUGACUAACCGGUUUUCUUAAAUCUCUUAUAUUUUAAUCGAAACCCUAAUUAAUGGUCAAUUUGCUAUUUGGAACCUCACUGGGCUUUUAUCUCAUUCCACGCCAUUUGUUUUCCUUACAGGGGGUACGAGCGAGGCAUGAGACGAGUAUAGACUAGCGUAGUCUAAUUGUUUUGAAUUUUGAAUUUGUACUCAUGCUAGUACUCGACUAGAGUUGAUUGUACUCGAAAUGUAAACACUUUGAAGUUUUUGGCGUGUAGAAGCUUUGUAUCUGUAUUUGAACAUCAAUGUAUAUAUUAAGGUGAAGUGGAUGUGUUAUUCAUUUUCUAUGGAUGUCCAUUAUUUAUUUUUUUUCUUGAGCUAUGAGUGAGUGAGUCCUGGCGAGAGUUGGGCAGGCGGUCCGCCAAACCCUUUGGUUCGCCUUAGGGAAAGGUGGGGCCGUCACAGGAUCUACUAACUAAACAAGGAUCACAUGAAUAACAAACUAAUGACCAAAUUAAUCCUAUGCUCAACAUGAGCUAAUCACACGACUCAUGAACAAGUCAUAAAGUCAGCUACUUAAUCAACUAAUGACUUGAGCAAUUAAAGAUGCAAAGUAGUAAACUAAUAGACUUGAACUUGGUUCUCUCAAGGAAUUUGAACGUUGGAUUUGCAACAUUAGUUCCUUGUUUUUGAUUCUAUUCAUUGGCCUCCAAGGAAUCUUUGUUGGAUCUAGAAAUAGGGCAUGAACACCUCCUAGGAUUCGUAUCAUUCUCCUCCUCUUGAAUAGAUUUGUCCUCAAAUCGUUGGACCGCUUAAAUUGCAACAACAAUGGAAACACAUGGAUGAUGACAAUCCUAGUGGCAUGGUGUUCGGAUAACCUCUUGAUGCUCACGAACUCAAAUGAUGCAUAAAACUCAACUUUCGGUGGUAGCAACAUGAUGGAGUCAGCGAUCGUGUCUUUAUGUAAACAAGGAAACGAUGGCAAUGAAGAACUUAAGAGCAUCGAUUGGUCGGAAACCAUGGAUGAAUGGAAACUGAAAAAGUCAUGGACUGCUACUGGUUUUGGAACAUCAAACUUGGCCGGAACAAGCAUAAAAUCUGGUUGUACUCCUUUAAUCAAUGAUGGAAAAUUUCGGACAGCUUUACAACCUACAAAAAUGAAAUAAGUUUCAGCUUGUUUCGAACCAGCAAUUGGAUAAAGAAGCAAUGGAACAUCAUUAGCUAAAUGGUAAGAAGGUAUAGAAUAAGAUUUAAAUGUGAAAACUCCCUUUGACACUUCAUUAUUCCUUCCUUCAACCGAUUCAACCAGAUAAGUCAUUGCUGGCUCUUUAUACUUUCCAUCAAAAUCUACAUAAGAACGACAAGAAUUAGGACUAGCCAUAUGCUCAAAAUAAGGCAAAGAGGAUGAAUGAACCAGAGGGAAAGAAUGGGAAGUAAAAUCUGGAAUUCCCCUUUUAACAUAAACUCGAGUCAAUCCCCCAGUGGUGCGGACAGAUUUGAAGUGACAUUGUUCCAUGAAUUGAUACCAAAGAGAUUUAACUCCUAAAUGACAAACUCCAUGAAAACUCGCAAAGUGUCCAAGUGACUUUGGAAUGGAACAUGCUAUGACCAACUCUACUUGACUUUGUUUAAUCUGCACCAAAGAAGAAUUCUUUAAUCCGAAUCCGGAAAUAUUUCUUUGGUUCACGAGGCUUUGUCUCAAUCCGAGAACUCUUAGAUUCCGUGACUCGUUUGUCAUGACACCCCUUAGAUGAAUCUCGUUUGCUUGAGGAUGACCUUGACUUAGAUGCCCGGCGCAAACUUCUUUGGUUCUCCUCAUACUCAUCACAAGUACGCUUAUAUCUUUCAUAUACACACAAAGCACGGUCAUGUUCCAUCUCCUCCCGAAGUGAACGAAACUCAUGUUGUGAACUAGAUUGCAUGGAACUAGAGUACUUGGAAGUAGCUCGCUUGGAACCCCUCCUCUUAUUCUCCAAGAAUUCUUAAUUAUAUGAGCAAGAUACAACUCCACUAGGCAUGAUUGCGUGACCUGCAAAAAUGGUUAGCAAAGAAAAGGAUUUCCUCACAACACACAAGCUCACGUAUGUACACUCAACUCUCGUGUAUCAUUCAAGUGUAUAACACUCUAAUGGUCUCACCAAAUUUCUCAAGGCCUCUUAUUCACGUUCCUUGAACAAAUUAGAAUUUACUCAAGGAUCACAACCAACUAGUCAAUUAAAAAUCACAAAAGUAGCAAUGAAGUUCAGGGAUUUUGAAGGAUAAUAGCAAACUGACUUAGAAAGAUUUAAAUGACUCAAGUACUGUUGGAAACAACUCUAGAUGAUCGACAAAAGAGACAACUCACAACUCAAAAGCUGAAAUUUUGGAAGCGUAGAAAGACUCCUACCCGACAAACUGGAAUUUUGGGCUGCUGUUGUUACCGAGUUCUGGUCAGUACUUUGCAUGGUAGAUGGUGCCUUUGGAAAGCUCAAAUGACGUGGGAAUCGGCCCUCAAUUUCCAGCCAAUUCGGGUCACAAAGUGAUACUCAACCGACUCAAAUUGCGGGUGGUUUAGGCGUUCCAAGGUGUAGCUGUGUAGCGGUGUAGCGGCGACAUUUCCAGGUUUCUUUGGGAUUUUGGGACAAGAAUGGCGGUGGUUCUUGGAUGAUUUCCAGCUGCUACAAACAGGUCAGCUUUUGGUAGCCUUUGUUGGCCAUUAAGCCUUGUCUCCCAAUCCCCACCGACUAGGAUUUCCCAAGCUAAACAACUUCCUAAUCCGAAACUGUGUUGGCCUCCUUUCCUUGCUUUUCCUUGAUUGUGGCGGGUCAGGCUUAGUUUAGGAGACUAUUUUGAGUGCUUGUGGGGGUUGAUGAGGUCGGUUGAGGGCUGUUAACGUGCUUGGGGUAAGUUGGACUUUGGGCAGAUGGGUUUUUUUUUUGGCAGCCUCUAAUCCCAAGAGGACUAGGAUUGGUUAUAGCUCACGGUUGGGACUUGGUUACCACUUGGAAACUUGGCUGCACCUUUCCCCCCUUUUUUUCUCUCGUUUCCUUUUCUUUUUUUUUUUUCCUUUCGUUUCUUUUUUUUUUCUCUUUGCGGCUCACUAAGGAAUUUUUUUUCCCAAGAAACCAGAUUCAGUCCCACUAUUGAAAUUUCGGAUCAAGGUUCACAACUGGCCAAGAAGGAUUGAAGUUUGUUUUCCAAGACCCAAGGCUUUUCCCAAGAGUUUCCAAAUCGAAUUUUCAAGAAUCCCAAGAAGGCUGAUCAAGAAGUUCAAGAACUCCCCAAAUAUGCUUUUGGCAUUCAAGAUUUGCAAAAUACAACACAAAUAUUCAAGAAACAAAUGCAAAACAGGUUCGGCAGCCACACCAGAAAACAAUUCCAGCAACGAUUCAAAGAGGCAACAAGGUACGGGACCUUGGUUUUUUUUUUUUUUUUACUUUGGCUGGGUUCCUACGACCAAAAUACACAAUACCCACAAGAAUUCCCCACAAUCUAGGCCACAACCAGUAGCAAUUAACAACCCAAAAAUCCGGACAGGUUGUGACACACUAACAAGACUACUUGAGAUGCGGCAAUAAGGGGAAGAAAAAGAACCCUAGUUGCGGCUAUAUGUUUUUUUUUCUUUCGGGUCAAGACACAAGAUACAGCUACCCAACAGAAUUUUGAACACAAAACAGAAUUUAGACACAAAACACGACGACAAAUCUGGAUAGCAUUUAACAAAAAGCACCAAAUAGAAUUUCGGCAAAGCACCAAAACUAGCGACUCAAGAUUUUUUUUUUUUGUUGUGCAACUUGGACACAACUAACACACUGAUUUGACAAUAUAAUUGCUGGACACAAAAAAUGGAAACAAUAGCAAUAAGACACGGACAGAUUUGGUACAAGAAACAAACAUGAUGAGCAACAAGAAACUAGACACAAAUAAAACUAUGGAGAUUCAAACCCUAAGGUGCAAAUUUUUUUUUUUAAUUGGGUAGGGUUUGGUAGAAGAACAAUGAGUAAAACAAGAAAAGAAAAGGGAUAUUAACCUGGAUUAAGAGCCGAAACUCUGAUACCAACUGAUGCGAACCCAAAUCUCCAAGCUCUCGCUCUUGAAGAAACGAAUUGCACAAGCAGUGGAAGGAUCUAUCUUGAUCAAGCUAUGGACAAAUUUGGUGGAUUCUAAACCAAUCAAGGACAACUCGAGAUUGAUUAGAAGGAUAGAAGGUGCCACAAUUCAACAUGGUCUUGAAUUGAUAAGCCGAUUUGAAUCCUCGAGACCAACUCUAAGGUAUUCAAAGUCGCUUCAAAGAAGCCAAGAGAAAACUCUCAAUUUUUAAUUCAUAAAAUGUCUACCCUUAUUAAUGAAAAUUGAUGCCUAUUUAUAGGCUUACAAGACUCAACUCCUAACCUAAUUAGAAUAAGAAAACUAACAAGGCUUUGCAAACAACUUGAAACCCAUGGCCCUUAUCUCUUGAGGCUGCCGAAUACCUAAGCUAAAGACUAGCUAAUGGAUCUACUAACUAAUCAAGGAUCACAUGAAUAACAAACUAAUGACCAAAUUAAUCCUAUGCUCAACAUGAGCUAAUCACACGACUCAUGAACAAGUCAUAAAGUCAGCUACUUAACCAACUAAUGACUUGAGCAAUUAAAGAUGCAAAGUAGUAAACUAAUAGACUUGAACUCGGUUCUCUCAAGGAAUUUGAACAUUGGAUUUGCAACAUUAAUUCCUUGUUUUUGACUCUAUUCAUUGGCCCCCAAGGAAUCUUUGUUGAAUCUAGAAAUAGGGCAUGAACACCUCCUAGGAUUCGUAUCAGAUACGCUCCUCGAUCAACACGUUUCGAAACACGUAGCACGUUUGCCCAAGGAUCUAACGAGGUUGUCCAACGUUUGGUUUGCGGAACCAAAACCAAGACGGACGACACGACUUCAUUGAAAAUGGUAGAACGAUGACUCCAACCGAGGUGAAUACUCAAGUGGAUAGGUUGGGUGAAUAAUCAAGGACAAUCGCGAGAUUGCUUAAGAACCCUUGCCAAGGCAAGUGAAGGAUUCGAAUCUCUCAAUAAUGGAAGAUAAACAAACUGAAAUUUUAUUAUCAAAAUGUCUAACCCUAAGGCCAAGGACUAAGAAACCCUAAAGACUAAACAAGGAGGAAGGGGUCGGCCAUCCUUGGUCUUCAAGUGUGCCGAGAUUACACCUACUUAACGCUAAAAGCUAAAGGCCUAGUCAGCCAUCCCCAUAUGUGUGGCCACUCGACUCUUCAUGGGAUUACUUGUAUGAAGUUUCUAUUGAACCAGAGGUGGUUAAUCCUACCUCUCUACCUAUUAUUAAUCCAUAUACUACUUUUGGUAAGAAAUCUUUCUCUCCAGCAAGGGUAAUUAAGUCUUUAAUUCAAUAUCAUCCCAAAAGAGUUAAAGAAUAUAUUCAGGCUUCCAAAAUUGACCAGCAUCCAAUUUCUGCCACAAAAAAGGAACAAUUCAUCACUCUCCACAUUCCAAAUGAUUUUCCUUUGCAGUGGAAACAGCAGGGAUAUACCCAUAUACAUUUUGGAGCAAUUAGGAUUUCCUUAUCAUUCCAUGGGAGAAAAAGAUCACCAUUAGUUGCUUGAGUAGCACUACUUGACACAAGAUUUACUACAUACUAGCAUGCUUGUAUAACAAGAGUUGAAACAACUUUAAAUGCUGGAACAGUGUUUGUAACGCUUUUCCCUAAUUUCAAUAUGUCAUUGGCAGAUCCACAUCUUCUUGAUGCUUUAAAAGUUCAAGUACAGAUUGUUGGUGUAGAUCAAGUUCAAGAUGCAGUAGCAGCAACUUUACACUAUCAAAUGUGUACAAGGUUCAAAAUCAUGCUCUUGAUCUAACAAUCCCUGGUGGUGAAAAUGCUCUUCUUAUCCAGGUUGAUGAGAAGAAUUCAGCAUCUUGUACUCAUGUCCCAAGACAAAUUUCUAAGUCAGAUCUAAUCUCUCUGUUACCAAACAGUUGGAUAACUGACUAUGAAUCUCUUCAUACACAGGCCAAUGAACCCCUUGAGUCCUCAAACUCAAGGAUUACUCAAACAACAGAAGGGAGAAUUUCUAUUUCAUUUGAUCAUUCCCAUUUAAAAUCUUCUUCUAAAACACAUAUUCCUUCUAUUAUGAUUUCAGAGGUUCCUAUGCAGAUGCCAACAGAAAAUGGAAAACUGAUGGGCCGAUAUGAUUUUUAUGAUAAUCAAAAGUGCUUCCUCCAAGAUAUUAUAGCUCAUUUAGAUCAAAGAGCUAAAGCUAUUUAUCAUUUUCAGGAUCCAAUCUCUGGUCACAUCUAUUUUGAUGUAUGUACAAAGUGUGAUGAUUGCUGGUGGGAACAUACAUAUGGUACUUCAGACCCUGUUACUUCUAGGAAGAAGAAAUCCAAACCAGUUGACCCUGAACCUUUUGAACCUCGACCAUGCAAGCCAGAUUCUCCACCUAGAAAACCAGAUACUGAUAAUUUCCAGUCAGCUUGUAGCAGCUUUGAUGGCUAUAAGAUUCCAUCCUCUUGGGUUUAUCAGCAGCCAAAAAAGGAAACCACACCCCUUCAUCCUUAUUACCAAAAAUGUCUUGAUAUUUUAGAAAAGGAAGCAAGGGAGCAAACAAAGAAAUUGACCUAAGAAUGGAAACCUAAAUCUGUUUCACCAAACCAAUGUCUUCAUCAAAAGAGUGAAACACAAGUUCAAGCUAUUCCUGACUGUUUCAUGUUUCAAGAAACAGAUUUUCCUCCUUUAGAAUCAUUUGUUAAAAAUGGUUCUAAACACACCCCAAAAAUCCAGAAUGCUGCUCCUAUAGUUUUACCUACAGGAGAGACAGUUAGUCCUAGUCCUAUUGAAGAAGUUCUUAACUGGCAUAUAGAGAAUUCUCUUGUUCAAAAUUUUGCACUUACUUCUAUUCACAAGAAUGUUACAGAAGUAAGCGAGAAAAUUGAUCAUGUUGAUACAGCUGUUAAAACUCAGAAUUCCCAGGUAUCACAUAUGAUUGAUGUUUUCGAAAGAAGACUUGAAGGACUCAAGCAUGAGUUACCAACUGAUUCAUCUUCUUUAGCUAGUUUUGUUUUGAAUAAAGAAAAGGAGACUCAAUUCAUUCAGAACCAGCUUGCUACACUAAGAACAACAGGAGAAGUUCCUAAAUUUGAUAUUGGAAUAACUGAACCAGCUCCAAAGGUAAGUCCAGGUUUUGGUGCUACACCCAUCAGAAACUGGCCAGCACCUUUUUAUUUUGGAGGAGUUACUACUCCUAAUCCUUCAGUAAUUUUUCCUGACCAAACACAACAAACUUCUAAACCUUUUGAUAUUGCACAGGUUCUGUGAGAUUAUCGUAAAAAUAAACAAAAGCAAAAGGAAGAAGAAAUAGCCAAGAAAAAAACUCAAGAGGCAGAGGAAAAAGUUGAAGAAGAGAGGAAAAUAAAAGCAAAGCAAGUAGCACAGGAAGCAGACACUUCAUUAAUGUAUUCUGUGCAUACUAAUCCUAUUUUCUCUCUUGAACAGGAAAGGAAAGCAAAUGAAGCUACCAAGAUUUAUGAUAAUCCUCUUUCCUCCAUGAUGAAAGAUCUUCAUGAUGACUCAAUUCCAUACAUUUCAACAUAUUCACAAGUCUAUGAAGAAAAUGCCACAAGCCAAGAAUCAGAAGAAACUGAAGCAACCUCUACUUCUGGUUCUCAAAUUUCUGAGGAAUCUUCUUCUGAAAAGUCCAUCAUAGAAACUAAUAAUUCUUUUGAAGAAGAACAAUUCCUGAAAUUCAUAUGGCAGAUGAACCUGAGGUAGAAUACCCUGAUGAAGAAGAAGAAGCUCCAACAACAUUCAGGCCUCAGAAGUCCGACCUUCCAAAGUCUAAGGGAGUACAAAUUUUUACGAUUGAUAAUAUUCCCGCUUAGCAAUGGGAGGCAAAAUUCCAAGAAUUUCAUGCUUGGAUGAUUGUCCAAAAUUUAACAGAAGAAUCUCAUUAUGAAAUCUUAUCAGUCUUUAUUGCUCAUUUUGCAGGGAUUCUCAAAGAUUGGUGGAGAAGUUUAGGAGAUUGGGAUAAGAUGGUUUUCUUAACUCUUCAAGAUUUCUCUGAAAACAUUAAUAUUCUUCAUUUAAUGUUUAUCAGAGAUGUUAAGGAAAGCAAGGAAACAAAGCCAAGGGAAUUCUUUCAAAUGAAAUGUUUAUCUUAUGAACGAAAAGAUUUAAAUAAACAUUUCAAAAAAAUGACUAAAUUAUUUUUUGCUCUUGGUGCAAAUAUCAAUCUCAAACAGGCUUUUAUCAGUUCACUUCCAAAAUCUCUUGCAGAUGGUGCUGAAAUAUAUAUCCAUAACAAAUAUGGUUCUAUUCUUAAUCUGUCUACAGGACAAAUUAAGCAAGCAGUUCUUCUAUCCCUUGAUGAUCUAUGCAACAAGAGGAAGAUCAUUCGUGAAUAUCUUAAAGGAGAUGUUUGUCUAGAUCAAGCCUGCAAAAAGCUUGAACUGAUAAUUAAGGGAAAAUGUCAAGCAUGUGUCCCUUUCUAAAGAAGAAAGAAAUUCAAAAGAUUUAAAAGCUUCAGCAAAAGAUACAAAGGAUUUCCAAAAAGACCUUUCAGGAAGAAAUGGAGAUAUUUCAAAAGGAAAGGCAAGCAAUUCCGGGGGAAAAAAGGAGACAAAUGUUUCAUAUGUGGAAAGCCAGGACAUUUUGCAAAAAAUUGUCCUCAAAACCAAAAGGGAGUGCAUCUUAUUUCAGAAAUUCAAAAUGAGCUUUAUUUUCAUAUUUCUGAUUUAGAAUCUGAAUUUUCUGAACAAGACGUAGCCACUGACUCAACUCUUUUGGCAUUACAGGUCCCUGAUGAAAUUUUUACUGUCACUACAGUAAAAAUUGACAAGAAGACUUAUCCGCAGGCUUUAGUUCACAUAUUAUUGGAUAAGUAUUCUAAACCAAUUCCACUCAUUGCAUUUUUUGAUUCUGGUGCUUCACUUUCAAUAAUGAAAAUAGAUGUUUUACCAUAUCAUUAUUGGACUCCAUAUGUUCAUGAGUUUAGAGGAGCUGAUGGAAAUCUUUUCUAUACUAAAUUUAUAACUAAAGCUCCUAUUACUCUCAAACUUCUUCCAGACUGUUGUGUAAGUUCAAAAUUCCUUGGAGCAACUUUUGUUUCUAAAGAUCUUCUACUUGGAUUUGAUGUUUAUCGUGAGGAUAAAUAUCUUGCUACAGGAAAAGGGAUAAAAUCAAAAAAAAUAUUUUAAACCCUAUAUUGAUAUCCCAAAGUUGUAUUUAAUCCAAGAAAAACAACUUCUGUUGAUAGAAGCCCAACUCAAAGAUUUUCAAGAAAAAAUGAUCAAGGAAUCAUGUGUUUCCAAUCAUCAAGAGUUUUUGGGAAAAUGUGAUCAUCCCCUUUGGGAAAACACUGAUUUUUAUAUCCAACUUCCUUUAAAAAAGAAUGAGAAUAUAAAUCUCACAAAAGCUAGUCAUUCAGGCAUGAAUCCUGGAGAUACUAAGCUUGCAGAGCAAGAAUGCAAAGAGCUUCUAAAGUUCGGAUUAAUUGAACUUUCUGAUUCUCAAUGGGCAUGUCAAGCAUUCUACGUCAACAAGAGAUCUGAACAGGUAAGAGAAAAGAUGAGAUUGGUAAUUAAUUACUAGCCUCUCAACAUUUUUAUUCUUGAUGACAAAUUUCCUGAUACGUUCCUCGAUCAACUCGUUUCGAGACACGUAGCAUGUUUGCCCAAUGAUCUAGCGAGGUUGUCCUACGCUUGGUUUGCGGAACCAAGAAUCAAACGGACAACACGUUUGAUUAAAGGCGGUAGAACGACACUCCGAUAAAGGUGAAUACUCCAGGGGAAUCGGUCGGUUGAACAAUCAAGGACAGAACGGAAGAUUGCUCAAGAACCCUUGCCAAAGCAAGUUAAAGGUUCGAAUUCUCUCUUAAGAAGAAAACGAAGAUACUAAGAACUUUAUUCAUGAAAACUUGUCUCCUUAAUCUUACAAAGCUAGCCUAUUUAUAGGCUAAACAAAACCCUAAAGAAACCCUAAGAGGGGAGUCGGCCAUCUUGACUCCAAGAUGGGCCGGCCCAUGCCUUCUACUAAGCAACUAUUCUAACUGAAUAAGUAAUAAAGACUAAGGCCCUACUCGGCCGACUCACAAGGAGGCCCAUUUGACUCUUCAUGGGCUUGGAUCGAGGUGUAAGUUACUUGAUUGUCUCUUUCUAAGCUUUCAAUAUCUCUAUGGGCUCCAUGUUGGUCUUGGACAACUCGAAUGAGGGCUUGGAGGGAUUCUUUGAAGAGCUUGGCCCGUGCACGUGUGACUGGGCCCAAUGGGACUCGGACUGGGUCAUUGCGUGGGCCCUGAUCCAUGCACACAUUAGUCCCCUCCUCUUGAGAAGGAUUUGCCCUCAAAUCUGGAUCCUCCCCGUCAAGAAAUGGGCUUAGGUCCGCGACAUUGAAGGUCGCGCUAACAUUGUAUUCCCCAGGUAGCUCCAAUUUGUAAGCGUUGUCAUUAACUCGGUGGAGCACUCGAAAGGGUCCAUCACCUCUCGGGGAUAACUUGCAUUGUCGCUGCUUGGGGAACCUCUCCUUUCGUAAGUGUAGCCAAACCCAAUCACCAGGCUCGAAGAUCAUCUUGCGACGGUGCUUGUUAGCCUGCUGGGUGUAUUGUUGCGUACGCCUCUCAAUGUUUGCUCGAACGGCUUCAUGUAACCUGCGCACAAAAUCGGCUUUCUUUUUCCCAUCUAAGCUUGUGUGCUCAGAGGAAGGUAAGGGCACCAAAUCAAGGGGGGUCAGGGGGUUGAAGCCAUAAACAAUCUCAAAGGGAGAAUAUUGUGUUGCAUUAUGCACAGUUCAAUUGUAGGAAAAUUCAACAUGAGGUAAGCACUCCUCCCAAGACUUAAGAUUCUUUUUAAUCAAGGCCCGAAGUAAAGUGCCAAGUGUGCGAUUGACAACUUCAGUUUGUCCAUUACUUUGUGGAUGACUAGUGGUGGAGAAUAAUAACCUAGUGCCCAGUUUGGUCCACAAAGUCUUCCAAAAGUAACUCAGGAACUUCACAUCUCUGUCACUAACAAUAGUCCUAGGCAUGCCAUGCAGACGGACGAUCUCUUGAAGAAUAAAUUAGCAACAUGAGAUGCAUCGUCAGUUUUGUGACAAGGAAUAAAAUGAGCCAUUUUAGAAAAUCUAUCAACCACCACGAAUAUGGAAUCAUUACCCCUUGGCGAUCUAGGCAAACCUAGUACAAAGUCCAUAGACAAGUCAACCCAAGGAUGGUGAGGGAUCGGUAAUGGGGUAUACAAGCCAUAUGGGUUUGUCUUAGACUUUGCCUUGUGGCAAAUAGCACACCUACCAACCAUGCGUUCAACAUCCCUACGCAUAUGGGGCCAGUAAAAGUGCUCUUGUAACAUGGCCAGAGUCUUGGCAAUGCCAAAGUGGCCCAUGACACCACCACUAUGUGCCUCGUGAAUCAAAAGAUCACGAAUGAAGGAAUUAGGCACACACAGUUUAUCUACAUGGAAUAGAAAUCCAUCAUGCAAGAAGUACUUUCCAUGCGGGUUCUUAACACAAGCAGCAUAGAUAUCACCAAAGUCAUGAUCAUGUGUGUAGAGUUCCUUGACCAUUUCGAACCCUAGUAACUUGGCAUCAAGAAAGGCAAGCAAGGAAUGUCUACGUGAUAAGGCAUCAGCUACUACAUUCGUUUUGCCAGUCUUAUACUUAAUGACAUAAGAGAAAGUGUCAAUGAAGUUUACCCAUUUGGCAUGUCUCUUACUCAACUUGGAUUGUCCUUUGAGGUACUUCAAUGACUCGUGAUCAGUGUGUAUCACGAACUCUUUUGCCAGGUCUCCAAGGCCCUCACUAAUGCGUACAACUCCUUGUCGUACGUGGGGUAGUUUAAUGCAGCUACUCCCAACUUCUCACUAAAGAAGGCACAAGGCCUCUUGUCUUGCAUGAGGACUGCUCCAAUACCUACACCAGAAGCAUCACAUUCAAUUUCAAAAGUCUUGUUAAAGUUUGGUAAUGCUAACACAGGUGCAUGUGUGAGUGUGUCCUUAAGGGCGAGAAAUGCUUGUUCUUGUGAUUCUCCCCAAUGGAACUUGACAUUCUUCUUUGUCACGGCGGUCAAUGGAGUGGCAAUGGUGCUAAAAUCUUUGACAAAUCGCUGGUAGAAGCCUGCCUGAUGUGUGUACGGGUCAAAGCCCACGCCAUGACUUACAUGUUUCGAGUCCCAUUGGGCCCAGUCACGCAUGCAUGGGCCAAGCAAUUCAAAGAAUCAUUCCAAGUUCUGGUUAGAGUUGUGCAAGACCAACAUGGAGUUCACAAAGAUAUUGAGGGCUUGGAGAGAGACAAUCGAGCCAUUUACACCAUGAUCCAAGCCCACGAAGAGUCAAGCGGGCCACCAAGAGAAUAAGGCCUUAGGCCCCAUCAAUUAGUUAGCAAUUACUUAAUGAUUAAGUAAGAGCAUGGGCCGGCCCAUCUUGUUCCAAGAGCAUGGGCCGACUUUUUCCUUUUCCUAGCCCCUUUAGGGUUUUAGUCACUUUAGCCUAUAAAUAGGCUUGCUUUGUAAGGUUUAAGGGUCAGAACUUUUAUCAAUAAAAUUGUCUUAUUUUCGUUCCUUCUUCUAAGAAGAGUGUUCGAGCCUUUUACUUGCUUUGGCAAGGGUUUUGAGCAAUCUUGCGUCUCGUCCUAGAUUGUUCUACCGACCUAUCCCGUGGAGUAGUCACCUUCAUUGCAGUCGUCGUCCUACCGUCUUGAAUCAAAUCGUGUCGUCCGUUUGGUUCUAGAUCCCGCAAUUCCAAGCGUUGGAUAUCCUCGCUAGAUCCUUGGGCAAACGUGCUACGUGUCUCGAAACAAGUUGAUCGAGGAACGUAUCAGUUGGCUUCAGAGCUUUGGUAGAGGUAUCUUUCGUUAUAUCCAUAUUUUUCGUAGUUGUGUCGUAGAAUUCUUAGUACUUUCCGCUGCCUUGUUCAAAAAAAAAAAAAAGUCACUGUUCACCGUACUGUUCAUCCGACACUGUUCAUCGUACUGUUCAUAGUACUGUUCACCGAAUACAAAUCUGUCCAGCCUUGUUGUUUGUGUUAUCCAACUUGUUUACUUGGUUUUCAAAUCUGGAUUUUGGCAAAACUUGUUGGAAUUUUGUGAAUCUUGAAGAGAACUUACAAUAAUCUUGAGCUUCUUGAAUUCUUGACCACAAUCUUGAAAUUUCUGAAGUUCCUGACAACUUCCUUGAAAGUUCUUGAAAGAUCUUGGAGUUUUUGGUAGUUAUUAUUUGUGGACUUCCUUGUUUUGUGUUGUGGUUGAUAGUUGUAGUCAAGAAAAAAAAACAGAAAACAAAAAUGAAAAAAAAAAGAAAGAAAAGAGGAAUCGGUUGGCAAGAAAAAAAAAAGGAAAGGAAAGAAAGGGGCAACCGAAUUGUUUUGAAUAGGGAACCAAAUCUGAUUUGUGCAAUCUUUCUUGGAGUAGAAUUUGGAAGUUACCAAAAGUUGUUUCAAGAAGAUUACCAAAGGUUGUUUCUAGAAGGUUACCAAAAGUUGUUUCAAGAAAAUUACCAAAAGUUGUUUCAAGAAGGUUACCAAAAGUUGUUCAAGAGGAAAAAGGUUUCCAAAAGGUUUCCAAAAACUAACUUGUUUCCAAAAUCAAUUAGGAAACUAAGUAAAACACUUGGAUAACUCUUUGUACUCACUUGGACACUCUCUCUUCUACCUUUUUAGGAAACUUUCCCAAACUCUCUCAUCCAUUUUUUUUUGGAAACUUUCCUAAAGUCUCUCAUCUAUUUUUAGGAAACUUUCCUAAAUUCUCUCAUCCAUUUUUUGGAAACUUUCCUAAAUUCUCUAAUCCAUUUUUUUGGAAAUUUUCCUAAACCUCUCUCAUCCAUUUUUUGGAAAUUUUCCUAAAUUCUCUCAUCCAUUUUUUAGGAAACUCUCCUAAAUUCUCUCAUCCAUUUUUAGGAUCUUUCCUAUAUUCUCUCAUCCACUUUAGGGAACUCUCCUAUAUUCUCUCAUCCACUUUAGGAAACUCUCCUAUAUUCUCUUCCUAGAUUUUAGGAAACUUUCCUACAUUUUCUCCUACAUUUGCUCCUAUAUUUUCUCCUAGAUUUUAGGAACACUUUCCUACAUUUUCUCCUACAUUCUUGUGGUUACACUUGUGGAAAAGUUGGUAACGGUUGUUGGACUUGAGCAGCAUUUUUCAACUACCUAAUCCAACAGGUAAAGGUAUUUGGUAAGUCCAUUAGAACGCUUCGAGAGAUACACGAGGGAUGAGCACAUACACGUGAGCUUGUGUGACGUGAGGAAUCUCCUUUUCUUUGCUUACCAUUUUGGCAGGUCACGCACUCAUGCCUAGAGAAGUUGCGUCUUACCCAUACAACCAAGAAUUCUUGGAGAAUAAGCCUCUCAAGAGGAGGGGUCUCAAGAUGCCUACUCACAAGUACUCUAGUUCCAUGCAAUCCAGUUCACAACAUGGGUAUCAUUCACUCCGGGAGGAGAUGCAACGCCACCGUGCUUUGUGAGUAUAUGAAAGGUAUAAACAAGAUUGUGAUGAGUAUGAGAAGGAGCAAAGAAGUCUGCGUAGAGCAUCUAAAUCGAGGUCAACUUCAAGCAAACGAGGUGCAUCUAAGAAGUGUCUUGACAAUCAAGACGAGGAGUUUGAGAAUUCUCGAAUUGAGUCAAAGCUUCGUGAAUCAAAGGAAAAAUUCCGAAGUCGGACUAAAGCAUUGAUUGAUGACAUGAUGGAAAGAUUUAGCCAAGUGCUGGAUUCACACUUGGAGCAACUUAACCAUGUGCCAACCGGUGGUAAUAAAGGAAAAAUUUAGUCUAGUCCCUCGUUGAUUGAAGAGCCACGUACGAAUGAGUUGCUGCCGAGUCGUGAACAAGAGCUCCCCAAUGAAAAACAAAACUCAAGUCCAAUGAAGGAUCAAUGGUCCGAGAAGAAGGGAGUGGGGAUAAGCAAGAACAAUUUGGCCUUAGUGAAGAGUCAAGAAAAAGAGUUGACCAUGUCUGCAAACAUUGAACAUGUGAACACUUUGUUUGCUAACCGGAUAACAUGUGUUUUGUUUAGUAUAUCCUCGUUUGUGCAGGUUAAACAAAGUCAAGUAGAGUUGGUCAUGGCAUGUUCCAUCCCGAAGUCACUUGGACACUUUGUGAGUUUCCAUGGAGUUUGUCUUCUAGGAACUAAAUCUCUUUGGUAUCAAUUCAUGGAACAACGUCCAAUCAAAUCUAUCCGCACCAUUGGAGGAUUCAUUCGAGCUCAUCUUAAAAGGGAAAUUCCAGAUUCUACUUCUUGUUCUUUACCUAUGGUUCAUUCAUCACCUUUGCCUUAUUUUGAGCAUGUUACUAGCACUAACUCUUGUUGCUCUUACGUAGAUCUUGAUGAGGAAGGACUAGCACUGGACUCUCAAGUUGAAUCAAUGGGUGGAAGAAAUAUUGAAGUGUCAAAGGGAGUUCUCACAUUUAAAUCUUGCUCUAAACCUUCUUACUAUUUAGUUAAUAACGUUCCCUUAUUUCUUUAUCCAAUUUCUGAAUUGUUUCAAGUUGAAGGUUAUUUUGUGUUUGUAGGUUGUAAAGCUGGCCAAAAUUUCCCAACUAUGACUAAAGAGUUGCAACCUGAUUUCGUGCUUGUUCCAGAUGCAUGUGGCGCGAACGCAUGUGAUUUAUAUGGAGUGCGUCUCACUUCAUUGUUGCCGCUUAUGCUGGGUGAUGCACACAAGUGUGUCAAUCACAAUCCGAAUGCUACCCUUACCUCCCUGGGUCAUGUUUAUAUGGGUGUACAACACGGGUGGUUCAGUGUCCUACCUCCAGCUUGGAAAGUUGAGCUGAUUCAACAAUGCCUAGGGCCGAACUGUACCAUCUUGCACAACCAGAUUCGGGGCUUCCCUAGUCCCAACAAACAUCGUUAUAAAGUGCACGUGAAUGCCCAUACUCGAAGACAAAUUAGAGAGCUUUGUGUUGCAACAUGGAACGUUCACAAGCCUUACACACGUUCCUUCUUACCUUGGCGAAUGUCCUUGUUCGAGAGGCUCUUGAAGCUGACUAAGAGACAUGUGCACCGAAUUAUUUUAAUCAUAACAUAUGCAAGUGUUAUUCAAUCUAAGAGGGCCAAUAUGUGGAGAUUUGAGGUGUCAUACCGGCAACUCCUGUUAGUCUCAUUCAUUCCCAUCCAGAUUUGAGGACAAAUCCUUCUCAAGAGGAGGGGACUGAUGUGUGUACGGGUCAAAGCCCACGCCAUGACUUACAUGUUUCGAGUCCCAUUGGGCCCAGUCACGCAUGCAUGGGCCAAGCAAUUCAAAGAAUCAUUCCAAGUUCUGGUUAGAGUUGUGCAAGACCAACAUGGAGUUCACAAAGAUAUUGAGGGCUUGGAGAGAGACAAUCGAGCCAUUUACACCACGAUCCAUGCCCACGAAGAGUCAAGCGGGCCACCAAGAGAAUAAGGCCUUAGGCCCCAUCAAUUAGUUAGCAAUUACUUAAUGAUUAAGUAAGAGCAUGGGCCGGCCCAUCUUGUUCCAAGAGCAUGGGCCGACUUUUUCCUUUUCCUAGCCCCUUUAGGGUUUUAGUCACUUUAGCCUAUAAAUAGGCUUGCUUUGUAAGGUUUAAGGGUCAGAACUUUUAUCAAUAAAAUUGUCUUAUUUUCGUUCCUUCUUCUAAGAAGAGUGUUCGAGCCUUUUACUUGCUUUGGCAAGGGUUUUGAGCAAUCUUGCGUCUCGUCCUAGAUUGUUCUACCGACCUAUCCCGUGGAGUAGUCACCUUCAUUGCAGUCGUCGUCCUACCGUCUUGAAUCAAAUCGUGUCGUCCGUUUGGUUCUAGAUCCCGCAAUUCCAAACGUUGGACAUCCUCGCUAGAUCCUUGGGCAAACGUGCUACGUGUCUCGAAACAAGUUGAUCGAGGAACGUAUCACUGCCAAUCUAAGAAAACUGCGCACGUCAGGAACGAAUGUGGGAGUUGGCCAUUGGUCGAUGACCUCAAUCUUGGAUUUGUCCACCUUGAUGCCCUGCGAACUUACCACAUAGCCUAAAAACACAAGCUCGUUAGUACCAAAGGUGCACUUCUUGAGGUUAGCGUAUAGACGCGCCUGUCGAAGUGUCUCAAGAACUAAUCUCACAUGCUCUAAGUGCUCAUGCUCACUACGACUAUAGAUCAGGAUGUCAUCAAAGUAAACAAUGACAAAUUUGCCAAUGAAAUGUCUCAAAACAUGGUUCAUUAGUCGCAUGAAGGUGCUAGGGGCAUUAGUCAAGCCAAAAGGCAUGACUAGCCACUCAUAGAGACCAUGUUUGGUUUUGAAGGCUAUUUUCCACUCAUCGCCCUCUUUCAUCCUAAUUUGAUGUUAGCCACUCCUUAAGUCAAUUUUGGUGAAAAUAAUAGCACCAUCGAGUUCAUCAAGCAUAUCAUCAAGUCGAGGAAUGGGAUGACGAUAUUUGACAGUGAUAGCAUUUACAGCCCGACAGUCAGUGCACAUUCGCCAAGUACCAUCCUUUUUGGGGACAAGUAUCACAGGCACAGUGCAAGGACUUAGACUCUCUUUCACCCAACCCUUACCUAACAGGCCAUCAACUUGCCGUUGAAGUUCCUUAGUCUCCUCAGGACCCAUGCGGUAAGCAGGUUUGUUGGGCAGUGGCGCUCCAGGAAUGAGGUCGAUUUGGUGCUCAAUCCCUCGAAUGGGUGGUAAGCCAUCUGGGACCUCGUCAGGGAAAACAUCCUCAAAUUCCUGCAAGACAGCUACCAUACUCGCAGGCAAUGCCUUAUCGAGUUCAGCAACAUCUAAGAGCACAUGUUUGCAAAUCAUGAGGAGUGCAGGCUGGUCAGAAUUCACAACUUUUCUAACGUCCUUAGCCUUAAUAAUCAUAUUUUGCUUCCUAGUGGUGUGUGUAGUGGGUUAGUUGUCACGUGUAACACUAGGUGUGCUCACUUGACCCUGGGUCGAUGGCUCACUUGCAAAAGUGGAGCCUUUGCCAGGGUCGACCGCCUUUUGCUUCUUCCUUUGACGGUCUUGUUCACACUCUCUUUGCAACUUUAAUUGGUCCUCAUAUACCUGUGUAGGUGUGAGUGGUGUGAGGACCUUACAUUUGCCAUCAUGCAAGAGUGUGUACUUGUUGGCCCUUCUAUCGAAGGUGACGUGUUUGUCAAAUUGCCAUGGUCGACCCAAGAUGACAUUGGUGGAGUGCAUAGGCACGACAUCACAAACAACUUCAUCAGUGUAAGUUCCAAUGGAAAAGGGAACGCGUACCUGUUUGAAGACACGUACCUCUCCAUCCUCACUCAGCCAUUGGAGGCGAUAAGGGUGUGGAUGUCUAGUGGUUGGAAGUCCUAAGCUCUCAACCAUGAGUAAGUUUGCCACGUUUGUGCAACUCCCACCGUCGACGAUGAGGCUACACACCUUGUCACCCACUUUACAACGAGUGUAAAACAGGUUCUCCCUCUGGAGUUGUUCGUCCUCUUUUACUCGGGCGGUUAACACUUGUCGUGCCACCAGACACCCUACUUCUCCUUGUGUAGGCGAGCAAUCUUCCUCAGCCGAGUCUUCAUCCCGGCAGUCGCCUUUGGUCAAUUCGGGUAUCUCCUCACAGUCGUUAUCAUCGGACACGAUCUCGCCAUUGUGAGUGAUUAACAUGACCCGUUGGUUUGGACAUUGAGAUUGAAUGUGCCCAAACCCUUGGCACUUAAAGCAUUUGAUGUCCCUUGAUGAGAAUAUGAAGACCAAGGCCCAUUCAAGCACAUGGGGAAUUGGAAGAUUCAAGUGAAGACUAGUUGAUUGCACGAAUGCUUGAGUUUAGUAGGAUUAUUUGAUUUUCCUCGUUGAUUUUGGUUAUUUCUCGUUUUAAAAAGUCUAGGUAAUUAAGAUAGUUUAAUUGCGGCCCAUUUGUUAGUAAGUAAGGCCCAAAAUCUUUCUUAAGUAUGUAGGGUAGUUUGGUCAACUUUUGGAUUAGGGUUAAUACUUGUAAGGGCUAUAAAUAGCCCCACUUCCUCUUUGUUUGGGACCAGUUUUUGACUAUUAAAUACAAUUAGUGAGUUUUCACUUUCUCUUUGGCAAGAGAGUUGCCUUUGAAUACUUGAGAAUCUUCUCAAGUUAUUCACCCGAACUUAUCAAUCGAGUAUCUCCUUGAUUGUGGCGUUCUACUACCUCCAAUUUGGUUCGUUAAUUCGAGUAGUUACGGGUUGAGAUAAUAUCAAAAUUGUUCGUGACUUCUAGGGAUUAGUUGGGUCAAAUUUCCACUGCCUAAGCCAUUGAGUUUUGGUUGUCUAGAUCGGGGUUUCAUAUCAGUUGGUACCAGAACUAGUUGACAACCACCAGGUUAUAUCUUUUUUUUUUUAUUUUUCGUUUAUUUCGAGUCAUAUAUGUUUAUCCCAAUCUGUUCGUUUGUUUAGAAUCAAAAAAAAAAAUUAUUACUGUUCAUCGUUACUGUUCACCGACACUGUUCAUAGUUACUGUUCAUCCGAAUACAAAUCUGUCCAGCUUUGUUGUUUGUGUUAUCCAACUUGUUUACUUGGUUUUCAAAUCUGAAUUUUGGCAAAACUUGUUGGAAUUUUGUGAAUCUUGAAGAGAACUUACAAUAAUCUUGAGUUUCUUGAAUUCUUGACCACAAUCUUGAAAUUUCUGAAGUUCCUGACAACUUCCUUGAACGUUCUUGAAAGAUCUUGGAGUUCUUGGUUGUUAUUAUUUGUGGACUUCCUUGUUUUGUGUCGUGGUUGAUAGUUGUAGUCAAAAAAAAAAAGACAAAAAAAAAGAAGAAAAGAAGAAAGAAAAGAGGAAUUGGUUGGCAAGAGAAAAAAAAUAGGAAAGGAAAGAAAGGGGCAACCGAAUUGUUUUGAAUAGAGAACCAAAUCUGAUUUGUGCAAUCUUUCUUGGAGUAGAAUUUGGAAGUUACCAAAAGUUGUUUCAAGAAGAUUACCAAAGGUUGUUUCAACAAGGUUACCAAAAGUUGUUUCAACAAGGUUACCAAAAGUUGUUUCAAGAAGGUUACCAAAAGUUGUUCAAGAGGAAGAGGAUUUUCAAAAGGUUUCCAAAAACUAACUUGUUUCCAAAAUCAAUUAGGAAACUAAGUAAAGCACUUGGAUAACUCUUUGUACUCACUUGGACACUCUCUCUCCUACCUUUUUAGGAAACUUUCCUAAACUCUCUCAUCCAUUUUUUGGAAACUUUCCUAUAUUCUCUCAUCCAUUUUUAGGAAAUUUUCCUAAAUUCUCUCAUCCAUUUUUUUGGAAACUUUCCUAAAUUCUCUCAUCCAUUUUUUAGGAAACUCUCCUAAAAUUCUCUCAUCCAUUUUUAGGACCUUUCCUAUAUUCUCUCAUCCACUUUAGGAAACUCUCCUAUAUUCUCUUCCUAGAUUCUAGGAACACUUUCCUACAUUUUCUCCUACAUUCUUGUGAUUACACUUGUGGAAAGGUUGGUAACGGUUGUUGGACUUGAGCAGCAUUUCUCAACUACCUAACCCAACAGGUAAAGGUAUUUGGUAAGUCCAUUAGAGUGACAUCCAUAUACACGAGUGCGAGUGGAUACACGUAAGGGAGCGUGAAAGGCAAUAUCUUCGGUUUCGUUGCUAACUUUUUGCAGGUUCCCUCAUACGUCAUGGCGAAUACAAGACGCAUAAAAGCUAGCCCACAACAUUGUCUUCCUGAUCCUAAGGGAGUCAAAGAAGUGGCAUUACGUGGUGUAGAUGAGCAAUUGGACCUCGUCAAAUCUCAGUUGCUUGGUUGGUUUUAUACCCGUUGCGGUGUCAAAGAUAAAAUUUGUAGCUUGGCCAUUGAUGGGAGUUGUGAAGUCAACCUUGCAAGUGCUAUCAUGGUUGAGAAAUUAAAUCUUCCAACCAUUGAUCAUCUUCAACCGUACAAGUUGACGAGCACUCAUGGUGAUGUUUGGGUUACUAAACACACACUUGUACCUAUUCAAAUCGGCAAAUAUGUGGAUGAGGUGUUGUGUGAUGUAGUCCCAAUUCAAGUGACACAUGUGUUGUUGGGCAAAGCAUGGAUGUCGAGGCGAGAAGUUAGAUAUGACGGACAUACUAAUAAGUAUUCCUUCUUAUUUAAUAGUCGUCGUUUGGCACUUGUAUCACUUACUUAUGACCAGCUUUGUAUUGAUCUAGCAUGCAUGAAAAGUGAGCUUGAGCAUUAUAGAAUGGAGAAAAAGCUAGAUGAGGGAAUUGUGCCUGCAGAGGUAAAACCCGAGGGAGUUGAAAGUAAUGAGAUGAAAGGGUCAGCUGUUGAACUAGAAAAAGAGAUGAAAAAAUCUAAUAAGAUGGGUGGUAAAAAGGAAGAAAAGAGAGAAAGUGGGCUGAUCUUGAGCAACCCGGUGAAGGCCUAUUAUUUUCUUAACGAACUUACCUUUGCUUUGUUUAGUGUUUCUUCUUUUAUACAGAUCAUGUAGACACCAAAUUUUUGGUUUCGAAUUUUAUUUUUUUAAAUUAGUUUAAUUUUGGAUUUAUUUGUUCAAUUUUAGAUUUAUUUUGGUUGAUUCCUGUUUCGUGUCUCUUAUUCUAUUUUAAUUAGUUUACAAGCAUUUAUUUUAUCUACUAAUUUGAAAAAAAAAGGAAAAGAGGAAAAAGAGAAAAAUGAUGAAAAAAUUGUAAUUUUGCUGUUUAUUAUUUCUAGUUUAUUUAUUUUUAUCCGAUGUUAGUUAAAUAGUUUUCUUUUUUAAUUUCAUUAUCAUUUUGUUAAAUUAUUUUAAAAAGAAAAAAAAAAGGAAAAAAAGAAGAAAGGAAAAUUAGCAUUUCAUUUUUAUCUUAAUUAGCAUUUCUUCAUUAGUUUUAUUAAUUAGUUAUCUAUAUUUUGUUAAGUUAUUAUUAAAAAAAAAAAAAAAAAGAGGCCACGGCCUGCAAGCUGCGUAUUGUCGCAGCUUGCAAAGGACAGUCGCACGUUUCAUCUGAUGGCCUGGGUUUGGAGAGAAAUCUCCUCUUCCAUCCUCACCCUUGAGGUGAGGGUUUAUGGAUUAGGGAGUCCUAUAAAAGGGAGGGGAAACAGCAGCCGCAAGGGAGGAGAGAGUAGAGUUGGCGGCUGCAAAUCUGAGGAAGAAAAGAAAAAGAAAUACCAGAGCUGGAAGGAAGCUUGGCAGCGGGAGGGGGGUUCUUUGAAGUUAACGGCGGAAGAAAAACUGAGCAAAAGGGAAACAGAGAAGAGAGAAAAAAGAGAGCUGGGGUGACGGUUAGAAUCUGGGAUGAGAGGAAAUGAUGUGAACCAGGGCCAGGGCCCAGUCCAAGUUCCAUUGGGCCCAGUCACACGUGCACGGGCCAAGCUCUUCAAGGAAUCACUCCAAGCCCUUGUUCGAGCUGUCCACGAUCAACAUGGAGCCUAUAGAGAUAUUGAAGGCUUGGAGAGGGUCAAUCAAGCAACUUACACUUUGGUCCAAGCCCAAGAAGACCCCAGUGGGCCUCCUUACGAAGCGGCCGAGUAGGGCCUUAGUCAUUGUUUUCAAUUUAGUUGGAUUCGUUGUUCGUAGAAGGCAUGGGCCGGCCCACCUUGAUGACAAGGUAGCCGACCUCCCCUUUAGGUUUCUUUAGGGUUUUGUUAUUUCAUUAAGCCUAUAAAUAGGCUAGUCUUGUAAGGUUAAAACUUAGUUUUUGAUGAAUAAAAUUCUUAGUGCAUUCGUUUUCUUUCAAAGAGAAUUCGAGCCUUUUAACUUGCUUGGCAAGGGUUAUUGAGCAAUCUCGCGUCCUGUCCUUGAUUGUUCAUCCGACCUAUUCCCCUGGAGUAUUCACCUUCAUCGGAGUGUCGUCUACCACCUUCAAAUCAAAUCGUGUUGUCCGUUUGGUUAGAGGUUCCGCACACCAAGCGUAGGACAUCCCCGCUAGAUCCUUGGGCAAACGUGCUACGUGUCUCGACCGUGGAUCGAGGAGCGUAUCAGUUGGCUUCAGAGCUUUGGUGGAGGUAUCUUCCGUUAUAUCCGUAGUUGUGUCUUAGUUUUCAUUAAUUCCGCUGCCUUGUUAAAAAAAAAAAAAAAAAUUCUGUUCGCUAGCUUUGGUAUUUUGUUGUGCCGUUUCCUUUCGUUUGAUGUCUAGAAAUUCUGGUCAUUGCUUUUAUUAAUUGAGUCCGUCCGUUUGUGUCUUCAAGUCUGUCCGUUGCUGCUUUGUUAGUCAAAAAAAAAACAAAAAAACAAAACACACAAAAUCUGUUUGCAUCGCUUGUCAAAGAGAAAAAAAAAUUCUGUCCGCUAGUUCUCGUUGUUUGUCGCGUCAAUUUCUGGACAGUUGUGUGUUAUUGUCGAUAGUCCCAAUCUGCCCAGAUUUCAUACUCUAGUGACAUCCAUUCUGCCCAGCAAUUAGCCUUGCCGAAUCUGCAAAAAAAAAAAAAAAAGAAGAAGCAAGUUGCGGCUAGGGCUUUGCCUUGUGGCCAAAUCUGUCCAAAUCUUAGUAGCUUAUUCAAGUUGUUUACUUAUCUUGUCUAAACUGAUUUGGGGUUAAAACUUGUUGGAGUUGAGAAUCUUGAACCAGAAAAUUACAUCAAGAAAAUAAAAGGAAUUCAAAAGUUUUGGCCAACCUCUUCUUGAAAUUCUUGGUUACCUUGAGCCUUGAUCACUUGAGCAACCUUUGUUUGAGGUUCUUGAUUAUCUUGAACUUUAAACACUUGCACUUCCCUUCGCACAAAGAGUUUCUUGUAAGACCUUGCAUCCAUACGUGGCUUUCUUGGUUGAGGGGUGAAUUUCUUGGGGAAUUCUUGAGUAGCAUCACUCGCAUGCCCUUGGGAGCCCAUUAGAGCCGAAUUUCUGGAAUCACAAGAGUUAAUUUCUGGAGUCACAAGAACCGAAUCUGCCUUGAAGGAGAGAGGGCCGAACUUCUUGUUCUUGGAGUAGAGGGAGAGCCGAAUUGUUUGGGUAAAUUGCGGCUGUGGAGAGGGAGUCUUAUAGGGAGUUUAGCCGACUUUGGGAAGGGAAUAAAGGGAAGAAUUCUGGAAAAUUGCGGUAAAAGGAGAGAGAGGGAACCGAAUCUGUUUGGGGGGGGAUUAGAAGUUGCUUAAAGAAGGACUUCAAGGGGAUUACCAACUCUAACUUGUUUUCUAACUUAGUUUAGGAGACUAAGUACCACACUUGGAUAACACUUGGACACCUUCCUACACUUUCUCCUCCAUUUUAGGAUAUCCUCCUAUAUUUUAUCAUCCUUUUUAGGAAACCACUCCUACAUCUUAGGAAUUCUUAGAGUUUCCUUUCUUGGCAAUAUUUCCAAAUCUGUCCACCACCUCUAAGCCUUCCAAAACCGUCCUUUCCUUCACCAAAAUAUCAUCCACUUGCAUCCUUCACUCUUGUUGAUCGAAACGUGCCUUCACUCUUGUUUACUCUUGUGGGAAAAGUUGGAGACAAUUAUUGGACUCGAGCAACAUUACUCAACUACCUAAACCAACAGGUAAGGUACUUGGUAAGUUUUAUAGAGUGACUUGAGCACUAUACACAAGCGCGAGAGAUACACUCAGGGAGUGAAGUGAGGAUUAUAUUUGCACUUUCUUGCUUGUUACUAACCUUUGCAGGGGCACAAAAAAAAAAAACAUGGAGCAAGAUCAACAACCACCAUCAAAAGACUACUCUCUAUUGUUCACCGCCAUGAGGCAUGAGCUCAAACGAAUCAGUGAGCAACAAAUGGAGACGUUACACACUCGUUUUGAGGAGUUGUCUAGGAGCCUUACGCAAGGCUCUCGUGCUAGGUCCCAUGACCGGAGUAACCAUGGCACCAAAGAAACAAAUGGCGAAGACUACUCCGCUAGUGAGGAUGAGGAGCGACCCGAGAGGCCUACAAGGGACAUGCCCAAAAACGAAAUCAAGGGGCUUAAAAUUCAAGUUCCCGCAUUCAAGGGCAAAAGUGACCCUGAGGCUUACUUGGAGUGGGAAGGCCGUAUCGAGAUGGUCUUCGACUGCUACGACUAUAGCGAGGAGCAAAAAGUGAAGGUUGCCACCGUCGAGUUCACCGACUACGCACUAGUCUGGUGGGACCAAGUGAGGACCACGAGGAGGAGGAUGGGAGAACCACGUGUCCGGACUUGGCGAGAACUCAAGGCACUAAUGCGCAAGCGAUUUGUUCCUAGCUACUACAAUCGUGAUCUCCACUCUAAGCUUCAAACACUCACGCAAGGCAACAUGAGUGUGGAGGAUUACCACAAGGAAAUCGAGAUGGCCAUGAUGAGGGCCAACAUUCAAGAAGACAACGAAGCCACAAUGGCUAGGUUUCUUAGGGGUCUCAAUCCUGACCUUCAGGAUGCCUUGGAGCUUCAACAUUAUUUGGACAUGCACGACCUUCUAGAACUCGCCAUUAAGGCCGAACGGGGGAAGAAAUUAAGACGGGGAGCCCGUACUUUCCAAUCUCCUACCACCACCUCGUGGAAAGGCAACCAACCACGAAGAGUGACCCACGAAGUUGGAAAUGCGACAACACCAACCCAUUCUAACCGCUUCCAAGGUAAUGCUUCUACCCGUAAUGCCUAUUCUACACCUAACAAGGUUUCUGAUGUGUCCAGGUCUACCCCAAAGGCACCGCAAGAGACUCCUAAAGCUAGGAGUAGGGACAUCAAGUGUUUUAAGUGCCAAGGGUUUGGGCAUAUUCAAUCUCAAUGUCCAAACCAACGGGUAAUGCUGAUCACUCACACUGGCGAAAUCGUGUCGGAUGAUGACGAAUGUGAGGACAUGCCCGAACUGGUCGAAGACGACUGCCUAGAAGUAGAGCCAGCUGGGGAGGCAUGCUCGCCUACACGUGGCGAAGUAGGUUGCUUGGUAGCACGACGAGUGUUAACCGCCCGCGUCAAAGAGGACGAGCAGCUACAACGCGAAAACCUAUUCUACACCCGCUGUAAGGUAGGCGACAAAGUGUGUAGUCUCAUCGUCGACGGUGGGAGUUGCACGAACGUGGCCAGCUUGCUCAUGGUUGAAAGUCUAGGACUCCCCACUACCAGGCAUCCACACCCUUACCGCCUCCAAUGGCUAAGUGAGGAUGGUGAAGUACGAGUCUUCAAGCAAGCACGCAUUCCCUUCUCCAUUGGUACUUACACUGAUGAAAUCGUGUGCGACGUGGUGCCAAUGCAUGCUACACAUAUCAUUCUGGGAAGGCCCUGGCAAUUCGACAAACACGUCACAUUCGAUGGAAGAGCAAAUAAGUACACACUUUUGCACGAUGGCAAACGUAAGGUCCUUACACCUCUCACACCUGCACAAGUUUAUGAGGACCAACUACUUUUGCAAAGGGAGUGUGAACAAGACCGUCAAAAGAGGAAACUCAAGGCGGUCGACCCUGGUGACAGCUCCACGUCUACGACUGAGCCAUCAACCAAGGGUCAAGGGAGCACACCUAGGGGCAUACGCGACAAAACACCGGCCGCUCCGCCCACUAGGAAGCACAACAUGAUUAUUAAGGCUAAAGAUGUUCGAAAAGCGGUGCACUCUAAUCAGCCUAUACUUCUCAUGAUUUGCAAGCAUGUGCUCUUAGAUGUUGCUGAGCUCGACAAGGCUUUGCCCUCGAGCAUAGUUGCUCUUUUGCAGGAAUUUGAAGAUGUUUUUCCUGACGAGGUCCCUGACGGUUUACCACCCGUUCGGGGAAUUGAACACCAAAUCGACCUCAUCCCUGGAGCACCAUUGCCCAACAAACCUGCUUACCGCAUGGGCCCUGAGGAGACCAAGGAGCUUCAAAGGCAAGUUGAUGGCCUCUUGGGUAAGGGUUGGGUUAAGGAAAGUCUAAGCCCUUGCGCGGUACCUGUGAUACUUGUUCCCAAGAAGGACGGUACUUGGCGCAUGUGCACUGACUGUCGGGCUGUGAACGCUAUCACUGUCAAAUAUCGUCAUCCCAUUCCCAGACUUGAUGAUAUGCUUGAUGAGCUCGAUGGAGCUAUUAUUUUCACCAAAAUUGACUUGCGGAGUGGUUAUCAUCAAAUUAGGAUGAAGGAAGGCGAUGAGUGGAAGACAGCCUUCAAAACCAAGCAUGGUCUCUAUGAGUGGUUGGUCAUGCCUUUUGGCUUGACAAAUGCCCCUAGCACCUUCAUGCGACUCAUGAACCAUGUGUUGAGACACUUUAUUGGUAAAUUUGUCAUUGUUUACUUUGAUGACAUCCUGAUCUAUAGUCGUAGUGAGCAUGAGCACUUGGAGCAUGUACGAUUAGUUCUUGAGACACUUCGACAGGCGCGUCUAUACGCUAACCUCAAGAAGUGCACCUUUUCUACUAACGAGCUUGUGUUUUUAGGCUAUGUGGUCAGUUCGCAGGGCAUCAAGGUAGACACAUCCAAGAUUGAGGCCAUCGAAAAAUGGCCAACUCCCACAUCCGUUCCUGACGUGCGCAGCUUUCUUGGACUGGCGGGUUUUUAUCGGCGAUUUGUUCAAAACUUUAGCACUAUUGCCGCCCCAUUGACCGCCGUGACAAAGAAGGAUGACAAGUUCCAUUGGGGGGAAUCACAAGAACAAGCGUUUCUCGCCCUUAAGGACACACUCACACAUGCACCUGUGCUAGCAUUACCUAACUUUAAUAAGACAUUUGAAAUUGACUGUGAUGCUUCUGGUGUAGGUAUUGGGGCAGUCCUCAUGCAAGACAAGAGGCCGUGUGCCUUCUUUAGCGAGAAAUUGGGAGGAGCUGCACUGAACUACCCCACGUAUGACAAGGAGUUGUACGCCUUAGUGAGGGCCUUGGAGACCUGGCAACACUACCUUCGGCCUCGGGAGUUCGUGAUCCACACUGAUCACGAGUCAUUGAAGUACCUCAAAGGCCAACCCAAGCUAAGCAAGCGACAUGCCAAAUGGGUAAGCUUCAUUGACACCUUCUCCUAUAUGAUUAAGUACAAGACUGGCAAGACGAAUGUGGUCGCUGAUGCUUUGUCACGUAGACACUCCUUACUUGUCUGUCUUGAUGCCAAGUUACUUGGGUUCGAAAUGGUGAAAGACCUCUACACUAAUGAUCAUGACUUUGGUGCUAUCUAUGCUGUGUGUGUUAAGAAUCCACAGGGAAAGUACUUUUUGCAUGAUGGAUUCCUAUUCCAUGUAGAUAAACUAUGUGUGCCUAACUCUUCCAUUCGUGAUCUUUUGAUUCGCGAGGCACAUAGUGGUGGUCUCAUGGGCCACUUUGGCAUUGCCAAGACUCUGGCUAUGUUACAAGAGCACUUUUACUGGCCCCUUAUGCGUAGGGACGUUGAACGCAUGGUUGGUAGGUGUGCUACUUGUCACAAAGCUAAGUCCAAGACGUUCCACAUGGCUUAUAUACCCCGUUACCUAUCCCUCACCAUCCCUGGGUUGACUUGUCUAUGGACUUCGUACUAGGUUUGCCUCGAUCCCCAAGGGGUAAUGAUUCUAUAUUUGUGGUGGUUGAUAGGUUUUCUAAGAUGGCUCAUUUUAUCCCCUGUCACAAAACUGAUGAUGCAUCUCAUAUUGCUACUCUAUUCUUCAAGGAAAUUGUCCGUCUGCAUGGUAUGCCUAGGACCAUUGUUAGUGAUAGGGAUGUGAAAUUCCUAAGUUACUUUUGGAAGACUCUGUGGUCUAAACUUGGCACUCGGUUACUAUUCUCCACCACCAGUCAUCCACAAAGCGAUGGACAAACUGAAGUUGUCAAUCGCACACUCGGCACACUACUUCGGGCAUUGAUUAAAAAGAAUCUUAAGACUUGGGAAGAGUGUUUGCCUCAUGUUGAAUUCGCCUACAAUCGAGUUGUUCACAGUGCUACACACUACUCACCUUUUGAGAUUGUUUAUGGCUUUAACCCGCUGACCCCUCUUGAUUUAGUACCCUUACCUUCCUCUGAGCACACAAGCUUAGAUGGGAAAAAGAAGGCCGAUUUUGUACGCAGGUUACAUGAAGCCGCUCGAGCAAACAUUGAAAGGCGUACUCAGCAAUACACCCAGCAGGCUAACAAGCACCGACGCAAAAUGAUUUUCGAGCCUGGUGAUUGGGUUUGGUUACACUUACGCAAAGAGAGGUUCCCCAAGCAGCGACAAAGCAAAUUAUCCCCCAGAGGGGAUGGACCUUUUCGUGUACUCCAACGGGUUAAUGACAACGCAUACAAAUUGGAGCUACCUGGGGAGUACAAUGUUAGCGCGACCUUCAAUGUCGCGGACUUGAGCCCGUUUCUUGGUGAGGAGGAUCCAGAUUUGAGGGCAAAUCCUUCUCAAGAGGAGGGGACUGAUGUGAACCCGAGCCAGGGCCCAGUCCAAGUUCCAUUGGGCCCAGUCACACGUGCACGGGCCAAGCUUUUCAAGGAAUCACUCCAAGCCCUUGUUCGAGCUGUCCACGAUCAACAUGGAGCCUAUAGAGAUAUUGAAGGCUUGGAGAGGGUCAAUCAAGCAACUUACACUUUGGUCCAAGCCCAAGAAGACCCCAGUGGGCCUCCUUACGAAGCGGCCGAGUAGGGCCUUAGUCAUUGUUUUCAAUUUAGUUGGAUUCGUUGUUCGUGGAAGGCAUGGGCCGGCCCACCUUGAUGACAAGGUAGCCGACCUCCCCUUUAGGUUUCUUUAGGGUUUUGUUAUUCCAUUAAGCCUAUAAAUAGGCUAGUCUUGUAAGGUUAAAACUUAGUUUUUGAUGAAUAAAAUUCUUAGUGCAUUCGUUUUCUUUCAAAGAGAAUUCGAGCCUUUUAACUUGCUUGGCAAGGGUUAUUGAGCAAUCUCGCGUCCUGUCCUUGAUUGUUCAUCCGACCUAUUCCCCUGGAGUAUUCACCUUCAUCGGAGUGUCGUCUACCACCUUCAAAUCAAAUCGUGUUGUCCGUUUGGUUAGAGGUUCCGCACACCAAGCGUUGGACAUCCCCGCUAGAUCCUUGGGCAAACGUGCUACGUGUCUCGACCGUGGAUCGAGGAGCGUAUCAUUUGAUCUUGAACAAAAACCAAAAGAGAAAGAUCUAGAGUUUGUGAGAAAAUUUCCUUCAAUCUCUGAGGUUGUUUCAAGCCUAAAGCUUCUAUUGUGGUGGUUUGUUUGGUGACCAAAGCAACUUGUAAGUAAGGUAUGGAAUCUUUAAAAUUUGGGUUUAUGAUUUUAUAUCAUCUACUUGAGGUUGAAAUGGUGAAAACAACUUGUUAUGGUUGAAUUUGGGGUUAGUUUCUUGAGUUAAUCAAGUAAUGGUUAGGUUUACCAAUAUGCAUACCAAGUGUUUGAUGAAAUGUCUAACCCUUAUUCAUGUGUGUUUAUGAAGUAUUGAUAUGUUUUAAACCCCUAUUUAGUUGGAUCUAAUACUUGUUAUGUGCAAGGAAUGAAAAUAACAAGAAGAGUAGAAGUUAGAAAUUUUUUAAAGUGUGCUGACCGAAACUUUUUAAGCUUGCUGCCCGGUUUUACCUUGAUAUUUUCAUGCACAUUUUGGCUACAAAUGUGAGUAUUAUAUGUUGGGUUAUGUGUGUGGAGGUUGUCUACAAAAAAAUUAGCCAAUUUGGUUGAAUAAAUUUUGAGUUAUAAACAAAGGAGGAAAACUGGACUAGGUCCAGAAAUUUUCUGUCCAGCCAUCUUGUUAAGGUCAUAACGUGUUACUCACUGAUCAGAAUUGAGUGCCGUUUAUGGCAAUUGAAAGUAGACUCUUAGAGCUUUAAAACGGUACAAAGCUCAUUUUCUGGUUCAUCCCGAGCGAUCCGUGGCGAGUCUGGAAAGUUGGCUGUCCGGGAAGUACUGUUCAUCCGAGACAGUCCAGAAAGUUCAUUUGGUUUCUUAAUUUUGAGCCACUUAUGUUGGGAUUUUGGAAAUGGUUUCUUCUAGACAAAUUUAGCCUUAUGAACCUAGUUUCCAAUGCAACAGACGGAACCAAAUUAUGACUUUUCCACAAUGAGCAAUGACCGUUUUUCCGAGGCUGGCCGGGCGAGACAGUUUAACCCGUAAUGAAGCCUUUGAGCUGUAGUGAAACUUUUCUUUUGCCAAACUUUCAUGUACAUACUAGACUUGUUUUCCAUGAACUUUCACCGUGGUUUAGACCCUAUUUGCAUGCCGGAUUAAGUAGCUUAAGCUACUCACUUGGCCUCUUAAUGAACUUAUACUUUAGUAGGGAACGAAUCCAAUUAUUAAUGUUUUCACUCGUUGACCUAGGUUUGGGCAACGACGGUGACCGUAACUGAGACGUUUGACGUCGAUUAUUACUUUUGCUUGACAGGUGAGUGUUCCACUACCUGCUACUUGUUAUGAGAAAUAUUCGUGUACUUGAAAGUAUUGAAUUGUUAUUGUUUGAGCCAAACACUGUUUUAAUUAAAAUUGAGGCGAGUGUGUACUUUAUCGCACUCGACCUCACUUAUUUUUUCUUUUCACUGAGGCUCUACUUACUGAAUGAAUUAACAUGAAAUGAGAUAUUGCUAUACAUGACUGUGCUUAAGUUGCGUGGAUGACAUUCCACCAACUACUGUUACUGUUUGGGUACCCAACCUCAUAGGUGAGUCGGUUGUAUCGAGCCAGCAAGGGCUUGGUCGAGAAGGCCGAUAAACCUUGAGGACUGUUUACUGUUCACUGGAAAUUGAAUCUUGCUUGGAGGUCCCUGGUGAAGCAUAGCCGUUGCGCUUGCUUGUUGUGUUGUCCAGCACCACCAGUGAUAAAAUCCUCGGCUUGAUACUGUUUCAUUGGAAUCCUUGAGCAUUGGAAACUCGGAUUCCUGGUAUACUCGAGUAUUACCAAACUGCUGUUUAUGGAGUGCGGGCCCGGUAGGGGGUUGUUUGGUGGACGGAGACUGGUGAAAGUUGUGUUCUACGGACCUAUAUACUGUUACAAGUGUUGACGGAGUGUCAACAGGAGGCAAUUAUGAUCAAGCUCAAGUGGACCUUUGGCUUUUGAAAGCCACCCGUAUCCUGGAAUUGAACUGUUAUUUUACUGUACGGUGUUUAGUUGGCUAUUUUGUGAUUUUAUGUGGCUAUGUGUUUACUUGUUUACCUGGAACCUCACUGGGCUUUAACUCACCCCAUUCUCUUUGUUUUCCUUAACAGAUCGGGAAGGGAUUUGAUCGAGGGCUUUCUUAGCUUUAUUUUGCCGUUCUUGCGUUUUGAGGUUGUAACUUUCGUUUAAGCAGACUUGUAAGCUUAAAUUCUUAAGGGUGAUUUAUAUUAUGUAAUUUUGAGUGAAGCGUGGUAAGUUGGCAUGCGAUGAUAUAUGUACUAAGCUGAAUUGUUGAAUUAGUGAUUAUGUUUGAGUUAGUGUUUCAAUCCCCUGCAUUGUCAAAUGUUACAUUCGUUUCAUUGAUGAUAUUAGUACUUUGAACGACUGAGUCCUGGCGAGAGUUGGGCAGGCAGUCCGUUGAUACCCUAGGGUUUGCCCUAGGGAGAGGUGGGGCUGUCACAGUUGGUAUCAGAGCUUAGGCUUCAGAUCUUUGUAGAGUAUCCUAGACAUAAAAGCUUAGGAUGCUGGACUGUGGGAUUGGUUUGAAAGUUAAGUGAUCACUGGAAGGAAAAAAAAAUUUUGAGCCUAGGUUUGAAUUGGUUUGGGCGAGUUAGGAAUUUUCGACUUGAGGAUUAUAUUUGAUUAUUUUCCCUUAAGAGUACUUAAGUUUAUCUACACUUUGUGUAGGCUGGAUGAAUCUGGCGGCCCUAGUAAUAGACCGGUUGGCGAGCCAUCCCGUGGGGACUUACCGAUGAUUAAGUAUCAAAUCAGACCCGGAGGCCUAGAGCCUAUUGGGGCUUAUCUAAUCACUACAAGUGGUGUGAGUGUCUGCAAAUUUUACCUAUUCUAAUGGAGUAGUGUUGGCCGUUGUGAAGGAGCGAAAGUUGCUUGCCCGGGACAAUGCUAGGUUUAAAGCUGAAGUCAAUCAACUAAAGGAAACUACUAAAAUGCAAGCCGAUCGAAUUAAGGAGCACAGGUAUGAUAUGGUUGAAGGCCAUCAAAGGAUUGGUAAAUCUUUGUAUGUAACUUGGAGAAGCUCAGGAACGCGUUUAGGGGGCAAUAAAAGUGAGGAAUAGAGUCGAGUCAAACCUGAAUGUUUGUGAUGACCUGUUUGGGGACUUCAGUAGACUUAAGUGGUGAAGUCUCUAACAUUGGAGACGAGGCAAGUGUUGACCUUGCCUAGACCGGAGGAGGGUCAGCUAGUCCCGCAUCAAACUAAGCCUACACCUCUAGGCUACUACUUUGGAUGAUUUUGACUACUAUACAUAGAAAGGAUAAGGGAUGUGGUGACUCGGUGGUUGUACAAUUUUCUUUUGACUACUUGCACUGGAUUUUUCCUUGAUAUGACUGUAUGACUGUAUUUGUAUCUGUGAGUCUCGUACCUGAUACUUUUGGUCUAGUUAUCUUACAAACAACUACUAUGAGCCUUGGAAUGUAUAAUACUUUGACUUUGACUGUGACUGUGAAUUGGACUGUGACUGUUACGGUGACUUUGACCUCGACUUUAUUACGACAUUGGCAUUUAAUUGCUUUAUAUUUUCACUCGCUUAUUGUGACUCCGAUUUCAUUUUAUUUGACUUUUGAAAAGGAAUAAUCAUCUAUCAUGUACCAACACGUACUUACCCAUUGGUUAAAAUACUUGGACCCUAGACCAGUGAGUAAUAAAGGAGAAUAGGUCCAGGACCAAGAAGAGGAAUAAAGGUUUGUAGUCAAUUAGAACCAGGGACCCGGAGGUGGAGUAGGGGACCAGGUAGCUACAGCUAUCAAUCGUAUGACUGAUCUACUGUUUACUGGCCAUUCGGUUGACCAACAAGGUCAAACACCGGGUAACUAGUAAAGGAACCUUGAAGUAAGUGAAGAUAGAGUCCUAAAUCAGUUCCAAAAGUUCACACCUCCUAAAUUUCUUGGAGAACUAGAUCCCGAAAUUGCGGAGAACUGGUUUGAAAGAAUGGAAGAUAUUUUACUGCUUCGCGUGGUCUCUGCGCGAAGUGAGCUUGGGGCCAAGUGGUGUUAUUGUUUCGAUUAUGUGAGUCAGUGGAAAGGACUAGGUGCUCUUUUUGGGCGUAAGCUAUGAAUCAUGACUGUUAUAAGCGUAAACCCUUUAUCAGGAUACUUGGGAGGAAUAGAUAUGUACGUCGGGUAGGAAUCUGUAAUAUGGGUGAUUUACUCUUAGGACCGGCCGGCUCGAGUUGUGAAUUACCUUAUUGUGGAUUCUUGUACUUGAGUACCAAAAAGUGGAGAGCCCUAGAAUAAGGGUCUGUAUCUUGAUUGCACUUGAGACAAGUUUUAAUGGCAAAAGUCAAGGCGCGAAAGAUCCUAAUAUUUGACCUAGUUAUUGGACUGAUUGAGGGAAUAAAUCUCGGAAGCUAUCAUGGACUAAUCUCAAAAUAGUCUGACAGGGUUUCUAUAGAUGGUGGCUAGAUUAUACUGUACGUCGAGAAAUUUGCACUGAAGAUCUGUUUCCUUCACCCAUGACUGUGAAGACAUGAUAAGUGUUUAUUUCGAAUGUGGGGCGGUUUGAUUACAACUAUAUGGAUAUUUCUACUCCUCUUGUGACAUUCUUUCCUAUGCUUCCUUGACACCUAUCCACUAAUGUCUAAGUAUGGACUUGACUCGAUUAUGAUCGUGGCGAGAUCGUGAGUUUUGGAAUUAUGCAUGGGAAUUUGAGAAAAGAAUUGGAUUCUAUACCUGUAUGCAAGAGAUUGAGAUAGGAGGUAGAAGUUCCGACACAUAAAGUACGCUUUAGGGUUGCUAUGUGCAUAAGUGAUAAGGAUACUCUCGUAUUGAAAUUCCCGAAUAAGAAUGAGUGGCAUUGUAUUCUGAGCUAUUAGCCUACCUGUAUUCUAUUAUCUUGUCUAUCUCACUUGAGGAUAGCUAUGUUUAAUUCCUUGUGGUAGGAUCGGAGGAGAAUGAAUUUAAAAGUUAUAUGACUAGAGUUUCUGUGAGGCCCCAGUUCGUACUACGUUGAUAUAUUCAUUAAUUUGGCGGUAACGUUUGGUUUUGGGAGUAUUUCGAAAACCCUAAGUAGGAAUUACGAUUUAAACCCUAAGUUCCGGUUAAGAUUGAAAACCCGUUUUUUUCUACAUUUUCUUUAUUAGAAAAUUCCCCAGAUAAUUUUUAUGAGUAAAUAUAGUUUUUAGAUGAUUUUUCUAGUAUUAGUUAGUUUUUGAGAAAUUAAGAACGUAUAUCGGACGUGGGACCCACUAGUGCGAAAAGUUCGGAAAAAUUCGGCCAGUUAGGUUAAAUUCCGGAUACUGUGUAAAAUUUAUCGGGUGUUAAGAGAUAAGUAGAGAGUGAGAUAUGAUUGAUGUGAGAGAGAAAAGAAAGGAUAGGAAUGCAUUAAUGGUGGUGACAAGUGUCACCAUUUCAUUGGAGAAGACUUAAGAAUUACUAUUCACUUUCUUGACUUUUUUGACCAAAAGAUUAAAUAUCCAAAAAUUGCUCAAAAAUCACCAUUUUCUUCCUUGUGUUGGCCGGCCCUUUCUCUCUCAAAGAAGAAGGAAAUUCUUCAACUUUCAAGCUUCCAAUUGGACCAAAAUCCACCAAAUCAAGAGUUUAAGUUAGUUUUACUCCAUACAAUCUUUCCUUUUGGUGAUAUUGGUUGGUUUAUUGAAGCUUUUUGGAAGAGCUAAGGUGUCCAUCAUCUUCCUCUCUCUUGUUAUUAGGUGAGUGAUGCUUCAACCUUUCCCCUACACCUAAUGAUGGUUAUAUUAUGCUUAGAAGUGGCUUGAGUGUUGGAAAAUGUGAUUUAUUUCUUGAUUUGAAGAGUUUUGGUGAAGUUUUCCAUUUUAUGAUGAAUUUUCUGGUUUCAUAUGAUUUUUAUGUUUUGGACUAGUAUGAUGGUUGGUAAUAAGGGGCUUUGGCUCUAGUAGGUGUGGAUUGUUGUUAAAUGCAACCAAUUUUGGAAUUGGAAUGAAAUGUGAAAAGUUAGGGUUCUUGAACCCCUAUUCUGUCCGAAAUUUUAGGUCAUAGCUAGAGGCCGAAUUGGACUUUGCUCAAAACAUGAAAGUUGUAGGUAUUGAUGAGUUUAGUGUGCCUGCAAAAUUUCAGGGCAAUUGGACUAGUGUAGAGUGAGUUAUGCCGUUUUUACUGUUGCUGUUUUUGGUGCACAGAAUGUCCGAACUGCGAUAGUAAUUGCCUGUUUUGACUGGAAUUGGUUUGGAUUUUGAAGUUGGUAUCUUCUGAGGAAAUGUAGCUGGAUGUCUUAGCUAACUUAUGCCUUUGGAAUUUCGGCAUUUGGACCUGUGUAGGCUGAGAUUGACGUAUUCCAGUUUUGUGUGUUUUGCAAACCUGUUUUGGUAAUUCUGGUUUCGUAUUUUGCAUAUUUGACCUAGUUGUGCUAGGAUUUGGACUGAGUGGCCUUCUACAUUGUUGUAGCCCUGUUUCAUAGCUUCGAAACGGUGGGUCUUACACCCCCAUCCGAUAACCGUAGUGAAUUUGGUGCCAUUACCGCAUAUUGAGGUCAAAUACGGUUUGUGAUUCUGGUACGUUUUUGGAAAGUUUAUGGCUGGAACUUUGGCUUCACAUUUGACUGAGUUACAAGCUGUUUGGGCUUCCGACCAAAACACCAAACUUAUAGCCCUAUAUCAGAGCUUUCUAACGCCCUUGGAAUUUCAUGAAUCGGAUUUAUAAAACCUGAGAUAUAGCCGAGCAAAUAAGGCCUGCCCGUGAAAAUGACCAUUUUCUGGUCAGAUCUGUUUUGGUCCAGAUGACCAAUUUCCGUUCCGAAUUUGGAUUGCCGACCUUCAUGAAAGUUGUUCCAUUUGGAAUGAACUAUCUAACUGCCAAUUUUCAGCUCUUUUGACCAUGUGUAGCAUAGAAAACAGUUUGCACUCAAAACUGACCAUUUGUGCAUUGGCCAGAUUUCGUAAGUGAUUGUGUUUGGUUCAUUUGGGACUAAAGCCUCCAGUUUCAGUUCUGGAUGUCUUCAUAACAGUUGUUGUUCAUCCUUUAAGCUUCGAUAUGGCGUCUCAUACGCCUUAAUCCGAUAUUCGUAGCUCAACUUAUGAGUAAACUAGAAACGAGUGUCAAAUCUGCCCUUUCCGCUAACGGCCGUCUCCGUUUCCGUUCGUCAUAUUUACGUGCGCGCGUGCCGUUUUUGCCGUUUUGCUGGUUUUAGGCACGAUAGUAGUCGUUUGCGAUAUUAUGUGACACAAUCUUCUAUUUCAGACGGUGGUGAGCUGGGCGGAACUGGUGGGGCCCACUACUAGCUGUUCAUUUCGAUCCGACUUCGUACUUUUGCUAUGUCAGUUUCUGGGUAAGUAUUCAGGCCGGUUUGGUGUGUUUUCUUUGCUAUGUGUUUGAGAUAUGUGAAAAGGGCACUUAGGCGAGGGUGUACUUUAUCGCACUCGACCUAAACCCUAAUUUGAAUGUAUAAUUAUACUUGGCAUAUGUAUAUGAACCUUUUGGAACCAAAACCCUUGAGCUUGUGGCUCGGGGCGAUUUUCGAAUAAAGUUUGUGAAGUUUGCAAAGUUUGUGAUUUUGAAUAAUUUUGUGAAGUUUGUGAGUUUGGGGCGAACUCUUGACCUGGUUGGACUAUUCGAGCCGGUAAGGGCUUGGUCGAAGGCAGUCCACCUUAGUCUGAGGUCACCAAGUUUGUAGGUUCAUGUUAUGAACCAAUUUUGUGAAUCCGGUUCACCGAGAAAGUGACCAAGUUUGUGACCCGAGCUUGUGACUCAAGCUCAAGUUUGUGAUUUCGUUCGCCCGGGCAAGUUUGUGAGGUGACUGGCCAGUGAGGGUGAUAAGGUGUCGGUGGGUGUACAAGUGAAGUUCUACGAACUAUUAUUUGCAGUCGACGGAGUGUCGGCAGGAGAUCACGCAUGGCAUAUGAGUUGGCUUUGGAGCCACCUGUAUCCUUAUUAUGUGAUGUUACUUUUCUGCUUUUGCUUUACUCUUAUUGUGUAACUGUUAUGUGAAAUUUAUGCUUUCGUCCCUGUUUACUUACUAAGCAUAUAGCUUACCCCAUUCCUUUUGUUUUCCUUAGCAGGGGCCGACGCGGGGACUUUUGGCUCGUAUACUAGUAUAGUUAGAUUGGCUUGUAAUAGUUGAAUAGUUAGAAUGUUUGUUUCUGUUUUGGUGGUUUGUAUAAGGACCCUUCUUAGGGUCUAUCUUCUGCUGGUUGUGAUUGUAGUAUAUGAGAGUAUAUAUUGUAUAUAUUGUAUUUAGUGCUCUUUCGAACUUUAGGUUUUGAGUCCUGGCGCGAGCUAGGCAGGCGGCCCGCCGAACCCUCUGGUUCGCCUUAGGGGGAGGUGGGGUCGUCACAGUUUCCAAUUGUAAUUAGUUACUUACUUUGCUCCUUUGAUUUACUGGCAAGCUACUAUCGAGAUAAGUGAAUUAGUGAGAUGACAAAUGUGACUGAUCUGCAUAAGAAAAUAGAGGUUAUUCAAAAAGAAAUAGAGUUCCAAAAGAGAUGAACUGAGUACUGGGAAAGAUGAUGGGAACUAAAAUACCUAGAGAACAUUGAACUAUUGCAUCAGAACAUACGAUUGAAAGGAAAUAUGAAGGGGUUCCAGAAGAGGUAGGUACAGAAUAAGUUUGUACCAGUACAUUUGCCAAGUUGAAUAGCCAUUAAUGAGGUUUUUGCCUGGAUAAGUUAUAAUCAUUGGACUAUGCAUAGUGACAUUUUUAUAUAGCAAGAUGUAUUCCCUUAGGAACAGUGGACUUGGUACCUGCUGUUUUAAUAAGUGCUAUGAAAUAUUUGUGGUGGUGCAAUAUUGGAUCCUUAUCCCUGAGUUUAUUGCCCUACUUUGGUCUUUGAGUUAAAAAUUUAUCGUUUGUCGCUCGAAGGGAAGAAAUGAUUUAAUGUACAGAGUGUAUGGGUUAAAGAGCUAGCAAGAAUAGUAACCAUGUUGUAACUCUUCUUUCUAUCGAGAUUAAGGUUUGCGUCACAUUUUUCACCUUGACUAAAUCAACAAUUUGACCGAAUUGUCUUCAUCUUCCCUCUUACUUGGCCGAACCAAGAGAGAAGAGAAACCAAAGAGAGACCUCCAACUCCAACCUCAAUUUUGUACUUGAAUCUGAAGUUACUCCAUGGAAAUGUUAACUAAGAAAGAUUUCAAGGUAUUGGUGGAGCGAUUUUUGAGGAAGAAGCCCUGGAUUUCCAUCUUUCUUGAGGUUACAAGGUAACUUUGGCUAGCAAUUUUCCUCUACUACCAAUAUAGGAAAACUAGUGGAUUAAGGUAGUACUUUUGGCAGCUUUAUGGAAAAUUUCAUGGGUUGAACUAGUGUUAUGGUAAUUUAUGGUUUUAUGGUGAAUUUUCUACCACACGUCAUGCUUAAGUACUGACCAUGGUCUGAUAGCUUUGUUAUGACUUGCCUAAAGAAAAUUCAAGCUUGUGAUUAAGAAUUUCAGCUUCGGGUUUCAUUUUGCUAAACUUGAGUAGAGACGGUUAUAUGCUUGAUGUAGUGAGUUGUGGGCUUGAUAUUUAUAUGCUUGAGUUGAAGCUAUUUCAUGGGAAGAAUGAAGCCUUGAAUGGGCUAGGAAAAGUUAGUAAACACAAAGGAUGUGCCGCUGAAAAUUUUUUCCGCAGGGAACCUUGGAAGGUUUUACAGAAUUUGUUAUAUCUUGAUGUAGAAAAGUCAAAAUUGAGUUUUAUUAUGUUUGAAACUAGAUUCAGAGUAUCAGUAUUGUUCUCAAUUUCCAUGAAUAUCUAUGAUUUUUCAAAGUUGACUGAAACUGUAUACCUGUUCUGUCUGUUACUGGGUGAAGCAGCAACUUUAGGUUGGAAUUUGACCGACUCGUGGAUUGGAUCUUACAAUGGUACCUUCUAGAAAGUUGUAACAAUUUGAAUCCAUAUUCCGACGGUAUAAAGUUUUUUAAGUUUUGGACAUAAGAAGCUCGAGAUAAGAUUUUCAAAUGAGAUCACGCAAAACUAAAAAAAUUUCUAUUUUUCCUAGGAUUAUUCCUACUUACAUUCCCAACUUUAGGAUUGGAGUUGGUAAACUAUUUUGAGGUUGGUUUAUGAGUAGAAACGAGACUUAAAUGAAAGGAAAAUGAGUUCUUCAAACCACCUUAGGUCGGACAGUUUACAACUUUGCAUUUUGAACGUCUUUUCUACUUUCUCUAAACGUUUGGCUAUAAGUGAUACUUUUCUGCUCUAAAUGACUUUUGCAACAUUGAUUAGUAAGGACAUAAGGAUUAUUCUUCGAUGGGAACAAGCUAGUAUUAUAUUUCGAUAGGUUAUACAACUAUGAAACUUGUAAAUUGAAACAUGUUCUAAAUAAAGAUUUUGAUGUGUGCACGGACCUUAGCCCAAGUAAUGACCCAGUCCGAGUUCCAUUGGGCCCAGUCACACGUGCACGAGCCAAGCUCUUCAAAGAAUCCCUCCAAGCCCUUGUUCGAAUUGUCCAAAACCAACAUGGAGUCCAUAGAGAUAUUGAAGGCUUGAAGGAUUUUAAUUGAGUUAUCUACACCAUGACCAGCCCAUGAAGAGUCAAGUGGGCCUCCAAAUGAGUUGGCCGAAUAGGGCCUUAGGCCUUAGUAGUUAUUUAGCAAUUGAUUAGUGUUUAAGUAAGAGCAUGGGCCGGCCCAUCUUGUCCCAAGACCAUGGGCCGACUUUUCCCUUUCCUAGUCCCUUUAGGGUUUCAGUCACUUUAGCCUAUAAAAUAGGCUUGCUUUGUAAGGUUUUAGGGUAGACGUUUAUCAAUAAAGUUUUGCAUAUUUUCGAUUCUUCUGAGAGAGAGAUUCGACCCCUUUACUUGCUUUGGCAAGGGUUUUGAGCAGUUUGCGUUCUGUCCUAGAUUGUUCUACCGACCUAUUCCCCUGGAGUAUUCACUCUUCAUCGGAGUGUCGUCUACCAUCUUGAAUCAAAUCGUGUCGUCCGUUUGGUUCUAGAUCCCGCAAUUCCAAGCGUUGGACAUCCUCGCUAGAUCCUUGGGCAAACGUGCUACGGGUCUCGAAACGUGUUGAUCGAGGAACGUAUCAGUUGCUUCAGAGCUUUGGUGGAGGUAUCUUCCGUUAUAUCCGUUAAUCGAGGAACGUAUUUCGAGACACGUAGCACGUUUGCCCAAGGAUCUAGCGAGGAUGUCCAACGCUUGGAAUUGCGGGAUCUAGAACCAAACGGACGACACGAUUUGAUUCAAGACGGUAGACGACACUCCGAUGAAGGUGAAUACUCCAGGGGAAUAGGUCGGUAGAACAAUCUAGGACAGGACGCAAGACUGCUCAAAACCCUUGCCAAAGCAAGUAAAGGGGUCGAAUCUCUCUCUCAAGAAGAAUCGAAAAUAUGCAAAACUUUAUUGAUAAAACGUCUACCUAAAACCUUACAAAGCAAGCCUAUUUAUAGGCUAAAGUGACUGAAACCCUAAAGGGACUAGGAAAGGGAAAAGUCGGCCCAUGGUCUUGGGACAAGAUGGGCCGGCCCAUGCUCUUACUUAAACACUAAUCAAUUGCUAAAUAACUACUAAGGCCUAAGGCCCUAUUCGGCCAACUCAUUUGGAGGCCCACUUGACUCUUCAUGGGCUUGGGUCAUGGUGUAGAUAACUCAAUUAAAAUCCUUCAAGCCUUCAAUAUCUCUAUGGACUCCAUGUUGGUUUUGGACAAUUCGAACAAGGGCUUGGAGGGAUUCUUUGAAGAGCUUGGCUCGUGCACGUGUGACUGGGCCCAAUGGAACUCGGACUGGGUCAUUACUUGGGCUAAGGUCCGUGCACACAUCAGUCCCCUCCAUUUGAGCAGGAUUUGUCCUCAAACCUGGAUGGAAAUGAAUGACACGAACAAGGGUUGGUAUCAUGGCUCCAGUGGCUCCUCUUGUUCGUAUCAGAUUUGUAGCUUCAAUUCCUACAUAAUAUGGCUUUGUAUUGCUGGUCUUACUAAAGCAUGCGCUCACAGGACUCGAGAGAGUUAAAAAGGAUAUUCAUCAAAAAUAUUUUGAACUACUCAGUAAUCAAGCUGAGAAUCUCGAGGGCGAAAUUCUUUAAGGGGGAGAGAGUGUGAGAACCCUCAUUUUUAAAAUACAAUUUCCCCAAACUACAUGCCUUGCACCAAGAUUUAAACCACCUCUUAUAUGCCCUGGCAUUAUAUUUCACAAUGUGUUACAACAAAUCCCUUGUAUUGACCCUCACUUUAAAACACAAUUUUCUUACUUACAUGCCUUAUUAUAAGAUCUAGACCAUUUAAUAUAUGCCCUUACAAAUUAUUUUCUAUGUGUUAUAAUAAUUUCCAUGCAUUUCAUUUCAAUUCAUUUUACUUGAAGUAAAAUAUUUCCUUGAGCUAGGUUGUAAAUAAUUCACCACUUGUAAUUGUCCAAGUGUUCUUUUAUUAGUGGUAGAGACUUUAUGUGAGAGAUUAGAGGUGUUGAAUAAUUAUUGGUGCAUUUGGAAAGGUAAGAAUGGCAUUAGUCAAAGAUUAAGAAAGGUUAGGGCAAUAAUGGAGCCAUGUGGCAAAACCCUAGCCAUGUAUCUUGUUUGACCAAAGGAUUAGAGGAAUUUUAAACCAACUUUGCUUCAUUUUCCUCCAAAAUUUCGUCCACCUUAAGGGCUUCCAAGGGAAGGAAGAAAACUCCAUCUUCUUGCUAUGACAACCUUAGUUUGAUCUUGAACAAAAACCAAAAGAGAAAGAUCUAGAGUUUGUGAGAAAAUUUCCUUCAAUCUCUGAGGUUGUUUCAAGCCUAAAGCUUCUAUUGUGGUGGUUUGUUUGGUGACCAAAGCAACUUGUAAGUAAGGUAUGGAAUCUUUAAAAUUUGGGUUUAUGAUUUUAUAUCAUCUACUUGAGGUUGAAAUGGUGAAAACAACUUGUUAUGGUUGAAUUUGGGGUUAGUUUCUUGAGUUAAUCAAGUAAUGGUUAGGUUUACCAAUAUGCAUACCAAGUGUUUGAUGAAAUGUCUAACCCUUAUUCAUGUGUGUUUAUGAAGUAUUGAUAUGUUUUAAACCCUAUUUAGUUGGAUCUAAUACUUGUUAUGUGCAAGGAAUGAAAAUAACAAGAAGAGUAGAAGUUAGAAAUUUUUUAAAGUGUGCUGACCGAAACUUUUUAAGCUUGCUGCCCGGUUUUACCUUGAUAUUUUCAUGCACAUUUUGGCUACAAAUGUGAGUAUUAUAUGUUGGGUUAUGUGUGUGGAGGUUGUCUACAAAAAAAUUAGCCAAUUUGGUUGAAUAAAUUUUGAGUUAUAAACAAAGGAGGAAAACUGGACUAGGUCCAGAAAUUUUCUGUCCAGCCAUCUUGUUAAGGUCAUAACGUGUUACUCACUGAUCAGAAUUGAGUGCCGUUUAUGGAAAUUGAAAGUAGACUCUUAGAGCUUUAAAACGGUACAAAGCUCAUUUUCUGGUUCAUCCCGAGCGAUCCGUGGCGAGUCUGGAAAGUUGGCUGUCCGGGAAGUACUGUUCAUCCGAGACAGUCCAGAAAGUUCAUUUGGUUUCUUAAUUUUGAGCCACUUAUGUUGGGAUUUUGGAAAUGGUUUCUUCUAGACAAAUUUAGCCUUAUGAACCUAGUUUCCAAUGCAACUGACGGAACCAAAUUAUGACUUUCCCACAAUGAGCAAUGACCGUUUUCCCGAGGCUGGCCGGGCGAGACAGUUUAACCCGUAAUGAAGCCUUUGAGCUGUAGUGAAACUUUUCUUUUGCCAAACUUUCAUGUACAUACUAGACUUGUUUUCCAUGAACUUUCACCGUGGUUUAGACCCUAUUUGCAUGCCGGAUUAAGUAGCUUAAGCUACUCACUUGGCCUCUUAAUGAACUUAUACUUUAGUAGGGAACGAAUCCAAUUAUUAAUGUUUUCACUCGUUGACCUAGGUUUGGGCAACGACGGUGACCGUAACUGAGACGUUUGACGUCGAUUAUUACUUUUGCUUGACAGGUGAGUGUUCCACUACCUGCUACUUGUUAUGAGAAAUAUUCGUGUACUUGAAAGUAUUGAAUUGUUAUUGUUUGAGCCAAACACUGUUUUAAUUAAAAUUGAGGCGAGUGUGUACUUUAUCGCACUCGACCUCACUUAUUUUUUCUUUUCACUGAGGCUCUACUUACUGAAUGAAUUAACAUGAAAUGAGAUAUUGCUAUACAUGACUGUGCUUAAGUUGCGUGGAUGACAUUCCACCAACUACUGUUACUGUUUGGGUACCCAACCUCAUAGGUGAGUCGGUUGUAUCGAGCCAGCAAGGGCUUGGUCGAGAAGGCCGAUAAACCUUGAGGACUGUUUACUGUUCACUGGAAAUUGAAUCUUGCUUGGAGGUCCCUGGUGAAGCAUAGCCGUUGCGCUUGCUUGUUGUGUUGUCCAGCACCACCAGUGAUAAAAUCCUCGGCUUGAUACUGUUUCAUUGGAAUCCUUGAGCAUUGGAAACUCGGAUUCCUGGUAUACUCGAGUAUUACCAAACUGCUGUUUAUGGAGUGCGGGCCCGGUAGGGGGUUGUUUGGUGGACGGAGACUGGUGAAAGUUGUGUUCUACGGACCUAUAUACUGUUACAAGUGUUGACGGAGUGUCAACAGGAGGCAAUUAUGAUCAAGCUCAAGUGGACCUUUGACUUUUGAAAGCCACCCGUAUCCUUGAAUUGAACUGUGAUUGAACUGUUAUUUUACUGUACGGUGUUUAGUUGGCUAUUUUGUGAUUUUAUGUGGCUAUGUGUUUACUUGUUUACCUGGAACCUCACUGGGCUUUAGCUCACCCCAUUCCCUUUGUUUUCCUUAACAGAUCGGGAAGGGAUUUGAUCGAGGGCUUUCUUAGCUUUAUUUUGCCGUUCUUGCGUUUUGAGGUUGUAACUUUCGUUUAAGCAGACUUGUAAGCUUAAAUUCGUAAGGGUGAUUUAUAUUAUGUAAUUUUGAGUGAAGCGUGGUAAGUUGGCAUGCGAUGAUAUAUGUACUAAGCUGAAUUGUUGAAUUAGUGAUUAUGUUUGAGUUAGUGUUUCAAUCCCCUGUGAUACGUUUCCUCGAGUGUGUUGACUUCACUGACCUUAACAAGGCCUGCCCCAAAGACUGUUACCCUCUGUCGAGGAUAGAUGCCCUCGUUGACUCGGCAAUGGGACACGAGAUCUUCUGCUUCCUAGAUGCCUUCAAAGGCUACCACCAAAUAGGAAUGAGUGAGAGGACCAAGAGAAGACAGCGUUCUACACCGACCAAGAUGUCUACUGCUAUACUACCAUGCCGUUCGGAUUAAAAAACGCCGGGGCGACCUAUCAAAGGUUGAUCAACCGCCUCUUCAAAGAUCAGAUCGGCCGCAAUGUAGAGGCCUACGUGGACGACAUUCUAGUCAAAAGUUUAACCACAUCGCCUUCUUAUCAGAUGUACGGGAGGUCUUCGGCGUCCUGCGGGACUCGAGGAUGAAGUUAAAUCCCAAGAAGUGCGUCUUCGGUGUCACCUCAGGGAAAUUCUUGGAUACCUGGUUUCCCACCGGGGAAUCGAAGCUAACCCCGACAAAGUUAAGGCCAUUCAAGACAUGUUCCCACCUCGGAACCUCCGAGAAGUCCAGAGACUAAACGGACGCCUGGCCGCGCUGAACCGCUUCCUGUCUCAAUCUGCAGAGAAAGCAUUGCCCUUCUUUAAGGUGCUAAAGAAGGCUGACCAAUUUGCCUGGACCGAAGAGUGCCAGGCUGCUUUCGACAAAUUAAAACAAUAUUUGCACCACCUGCCUACCCUCGCCUCACCUCGGCCCGAAGAAAGCUGUACCUCUACCUCUCCGCCGCCGACAAAGCUGCCAGUGCUGUGCUCUUCCGAGAUGAAGGCACCCAAGUGCCGGUCUACUAUGUCAGCCGACCUCUCCGUGGGCCGGAGACUCGGUACACCCAGGUAGAAAAACUCGUGCUCGGGUUGGUCCACGCAGCUCGGCGGCUGAAACCAUACUUCCUAGCUCAUCCCAUUUUUGUCAGGACAGACCAGCCGAUUCGACAGAUACUGGUCCGGUCCGAGGCUUCCGGGCGCCUCACCAAGUGGGUUGUCGAAUUGGGGGAGUACGACCUGUCGUAUGAGCCGCGCACCGCCAUAAAAGCUCAAGCCUUAGCCGACUUUCUAGCCGAGCUCACCUUCGCUGAAGGUCAGGAAUCCACCUCCGCCAUUGCCGAAGUGUCCACCUCACCCUCGUGGACGUUGUAUGUAGACAGAUCCUCUAAUGGGGAAGGCAGCGGAGCAGGACUGCUCCUGGAGGGCCCCAGGGAGAAGUGUGCUCGUAUGCCCUCCGUUUUGGCUUCCCGGCCACCAAUAAUGAGGCCGAAUACGAGGCCUUGAUCGCGGGACUCCAGCUAGGCCGCAGGCUCGGUGCCCAGCGGAUCCACGUCCGCAGUGACUCCCAACUUGUAGUAUGCCAAGUUCUUGGAGAAUAUGAGGCUAAGGAUGAGAUCAUGCAACGAUAUCUCUCCAAAGUCCACCGACUCACCGCAUACUUCGAGUCUUUCGAAAUCCAAAAAAUCCCCCGCUCCCAGAAUAGGCGGGCUGACGCCUUAUCCCGACUGGCUUCCACAUCAUUUUCUGACCUCAACAAGACCGUCUUAGUGGACGUACUGAGCGAGCCGGAUACAUGGAAGAGGUGGACUGCCCUAUAAACUCGGGAGAUACAUGGAUGAGCCCAUUCAUCCUUUUCUUACGGCAGGGAAUCCUCCCGAGGAUCGAGCCGAGGCGAGAAAGAUACAACGCAAAGCCGUUCGGUAUGCUCUCCGCGAUGGAGAACUCUAUAAACGCUCCUACCUUGGCCCGUCGCUGAGGUGCGUCACGCCCGAGGAAGGACGCCAGGUCCUUCAAGAGGUACACGAAGGCCUAUGUGGGCCCAUGUCGGCCAUAAGAUGUUGGCCAAGAAGACCUUGCUCCUUGGGUAUUUCUGGCCUUCCGUUCGACAAGAUGCCCAAAAUCUUGUUCUCAGCUGCCCUUCCUGCCAAGUCCACGCUCCCGAGCACCACCAGCCCUCAAAUUUCAUGGUUCCAAUCACCUCACCCUGGCCGUUCGAGCAAUGGGGGACAGACAUCAUUGGCCCUUUCCCAAAAGCGGUCGGGGUUAUACCUUCCUGGUAACCGCUGUGGAUUAUUUCACUAACUGGGUUGAGGCCGAGCCUCUAAGGAACAUCAAAGGACUGGCCGUUCAAAAAUUCUUUUGGAAAUGCAUUAUUGCCGCUUCGGCAUACCUCAGAUCAUCAUCUCAGACAAUGGGAGACAGUUUGCCGAGAACCCAUUUAAGACUUGGUGCGAGAAUCUCGGCAUCAAACAACACUUCACUUCGUAGGCCACCCUCAGGCCAACGGUCAAGCAGAGAAUUUCAACCGAACUCUCUUACAUGGCCUCAAGACCCGACUACACCAAGUUGGAUCAUCUUGGGUGGAAGAACUACCCAGUGUCCUGUGGUCAUAUCGGACCACGCCGAGGUCAUCCACGCAGGAGACCCCCUUCUCCUUGACCUAUGGAGCCGAGGCUGUCAUCCCUGCUGAGAUCUUAACACCCAUCCCUCGGCUGGCAGCCUAUGCCGGGUGAACGGAGAAGAGAGACAGUUGGAUCUCGACCUCGUCGACGAGAGAAGGGACAUUGCCUCAGCUCGGGUAGCUUCCUAUAAGAACACCCUGUCCCACUACUACAAUGCCCGCGUCAAACAUCGGCGAUUCCUGUCAGGUGACUUGGUGCUUAGAAAAAACUCGGUCAGCCGAGCUGAGCCGCAAGAGAAAUUGUGCCCAAAAUGGAAGGUCCUUACCGAGUUGUGGAAUCCAACCUUAAUGGGUAUUGUAAACUGAGCUACCGAGAUGGCUCUCUAGUGCUGAGGACUUGGCACGCCGAGAAUCUUAGAUUGUAUUAUGCUUGAAUAUUUCAUCAAGUUAUGACUUCAGAUGCUUUGUUAUUUUUCAAUAUUACGGUGCUACACAUCCGUUAUUAAAAAAAUAAGGGGACAAACAAGGGACGAAGCAAGAAAUUAAAAUAGCCGAAGUGAUAGGGAAUAGAUGUUUCAUUUAAUGAAGAAGAGACAUUACAAAAAGAAUACAAGACCGAGGUCAGGAAUGCUACUAAGCCAUUCCCACCUCGGCAUUACACUUAACCACCUACAAGUCUAGACCCCUGUCUCGGCUCCCUCCUGGCCAAUUGCCUCCCCGGUUUCUUCCCCGCCGGGAUGAGGCUCACCUUCUCCGCCUCCUUCGUGCCCUUCAUCGGCCUUCUCGCCGACGUCGCCCCCAGCGUCCUCUCCUCCGUCCUCCUCGAACACUUCGUCGAGCUCGGAUAGCCACUUGUUGAACUCGUCCUGGACCUCAGCCAAGUUCCUUCCAACUUGGAUCCCGUCGGCCAUCCGAUCGCACAAUUCCUUGGAGUCUUCAUUAUAGUUGGCGUUGUUUCUUAAAGACUCCAAGGUUUCGGAGGAGAGGUGAACUGCGGCCUCGUCGAUAGCCGACGUGAAGCCGAGCAUGAAGCUCGGCCUCGUCAGCUGGCCGAGAUCCCCGAUGAAGGUCUCGGACCUCCGGAAAUCCUCAACUGCCGAGGUCCUUGCGCUCUCGAGAGCCUGUUCGUGGGUCUUCUUCACCUCCUCCGCCCUCUUCUGCUCUUCCUCCAAAGCCGACUUGAAACUGUUGAUGGUAGCCUCGGCCUCCUCCCCUUUCGUCUCGGCUUCUUGAAGGCGUCGCUGAAUCUCAGACGUCUCGGACUCGGACACCACCAGUUUUUUCUUCAACUUGGCAAUCUGAUCUUGUAGCUUGCCGGUGUCCUGCUCCUCGAUUAGGCACAGUACCGAUGCGUCAUCUCGGCCACAAAUGCCGUCUGGGAGGCCGUGGUCACCAUUAUACUUUGAAUCACCUCGGCCGGGGACAGCUUCCUAGUGAACUCCACGUCCCUCGGCAAGCUUGAUUGCAUCACCAAGUCUUGUGCAACCCGUGGAUUGCUGCACCUGUCGUUGACCUUAAGCGUCCACUCCGAACACCAAUGCUCGCCGGAGUGAGACUUCUCUUUUCGGGAAACAUCGGAGGGCUAUGGAAACGGUUCCAUAGUGAAGAUCCCGUCACCGCAUUGACCGGAGCCUUCAAUUGUUUACCUCGGCCAUGAGGAGGCGGGAGUGCCGUGGUCACUCCUAGUGGCACCCUUCUGGCACAGAAGAGGUGGAACCCGUAGCUGCGGUGGCCCAGCUGCUUUGGGCUGCUUGGUGGGGGUGCUCUUCUCCACCGAAAUCUUGGAAGACUGCCCUUGCGACUUCUUUUUGGGCGGAGGCGCCGAUGUCUCGCCCGAGUUCUUCCUUUUCGAUCUCUUUGCCACCUCGGCUGAUCCUGAGGUGAUGAUGUCAGAUAAUUUGGCCACUGCACAAGAAAUAAAUAUUAUUAUGUGCUAUAGCCGAGGUAAAAGGAAAGCCAUGAAAGAAAAAUUACAAGGUUUCUCAAGUUUAGUGGAAUAGAAGGAAGGUUUGUCAGGAGGCAGUAAGGCUCGGCUAAUUCCCCCGUCGACCAGCACAGUUUCGGGGUAGUCCCAACUGAAUAUCCGAAGUCCAGACCCCAUCAACUUCUGGAAGGACUCCUCCUCGUGGUCCCCGCGGAAGGGUCGGCCUUCGAUUUAAUGGGCCUCCACCAAAAUCCCCAAGGGAAGUCCCCGCUGGGACGAAAAUGAAGUCCCGUUUCCAAUUUUUUAUCGAGGUGGGAGCCCCAAUCACCAGUUUCGGAUGAUGGUGUUGUUCCGGUUACAGAUGUAGAACCACCCCUUAUCCGUCCCGUGCGCCUUGAGGGUAUAACAUCGGCGGAAGAGAUCCACGGUGGGAGUUACCUCUUGAUGUCGGCAUAGCAUCUCAAAACCUACGAGGAUGCGGACCGCGUUCGGGACGAGCUGAGUAAUCCUUACACCGAAGUGACGGAGUGCGUCCCUGAAGAACCUCGACGUCGGCGUCCUCAGCCCGGCCUCCAACUGCUGAAGAUAGAUGGCCACAGUGCCCAUGAGGGCUUCUCGGCCGAAUCGUUCGGCCGGGCGAUGUGAUGAGUACCCCGGCCUGAAGGGAUAUUUUCUUAUCACCUUCCCGGCCCUGUCUCUUCCCACACGGCUCCUAAACAUCGGCAUCUUGCCGAAAUCAAGGUUGGCAGCGUUCCUUGGGGCAACCGGCUCCAGCACUCCCUCGUCAUGGGGCAUUGCAGUUUCGAGGUCGGUAUUGUAUUCGACAUCGGAACCGCCCUCGCUCAUCUCUGAUGACUCUGACUCCGAUGCUGUCCCGGCCACUUCCUCCUCGACUGAUUCCCCACAUGGGUAGGUACCGACCCCGCAGAGCUGGACGAAGUAGCUUCUUCCAAGGGGUCCGACCCCUCCUCGACCUGAUAGCUCGGUUUCACGGUUUUCUUGUGGGUUUUAGCUGUUUUGGCCAUGUGUGAAUGAUGAGAUGAAAAGGAAGAUACUUACUGUUGACUACGGAAUCUGACGAAGUGGAUGACUUCGGUUGAUAUCUCGGUUGGCAGGACUGACCUCGGCAACGCUCACGAAUUUUACAAGUCUGAGGCUGAGAGAUAAAGUGAUGGGCCAUGCGGUGAAAAAGACCCCCUAUUUAUAAGGAUUCGGCGAGAAUCCGAAAAGGCGGCGAGAAUGCGAAAAGGCGACCACGUUCAAAUUCAAAUGGCCCUGUCUUCCUAUCUCUUCAUUAAUGACCCGUCCUUUCGACUGACACUCUGCACGAAACGUCCCACUACCUCACGACGUGACCACUCUGCUCACCACGUCCUAUCAACUGACCGGCCUACGUGUCGCGCCCACGCAUCAUCAGGAACAGUCUCGGGCCUCCGACCCUGUACGACCUCGGCACGAUGAAGCCUCGGUACCUUUGAGAUGUUGGCGGCACCAAGUCCAGGCCCAACGUGAUCUUUGAAAUGUUGGCGGCACGAAAUCCAAGCCCAACGUGAUGAUGUGAAGUUGGCGGCACGAAAAACCAAGCCCAACGUGAUAAAGUGAAGUUGGCGGCACCAAGUCCAGGCCCAACGAGAUCUUUGAGAUGUUGGCGGCACCAAGUCCAGGCCCAACGUGAUAAAGUGAUGUUGGCGGCACCAAGUCCAGGCCCAAUGAGAUCUUUGAGAUAUUGGCGGCACCAAGUCCAGACCCAACGUGAUCUUUGAAAUGUUGGCGGCACGAAAUCCAGGCCCAACGUGAUGAUGUGAAGUUGGCGGCACCAAGUCCAGGCCCAAUGAGAUCUUUGAGAUGUUGCGCGCACCAAGUCCAGGCCCAACGUGAUCUUUGAAAAUGUUGCUGGCACGAAAUCCAGGCCCAACGUGAUGACUGUGGAUUAUGUUUGGCGCCACCAGUCCAGGCCCAAUGAGAUCUUUGAGAUGUUGGCGGCACCAAGUCCAGGCCCAACGUGAUCUUUGAAAUGUUGGCGGCACGAAAUCCAGGCCCAACGUGAUGAUAUGAAGUUGGCGGCACGAAAAACCAGGCCCAACGUGAUAAAGUGAAGUUGGCGGCACCAAGUCCAGGCCCAACGUGAUAAAGUGAUGUUGGCGGCACCAAGUCCAGGCCCAACGUGAUAAAGUGAUGUUGGCGGCACCAAGUCCAGGCCCAACGUGAUAAAGUGAAGUUGGCGGCACCAAGUCCAGGCCCAACGUGAUAAAGUGAUGUUGGCGGCACCAAGUCCAGGCCCAACGUGAUUUGGAAUGUCAAGAGAAGGGGGGAACAGAAUGAUGCGCGGCGUGCAUUGGAGCUUCGCCCACAAGAAAUCAAAUUUGAUUUUUCAAGAAACAAGAAUUUGAACUUGAUUUUUGACUUUUUGAUUUGAUUUUUGGUUUUUUCUCUUUUUUUCUUUUUCCCUUCUUUUUUCCCUUUUUUCAAAAAUUUUAAAAAAAAAUAAUUUGCCCCAAGUGUAGUGUCCAUUUUUCCUCCUCUUUCUUCGCUUUCUUCGGCAUCGGCUUCCCACGUUGUCAGAUGCUUUUCGUCGACUUCAACUGUGAAUACCUGCACAGGGCUUACGUGCACUCAAAUGAGCAUGACUGAUUUGAAAAAAUGCAUUAUUUUGAUUCUUGGACGAAAUCCUCAAUUGGACUUAAAAAUAUUUGCCCCUGUGUGGGCUUAUUUUGCGAAAUUUUGCAAAUAAAAAUUUUGCCCCAGUUUGGGCCCAUUUGAUUGCAAAAAUUGGUUUAGAUGAUUUCCCAUUUACUUGAACAAAGAAAAACCGCACUUUCUAAAAUUUAGAAAAGAGUGCACAUACAACAAUGUGAAGAAACUUUAAUCGUCAAGUUUGAACUCAUGCAGAAAUUUCAUGAUGAAUUCCUCGAAAUAACACCAAAUUUAAGAAGAUUUCUUCCUUACUUUUAGCAUUGGUGCUUAGUGUAACGGGUCACCACUUUUGGUUGGCUCAUCUUUUCAGAAUCAAUCAAGUGACUUUAUUUUUGAAAUGGCUAAGGAAAUGGGAGAUAAGAAUCUGUCUCAUUUUCGUGCCCCAGUUGUAUGUAAUCCAUUCAAUGUCACAUCUUAGUGAAAGCAAAGAGUUUGCUACCCUUAUCUUCAAGAAAACUUAGUCAACAUACAAGCUUUCUAGGCUUGUAACGUAUGGACAGAAGUGAUAGCUAAACAUGUGGAAACGGGUUAUGCCCCUAUGAUCACAAAUGAUUUGAUGAAUUUCUUAUGAGCAUGAUCCUCACUUUGGAUUGUCAUGAAAGAAUAAGUCAACGAUGGACUUUAUUAGCUUGUAAUUUGGCUUGAAAACGAUAGUUUAAGACUUUCAAGGAUAUUGCACCAUAGAUCGCAUUUUUCCAAAAUUGCCCCUAUUUUGAAAUCAAAAGAUCUCAGACUUUGUUUGCAUUUUUCUCAUCACUCACCGGAGACUUCAGCGUCGAAUUUUCUGCAUUUUCUUGCAUUUACUUUUCUUGCUUUGCUUUUUGCCUCUUUUCCAAAAAGACCCUCGAGCUGAUGGGUUUUCACAUGGUGAGUAGCGUCAACCUCAUACUCAAGCAAUUCAGAAAUACAGCUAAAAUUUUCCGGCAUCAGAAAUUUUCUUGACAGGGCCAUUGCAAAGAACAGGAGUCAGGACUUUCGGCUUUGUAAUGGGGUCAGGUGGGGUGCUUAGAAAAGUUAAGGCCUGAAAACGGAUUUCAAAACUGGUUUGAAGAAUCUGAGAUCGCAUUGUUGCGUCAACCCUAUUUUAGGGUAAAAUCAGAAUUUGCCUCAGUUUUUGCUCAAUUGAGGCUUUUCACUUUCAUUUCCUUUUUCCUUUUGACUUUUCGGCCUUUUGCCAUUCUUUUGAACUUUCACAAAAUUUGCCCCAGUUUAUUUUUGAACUGAGGUUCUCUUUUCUUCCUUUGUUUUUGAUCUUGUUGUUUUUCACUUUUCACUUUUUGAAAUUUUCUUUUCAACUCAAACUCGCCCCCAGUGUGGGGUUUGCGAUUCUCAGGGGUUGCCAAACGACAUAAUUUAUUCUGAUGGCUCAAAAGGGAUAACUAGGGAUAAAGUGUUCGAUUGGAAAAGAAGAUGGCCUGACUUGUAUUCCAUUCCUUACAACAACUCUGAAAGAAAACUUUCGUUAAUGCGAAAUUUUUUGCAUGUAUCUGAAUUAAUUGACUGAGGAAAACCCUUGCUCAUCCAUAUUUGUGAAACAUAGGCGAUUCACAUGGACAAAACCCUUCCUUUUCUUUUUUCAAACUUGGAACCCAAGUGGAAUCAAAUUUCCCCAAUUUGCAGUUCCCUCCUUAUUCUAGCAUUUUUGCUUUUUCCCUUUUCCCUUUUUUCUUUUUUUGUUUUUUUUUGAAAAUUCUCCAAUCUCCCUCCCCAAUGUGGGGUACGACCAUGAGUGCAUUAGAAAAGAACCACCAAUUUUAGCUCAAAAUGGGGAUGCAAGGGGUGAUCAGUGUUUAGGUUGUAGAAACGACGGCCAAAGCAUCAUUCUUACACCUCAUGACAACCAAAGUAACGAAACGGUUAUUGAAAAUCCAUUCCCCUAUUUGAAAAUUUUCCAAUAUAGGGUAGUGAUCAUUAGGGCUCUUAUCUGAAACGAAAUUAUUCUUUUCAUAGGCUCAAAUGGGAGAGCAAGUGAUAAAAAUCUGUAUAGAUAGUGAAACAAAUGCUCAAAGUAUCACUCCAAAUUUUCCAAACGAAUAAGGAUGAUGCACAUUUUUGCUUUCACUUAGAUGUGAUUGAAUCGAUUAAACACAAUGGAUAUUUUCAAGCAAAGAUGGCCCCAAUUUGCGAUUUAUCAAUCAAUGUGACUGAUUUUAUUUUGGGGUUCAGUGAAGGAAAAAAGAUAUCUCAUUGGGCCUUCUGAAUGAUCUCUUUUAAUUCUGAACACUCUUAUUGUGAAUUUUCAGGUCGGAGGUUGAAAAAAAAUCCCAAUUUAGUCUUAUUUCUUAAAAUUCAUCAUGCAAUCUCCAAUGAAUAAGAAUAAAGAAUGAAAUGUACAUAAAUAUACACAAAACAAUGAUUGUCCAAAAAGUUUAUUGCUGAAAAAGUUUGAAACAAAUUUUCUCAUUCAAUUACGAUACAAGUGAGAAGAGAGAAACUUGUAAAGAGCUCCACAUAUACACUUUUUGUCUCCUUUUCAAAUAUACAAAAUUUCCCUUUGGAAAACAAUUACAACAUCUAUCAGAGGGUUUUCAUCGUAGGAUCCGCCCAAGAAUCAAAUAACACUUGUAAUCUUCAAACUUUAUUGGAUUAAAAUUAUCAUCAGAUAUAGAAGAACAUUUUCGUCUUAUUGAAAUAUUUUUAUGAAUGCAGGGGAGGGGGGAAACAAAAGAAAAAUACCCCGAGUUAGUAGGCAAAACUGCAAAAUCGGUAUGCAUGUCCUAUGGGAGAACCCUUUUAUGCCAAGGGUAGGCCUAGCAUGAAAAUGCAAUCCUCCAGAGCAGGCACUAUACAAUACCUGAUGGAUCCAAUCAGCUCAUGGAGUGAAAAAUAAUUUUGAAAGAAUUUGGUCAAUUGGGGUGACGAGAGAUUUGUCAAAAUGAGGACAACGUCCGAAUAGAUUGAUCACCUUUGAUUUGCAAAACGCAUGGGUUUGACCUUGACGAACUCCUAUCGAAGAGAUUGGAAUUCGUUGAUAAAAUUUCUCAGUGAAUUACGGGUCAAAAACCCUAAUUGAUCAAGUGAUUGGAUGCAAUGGACGGUUUUCUUCAAAAUUGACUAGAUUUCCCAAUUUGGAAUUCGACAUUGAAAUCCUAAUUGGUCAAAUGAAAUUGACAAUUUAUUGAAAAUCGACCGGAUUACCCUAAAAGGGAAAUAGGUCAAAAAACGGCUCGGUUGCCCUAAAAAUGGGUAAAUUGGCCAAAUGAAUGAAAUUGAAUUUGAUUUAUUCAAAAAUCGGCCGAAUGACCCUAAAAAGGGUAAAUUGGUCAAAAGACCCUAAAAAGGGUAAUUUGGUCAAUUGAAUUGAUAAUUUAUUCAAAAGCGACCGAAUGACCCUAAAAAGGGUAAAUUGGUCAAAAGACCCUAAAAGGGUAAAUUGGUCAAAUGAAUUGAAUGAAAUGAAUUUAUUCAAAAAUGAUUAGAUUGAACUAAAAUUGAAUGAAUUGGAAAAAAGUGGAUUGGAUAAGAUGGAUGAUUUGUUCAAAAAUCGAUUGAAUUAUUCGCCCACUGGGUGGUUUCAAAAAAUCAUUACAAUGCCUUGGUCUAUGAGCCUCUAAAAUCAAAAUUUGGCCUCUAUAUUUAUCGUCUCAACAAUGAGGAAUCAUUUGUGAAUUUUCUUCGAAUUAAUGUCCUUUUACGCAAGGGAAUUUUACCAAUUUUGAGAAAAUGGCCAAAAAGUGAUUAUUAGAUGCUCAUAUUCCAAAAAUUGCUUCAUGAAAAUGAUCGGAUCUUUACCUUACCUUGUGCACUACCCCUUCGGAUGAUACGAGAAAGGUAAACGUGCAAGUCUCAUUUGGAUUAUAUAUCCGAGACAUGGGGUGGUUUAUUCCUAACACGGGAUCCCCUAAAUGGCAUUCCCUUUCUAGGGUUUAUGCGUGAUGCCAGUUUAUUAAAGCAAUGUAAAUAUGCAAUAAAUAUGGCCUAGAGGACAAAAUAAUGCAACGGGGGGAAAGGGUCUAAACAUGAAAUGUAUUUACUGAAAGGUAAGUGCAAAGACUGAAAUUUAGACAUGUGAGCUAUCUAGUGGGUGAGUCACUAAAAGAGUGCCAAAGAGGCCCCUUAUUGCUAAGGCACAUGAAUGCAAUCCAAGAAAACAAAAAAAUGGUUAGUGCAAUUGAUAGUACACAUAACACAUUGGGAGCAAUUAAGAAAAGAAAUACAAUAAAGCAAGUAAAAGGGGUGGAACCCCUUCCCUCGUGCCUAAUGUGCUUAAAAGGGUGAAGUUGACUCUAACCUAGGCAAACUAAUAUGGAUGCAUGAGGUUGGGGCUCACUAAUGCAACUAGACUCGAUAAGUCUCGGCUCCCAAGCCUUCAGACCUAAAGGCGAAGGGUCAUCACUCCCAGGGCCUUUGAUCGGUGGCUCGAGUGAUCCCUUAGGUAGCGCUAUGGGCGCAGAGCACACCAGCCGCCUACCCAAGGCAAUCGAUCCUAAUCCUACAAGGCGGUGUGGGAUGGCGCCCACGAAAAUACAAAUAAAAUGGGAUAAAGCAAAUAAAUAUGCACGUAUGAAGUGUUCCCCUAAUUUGAGGGAAGGGGUUGAGAACCACGCGAGGCUCUAAAGGUGACACACCCCCUCCCAAAUGCAAUGCAAGCGCGAAAUAAAGAAGUAAAUAUACAUCCAAACAUACAUUCAUGAGUCGAGGGAUUGGUUUGAGACGCGAGUGAUGCAAAAUCCUAAAAGGAAAAAAAAAUGCAACCCUAAAACACCCAAAUGUAAUAUAUGAAAAGGUUAAAAGAAGGAAAAGGUUGAUUAAAUCAAAUUUGCUCGGACUCUCGAAUGUCCCCAGUGGAGUCGCCAACUGUCGCGCCCCACUUUUCGAUCGUCGAAUGUAUGUGUGUGAAGUGUGGUGUGUGAAGUGUGGUGUGUGAACGUGUGCAAAGUAAAAGUAAAGGCCAUGGGACUUUGGAAAGCGACGAUUUGGCCAAAAAAAUAGUUUUAAAAAGGGUUUUGAAAUGAAAAGUUUGGAGUCGCCACUUGGUAAUGGUUUAAGGUGUACCAAGUCACCCAAAAAUGAGUUUUAAAGUCAAGUAGUAAUAAACCCUUUUUAAAACGACUCCUAGUCUACGUAAACCAAAGAAAAAGGUUCGGGAGUCACGUUUGACAAAGGGGAAGGCAAGGAUAGAAUCCAAGGCACCCCUUUGACCUAGCCAAGGCUAGUUGCGUUGAUUUAAUCAAAGAUUUUCUUGUUUUAACCAAAGAAUUUAUUACAUUUGAGUGCCCUACAUGAAUGCAAACCCUAGACCUAGGGGAAUUGGGGGAAAUUUCCCUUCAAAGGUUGAGUGGUGCCAAUCACAUUAAUUGUGAAGCCCAAUAUUAAUCCUUUGAAGAAGUCACGAAUAAUGCAAGUGGGAUGCAAAUGAAUGAAAUGCAUGCGUGCAAUGUGAGGACAUGAGUUUGAAAAAGUAAUAAAAGAAAAUAAAUAUGUAAAUGAAAGUGUGCACGUGAGUGGGCAAUGUACGGUAUGUGAAAUGGUAAUAUGAAGUGCAUGUGUGCAAGUAAUGAUAAAAGUGUUCGUGUGCAAGUGAAGGUAAAAGGGUUCGUGUGCAAGUGGAGACAAAAAAGUGUUCGUGUGCAAGUGAAGGUGAUAAAAAGGUGCAUGUGUGCAAAUGAGACAAAAAGUGAAAGUGUAAUGAUAGAGUGGAUUGAGAGUGCGUGAGCCUAGGGAAUUCAUGCAUAUUGGGUACGGGAGACCUAAAUCGUGACUUGAUUUUCCCUUUGAUUAGAAGGCGAAACUAGCGUGCUAAGGCUAUCGAGUAGCCACACUCGCUCGUUUCCCUUUUCAAGAGGGGACUCUCAAGCAAAAUGAACCCUAUAGCUAGUAUGGGAUGCAAAACCUAAGAAUGAGGGGAAAGGGGGUUCGAGGAGCAUGCCAAGUGAUAAAACUAAGAAAAAAUGCAUGAUAUGUGGUGCACAGGCAAAUAAUGCAUUAGUGAAAAACAAAGGAAAAAUUCUAUUGGGUCUAGCGUUGGACUAGCCCUUCCUAUGAAUUCCUAAUGAAAUAAUGAACCACAACUAGCAUUGGACUAGUGUGGUGACGUUCGUCCAUCACAUUCAUUCAUGCUAUAGAAAGCGAGUAGACAUGCCAAACACUUAUAAGCACAUAGCACAUAACAUUUAGCAUGCUCGACUAGAUGCAAAGCCCUAACAAAGCAAAUUAACACGUAGUAACUAAGCAUGCAAGACACAUAAGACAAUUAAAGCCCUAACUAUUACAUUUGCUAGCUAGGCACAUGACUUCGAUAGGUCUUCAUUGAAUGUUCCUCCAAACCCUAUCUAUUACAUUAGGGAGACCCCACUACAAUCUAAAAGGGGGAAAAGAAUAAAAUAAUUAAAUCCCUAACUAUUACAAGCCAAGAGGUGUACACAUACCCCAUAAUGAAUAACUUAAAUAAAAAGCAAAAGUAAGUAAAAAAAUGAAAAGAAUUAAAGAAAGGCAAAGAAAGCAAAGUAGACAGGCAUAUUCACAUAACACGUAGGAGCACGUAGGAAAAAAUAAACUCAAGAAUAUAGAAGUUACCUCCCUCGCAACGGAAAUCGAGUAAAUGAGAUAUUAGCUUCAAAACAAUAAAAAGGUCAAGGUACCAAUUUAUUUGGCAAAUAAUCACAAAGGAUAAAAAAUAAGCAUGAAUUUGAAUCAAUUAAAUCAUGUCGACAAUUCACAUUUAAGAAGUCAAGAGAAGAAAGGACCUGAUUGCAAAGAUUGACAAAGUUUGGAGGUCAAAAUUAAAGAAAAAUAAAGUUCAGGGACCUAUUUGCAAUUAAAGCAAGGACCGAAUUAAAAGAAGUUGAAAAUGUCCAGGGCCACAAUACAAUUAGGGAGAAAUUCAGGGACUGAUUUGCAAAAUCGUUUUCUGGUUUCUUAAUGGACCAAGCCAUUGGGCCAUUUCCUUUAUUUGUUUGGGCCAAAGCCUUACAAGCCCAACCGAAAAUCCAAAACAAAAAGGGAAUGGGCCAUCUUCACCUUUCUUGGGCCAAGAUAACUUGACCCAAUCGAAAGUCCAAGGAAAACAAGUGGGCUAGUAUAAUAUUUUGACCCAAACAUUAGCCAACCAAAAAGAUGGGCCUUGACCCUCUAGCCCGAACCAAAAAACCAAACAAAAUAAACUAAAACGACUUUCUUAAACCCAAACAAAAAUAACCUCUUAGCCCAAGGCACUUGUUUCAUUAAACCCAACAUGAUAAAAUCAAAAUAAAUUAUUGAACCACAAUUAGAACCUACAAACAAGAAUUAAUCUAGUAAAAGGACUAUUCAUGCUUAUUAGAAGAUGAUUUAAAUCUAGAAGGGAGAAACAAACGCACUUUUUCCACUUUUCGGGUCAUAUCAGAACAAGGGGAAGCUGAGGGGUUAAAAUGCAACAAGAGCAGGGACCUAAUUGAAGGACUUAUGAAGGUGUUGGAGGAAAAAUUAUGAAGUCCUAAAAUUCUGGGGUUAAAUCAUAAUGGAAAGGGAAAUUGAGGGACUGGAAUCAUGAAUUUAAUCAAGCAAUCCUCUUCUUCCCAAAUUGGCUCAACGUUCGCUGCUAUUUCAUUCCUCUUUGCAACCAGAAAAUUCAACUUCGGACUCCAAUCAACAAAACAAAACAAAAGCAAAACAAAUGACUCUCACAUGAAUCCCCUCGCACGCCAUUUUAUGUCAUGAAUUUAAAUCCAUACAAGAGGAACACCAAACAAACGAGAAGCGGAGCAGAUUGCCAAAACAAACGGACGCCCAAACAAACCCAUUCGAAUCAAUUAUUUUGACAAGCAUGAAACAGUCGAACGUAUAUAAAUCAGAAAUUAAUCCAUUCUUCAGGCCGAACUUUCAUUGAAGCAUUCUGUCGAACAACAAACAGCCAUUAAAAAACUUCACCAAUUUCUCGCCCAAUUGACAUGAAUCAGCACCCAAAAUUUCAUCAAAUGCAAGAAAACUCCAGUCCAAUCGACAUUCAAAGCAUACAUACUUCCAAUUAGUGAAUAAUUCAACAGAGAAAUGGCUACAAGCCACAACGUGAAAAAUAAAACACGCUUCGAAAACUUACAUGAAAACUGAAAUUUGAAGGAUGAUGGUGGCUUACCGUUUGUUUCUUGGUAAAAAUUUUGCGGGUGCUGAUGUCGGAUUUGGUUGCUUGGGCGGGCGGUUGGCCACUUGUUUGUGCCGGCAGAGGGCGGAGCUUGAACUAUGAUGGAAGAAGCGAUGAAGCUGGCGUCGCGCGUGACGGAAGAGGGCGGCAACAGCUUCCCGCGAACGGCAGUUCCAGCUGCUCUGCUUCCUCAGUCGCAAGCUCUUUGUCCGCUGCUAUCCUCUCUUUCUCUGUUUCUAAUUUUCCCAGCUUUUCCCUUCAUCCGCCGCCCUUGAUUUUUCUCCUCCUUUUCUGAUUUUUCCUCCUCGGCUCUCCACUCUCUCGGCCCUCAACCGCAGCCGUUCUCCCUUUUCUAUUUUUUCCACUCUAGCUUCUCCCAGCCGAAGCCUUCUUCUCUUUUCAGAUUUUUAGCCUUCCCCCCAGCCGUUCUUUUUCUCCUUUUUUCCGCUAUCUCUCCGCUGUUUUUCUUAGCCCACAGACUCUCCCCAGAUUUUUCCCUACUCUCCCCUCCUUUUUCGAUUUCGUUUUUCCUCUCCCCUUUCCUCCGAAGCCCCCUCCCUGUUUUUUCUCUCUUUUUGGCCGUCAGCCUCCCCUUGGCCUCCACCAAGUGUGUUUGACACCUACCCCUAUACACUUGUCCUAUAAUUCUUUAGACACUUGUCUAAUGAUUGUUGUGUACACUUGUUCAACAUGCCCACUUCCACCUAUUUUGCCAUUUUCAUUUUUCUUCAAAAAUCAAUGAAUGAUAAAUUAACAAUUUUCAAACCAAAUUUAAGAGAAUUAAGGCCACUUUUAUCAUCUUACAAAAAUAAAAAUGAUGAAUCUAACCCAAUUAAAUUAAAAAUAAUAAUAAUAAUAAUAAUAAUAAUAAUAAAUAAUAAAUGAUAAAGAUGAAAUUUAAAAAUAAUCAAAAUUUGGUGUCUACAUCACACUUAUUAAUACUAGGAAAAGAAAAAGAUAUAGGAAAGAAGGAGACAGAAAAUUAGAUUUUCCAAAGAAAAAAAUAAAGAAGAGUCUAACAUUAUCACAUUACUAUUGAGGAUUAGAAUUGGAAUUGAGUGGUAAACAGGAAAGUAAAAUAAUAAAAAUAUUUAAUUCUUUCUUAUUUGUAUUUUUUUGAAAAAGAAUUGAGCUCUCUCUCUCUCUCUCUCUCUCUCUUAAUCUUUCUAUUUUUUUAAUAUUAAUAAGAUUGUCAAAAAAAAAAGAGAUUAAUAUUUUGACUUUUUGUUUUCUUGACACUAAAAAGAAGAAGAGCCACUCUAAAUUUUUUUAUUUUUUUAUUAUACAAAGAGGAGAGUAAUUUCUUCUAAAGUUUUUUAACUUGCUAAGUUGAUCUAACAAUGGGAUAAAUUGUCUGAAAACAAACUCAAUGGGGUAAAUUGAUAAUGAUACAAUAGUUUAUGGGAGUAAAGUGAUAAUAAUUUUAAGUGUUAAACAUGUCUUUUCACUUUAAUUAACAAAUUCCGUUAAGUUUGACAGUUAGUCUCAGAGGUAAAGUAACUAAAAUAUAACAUUAAGGGGAUAAAGUGAAAAUAACCCCUUUUGGAUAUGUGAUUUUCAUAGCGAUGAGUUUCUUAAAUUAUCAGUCAGUUAUUAUUAAUCAUGUGGUAAAUGUCAGUGGUAAAUUUGAGAUUUGUAUAUGUGAUUUUGUAGGAGAGUUUAUUAUCCAUUAGUUAAAAUUUUGAAAUUUUGAUUUUAUGGGUUAGUGGGUCACAUAAAUUGAAAAGUGGAAAGGAUAAGGAGAAGCGAUAAGAAUUACUGAAUUAAAAUAAAUCUAAAAUUUUAGUAAAAAGAGAUUCAGAUUUCUGAUGCUUGUGAAGGCUCCCCAUCAAAAACCUUUUUAUAUAUAUAAGAAUUAACCACUCUUGAAUUAUUUUUUUUCUUCAAAAAAAUUUAUUUAUUUAUUUAUACCUUUAUAAUUAAAGUUGAUAUUUGAUGUUUUCAGAUGUUGUAUAUUUAAAUAGUUGGAAAUUAUUUUGAACAUAACAUGUUAAGAUAGUUUUGUUAGGAAAAAUUUGGUGCACCCCAGGAAAAAAAUCCUAACUCCGUCACUGAUUGAAAUGCUUGUGGGUGAGAUUCGUCCAUGGUGAGAGUAUGAUAUGUAGUCUUUUUUUUCACUGUAUUUGAUUUGUAUGGGUGAGAAAUGAAAAUAGAUUAGUGAUCGUCAGUCUUGUGAAUGAUUAUAAGAGUAAAAUAUAUUAUAACAAUGAGGUAUGUAAAAUUGUGGAAAUUGUAAUUCAAAUGGACUCCUAAAUUUUGGAUAUGUGAUUUUCGUAGAGGUGAGUUUCUUAAAUUAUCAGUCAGUUAUUACUAUCAGUCAUGUAGUAAGUGUCAAUGGUAAAUUUGGGAUUCACAUAUGUGAUUUUAUAGGGAUGGUUAUUAUUCAUUAGUAAAAAUUUUAGAAUUUUGAUUUUGUGGAUUAGUGGAUCAUGUAAAUUGAAAAAUGGGAAGGAAUAAAAAGAAGCGAUAAAAAUUACUAAAUUAAAUAAAUCUAAAAUUGUGGUGAAAAGAGAUUCAAAUUUCUGACGUUUGUAAAGGCUCCUCAUCAAAAACCAACCCUCUAAUACAUAUAGAUACAAGAUAGAUACCUUUUUUUUAGCCUAAUGAGCAUACUCAUUUGCCAAGAAUUUUCAGCCUUGGAGAGCUUGUCACCUCUCCACGUGGCCUCGCACCAAGGAAUGUUAAAGUGACUCGUGCUAUCCCUUUAUCUAGUGUUGAAUAUAUAAAUAAUACUUCACUUUGUGACAAAAUUUCAAAUUUUCUAUUUUUAUAGAGAUGUAUCAUAUUAGUUAUUUACACAAUGACAACAACUCUUCAUGACUUUUCUCCGGUCACAUCUUUCUUUACUAUACUACUAGGAGGUAUAACACGCGCGAUGCGCGUAGGUACCUAAAGACAAUAUGCCCUGCCAAAUGUGCGGAAGAAAGUGAUUAAAUUUUGGUGCAUUCUUCUUUUAUCCAGCAUGGCACGCAAUUUUUUUUUUUGUAUAUCAGUAUGAAUAUGCGUAGCAGGCCUUUUUUCUGUAUUGAAUAGUAAUGUUGUAAUCGCUUUUAUACAUUGAAAAAAUCAACUAAAGAUAAACACGACAUCUGAAAAGGCAAAAGUAAGAUAAGAGGUUACUGCCACAUUGACGUUUGACCAAAGAAAAAAAGGCAGGCUACCAUACCACCAGGGAGUGCGUGGCCAAAUGAGGAAGAAGUCAUCAAUCACCACGACAACACCUCAAAUCAUUUCAUCUCUCGCAUAUAAUCUAACAAUUAGCAAGAAAUGGUACCGAGUCCUCGGCAUAAUUUACACACUAUAAAUAAAAUCCCAGUAGCAAACAAUUUAAAAUCUUCUAUUGUUGCAAACUAUACUGCCUAUUUCUAUUACACACAUGCGAAGAUCUCCUUGUGCUCUAAUCCAGAUGCUGCUCCUCUUCUGGAUUCAUGGCAGUAUUUUAAAGUGAAAAAACCAUGAGAUUAUAAAGGCAAAAACCAUGCACCCAAGAAGAAAAUUCAUGACACGACGACCAUGGCAGUAACUUCGGGUGUCAGAGAAGACCAUAGGUGCUGUUGAUGCUGCAGUAGCUAUACCAGUGCCAUUGUUCACCUCAAUUGCUUGUUCUCCAGCAAUGUUCAUCGCAGGGGCACCACAAAUUUCACAAGUUCUGGAUAAACAUUUACACAAGAUACAGGCAGUCAGUCCAGAUGAUACACCAGAAGCAACUGAUAUAAGCUGUUUCUAAAUGGUCAAAAAUCUGCUUUUAUACGUUGUGGUCUCCAUAUAUUUAGAAUAGUGGUGAUUGGUGUUUUGAAUGGUGAAUGGAGAGUUUGGUGUUUUGAAUAGUGGUGAUUGGCAUUGUAUCAUGUUAAACAGAAGAUGGCAAAGCUAAUUUGUAAAACUUUCAUCCUUUACGGAUUCGUCAAUCCCACAAGUCCGAAUACAUCAUUUGAUAUUGGUAUCAGCUAUAUCUGUUAAAAAGAGAAAAACAACAAGAAGAUACUGCCCAAAAUUAACAUUCUUCUGUAUAUUGAUGUCAAGAUCAUCAUGUUGCAGCCAACAACCUCAAACACUUUUUCUAAGUUCUUAAUUACAAUUUUGCAGCUCAAAAGAUGCCAAUGUUAAUAAGAAGCUAUUAAUUUCAUCCAAUUAAUGUGUUCCUUUUUAUAGACAAAGUGAUGCCAGAAUUUACCUCCAAGAUUGAUCAGGAACAUUCUGAAGUAGAUAUCCAGCAUUGUGAAAAAUAGCAUUAGCCUUCUCAUUUGAUGCACCAAGCAACCGUAGUUCUUGAAUCUCCUUCUCCCACUUAUCCAUAUGUUCCUUGUAUAUUAUGUAGACAUAUAUGCUUCAAAAAAUAAAAAGUUGCUACAACCUGAUCUUGAAAACCUAAUAACUAUUUUUUUAAUGACUCAGAGAAUUAAUUUUUCUUCAAAUUCAUGAUUAAGAUCCUUCAGUAUCAACUUCUCUGAUUCCAGCAGCUUAGACACCUUCAUCAAGCAAAAAUGAAACCCAGCACAGAAUUUAUAUUCAAACUGACUGAAACCAGGCAUAGCAUAAUUACUUGCAAUAAAGAAAGGUAAUCUUUCAAACUUUUACUUCUAGAAUCACAUCAUGCCUAAGCGAAUAGGACUGUUUAUAUAUUUUUUAGUUCUUUCGAAAAUUUGGACUCUCCACAUUUUACUUUUCCUAUCAACUGAUUUUUUCAUGAAAAGACAAGGUAGAGCAAAACUACCAGUUGAGUAAAGCGACUAAUCUUCUCAUGAAUGUGAGCAAUCUUCAUUAGCAAUUUCCCUUCAACAAACCCCAACCACAUGACUUCAAAACAUAGAGAAAAUAGAACAAAAAAAAUAUCAAAGUUAUGCUUCUCAAUUUAUAAAAACCAUAAGCUCAAACAAAGAAAAAGGAAAAUAUCAGCCAAGUGACAACAAUGCUUAAAACAUUUGAAUAGGUAUCGUUGGAAGAGAAACAAAGAAAGAUCUCCCGUACAAGAAUUACAGUCACUACAUUAAUUUCAAUUGAUUUUUAGAGAAGCCAGGCUACUAAAAUCUCAGGAAAAAACAUAAGCAACCCACCCAGAAGUAAGGGUCCUUCUCACAAAUUUUCUCAUCACCAAAUUAAUGAAAUAAAGAAAACAAGCAUAUUACAGAAAGCUAUAUAUAACAAAAAAGAACAGAAAAAAGGUUAAAUAAUGUUCUAGGUAUUCUAGAUAAAAUAGAAGUAUGGAAUAGAAGACUACAUGCAUAACCAUAUUAAUUUUCAAAUUUAGCAUUUUUUAUGCAUAACCCGUGGAGGCUUAAGUGUUGUUCUUGAAGCUACUUGGAGCCAUCAAAUAAGCAUUUGUAGGGCAAAAAGACUAUCUACAACUCUAUAAUUAUUACAUAACUACAAUAGAAAGAAAGGCAACACAAGUUUUAAAAAUAAAACACGAAGUUAACUGAAUAGGGAAGCAUUGGAAUAGAUUGUUCAGACAGAGAAGAAAUAAAGAAAGAGACAAACCUAAUCCAAGUAAUUCUUCCUCAUGAAACAAACUCAUAAGUCUCAGCUGCCACCAACCAAAAAUCCAAACAUUAAAAUUUAGAAAAUCAACCCAAAUAGUCACAACAAAAACUCUAAAACCUUCAAACCCAUUUAAGCAUUCAACCUUCAUACACAUUAGUUUCUUAAUUAAAAAUAAAUACACAAGAGCACAAGAAGAUAAAAAAGUGUUUCACAGGAUUCAGGGUUAUCCCUUAGACUUGUUUCAAAAGCUUCAUCUUAUUAAUUUUUUUUUUUGGGAAACCAUGACUUGUAUAUUAUGGGUAAACUCAAAAGGUUCAAUAGAUGCAAUAUUCUGGAAUCGAGUGACUUGAGCAAAACGAAUGUGGAACAAAUUGUGCCAAGAAGUAGUUACAAGGGAACAUCAACUAUGUGUACAUAACAGUAAAGAGGGGCUGAAGCGGUGGCCUUAUAGUACUCCAUUGAAGAAUCAUUCCAGAUCAACAAUUCCAAAAUUGGACAGCAGAACCUUAACUUGAUCUACUAAGUCAGAACCACUUGCAUAUUCUGUUAAUAUCCCAACAGUAAAACCAAACAUCGCCCGUCUGCCAUUUGCAAUCUCAUUCUUGAAAAUCAAAAAAGGGACCUUGAUCUGCUUCUUCAAGUUUCUUCUGCUUAAAGUAUUCUAGAAGUUCCAUAGCCUUUUGCCUUUGAAACUCCAGGGUAAUGACAUUCUUAUCUUCCACAGCAGCCACAACCAUAGGUUUGGGAGAGGAAGUAGGUGUUGGCGGAGGUGAAGCAGCAGCAGGGGGUGAAGGUGGAGGGGAUGGUAGAGUUGGUUUUACAGGUGUAGGAGGAGGAGCCACUGGUCUUCUAAUAGGCCCAUCAGCCUGCGAACUCCUUAUGGUAAACAUUGAGGGCUUAGCUGUAGAAAAUCUAAAAGAUGAAGAUGAGAAUGAAGACGAAGAUGAGGGAGACGAUGGAGAGGAGGUAGGUGAUGAUGGGAUUCUGAGUUUGAUGCAUGGGAAGGAUGAUGAUGAUACCACUGACAUUUUCUUGAAUUUUGCUUUCUGUACUUCCUGUUUUCUGUGUAAAUUCUUCUAAUAUGGUUGGAGAGGAGGAGGGAAAAGGAUUGGGUGGUAAAUCUGUGCACGUGUUAUCAGAAUCCUAAAGCUUCAUCUUAUUAAGAUUCAUUAACAAAUAUACACCUUCCAAAUCAUAUCUUUUACACCAAUUACCCUAUCACUUUCCUUAUGAGUUAAAAAUUUUCAAAAAGAAACAAUUUCCACCAUAGUUUCACAAGGGUCUCAUUAGGAUCUAUCCUAAUUUUUCCAAAUAGAUCACUUUCAUAUUUUUUCAGCCAAUAAAAAGUGAAAUAACGUAUUACUGGCUUCCAGUACUAUAGACAAAUUCAUAAUUACAAAAUAUCCCUCAAGGUAACUUGGCAGUUUAAACUUUAUAAAUAAAAACAAAUUGAACACAUUAAAUCAAUGCUCCAGAAAAAAGGAGAAAAAAGUACCUGUCCAGUUAUAAGUUCCAGGAAUGACACGAGGAUUUGUCUUAUCAUGAAGAUACAUACUCCAAACCUAUAGCCAAACUUGCUGCUAUCUUCAUUCUUGUAUUCCAAUCUAAUGAUUCUUUAUCAGGUGGAAGAUCUGCAAAAGAACCGUUAAAACGGUUUACAAGGAUGCAACAGAUUAUGUUUUGCGAUAGCUACCAGAACAGUACUCUAACAUAAACCCAAUGAAGAAGCAUCGAAUGACAAUAAAAUUAGAACAUUAUCCAAAGUUGAGAAAAAUCAUAGGCACACACAUUAAUAUUGAGAGCAAAAUUUGUUCAAAGUAUAAGCACACAUAUUAAGAUUUGCUAAAUGCAAAAUUUAUUCCCCCAUUGUAAAACUAAUAUAAGAGUCUAAGAACCCAAAAUUCAUUCAAAGAUUAAGAAAGAGGAAUGCUCUACUGGAUGCUUGACACAAACAUAAAUCAACUAAAUGGCAUGACUUUCGUUUUGGCUUUCCACAAAAGAAGUCAAGUUAUUAAACUACAAUUAAGAGAAUCAUAACAAUGAGUCAUUUUCACAUGCAAGGUGUGUAAAGGCAUUUGGUGGUGCAAAUAAAUUUCAUGCUUGUGCUCAACAUUUUCAGGUUGUUGAUAGCUAUUGACAAUGUUAAUCCUCACUUACAGCAUUGGGUGGAGAAGUGAUAAGACUUAAAAUCAUUCAACUGAAACUCUCUCGUAGCCUGAAUGUAACCAAAUGCAGGAAAACAGAGAGACAGACUUUCAGGAAUCCAAUUAAAGCACAAGAUCCCUUAACAUUGUAAUCAGCUGAGGAACCCACUCUUACUAAGUGAACAAAUGCAUUAAUACUUGAGGCAGUACCAUCUGAACAAGCAAGCUCUUCAUCGACCACAAACAACAGAAUGUGGAGUAAAGGCAUAACAUGAUACAAUACCAACCACCACUAUUCAAAACACCAAACCAUCCAUUCACCAUACUAUGCCAAUUAUAUGCCCCCAAUCCCACCUUUACCCUUUUCCUGAAACGAACCCCCAUACCUAGAAUAAGCAAGUUUGAGCCUAAGCUCUGUCCUUGAGGCUUCAUCAGUUCUGCAUUUUAUUUUCCUUAUAAAUAGCAUUAUUGUAAAGAAAGAGCAAUCAACAUAAAAGUUAGUUUAAGUAUAAAAAACCCAAUUAACUUUCUAACAAAACUUACAGAGUCAUCAUGCCUUCCUUAAGAAAGUUUAUGCAGUUUGUAAAUUUCAGUAAACAUGUAAAUUCAACAUAAAAAUGGAAUGGACUUCCUGAUGAACAUGCAAUAACUAAACCGCAAAUAAUUGACAAGAUAAUGAACAAGAAUGCCUGAAAUGAUACCAUGAAGAUGAUCUUCCAGUGAUCCCAAGGGCAUGAACUAAUAGACAAGUAGCCUCUGGUCCCUAUUAGCACAGUAACCAAUUAAAUUUACAAGGUUAGAGUGAUAUAAAAGACUGAACAUAAGAACCUCAAACAAAAUUUUCCGGUUACCCUAAAGCCCAUUUCUAUCCAAUUGCUUAACUGCAACAACCUGUCCAUUCCAGUAAUCCAAUUAAUUAGCAAUAAUAAACUUGAAAAGCAGCCAAAAAAAUUUCGGUAGAGGAUCGAACCUUUUCAAGUUUAGUGGAUCGAACCUUCCUCCCCCUCCUCCCCUCUCUCUCGCCAACUGACUUCACCACAGAUUUCGCUGCAGCUUUUCCUGCCAGGGAAGUAAACCCUGACACAGAACAAUUAUCAAACACUUGCUAGGCAGAUGUGAAACAGUGAUAAGAGAAAACGAAGCUUUUAUAGCUAAAAAAUGGAGGCUCUUUUUGAAUAGUGGUAUUUGAUGAAGAGCCUCAGAAAGAGCCUCAAAAAUAAGAGCUAAGGGACAAAUAUAGCUAUAUUCAAACACGGAGGCUCUUUCAAACAUGAAGGAAAAUAUGAAGGAAAAUAACAAAAUAAUGAAGGCAGUACUUUAAAGGACAUAAGAUGCUUCACUGUUAGCAGCUCUAUCUCAAACGAAAAAUAAGAGUCCAGAAAUCGAAAGCACCACAGAUCUAUACUCUAGCUGCAUUCCAGAAAAAACAAGACAAAACAUCGACGCAACCAGAUAGAAGAGAAAAAAAAUCACUAAUGAAAGGAAAGUAGCGGAAGAACCGAGGUAGUACCUGAAACAAUAGAGAGGAAGCAGCAGUCAAUGCUUCACUUUUGGUUCUAUCUUAGACCGGAAAAUAAAAGGCAAGAAAUAAAAAAAAAACCACAUUAGUUCUCCAAUUGCAACCAGAAAAGCAAGACAAAGACGGCGGUCUUUCGUUUACAGGGUUUGAUCAAGGGCUGGUGGAGAGAAGAGAGAGGAGAUCAGAGGAGAAAAAUGAAAAUUUUCAGAGAAAUAGAAAAGAGAAUGAAGGAGAGCUAAAAUGUUCUGAAAAGGAGGAAACAAAAUAGAAGUGGCGGCGUUCUGAGGAGAAAAGAGUGAGAGAGAACCCUAGCAGCAGAACACGCAUAGAACACCCUAACACAGUGCACAUGGGGUACCGUCAGAGGAGAAGAGGCGCGCGAUGCGCGAAGAAAACAACUUUCUCAAUCACAUGCGCGGCACGUGAGAGGACGACGAAAACCUCCUGGUCACCGCAGCCCUCCGCUCUUUAUCUACUUAUGUUGAAAAGCAUCAGUUGGCUUAGCUACAGUGAAAGUGGUCCGGUUAUACUGUUAUUAUUGUGACUUUGAGGGGCGUUUUGGUCAUUUGGUCAUUUGGUGGUAGUGGCUUGGCUGGAAAUUUGCUCCUGUCCGCGUGUUCCUUCGCUCGCGUGUUUCCCAACUUUUAUAUGUUUGGCAGCACAAGGGAACUUUGCACUCAGUUGUAAGCUGCUCAUAUCACGGACACCUAUACUGCAUCAUGCAUAGUUUAUAAGCUACGUGUAAUUUUCUCUUCCCACAGCCCACUAUUCUAUGCUUCCAUGAUUAUAUCAUUUGCUUUUUCUUACGGUGCACUUGUGUAUCCACUAGCCUGUGGAAAUCCCAAUUCUAAAGAUAAACAGCUCUAAAGAUAUGCCAUGCAUGUAUUCGAUUUUCCUGAUUUUUUACGCACCAUUCUGUUCUUAAACCUUUGUCACUUUUUCGUAUUUCUUUUUCCCUCACAGGCAACCCUUUUUCCCAAUUGAAAGCUUUCAUUGUCUAAUUUUGCAAGGUGAGCUCUGUGGUUUAUAAACAGCUCUAAAGAUAUGCCAUGCACGUAUUUGGUUUUCCUGAUUUUUUACGCACCAUUCUGUGCUUAAACCUUUGCCACUUUUUUGUAUUUCUUUUUCCCUCACAGGCAACCCUUCUUCCCAAUUGAAAGGUUUCAUUGUCUGAUUUUAGAAGGUGAGCUCUGUGGUUUAUUUCUACCUUUCCGUGGUUUUGUCCUUGUACUGAAAGGCUUAAUGAGUCGAAGUGUUUACAUGAUUAUAAUAGUUCAGUGAGCCAUGUUAAUGAAUAUGUUAUGGAUUCUUACUGGCAUAUUAGACGUACAACUAUCUUUCAUUUGUUUAUUAAUUGCCUUCUACUACUAAUUUGAUUGGGUAUGCAUUUUUAUUGAAAUCUUCUUAUUUAUGUAUAGCUGAGCUUUUUUAAUGGGUUGCCGACGGAAAUAUGCAAACUUAGAAGAAGCGUAUAUAGAGAAGAAUGCAAGGAGACGGGCAAUAUCGUCUCUAUGUUGAUAUAUCAUGCCAGAAGUAGGCCCGGGGAGGGGGGGAACCAAAAUUUUGCUCGUUCCACAACCCACUCAUGGGUUUAAAGAUAAGAAGAAGGAUUAUCCAGCUAUCCCUUAAAAUUACAAUUAGAUACAAACCUUUUGAGGAUUGUUGUUUCCUUCUGAAAACUAAUAUGUCGAACUAUAGGACCACAAUAAAAGGCCAGAGUACCAAGAAUGGAAUCAAUUAGCAAUCCUCUAAAAAAUUAGGUGAUUUUUCACAUAAAUUACCAUUGCUUGACUACAACAACAAUAAAGUUUGAAGCACAAGUACAAGAAUUCUGGGUCUGCUUAGCAAGAAAAAUCUGCAAGCCAAAUAUAUAAAGAAACCAGAAAUUGAAUACUAUCUAUCAAUUGCUUGCGAUUUUGACAUACUGUAGGUCAAAGCCACAUGUUUUUUUCAUCAAAGUAUAGUUUAAUUUCCUAAUCAUGCAAGUACCACAAAAACUUUGAGGAAAAAUACAUACAAAAAAGUGGCAAAGGUUUAAAAGACUACCUCAUGCAGUGAAUAAGGUCUCUGAAUUCCAAAUCUUCUCCGAAAUAAGAUCAAUAAGUAGUUUCCUCCAAAAAAACCAGUGAGAUAGAAAGCUAUGAAUAGGAGCUAUUCGGUUUGGUGGAUAAUCGAAUAAGUAGUUUGGUCAUUUAUAAAUCAAUAUUGAAUGGUCCCUACUAAGAUUAGCUGUAGAUGUAGGGAUACUAUUGCUUUGCAUUUGCGAAAAUAGGGAUAAUACAUUGCAGUGAAUCUGAGUAUGAUAUAUUUCUCCAGGUUGUUCCUAGCUAUUGUUUAGUACUUCCUAAGUAAUUCUCCUACUAAUGCAUUCCCACAAAUGUAUCAGAAAUUGGCAACAAGUCCAAUCAAAUACUUAGAUAUUUCGUAGCAAAUUCAAGCGGAAAUCCAGGCAUCCUCACGGGAUUCAAAUUGUAGUUAAGGUCCAUUUAGCUAUUAAGGUUAUAAGGUAAAAUAUACUACAUGUUGCAUGUCUCAAGAUUACUAUAAUUUGUUCUACUUCAAAGAAUGCUUGACAAAAGAAAAGAAGGAAAAGUUCAUCGUCAUUGAUUAAUGGUCUCUGCACAAAAAAAGAGAUGCAAAGAAGAAAAAUGAUGACGUCUGCACCCAAAAAUUGUUGCAAUGAGUGCAAGAAGUUUGGGAAGACGCGUUUUAUUGGAAAGAUUACUACAAGAAACUACACCUGUCAAUAUGAUAUUUUUUACUACAAUUACUAGAAGCAUAUUCGUUUUACUACAUCAUGAAUAAUUCUCAAUUUCUUGACAUUUUUUAUUGCGUAGAAAUGUGAUGAUUGUUCUUUUAAAUUAUUGAUAUCACCAUUGUGUUUAUUCACAAUAAGUUUCAAGAAGGGUUUUACUUGUUUAAACUUAUUUCAUUCUUGACUAGAUACAAAUAGUGUGUGCAUAAUUUUAAAAGUGAUCAGCGUCACCAUAUUUAUGAUAUUUGUAUGUAAUUGUACAUUUCAAAUGAAUGGAUCAUUUAUUUAUAGUAUCAAGAAUUCGCAAAGAUUUUAAGGUAUUGACUGACUAUUUAAGAGAAAAUUACAAAUCAAAUGAGUAAAUGAGUAACAGCAACAUUCAAUUUACAUAAAGUCAAAUUCUCCACAUUUAUUUAACAACUAUCAUGUAUUAAUAUAUAAAAAUUUUACAUUAAUCCACUUGCCUUCAUUUGAUAUUGAUUAACAUAGACCCAGGGCAUCCUCACGCAUCGCGUGAGGCUGAAAAAACUAGUUAAUAUAAAGACAAUAGUGAGAUAAAGUUGUAAUGGUUUUAAUAUCUCAUACACAAUAAUAGUAAGAAGAGUAUAUGCGCAUAAAUGUCUAUAAAAUUAUAGUAAUCAAUAUGUACUUAUAUUUAUUAAAGAAAUAGGCAUUUAACCCAUCAAACCCAAGGCUUUUAUUAUUAUCCAAGAUUUGAUGGAGGACUUGCAUAUGCACUGAACAUUGGAAAAUUUACUAUUAAAUUUAGAAGCUAAAGGAGUAAAAUUCUCAGCUGUUACGGGAAAUUACUAUGGAGUUAAAGGAAUAUAUAUUUGAACUUCAUAUAAAUAGACCCUCAGGAAAAGGAAAAAAAAAACUUCAUAUAAAUAGCGCGCCAAGCCCAGAAGAUUUUUCUAGAAUUUUCUCAUGCAUUGCUGAAAUAUAUCUACAUUGUAUAUAAGAAAAAAGUGGAGUUUAGUUUUUUGCCUUCUUUCUUGGCAUAUGAUUUUUUAAUAGGUUGACAAGUGACAUGAUUCUAAUAUUUCUUACUACAUAUCUUUUUUCUUUUUUUUUUCGUUCAUUUGUUCAUGUCAAACCAAAAAAGUGUGCCCUUAUGUUGUCCUUUUGGAGCCCAAUGGGUUUUCUACCUAUUAUAUAAGAAAACGUGCAAAUUUACUAUAACAUCCCAAUUUUUUAGCGCAUGGCAUAGCAUUCCUUUUAGGAACCUAUGAUAUUUUUUCCCAUUUUUUAUUUCUCUACUUCUGCCUUGAUGGGCCAAGACCGAAAAUCUAUUAUAUGGAUUAAGAUAGAAGAUUUUCACUGCAGGUCAUUUUGCUUAACCAUAUAGAUUUUGACUAUUUUUAUGUGUUGUCUAAUUUAUGACUAUAGGAUCAAGUUUUAUAAAUUGACGAAAAACUUUUAGUUCCUGGAUAUUGAUUAAUUAUGUUUAAUUAGUAGCUCACCCAACUCUUACAUUUAAACAACUCCUUUAUAUGAUCGAUUAAAGCCUCUUUUCCUAUUGUACUAUAAAUCGUUUCUCUAGUUUAGGGCUUUUAAAAAUUUUGUUACACAAAUAAUAAAAGUAAGGGAGAUAAGUGAUAUUUUUAAAACCUUAGGGAUGCCAGGUGAUAUUAAGAUAAACCUCUGGCGAGGUUUUUGAUAUGAUCCCUACAUAUAACAUACAUACAUACAUAUAUAUGUGUGUGUGUGUGUGUGUGAAAGCUGUUAUUUCAAUAAACCAUUUUCUUUGUCCUAAAUGACAUGCCUAAUUGAAGACAAUUAACUGGUCAAUCAAUACAUGUGUUUUACCCAUUUUUCCAACUCUCCUCCAAUCAAUUUAUUCAUAAUUUCCCUCACUUUAACAACUUCUUACUUUUUUAAUGACGGUUUGUCUAACUGGUGCCCUCUUUAAAAUAUAUUUCGGGUGUUAUAUUUUUAAAAUAUAAGAUUAAUUAGGGAAAGCAAAUAAAUAUAAGGGAUGGUAGGUAAGAUUAAAUAGGAAAAGUAUAUAAACGCAAGAGAGAAUAAUAAUUGUUAGUAUGUAUAUAUAUUUGUAUGUGUAUAUAUAUGUGUGUAGUUACAUUGGUUAAUUUAUUAAUUUUGAUAUAAAGUAAUAAAUCAUUCAUGUAAAAAUGAAUUGCUGCAUUCUCUUUUUUACUUGAAUGGAAAAUGAAAAUGAGUAUGUGUAAAAUCAUAUUCAUGAGAAAAUUUAAUUACUAUGUCAAAGAGUACCUACUAUUUCUUUUUUAUGCAUUAUACGAUUUACCGAACAUUAUUACAUUCUACUAAAUUUACUUAUAAAUGUUUCUAAAGAAUAAUGUGGCAGUUAAAUGUUUGGAAUACAAUAAUUUUCUGAUGCAAAUAGGAAUAAUAUGUAAAAACAUUGUUGAUGAAUUAUUUAUGUGUUUCAUUGAUUCAAAAAUAUUCACAAUAAAAAAAAUACCGUGCUAAUGCAUGGGCUAAAUACUAGUUAUGAGUUAAGCAGAUUGUGCAAUUAAUUAAGUGAUAUUACUGAAUGCUUUAGAGUAUUACAUGUAAGCGAUAGCUUUCACUGAUACCUUCAUUAUGAAGACAAUCAGUUAAAUUUUCAAGACCUGUUAUUAAUGGUAAAAAAUUUUUCUCUGAUUUGGAAUUGAAUGAUUGAAAGCAAAAGAGGAACAAUAGCAUCCGUGUGUGUCAUUUGCUUAUCAGCUAGAUUCUCUUAUAAUUGAUACCAGUUGUAUUACCUUGCUAUUGAUUACCUUUUCAAAUAUGUAUACUAGAUUCUUUAAUCUUGGCUACGUAUUACCCUAGCUGAGGUGGCAUCUCUCUAUUAAAAAUAAUGGGCAUAUAACGGAUACCCAUAGGAUACUCGUUAAAAUAUAUUUUAUGUUUCAUAUUUUUUAAAAUGUAAAUUUAUUCUAGAAAAGUAAAUAAAUACAAGUACGGGUUGAUAAUACUAAAUUGAAAAAGUAUAUAUAUAUAUAUAUAUAUAUAUAUAUAUAUAUGUAAAAGAGAAUAAUAAUUAUUAGUAUAUAUAUAUAUACAUGAUAAGUUAGGAGAAUAUUAGGUGUAAAGGCACUCGUUAGAGAAAUGCAAAAACAAUUUACUAGAAAAAAAAACUACAAGGAAACAGCUAAAAGAAAAAAGCCGCAACAUUGCCAACCACCUUCCUGGCUGGAGUACUUAGCAGCCCAAAAUAAAUAAAUAAAUAAACACGUAAGAAAAAAUCCCUCAAUUCAGAUAUUUUAGCUUGCGGAGAAAUUCUAAAAUAUUGCUAUAGUAUCAUACCUUAGUUUAAUGUACCCAUACCACCGGCAAUGUACCCAUUUAUUUGAUUAUAGUGAACCAACCCUAUGAUGCCUUAGUUUUGACUUGUGAAGAAGGAUUUGGAGUCACUUUAUCAAAAAGUUACCUUUUACUAUUCUCAAAUACUUUUCAAAGCCAGCUUUUAGCCUUUUUGGAGACAAGAAAGUGUUGAAAAUCAGUAUCAACAAAACAAAUAGCACUUGUUUAUGUUUCAAGUUAACCUCACUUUCAGUAAUUGCAUAAAUAGAUGGAAUCAAAUUUUCAGUACACAUACGAGUAAAGCUAAAUGUGGACACAAAUAGUUGUCAUUUGCUUAUUAGAAUAAAUUUGGCAUUAUAAUUCCAGUGAACUAUAUGUUAACCCGCGAGAGGCUGUUAAUAACCGUUAGACGUAUGCAAUUAAAAUUUCAGUUGUGGAUUGUAAGGUAGAUUUAAAAGUUAAUUGGAACAAAGAAGAGAAAAAUUGGAAUCAUGAAUUAUUCUUUCAAAAUAAAGAGGUUCGAAAUCAUUGACAUGAACCAAUUUUUCUCUAGCAAUUUCAAGGACAGAUGCAAUCAACAUUCCCAGCACACAUAAGAGCAAAGCUAGAAUGUACACAAUAGUUGUCACUUGUUUACAAGGUGGCAUUGAAUGCUCUCUUUGUUUGCACUAGUGAAUCCGAUGAAAACUGCCAAGUUUUGGCCCUAGAAAUUAUCCUUCGCUUGCCGGAUUAUGCCCAAUGCUUCUGCAUCAUUUGCAGCAGGUGGAAUCUUCAAUGACCGCCGGAUUUCCAUGCUUGAAGUACGAAGAAAUGGAUUGCAUAAUUUCUCCUUACCAAGAGUAGUUGGAAUCUGAUCAAACAUUCAGACAGAGCUGAGCACAUCAAUAUUUUCUUAGUUAGAAGUCUGGCAAAAACACGAGGAUGAAAAUCCUAGGGAAAAAACACUCCAGACGACCUGAACUUUUGCCACCCCAAUAACAUGCUAUGUACAACAUUAUAUUAAAGAACAUGUAAAUCAAGUGGUUAUUUAGUGCUCCAAAAUAGAAGUAACAAGAUAGAACAUAAAAAGGAAACAAGUCCAGAAAUUACUGUUGGCAUGCCCUUGUCUCGGAGGUGGUUGACUUCAGCAGCAUAGGAUUGCAAUUCUUUGUUACCCGGUUCUAUUGAUAGUGCAAACUUUGAAUUACUCUGCCAGUAGCAUCAUGUACGUUAAGGACCACUCAAGGCUUGUGCAUUUUGAGAAAUUACAUUCGAGAACAAUGCAAGUACAGAGAAAAUUUCAAAGAGCAGAGAGCAAAUAUAUGUUGUUUAGACCUAAAAUAUUUAUAAUCAAUGGUCCAAUGACCAUGACAUACCUGUGUAUACUCAUGACCACAGUAAAUAGUUGUGUCAUCUGGCAAAGACAUUAUCUUCCUCAAGGAAGAGAGCAUCUGCAACAUAAAUGGUGAAGAAUAACAAAUAUCAGAAUCGGCUGUUUUAAUCUACAAAUAUCCCCCUAUGCAAUUUCUGAGUUUAGGAUCUUUGUCAACUCAAAUGUAGGUGUUAAAGUCACGUUUGGCUGCAUACAGUAAUCUUUAACGUAUAAAAUCCAAAUUUGCUUCCUAGAACUUAUAUCUUUUAGUUCCCUAUUAAUUAAGCUUGCUAAGCAAUGAAGUUUGCUUAAAAAUUAUGAAUUUCAGCCCCAAAUCUGGUUGCCGAAAAAAGUAUCCGUUGUCAUAGCUUCAGGGUAGAUCAGAAUGAAAUAUAAUUAUGUUGGACUCAAGUAGAUGAUAGUAUGUUGGUGGCUGUCUUUGAAAUUGAUAACAUUCCCAGGGAAAUCAAGGCCAGGAUUCCUAUUUCUAAUGUCAGGUUCUUCCACUCCCUUUCUUGCAUCCUCCUGUUAAAGUUCAUACUUCUGCUCUCUCAUAUUCAUAAAUUCUUGUGCGUCUAAGCCUGAAGUUCCAAAAUAAAUAUAAUCACCAUGGCCUCCAUGGUGCUGCAUCAUUUUGGCUCAAAUCUGAAUAAUUGUGUCAUGCACAACCAAAACUUGUACCAUAGAUUGUUACUCUCGCACAUCUCUGGAUGGCAUGCCAACAUAGCUACUCAACUUGUCCUACCAAUAAUUGAUUGGACACCCAACACCCCACAUUUCCUUUUUUUUAUUUUUAUCAUUUCCUAUUUGCUUAUAAUAACAUAAGAUUCUUUUUGAGAAGGGAGGAACAUUCUACAAGAAAGGCUAGUAGUACAUAUGCAAACGACAAGAUAAUCCUUUACUCUUCCACCCAAAAGAAAAUGUAUAAAUUAAAAUGAAAAAACCUGCACGAUGAUCAUUUGCCAAUUUUUUAACAUGUCAAGCAACUAAUGUGCACAAAAACCAAAAGCUUGAGCACUAUACAAAGAGAGAGAAUUCCAUCUCAAACUACAACUGCAUACAUGAAACGUGUCCAAGAAAUUGCUCCUAUUGUUACCAAACGUGUUUCACCCCAAGUAACAUGGAACAGGAUCUCCCUUGGCUUGUUCCUUCCAAAAGCCCAAAAUUUUACCCAUAAAGUCAUUUGGUCAUAGGGCAAGAAUACUAAACAGAUGCCAAAAAUUACCUAAGCUGACCAUAAAGGCGAAAUGCAACUUGGUUCCUUUCCUCGUAAACAAACAUGUGGACCAAGAAUAAAACCCAAACAAAGCAACCACUAGACCCAUGGAACUGUUUUUGUCUACAACUACAGCUCAGAAAUCAAACCUGGUAAAAGUACAGCUACUGUCAAGAAUUCCAAUCUUUGCCAUACUUCUAAUUACAUUCCAAGGAAAUUAAAGCAGUAAAUAUAGGUUAACAGAAUAAAUUACAUAAAGUAGAGAUGCUAUUAACAGAAGUAUGAUGACAAUGAAAUGAAGGUAAGGACUUCAUACUCAGAAAAAAGCAUAACCAAUUUAAAGCACAAUUACCUCAGCAGGAGUUCCUUCGAAGAGCUUGCCACAUGAUAAACUGAACAAAGUAUCUCCGGUGAAUAUUGACUUUGAUCCAGGGAAGUAGAAACUAAUAUGGCCUGUUUUAUUUGAAAAGAAAAAUAUUCAGGUUUGAGUCAACAUAGAAGAAUUUUGUUAUCAGGAAAUACUCUUGGAACAGAAAAAAUCUAUCAUUUAGACAUCAGAAGACACUAUAAUGGCAGGUUCAUUCUUAACCAAUAUUUGACUAAAUACCUUGUAAACUAUCAGCUAAAACAAUAUGCAACCUAAUUACAAAAUUAAGCCAAUAUUCUCUUAGAAGGAAGCUAAUGUUUUUUGGAAUCACACAGAGAUAAGAAACAGAGGAGUUAUUUCUCCAUCAUUUAGCAUAUCUUCUUCACACAGUAAUCAUCGAAUAUUCCACCACCAGAUGUGCUACUCUCGGGAAUCAACCAAACUUAUUUUUCAUAUCGUCUUUAUUGUUCUAAACAAACUAUUACAACACUACUUCUGAUUUGGUGUAUAAACAGUAGGUUUGGAGGUAGCACCCAAAGGUAGGCUUGAAUUUUUUUUUUCCAUUACUUUCAAAAAUAGCAGCACUUGCAUCACAAGAAGGGAAAAAAGAACACGAUGAGCUUCAAAUCCAGUGGCAAAGCCAAAACCUUGCCUGUGGGAUGUUUCUGCGUUUGAUGAUUCAGUAGAAACAUAAGUUAAAAAGGGGGACUAUGUAGUAACUUUAUAUACUUAACUUCAAAGUGUUUAAAACAAUUGCAAUCUUAGCAGAAUUUAUCUUUUUGUUCUUCAACAGUACCGACACCCUCUACUGUAUCAUAAAUAACUUUUUAUUUAGGGUAGCAAUUCAAGGGAAGAAGGGGAUUUAAAAAAAAAAAGAAAAGAAAAAGAAAACUUAAAAGGCACAAGUACCAAGACAAAUUUAAAAAAUUGCAAAUAUCAUACAUGGUCAGUUAAGCACAUCCAAUAUUUUUCAUCUUCACUUAUGCUAUUAAAAAUACAGAGUUUUUACUUUUGUCUUGAGUCAUCACUUCCUGAAAAUAAACUCUGUUGGGGUAAGCAUUAAGCUUAAAACAGCUUUUCACUACCCUUUGUAAUGAUACCAGUUACCAAGGGCUUGAACAUUCAAUACAAAGAAAAUAUUUCAUGCAUAUCAAGAAAUUAAAAAAAAAUGCUGCAUAGAAACAAAUGGGUGGAACUGAUGCAACCAUUCUAAUCAUUUGUAACUCCACAUAAUAAUAUUAACAGUGAACAAGUUUGAUUUACUGCAAAGAACAUAAAAGAAUAACUAAAAUUUCCAUGUCAACAUUAGAAAAAUCCACUAUGAAACAAGAUAUCAAAACCACCUCGUGUAUGACCAGGAGUAUCCAUGAUGAGCACCUCAUGGCUUGCGAACUUCCAAUUAUCACCAUCAUUCAAUGCAAUAUCAAUUCCAGGAAUUCUAUCCUGGUCUACUCCGGAUCCAAUUACCUAAAAUAACAGUCAGGUCAGUAUCUCGACUCCCAGUACUAGAUAUCAUAACUAAAACCAUAACAAAAUUACAUGACCCCCCUGAAUAUUUUUUAAAAGCACAAGGACUUCCAUGACAUCUCAAAGCAAACGAUUUACGUCAAAAGUUGCAUUUUAAGUGUUUUAAAGGUUAUAUUUCAGUCACAACCACCUUCCCAUCUCUAAAAGCAUUUUACGUGCGAAUAUAAACCAAAAAAUAAUUUUACCUACCAUGAGAAUUUGGACAUAUGUACAUGGCAUAAUAAGACAACCUAAGGGAAGAUCAAUGUAACUCCAGAAAGAAGGGAAGUUUCCAUAGUAAUGAUACACAGGAAACAGAAGCAGAAAUACACCUAACCAUAAGGCAUUCACAUCUGCAGUAACAUUGUCAUCUUAAUUAUUCAACUUUAAUUGAGAACAUAUAAACAAAUGGUUCAUUUUGAAGAUCAGGGGGGCAGAGUCUCCAUACUAUAAGAUAAUAACUCAACUCAUAACAGUAAAUGAUAUACAUAAUCAUAAGAACAAAUGGUUUGUCAAAUCGAGGCAUUUGAAAAGUCUAACCUUUGUGUUCAUAUAAACAGAUGAUCAAGUUUAAUGUGUGGUUAGCUAGGCAUGAAGGAGCUGUAAAGGAUGAUAAGGCGGCGUUGCUGCCACUUUUUCGGUCAAGGCCAAGCAGGAGCCUUGGCCUAACUGGAAAGUAUAAUAACUUAUUUCCCAGUUGGGUUUUGACAAAGUCUUGGUUCAGAUGGAUUUUCAGGUCCCAUCUGGCCUUUAAAAAAUACAAAAUUGGGGACCUAUAGUAAUUAUGCCUUCUCUUCAAGAUGUUACAAGGCUUAUACAAAUUCAAAACCUCUAUUUUCAGCAUGUUUCUCGUGAAACAAAUCAGAUCAGGGAUCUUUUUCGUGAAGCCCUUUUCAAUCGCUCUUAUUUUGCCCUUCUACUACGGGGCUAAUGAGGCUAGAUAAGCUUCUAGAUCCAAUUAUAGGGUUAUUUAACUAUGUUGAGUGUUGGACCACAAGCCCCAAACUUUUGUUUUUGAAACUUCAUACAGGAAAGGGAGAGAAGUCCAUUCCAAACAUUCUUCCAAACAUUCCACCAUCUCAAGGAACAUACUUUUCUGCAUAAUGGGCAUGAUCAUCUCGAAAUCAGACAAAACUCUCCACAUGUACUUACUUCGAGCCAGAAAAAGUCCCCAGAAACCAGUUCCAAAAAGGUCUAUACUCAACCUAAAACAUCCAUUUACAGGACUUCUACUAAGUUUCAUACAGCCUUCCAUUCAAUAAACCCUAAAACUACUCAAGACGAAACAAAGUUACCAACCACCUCAAGUUAAAUUUUCCUAUAAAAACUUGCACUGUAUAACUUCAGUGUAUUAACUGUGAACACCACUUGACCAGAUAAACCCCACGCACCACACCCUCCCCCCCCCCAAAAAAAAGAAGGAAAAAAAACUACUUAACUCAGGGCCAGAAAAAUUCCCCAGUAUAUGCUUCCAAAAAGAUCCACUGGAAGAAUACCAUAUAAUAGGUCUUUCAAUAAAAUUCCAAUGGAUACCAUUCAACAAAUCCUUUUGCUACUAUACACAUUAUAAAGUUACCCCUAAAACAUAGGGACACGUUACAAAACUUGUGCCAAAACCAAGAUCCAGUCUAUUUAUAGGGAUCAGAAUGUACAAAGCCGCUCAGUCUACACUAUCAUGUAGGCAUACUAUGAUUCAAGGACAGAUGUCAAAUCAAGAUUGUGCCUAACAUAACGUAGCAUACAUUCCAAACAGAGACUUCCAAAACAAGUAGUCAACUCGUCAAGAUUUCAAUGACCUGUUCUCCAGCCAAAUUAAUUAAAACCAUCCAUCAAUCCUUUGUUUUCUUCAUUUCUGCAGAAAGUGAAGCAGUCAAAUUCCAACUAAAUCUUGCCUUAUUUUGGGAAGGCAAAUGUUUGUUUUAUGAGAUUCAGACAGUCAAGGUGGACGAGAGGAGCGAGUCUCUGUCUAACUACUCUAACCGCGGGCAAGGGGGGGGGUCCUUGAGGAAAGCUCACUUCGCAGAUUGUUUAGUUUCAUCGAAGAAGGUAUGAGUUGGGAUGGUCCUUCAACAGAACCUUACUUCCUGCAUCAACUUAGGGGUGGACUGUAACCAAGUAACAAAGAAGCUUCAGCAUGCAUACGGUGACAUAUAAAGACAAUCAAUAAGAAGUGCAAGUUGGGCAAGGGUAGUUCCGGCCACAGCAAUAUGAACACAAUCAGUAUUGAAAUAAUGAAAAUUGGCCACUAAGAACUGAAGAAUUUCAUGCAUACAUGUAUCAUAUUAUUCAAUUUCUUAAUAAUCAAAUUCUGAUUCUUCCUGCACUAAAGGAAGAUAUGAUCAUCAUACCUUUGCCCCGUACCUUUCUUUUAACUCCAUGUUCCCACCAGUGUGAUCAUAGUGAUGGUGAGUGUUCAAUAUAUAAGUCAAAUUCCGAUUGUUCCUGUCCAAUGCAUCUAUCACAGGUACAGCUUCUGAAGGAUCAACUACUCCAACAGUCCCAGUAUCUGUGUCAUGUAUUAAGUAUGCAUAGUUGUCCCUAAGGCAUGGUAUCUGAUCACAAGAAACAGCAAGACGAAUUACAAACGAGCAAAUUUGCAAACAAUCAACUACAAAUGUUACUAUAUGUUCACCAGCUAACGUUCUGAAAACCAAUGAAGAGGGCACUAGGAGCCUUAUUUCAUGAAAAGGCACAAUUUUGGGCUAAUUACUACAAACACAAUUUGAUACCAAUUUCAGUACAAAAUGCACAGGGCUACAACUGCAUCCAACAACCUCUAAUUAGAUUCCAAGCAAUAUAGGACGGUCUGAAUACAUCUUUAUCAACCCUCUGAAAAGAAGUGGAGCUCACCAAUUCAAUUUGGAGGGUGGAGGACAUAUUGUUAAUGCUGCAAAAACGAGAAACACCAAGAGUUCUGCUACUAACUCCACGCAAUGUUUUGAAUGGCAUCGAGAACAACCGCAUCAAUCCAUACACAAGAUUCUUUCUAAUGCUCAGUUGCGCCAUCCCUGGCCAUACGCCAAGUGACCCCUUCCCCGCCGUCUAUUAUCAUUAAUAAGAUCCAAUCAUCCAACCAACGAAACAGAUAGUACAACUAAUUAACAAUAAUCACAAAUCAAAAAGAAUAAAAUAUCACAGAAACAAAGAAGCAUUCAAUCUAGAGUCUAGAGGCACUGAAUAGAAUAUAAGAUCUUGCAAUUAUACUGACGAAAAAAAAAUCCCAUUAAUUUACCUUCUCAGUGACUACAUGAUUAAAACUCAUACCUUUUUCAAUAAUCUCAUUAGAAAAAUGCAUUAUCCAUUAAAAAAUAAUAAUUAUAGAUACAAAGAAAUAUUCAUACUAGAGCAUAGAGGUAUUAUAUCUAUCGUUAAAAAACAAUGUUGAAAAAAAAAAAAGUUAAAAUCACGCCUUUCUCCAGUAAAGUGUUAAUAUUUAUUUCAUCUUCUUCUUUCAAGCAUUUUUACAAUAUUUGGGGGUAAAGAAAAACAAAAGGCUAAAACUCAAAAAAAAAGGAUUAAAAAGAAAAGAAACAGUUCGAUUCCGUCUUUUCUGGAUUUCGUUACAAUUUCGUUUUCAUUAUUUCUUUGCCUUUCACUUAAAAUAAAUAAAUUCUCCUCUACAUAGAUUAAACUUUCCCAGUCUCCAAUCUUAUAGCUCAAACCCUAAUUAUCAGUUCUGAAAUCAUAAAACAGUAAGAAAUAUGAAAAAUUAGAAAAGAUUUCAUUUUGUCUAAUUUGUUUUUGUCCAGUUAAAAAAAAGAUGAACGAAGAAGUACAGAGAUAGUGGAGGAGAGAAACAAACCGCGGAACGAGGGAAAGAGGAGGCCGCCAUGGCAGAGGCAGAGGGAAGAAGGACUCUACAAGAAGAGAUCAUUUGCAUAUUAUCAUCAUUUUUAUUAUUUCCAUUUUUCUCAUUUUCUUUCUAUCUAUAACAGAGCGAGUUCGAGAGCAGAGAGAACCGGGGGAGUUGGGGGUUGGGGGAACAUAUCUUAUAGUACACGCUUAUCGAAUAAUUAAUUUUUUUUUUUUCCAGCAAUGUUUAUUCGGCGGAAAAGAGUUUACCCGCCCAAAAAACAAAAAAAAAUGGAAAACACGUCUAAGCGAUAAAUACCUGCACAGCAAGGUAAAAAAGAAAAGGGAAAUUUGUUAAAUUGGUCCCUAACAUUUUCAUAAAAAAAAAUUUUAGUCCCUAACAUUUAAAAUCAGCCAGAAUAGUUCCUAACAUAUAAAUUAUGAGCCAGUUUGAUCCUAAUGCUCGUAUUUGCUCCUAUUUCAGGCUAAAAAUAGCACACCGGCAUAAUUUUAAACGCAAAAUCGGAAACAUUCGUUAAUCCCUAAUUUUGCAUCCCUCAAACUCUUCCACCAUUUCUUCAAUUGGUUCUCAACCUACUGCUAGUUCAUAAUUUCUUCUUCUUAUUUAUUCUACAGAUCUGUGCUGUCAAGAAGCCUCCCAACCAUCUGUAUAUUUCUUCAAAAUUUCCACCAUCUUUUGCUGCAAUGCUUCUUCAUAACUACAUUUUCAGGGGUCUCAGUCCAUCUGAAAGGAGCUACUGGAUCUUUUGUUUGCACCGAGUAAUGAACCCAUCAUCUCUGCUCUUUGGAACGUCAUCCGUUCUUGGUUAAUGGGUUCGGGAUUAAUACUGCGCAUAAUUAGCCUCUGGAUCUUUUCCUGUCACUUUGCUCUCCCCUCCUUUUGCCUCGUCCAACGUAUCUGUAGCAUUCUGGCAGAGCUGAGGAGGACUUUCUGGGGUUGAUAAUGAUUAUCUGUCGCUGUACACAGAGUCAAGAGACGUGAUGAUUGUGGUUCCAGAGAAUAGAAUUCGUUUUGGUUGUUCUGGAGCGCAUUUUCAAGCUCCUUGAUACGUGCUACAAGUCUUGAUUCUCUUAGCUUGUGCAACCAUAUACUCAACUCGCGAGGACCAAUUGAAGAAGCGGUGGAAGAGUUUGAGGGAUGCAAAAUUAGGGAUUAACGAAUGUUUCCGAUUUUGCCCUUGAAAUUAUGUCGGUGUGCUAUUUUUAGCCGGAAAAAAGAGCAAAUACGAGUAUUAAAACCAAACUGACUCAUAAUUUAUAUGUUAGGAACUAUUCUAGCUGAUUUUAAAUGUUAGGGACUAAAAAAGUUUUUUUGUGAAAAUGUCAGGAACCAAUGUGGCAAAUUUCCCAAAAGAAAAAUAAAAAAAAAGUGAACCAUCUUUCUCUUUCCCAAAAAAGUCUAGAAAAGGUAGAGUAGGAAUUAACAAACGGUGAGAGAAAUAGUUUAAAAGAAAACUGGAAUUUAGCAAACGAAAUGAAGAGGAAAAAUGUCUGUAAUAAAUUUUUCAAGCGGUGAGAAGGACGGAAAAUUUAAACACAUAACUUUUAAGUUUUGAAACAUCUACGUUAAACAUUAGAUUAAGGGUCAUUUUCAUUAUUAUUAUUAUAGCUGUUAAAAUUAGAUAUUACCUAUCUAGAACUAGGACUUAAUCUUAAUAUUAAUCCAUAACGAUCAAAGUCGAAUCAUGACUCUACUAUUAGUGAAGCAAAUUCAAUGAAACAAUAACUAGUGACCAUCUCAUGUUUUGAUUAUCAUUUUUAGGAGUUUUUUAUUUAAAAAAUAUAUAUUGUGACGUUUUAAUGUAUAUGAUGUAAAAAUAUGAUUGAAAAUAUUUUAUAAAAAAUAUAAAAAAUUUUCUGCAAGAAACUACAAUACAGACAAGGCUGGCAUUAGAUAAAAUCCUUCUCCAUGGAACAUCUUUUACUAUCUUGUACAAAUGACGUGUCUGGGAGAGAUACAAUUGCCAGCAUAAAACGCCACCCACUAAAUGACGGAAAUAGUAACUCAAGUUUGAUGAAAAUUGUUUUAGUUCAUCACAUGUGAAAGAUGCAAAAUGGUUCAAAAUGCAAUCCUAACAUAAGUUCUGAGUUCUCACUUAGAUCAGCCAAGUUGGGACUAAAUUAAUCAAUUUACAUAUAUGAGGCCCAUCUUACAACAUAUUUUAAUUUGAGAAUUUUCUAAUUUUUUUUUAAUGUGAGGGAUCAUCUUCUUGAUUUUUAUGAAUGACUUAUUAUAUAGUUUGAUUAUUUUGAAUUUUGAAUUGAACUAUACAAAAAGAAUGACAUUAAAAAACCAUUUGAAAAUUUAAAAAAGAAAGCUAAACAAUAUAUAUAUAUCAAUAAACAUAAAGGAAAAAUACAAUGAAAAAGGAAUAUGCUCAUCACAAAAUUGUGUAAAACUGCAAUUCUAAACAAUUAAGCAAAAUUUACAUUUUUUGUUUGAAUUAGUAUACCUUUUCCUAAAAAUUAUCCACCCUUAUUUAUUACUAAAUCUUUCUUUUAAACAUUUUUCUUCACUAUUACUUUAUUCUAUCACUCGGAAGGAGAUUGUUUAUUACUUAUUACCAAAAUUAUGGUCUUUGAUGUUUUUUGUUGUCGCAUAGUGGUUUGAAACUUUUAUUGUAAAUUUUGCUUUGAAAUAUGACAAAUCCUAAUACAAACUUUCUCUUAUACUUUUCAUUUGUACUUUAUUUUUUGUACGGUCUCUUUUUCUUUAAUUUGUUUUAAGAUGGUGACCUUAGCAUUGAUCUUGCCACAAAAAAUUGCUUUUCAGUGUCAUUUAAGUUUUAAAUAUUUAGUUACAAAAAAUGACAAACUAUCUCAAUCACCCACACUAAAAAUGAUACAAAAGAGUAUUUGGAUUAUAAAUUAUUUGAGAUAAUUUUGUAAAAAAAUACUGUAGCACUUUUUUGAUAUAAUGUAUGUGAAAUAAAAAGGUAAUUAGAAAAUGUGUUGAUGAUCCAAACAAAUCAGUACGUGUAAAUAAAGUGAAAUAAUGGACGAUUCAAACACACUCAGUUCUUCCCACUCAAGGUGGCAAUUCAAGGUUCAAGAAAAUCAUAGGAAAGAAAUCAGUCAAAAUUACAUUUUGGGACCAUAUUACUACAUUUUACAUAUUUGAGUGACCAUGUUACAUCAUUUUAAUACAAGGAAUUUAAGGUAAAAAAAAUUAGAAAAUGUCAGUGAUCAUUUUCGUCAUGUUGCCCUUUAAACGUGUAACAAUAACAAGUUUGUAUUAGUUCAAGUUGGAGAAACAAACUCAAAAAUAUUCUAGACAAUGGUGACAAAAUUUUGGGGUCCUACCAUAAUUUCUGAAAAAGACAAGGGCUUGUGGAUUAAAGUCCUCUUAAAUUUACAAAACGGUGAGUGGUGUGGUGAUGGCACAUGCUACAUGGAUUUGAGGCCAUUAUUACACGUGGGACAAAUGAUCACCUCGAAGACUCCACACUUGGGUAGGACCACGAUAUCAACUGGUGUGGGGCCUUCAAUGUUGGAAUUGGACCCACUUUCGUUUCCCUUUAGGUGCUUUACACCAGAUAAUGACAUCAGUUCGAUAAUCCUCCGCUUUAAGCACGUAGGCUAAAUUUUAGCCUACUUAAUUGAAUGAAUUAAUUUUUUUGUCAGAAGAAUGAAUUAAUAAAUUUUAAAAUUUUACUAAUGUUGUAUCCGUCGAGAUCAAAUAAUACAGAAAUUAAGUUAAUUGGAAAGGAUGGAAUAAAAUUCAUCUUAGAGUCACCAUAUUCUAAUCCUCUUUCCUCCCUUCUCCCUUUUAUAUAGAUGAUUCUUUUUUUUUAUUAUAUGAAUGAUAAAAGAGUUGAAUAGUUUCGAUUUCAUUCACUGUCAUGAUACUUUUAUAAUAAUUUUUAUAUUUCUUUUUUUUUUGUUGUAUUUUUUUAAAUGAUUCUGUAAUUCUCUACUGCAUAUAAUUUUUUGUAAUAUGUGUCUAAAUGUGUUUCAAAGGCCAUAGUUCCUUUUUUUUCUCUUUUGUAAUUUUAUUGUUGCAAACAUUUUUUUUGUUUUAAUCAUUAGCCAGUCUUACCAAAUUCUUCAAACAAAUUGAAAAAAAAAUCAAAAAAAUCAAAUAAACAGCACCCCAAGAUAUUGGUGUGAUGCUAAUACGUGUAUGAUUUAUAUUUGCUUAUUUAAUAUUGUAGAAGUACAAAAAGGAAAUGCAAACCAAAAUUUAGAAAGAAAGCAACUCUAGCUAGCAGUAAUUAAUUAGUCUAGCAUGGAAUUUGGAUUUAUUUGCUUGCAAUGUACAAAAAAGGAAAAAUAAAAAUUAAGAACACGAAGUGGGACAGGUAAGUCUAGUCCAAUAUCUGUACAGCAAAUGGAAAAGGUAUCCUUUAAGAGUUGCUUUUCAACCUCCUUUAUGCCUUCACUCAAUUGAAAUGAUAACGUUAUAUCCAAUAUACCAACCUUUUCACAAGUUAGAUUUCAUUUUACUGAAACAACUCACUUUUGCCUCUCCACUUUUUGGCCAUAAAGUAUAACGGUGUAAACGGAUCUAAACAAAUAUGAACACAAUUUUUUUUGGUUAUUUGGAUGAGCUUAAAAUUAUGCUGGAAUUUGACUUGUUUACUUCUUAAGUCAAGGUUUAUUACGAACACAAGUUUAAGGUUUAUUAUGAACACAAGUUUAUUUGAUUAUUUUGUAAACAAAUCUAAACAAAUAUGAACACGAGUUUAUUUGAUUAUUUUGAUGAGCUUAAAAUUAUGUUCAAAUUUGGCUUGUUCACUUCUUGAGUUAAGGUUGAAUGAGCUUUUAUGUAUUCCAGUUCAAGUAUUUUGAAUAUUUUUAUAUGUAAAAUUUCAUUUUUAUGCUAAUCGAGCCGAGUUUGAACCAAAUUUAAAAGUUUAUUAAACACAAAAUGUUAUUCAACCAUAGUUUGACUAGUUAGUGAACUAAACUUGAACAAACUUGUUAGCUCUAGUGCAACCUUGACAAGGAGUGGAGUUUAAAAAGAUAAAGCAGAAAUUAAAUUCAAAUUCAAGAGUCACUUGUGAAAAUAAACGAAUAGGAAAAAAAAGAUCAAACAUAAACGAUUUAUAGCGGUCCGGCCACCCUUCUUGAGCCUACAUCCAUUCCUGAACUUUUUUCAGGUCUCCCGUUUCUCCACUAAGUGUCUCUUUACAAAUUAGGUGAAACAGUAACUGAAGUACAUUGGUGGCGGAAAAGACCUUAAUGUCCUUAAUCCUUUAGUUUUGAUGGUUAGCAAAACAAAUGAUAAAAUAGCUAAUGGUUUAAAUGAGUUUUAUGAUAGACUACACUCAAGGAUACAAGAAUUGCACCAUCAGAAAAGAGAAAAAAGAAAAAGAAAAAUGAGCCAAAAGCUAGAAAAUGAGCUCCACUAAGUGUCUCUUUACAAAUUAGGUGAAACAAUAACCGAAGUACAUUGGUGGUAGAAUCAAACUCACACCAUAAAUAUGCAAGAGAAAUGUAGCCGGUCUAUAGUUCAACCGCUACAAGAGAAAUGUAGCCGGUCUACAAACAUACACAUAAAUAUGCAAGUCCGCAUGUAGGAUCAAUUAAUUCAAGUUCAUGGAGGUUGAGUGCGAAUAAGGACACAUUCGGCUCGCCAUAAUCAAGUCACAGUAAUGUCCAACAAUCCACAUUCUCAAGCAUUCCCAGUACUUCAAAUCAAUAUACAGGUCACAUACAAAUCAAGUUACUUGUUCAUGCAUAAAUGAGAUAUCAAGUGUUUAGUCAAGUCAGGUCAAUUGAGUGUGCUCUUAUGUACACUCAAUAUAUCAUGUUUCAACCAUUUCAAGUAUUUCAAAUCCAAGCAGUUGAAAAUUUGGUGGUUAUAAAAAUUUGAUCAAACAAGAAAACUUGAGGAAAACUGCAGAAAUCAGAAAUUUCUUCAUCAAAUCCAGCUAUAUAUCUGGCCAAAACCGGAUUCAAGGCUGGAUUGACAGGGAAGACUCAAUAUUUUCUUGAUGCUCAUUACCUCUAAUCCGGCCAGAAAGUGGCCAGAUUCUAGCCAGAUUUCGGUCAUGAUUAAAUGGUCGCACAUGCUUGAAUAGAAUAUCAAAGUUUAAUCUAGUUAGAUCAAAUGCGAUAAAGUACACACUUGCCUAUGAGACAAUAAAACAAGCACCUAGCAAUUUCUAGCAACAAUGAGCAUGAAAUACGCAGUUGGAACACUCACCAAUCAAUUGCAACCCUUCACUUUAACCCUAGUUUGUCCUCUUGAACUCUCUCGAGUCCUGUGGUCAUGUACUAUAGUAAAAGACUAGUAAUACAAAACCAAAAUAUAUGAAGAAAUUGAGGUUCCAAUACUUUAUUUAGAACAUGCAUCAAUUUACAAGUUUUAUACCUGUAUAACCUAUCAAAAUAAAAUAUUUGCUUGUUCCAAUCGAGGAGUAAACCUCAUGUACUUACUAAUCAACGUUGCAAAAGUCAUUUAGAACACAAGAGUAUCACUUAUAGUCAAACAUUUGGAGAAAUCAGAAAAGACGUUCAAAAUACAGAGUUGAAAAUUGUCCGACCUAAAAUGAUUUGAAGAAACUCAUUUCUUUUCAUUUAACUCUCAAUUCCACUCAUAAAACCAAGCUUCAAAUGGUGUAACAACUCUAACUUAAAGUUGAAAAUGAAAGUAAGAACGGUUCUAGGAGAACAAAAUUUUUCCAAUUUUGCGCGAUACUAUUUGAAAAAUCAUAUCUCAAGUUUCUUAAGUCCAAAAUUUAUAAACUUUAUACCGUUGGAAAAUAGACUCAAAGGGUUACAAUUUCUCAGAAAAUACCAUCGUAAGAUUCUAUCCACAAGUCAGUCAAAUUCCAACCUAAAUUUGCUGCUUCACCCAGUAAAAAGACUGAACAGAUAUGCAAAUUCAGUCAAAUUUGAAAAAUUACAGAUAUUCUCUCUCUCUCUAGUUAGUUUUGAUUGACCACUAAUUGGUGCCUAUGAAGAACUAAUCACAUUCCUUCAAUUGAAAUCUAGCUUUCAGUUCUGCAUCUACCUUCAAUAUUCUCAAAAUUAAACAAGUCACUAGCAAAGUAAUUAAUUAAAAACUAGUAUCUAUUAAAUGCUCAGCCUUAUUUAAAUGUCAAGCUUACGGUUCUGCACCUAUAUAAAUGCAUAUGUACAUAAUGCUUGUGAUAAGCUUACGGUCAUCUUAUUGCCCCAUUUUAUAAAACCUUUUGGUAUCUGUGGGGACCCAAACCAUCGCCUAGGCUUCCAAUACAUCCCGAGACUACCUACGACGUCAAUAGGGACUCUGCAUACUUGAGUUACAUCUCUAGGCAAAAUGUGGCUGACAUGAUGUCCUGCUCUGUGAUGUGAGAGCAGUUAGAAACCACUUGCAGAAGCGCAGACCUAAAGCUCCUUCUAUGGCAAUUAAUGCUCCCUGAUUUCCUGCAAUUCGUACUAGUUUCUUGGGUCAUAAAUAUCAGCCCACUUUCACACCUAGAGCUAAUUAACUACUCUCGUGCGUAAACUUCCAAAGAAUCCAAACUUCGCCAUUUCGGCCGCUAAAGUGUUUGAUUGCAUUUUUCGUCAUUUUUCGUGUAAAAAUUAUUAUAACGAUUUGAUAUAUGUGAAAAAAAAAAGUGAUAGGGAAAUGUGAUCACGAAAAAUGAUAAUUUAUUUGUUUGGAUUGCGGUUUAUUUGUCAAAAUAUAUUUACUUACAUCAUUAUUACAAUUUUCAACACAAUUUUUUAUCUUCUCAAUUACCUUUUUAUCUCAUAUAUAUCACAUCAUAAAAAAUAUUAUAAUAAAAAUAUCUCUAAUAAUUCACAAUCCAAACAAACUUAUUUUCCGACGGAAACAAGCAAUCCAAGCAAGGCAACAUCGGAAUCAACCCAAGGAAUAAGCCCCGAUCCUGUGCCUUUCUAUCUCGUAGAGCUAGCAGGUAAGCAGUUUAGCUUUGAUAGCUUAGCUUAGCCAACUAAUUGCCCUCGUAGCAUCCUUAAGUCAAAGAGUUAUAAGAGUUGUAGUUCUUACCAACUAGUGCCCAUUUCUUGUUAGAAAAAAUAGUAUCAAUAAAUUUUUUUUUGUCAUCGCCACCUUAUUUAUAUUAUCCUAAUAUAAAGGAAGAUUCAAUUGAACCUACGGAGAUUGAUAGAAACUAAAUCAUCAUCGAAUAAAAUGAGUGCACUAAACAUUUGUUUGAACUUGAUAGAGAAACCACAUAUACACACACGCGUACAUAGGCUUAUCAUUUGUUGCACCUUUUUAUCCUUGAUUUUUCUUCUCAAACUUAGUGCUCAAUCCCCUUUCUAUAGCUCCCCCUUUCAUAACUCACAGUUUUUUGUAUGAGUGUUUCGAUAAAUGGACUCUGCGAAGACACUUCAAAAGCCGGCAACUUUUGAAGUGCUCCGCAGCACUUAACUACUAAACCCCCCAAACCCCCCCAAGCGAUGUGGGAACUUAACCCCACAGGGUGCCCCGCUGCUAAGAGAUAAAGACCCCCCAGACUCCCCGAGACAGGUUUUUCCCUUUCAUAACUCACAGUUUUUUGUAUGAGUGUUUCGAUAAAUGGACUCUGCGAAGACACUUCAAAAGCCGGCAACUUUUGAAGUGCUCCGCAGCACUUAACUACUAAACCCCCCAAACCCCCCCAAGCGAUGUGGGAACUUAACCCCACAGGGCCCUUUCUAUAGCUCGAGAGAUACAAUAGUUGUGUUUGGAUACACAAAUUAUUUUAAAUAUAUUUUUUUAUUUUAUAUAUAUCAUAUCACAAAAAUAUUAUAAUAAUUAUUUAAAAUAUUAAUAUUAUAAUAAUUAUUUAAAAUAAUAUUUUAAAUAAUACACUAUUCAGCUAGUACUACUUUUUUAUACGGCCCCAAGUUAAUUUAAAACCGAAUACUUUCGUUACACCCAAGACAUCAUGCAUUGGAUUUAAACAAUGACGUACUAGUAACUUUAAAGCAAUCAAGUUGGGAAAGCGGCCUUCCGAUGGUCGGUUGGUGGUCAAUUCCAGCUAUUCCCACGACCAUUGCCAAAUGCCAAUUUAGGGGGUGCUUGGUUGGAGGGUAUAGGAAUCAAGAAUUGGAUUGAACCCCAAAAUUGUUGCUUGGGUAAUGGAUAUAGGUUUUGAAAUCUUGGAAUGAUACAUGAAAAAUCAGUCACUCUCAAUACCCAAGUAGAUUGGAGGGUUUUGAUGAAUCCCACAUUUGAUUCCCAAAUCUUAAAAAAAAAAAAUUUAUUUUUGGGAUUUUUUUAAAUAUAUACUGGUUCUGUUUCUAUAUAUUAAUAUUUAUUUAUUUAUAUAUAUAAUAUUUUUUAUUUCAAUUUUAUUUUAUAAUAUGUAUAUUAAUAUAUAUUUAUAUGUAUAUUAAUAUAUAUUUAAUAUACAUAUAUUAAUAUAUAUUUAUAUGUAUAUUAAUAUAUAUUUAAUAUACAUAUAUUAAUAUAAAUAUUAUAAAAAAAUUGAAAUAUAUAUUUAUAUAUUUAUAUAAAUAUAUUUAUAAAUAUAUAUAUUUAUUUCAAUUGAUAUAAUAUAUCUAAUAUACAUAUUAAUAUUAAUAUAAUUUAUAUAUAAUAAAAUAUAAAUAUUAAUUGAAAUAUACAAAUUGAAAUAAAUAUAUUUAUAUAAAUAUAUAAACAAAUAUAUUUAUAUAAAUAUAAAUAUAAAUAAAUUUAUAAAUAUAUAUAAAUAUAUUUUAAACAAAAAUAUUUAUAUAUAAAUAUAUAUUAUUUAUUUCAAUUGAUAUAAUAUACAUAAUAUACAUAAUUGAAAUAUACAUAUUAAUAUAUAUUAAUAUACAUAUUAUAAAACAAAUUGAAAUAAAUAUAUUUAUAUUUAUAUAAAUAAAUAUAUUUAUAUUUAUAAAUAUUUAUAAAUAUAUUUUAAACAGAUAAUUAAUAUUUAUAUAUGAAUAUAUAUAUGGUGGAUGAGUAUGUGGGAUAAACAUUUGAACGAGGAAGAAGAAAGAUAUGAAAAGAAAAAAGAAAUUAAAGGUACAAAAUUGAUUAUUAAAUUUGAUACCCAUUCCUUACCAAUAUUUACCAAGCACCCCCAUUUGUAAUCAUACCUUUGUCCAAAACCCAUACAAAGUUUUUUUGUAUGAUUCCAAUUCCAAUUCCAAUUCCUAAGCUUGAACCAAGCGCCCCCUUACUGAAUAUCGAGUUAAAGACACCCAAUUAUCAUAUGCAAUUGCCGGACCCGUUGCUACCAGGAAUAUUUUAGACCGACAAUGUACACUUGAUUUGCUCUUUCUUGUGUUAAAAGAGGGGGCAAAAAACCUUUAAGAUUCAGUUUAGAGCAAGGUUUUUCUUAUACUUUCAACAUAAUUUGCUUUUUAUUUUAUUUUUAUUUUUUAGGGCUAAACAUUUCAAGCAACAGAAAGCAGUCCCCAAAAAUGAGCCAAAAAAGGUUUGCAAAAAGCUAUAGGGUGGUUGUUUGGAGUACCACAAAUAAUUUGGGGGAAUAUGCCACAUUGCAAAUAUGAGUGCGCACAUAAGGAUGACACACACAAACAGAAAUGGCCCAAGGAUGAUACACACAAACCAAGAAAUGGUCCAAAGGUCAAAACCAGAGAGGUGGUGUUGCAAGUUGUGACCUAGAAUGUCGCAAUGGAUCGGUGGAGGGCCGGGAGGUAGGGCUACUGUCGAGUCGAGUCGAGCUCGAAUAGUGCAGGUAAAAUAACUAAGUUCGGGCUCGAGCUCGACAUCAAUUUAUGGUACUCGAGCUCGAAUCCGAGCUCGAGUUUAAUUAAAUGUAAUAAAUUCAAAUUAAACUCAAUCGAGCUUAUUCGAGCUCAAUCAAGCCUAAUCAAAUUCAAGUAAUAAAAAUUAAUAUUUUAUAUAUAAUUUUAAAUAAAGGAUAUUAUUGAUAUUUCACAAUAAUAAAAAUAAAAAUAUAUAUUAUAAAAAGCUCGAUAGAGCUCGUCGAGCUCUCGAGUAUCAUAUAUCUAAAAUCGAGCUCGAUUCGAUAGGUCUAACGAGCAGCUCGAGCUCGAGAUUGAAAUUGGUCAACCGAGCUCGAUCUCGAGCUGCUGACCAAGUAGCUCACGAGCUCGAGCCGAGCUACUUGGUUCAGCUCCACCCCUAACUGGAGGUGAUGAUGAGGGGAGCACCUGCCUAGAUCUAAGAAUUUUAGGAGACGAUUUCUGAUUUAUUAAAGCCUUGUAAAUAGUUUAAAUGGAUACAAAUUCAACAACUUUGAAAGAGUGCUGUUCGUCACUUCCUCAGCUCUUAUGAGGGUCAAUUUCUUCACAUAGUGGCAAUGUAAAAGUUCAUGUGAAGUGCAGCCAGAUUAACUUAAUCACCAGAGGAAGGAGUAAAAGAACUAGGACCGUUAAUAGGAUUGGCCAGCUCAAACUCAAUCCACAAAAAGUUCACUGAAACUUUAUUUGGGUUGGAUAGAAAUUUAAAUAUUAAAUUCAAAUUAAAUGUGAGUCGAGAUUGAACCAUACUGACUCAAAACCGAUAAAAACCUGACCCAUAUAUGAGUAUAAUUAUAUAUGUAAAAAAUAUAUAAUAAUAUCUAUAAUUUAUAAUUAUGUAUACUAUAUAUAAAGGGAGAGGAGGGGGUUUGGCUAAACAAAAAUCUGUCACUUUAUAUACUUCCUAAACUAUGAGGGAACUUUUAGUAUAAGUUUAUCCUUGAUAACAAUCCACUACUAAUAUGAUUUUUUUACCAAGUAUUAAUAUGUAUUUCUUCAUAUUCUAUUUUUCAACUUAUUAAGUAAAUCUUAAUUUUAAUUAGCAACUACCAAUUAUGGUUAUGAAUAACAAUCAAAUACCUACUUUUUAUACCUUUUAUUUUGAUGAAUUUUUUACAUAUGUAUUUUCAAAAAAUAAAACCAAUUUUCUUGAAAAUAAUUUCAAUAAAUAUACUCAAAGUAUUUUACAAAUAUUUUUUCUAUUAGUUACACAUACAUUAGUGUGUGCCUUGAAUACUAAUACAUAUUACAACAUAAAAAGUUAAUAAUUUAUAUGUAAAUUUGUAUUAAUUCAUAAUUAUAAAAUAUAUAUUAUAUAUAAUUAUGUAUUUAAUUAUGAGUUUUGGCCAAUCCCCAUUUGAGUUCGACACUCAUAAUAGUGUGAGAUGAAGUUGAAUCUUUUUCAUAUAAGUCCAAAGCUCGAAAGUCUGAAACCCAAAAAUCUAUAUAAUUUAUGAGUCGAGUUUAGACACGUUAAAAGCUGAUUAAAAAAGUUCGAUUGACACCCCUAAAAACAACAAAAAAGUAAUAAACAGAAGCCCCGUACAGAUUACAUUAUCAAGACACGGAAGAGAAAUUACAAUCGACAAUCUUUUAGCUUUUGUAAUUGGGCCCUUAUUACCAACGUUCUAUCUCAAUAAGAUGACGUGAUAAGCUCCUCGUCUGCUACCAGUCUCAUGGAUCAGCAAUAGAACAUAUACGUACUGUCCGCCAAAUGGGAAGAAAAGACUUCAAACAUGGAUGAAGUGCUACAUAGACAAUCUUGAAAAGCUCCCUAAAAAAUUUUAAUUGCUGACUGGAGCCUGCUUGGACUGUGAUUCUAAUGUUACAACAAUUAUUGUACAGCUAGAGUUUGACACCUUCUUCAGCAACCACUCCAUGCGUUUUCUGGCAAAGCCAAACUCAAUGGCAUCUCUGAGGAACCCCUUAAAGCUCAUCCUGCGAGCAGCAAAGAGGAGAACGGUUCAAGUCACUAAAAACAUGCAGUCAGGGAGAUUAAGUUUUGACUGAGAUUGCUCAAAUGUUGAGUUAAUUAAGUUUUGACGAUGGUAAUGUUAGACAUAGCAAUUCAAUGAGCAACAAAAGAUGGAUGGCUAUUGAAGAAAUAAAACCAAACACAAGCUGAUAAAGGCUGUAGCUCAUGUCAGAUGAAUGAAAGCAAGCCUGGCAGUGCAAUAUGAGCUUUAUGUAAUUCACAUCUAGCGCAAUCAAAUUUAGUCAGCAAAGUGGUGGCAACGAUCUUUUCAAUCUGAAACUUAAUAAAGAGCCAGAAAUCUUGGUAAUUUGAUUGCAUUAGCUCACUAGCUGAAGAAUUUGGUUUGGUCUCUAGUGUUAUUGCUAUUUAAAGUUGAUUACGAGUAACUAUUGAAAGAUCUGUUGAUUAUAAUUAACUACCUGGAGUAUUUGUUUUCGAAGCUUGGAAAAGUCAAUAGCUAUUUUAAGAGCACGUAUUGGUAGCUUAUCAAAAUCAAGUUCGUAAAGCCUGAAUAUGCUAAAUACAAAAAUCAGAGCAAAGGACAACACCUGAAAAGAGAUUUAACUACCAUAUCCUAGAUCCUAUCUUUCUUUAUUAUAUAUAAAGUUAUCCUCAGCCUGAGAACGAGGCCUAAGCCAUGUUGUUCAUGUAUUAAAAUUUUCUUUAAAGAAGAGUAGAGAGAGUUAACACAGAUCAUAUUAAAAGCUGCUGCAAUCACCUUUUUUUUUGUGGGGGGGGGGGGGGGGGGGUUGCAAAAUUUUCAGUCAAGAGAGUAUUUUAGAAUUUUAGAGUGAGAGAGGGGGAGAGAGGAUAUUGGAAGCUUACAUGGUAGUCGUAAUCGAAGUAUUCAUCGGGAUCAUGCUGCAAAGAUACAUACCAGAAGUUAAAAUUUAUAAAUAUUACAAGCUUUAGAACAAAUCCUACAGUAAUAAAGCACAAUUUAAAGCAAAACAAGAGAUUUGCAACAAAUAAGUGAUCUUCACAAGCUAUAUUACCAAAUGACUUCCUCCACCCCCUUUCUCAACAUCAACCAAGAAAAAAGAAAAAGAACAUAAUGAAACAACAAAGAAGAAAACUAGAUUUUAAAAACUGUAUAAGAGAUUCAAACAAAAUAAACUAUCCAUUCAAGACUGAACCAUUAUGGUGACAUGAAAUGUAAGAUGAGCUUCCAAAUUUUUCUAAGAUGGGAGUCAAUAUUCUCAGAAAGGACCCAAGACAACAGGCUAAUAGAUGCUGCGAAUCAAGCUAAUCAAGCUCUAGAUUGAGGGCCAUUUCAUUUGUGAUUCCGUCUUCGUACACACUAGCUAAAUGCCUUGCAGAUAUCCAUACUGUUCCUUUCUGUAGAUGUUGGCAUGAACAUCUUGUAACUAUUUAGCACCAUUUAUGAGGCCACCUUCUUCAUAGAUUUGCUAAUUCGACCUAUUACCAGCCAUUAUUGUGUAAAAUUUGUAAAAGUUACCCAUGUUUGAUAAUCCAUGAACCCAGAAGGAAACCCAUUUUGUUGAGAUAAAGGGAGAAGCUCUCACAGCAUGUCUCCCCAUUUUUUUUUUAAAUAGUCUUCAGGCCUGUUAAUUUUGCUGGGUGAAUAUAUGCUAUCCCAAUUGAUUACUUAGCAGCAUCUCAAUGAAUUAUAAACGUUAGAAUGCUUAAACACAUGCUAUUAACUGUAUGUUACUCUUUCGACCAAAAAAAAAAACUGUGUUACUCAAGUUGCUGCACACUAAUUAACAAUUCCUACAUGUCCAUAUUCUCUUUCUCUUGAAGCCUUGACAUCCUUAUCAAUUGAGGCUAUUCACAUCCAGGACUACCUAAUACACACACACUACUAGAUUUGCAGCCCAAUAUUAAUGGCACUGAGGCAUAUUCUAAUACCAACUAUAGUAAUACACUACUAGAUUUGCAGCCCAAUAUUAAUGGCACUGAGGCAUAUUCUAAUACCAACUAUAGUAAUCCAGGUGUCGCACCAAACAGAAAUUACUUACUGGACGCUAAGUACUAACACAAAAUACUUAAAGACUAUUAAUUUUCCUAGUUACUAUGCACGAAUCAACAGUUCCUACGUAUUCAAUAUGAAAUCUAACGAGCCAGGAUUGAAGGUAGGCACACCCUCAAAGAAGACAGAAAUUUUAGAGCCCUAGUAAACCCAAGAUGUAUUGAAACUUUCAAGGUACUUGUGUUAAAGAUGGGCAUCAGAAGUUUCUCUUUUAUAGUUGCCUGGCACUCUCAUAAGUUAAGACGAACCCACCAAGCUAUAACAGCUGAUUUAUAUUCCAUUAGGCAGAUUGUAACAGCAUAAAAUUAAUGGGCUUCCAAACUCUGAGAUCAAAACUUUUAUAAAAUUUUGUAAUGCCAACAAAGCUACACUGAACUAAACUUCACCCCUACUAGGCUAGACAGAGACAUGAUUAAAAAAGACAAUCAAGAAAACAAUGAUUGGAAAGACGACAAGUAAAUGGAUGUCCAAAUUUCAUCAGUGCUAUUCCUGCCCUCAAAUUGAACCUCCUAGUAAAGCAUAAUGUGUUAGGAAAGACAUGCAAAACUUAUAGUAUAGACUCAGGGAAAAUGUUAACUGAACUGGGGAAGAUGCUGGUCAUAUGCGUUGGAGGGUAAAUUAGAAGGUUGAAUAUGACCUUUUACAUACUGUUUCUGAGUUUUAAAGCAUUUCAUUGUUGGACAGUCGUCACUGUAGGAAUGAAUUAAAUUAAUUUAUUGGGCAACCAAUUGAACAGAGGAGAGAUUUUCCAUUGAUAUUGCUUGUGUCUUCACUAAUAAUGCUCCUAGCCAGCUGUCAGUCAUAUGCCAGUACAUGAAGACACGAACUUCUCUCUCUCUCUGACUCUCUCUAGAUUGCAAGCUAUAGCACUUUGAAAGUAAAGAUACAGGACACAUCGUUUGCAGCAGAAAACAAGUUAAUUUCUGAUGUGAAGUAAUUAUAUGAAGUGACAUAAAACCAAAAGCAAAUAGGUAAUUACCCUUCUGUGGUCCCUCCUGCCUCUGCUUUUCUUCUUUCCACCAUCUUUGUCUGCUCUUUUAGCGUCCUACAGAUAUAAUAUACAAGGCACUAAUAUUAUCCUGAGACAAGGAAAAUCAGCAUAUUCACCCAUAAGGUGCUUGAAUGGUUAGGAUUUACCUCCUCUUCUCGCGCUAUUCGGAUUUUCUCAGCCUCCUCAAAUGCCUCCUUCUCAGCCUAAUUGCAGAGAAUUAGAUGAUGUGGAAUACACGUUUCAACUAAAUCUAUAGAUUGUAGCAAGAAUACUACUCACCACUCGAUUUUUUCCCCAUAUUUCUUCCACAACUUCUUUUGCAUAUUGAGGAUCAUCACAGAUUAAAAUAUUGUCAUACACUGAGCCCGCUUUGACCUACAGAUUUUUUUAAAAAUGUUAAGAGAGUCAAAUCUCUAUAAAAUUUGUUAUAAAAUAUAACUCAAAAACUCAAAGAUGAAAUAAAAAUGGCAUAUUUCGUGAAACACAAAUACUUGGAAGGAACCUAAAAUCUUCUCUGAAGUCCCAACAUAAGAAAUGUCUAAUGAUGUAGUAAAAUAGAUGAAGAAGAAAGGCUGUCAAUAAAUUAGCCAUGUAACAGUGCUGAUACUCUUAAAAGAGUAUUACCCAAGAAGAUGCAGUAAGAGAUCUAAACAGGAAUAAGCCUGAGGAUGUGAACAUUAAAAAGAACAAAAAGAAAGAAGGUGGCAAAGCAAGAAAAUUAUGCAUUUGGAAGAUUGCAGCUGAGAUCCAGGAAACACAGUCAAGAGAUACUGAAAAUUUGAACAGAAAACAAACACCUUUACAAUUAUGUAUCCACAAUUUAGAAAUUUAUCUGUCUGGAGGUUGUUUUUGAAAAGCUCUGCUCUCAAAAAAACUUUUACCACAUUUUCCACCCCUGUUUUAUCUCACAUACACUCUUUCCAAUAAAGUGACUACAGUAACAAUUUCCCAAAAGCACCCACAAAAAACCAUCAACCUUAGUUAACGUAAAGAGAGGAAAAGAAAUCUGAAAAUAAAAAGAGGAUGGGAAACAUAUGUCUGACCUGCCAAACUUCGAUGCCUACAUAUUUAAUUGGUUUCCAAACAUAGAGGUCAGGAUCGUCUUCAAACUCUGCAAAAUAGAAGGAAAGGGAGUAACAGGAAUAUGAGUAUGAUUUUUAAAUGCAAACAUAUAUCAGAAAAUGCCAUUGGCAAAGGAGUGAAUAAGGCACAGGACAGGUAGAAGCCUUAUAUCCUGCCUUCCGCUCAAACAAAGCAACAACGGAAAUGAAGGAAACAAAAGAAAGCCAAAAGGAUAAGCAGAAUUGGAAGAAGAAGACAAUUUUUGAAGAUAUGUUAAAAUUUUGUUAAAUAUUUGAAUGCAAAUGGCAUUGACCCAUUAAUAGUGUAAUCUAACAACAAGAAGAAUGAAAACCAAAAAGAGCCUGUUGUCAAACAUAGUCAAUUGAUAUGCAGUAGAAGAUUCUAGAUCAACAGAUGGUAUAUCUAAGGAGCUAUGACUGCACUUCAGCUUGCUCAUCAGUAUUUAACAAACAGACAACAACAUUCAUAGCCAAAUGUUGGUUCAUAUCGUAUUCUUCUGUUCCCUUCUCAGUUGUUAAUCUUUUUUGGGGUUACAGAGUAUCAGCAUAAGUAUCCUAAGAUAAACUAAAAUAAACACACCCUUCAGAACCUCAUAAGUUAUGUGGAUCCUGCAUUCUACAUCGCUCCUUUUUUUUCCUUCCUUCUCUAACUGCAGACUUGCAAAGAACAGUAGAAAUGGCAAGAAGACGAUUUAUUUCAGUCAUCCUUUUGACUCCUAAAUAUAAUAGCACAAGGACCACAGUGAGAAUCCUGAUUUAUAGCAGUGAUGGUUGUUUCCAGUGCAAAUUUACAACUUGGAAUCCAAUAAAAUAACUUAGGAUGCCAAAUGUUCUCAAAGGUUAGGCGUCAUCUUAUAUCAAGUAAAUGCUCUCAAAUAUUCGAUUAAAUACUUAUGCUAACUAUAGAGAAAAUUCAUUAGUCUGUUUUAAAUGAGUUGAUAGGCAAAUUUGGGAAUAUCGGAUAUUAAUCAAUGAGAGGCAACACAGAAGAACUUGAAUCCUUGGAACUUGAAGAAGAAACAAAAAGGUCAAGAUAGGACUGCACCAAUCAAGAAAAUGGCCAAUAUCUUUAAUAUUCCAUCAUGAAACCUAAAUGGCUACCUCUUGAUAUGAUGAUCAUACAACAGCCACACUAGAGAAGCUACAGCACUUAUAAAUACGAACUGUAUAAGGUCUGCAAGUUACUAAUACACCAACUCUCGUCCCCACACAACCUUCCCCCCCCCCCCCCCCCCCCAAAAAAAAGGAGAUAUACAGAUAACUGCUACUUUAUUCCAUCCAACAGGUGAAAAGAAAAAAGAUAGAGGAAAGGGGAGAGCAACACGUUUGAAAUGCUCCCUAGCAGACGAGCAUAACAUAGUGUUACUUUACAGUUCACUACUUUGACAGCGUUUUGUAGACAGCUACUUUCAAGUGUCAAGUGACAGUUCCACAUUGACAUCCUCAAGACUUUCAAGCUAAUUAAUGAAGAUCUCGGGCCUUUCACACAUUGCCAAUUGGUUUUGAGCUAGAUCACCAGAUUCUUAGUCAUGGUAAUUCUUAGUCAUGGUAUUAGAGUCGGGUCUGGGGUUUUAAUUCAUAAUCCCCCAUACACAGUUUCAAAUGUAAUAAAGUCCUUACACUAUCAUGAGCUCUCAUCAUGCACGUAAGUCACAUGUGAGGGGGGUUGCAAAGGGACAAAGUCCCACCUUGAUUUCAAAAAACUUUCGAGCGAAUUUACACAGAUCUUUCCACCCGACUGCCAUUUUUUAUAUUUAGCUGGAUGCUUAGGUUCUUUAUCAUUAAUGAUUAAAAUAAAGUAUCCCGUAAAUGCCUCUAUAUAACUUCUUAUGACUAGGAAGCUUCAAAUUAAAUGACUAGUAGAAGUGAGUGAUUGACUCAUUCCUUUUUGAGGAAACCUACCUGGAUUGUCAAUCCAUGGAAUCUUCCACUUCCCCUUGUAAUUGGGAUUCUUGAUUCUCUGCAACCCAAAAGCUUUAAAAGUCAACCACCACACAAAACUAAUAACUUUUACGCUUCAAUUGGUGUAGUGGUAUAUUAGCACCUUGGGUUUCCAUGGACCUUUGUACGCUGGAUUUGGUAUCUUCUUGGCUCUCCAUAUCCCAUCCUCUUCGUCAUCCCAGUCAGCAGGCUAUCGACCAAAAGAAAAUGUUUUAUGACAUUAAAAUACUAUAUUAAUUGUUGAUAAAUCAACAGCUUGUUAAAGAACACUUGUAUAGUAUGGUUCUUUGGAAAAAUUAGUCAUGCUGGAAAGGUAUAUGUGAAUUCUUUUAUGAUAACCCAAAGCUUGUUCAAAUUAACUUAGACAGUUGUCGUUCUUUGGAAAAUUCACAAGACGGUGGAAAGGUUUAUAAGAGUUCUUUUCAGACGGUUUACAUAUUUAAUUUUGCCCCGUGUUUAUGGUAAACUGCCUUAUUAUAAAAUUUUUUCAGGAAAGAGAUAAAAAUCCACUGUUGUAGAGAAACUUAAAUAAGAUUGGACCAAAGGGGCUCCAACAUUAUCCAUCUUAUGUCUUAUAUAUGGUAAAUCUAUUGAAAUUUAUUCUUGAAUAAAUUAAAAAUGCAUUUUUUCCUUCAAACACUGAAUCCUGCCUGUUCUCAAGUUUCAUGGGUCCAAAAGAGAAACAAUUCAGCUGCAUGAUACAUCAGGAAAAAACAAAAAAGAAUGGUUUGGCAAUGGGGGUAUGGCGGUGCUCCAUGCCAGGGCAACAGAGCCUACAAAAUCACAAAACUUUCUUCUUUAUUUUUUCCCUCGUACCAUUGUGAGAAAAAUUUAGUGGCUAUCAUUUCAAGUUUUACCUUAUAUUUUAAGCUGACUUACUUAGACUUUAAUCUAUUCCAAAUCUUAUUCAACAAAUUACUUCUAGCAUUCCUACUCUUAUGUGCCUGAGUUUUAAGUUUUUACUUUUAAAUUAAUAUAAAUUCAAUGCAUUGCAGAGCCAGAAAACAUGGGUAAGCGGAAGUUAUUUGUUACUUACAAUAGCCAUUGGGUAAUUACUUAGGGGCAUUAAUUUUUUUAGGGUACUUCAAGGCAUUAAUGGAGAACUUAAAAGUGUUACAUUAAGAAGGCUCACACUUUUAUAGAAGUAGUAAAUUGGUAAUGUAACCAUCAUUCUGCCAGUCAUACAUCCACAAAUAAGCAGAUACUGAACCAAUACACAUGGUAAAAUCUUCAAAAGGGUAACAUAGAGGGUCAGAGGAUCUGAGAAGUUUCAAGGCGUUCAAUAGAAACGGUGUGAUGGAAAAGUAUUAUUGACUUGUCUUUUCCUUUGUUAUAGUUUUUCAGUUUCACAUUUUUACAUUCUACUAGGUGGUGUUGUGCAGCCAUCCUCAAUGUGUAAUAUCUGAUUAAGUAGAUGCAAGCAAGAAAUGCAGUAAAAUGAAUGGUCUAAUAACCUUUUUAGCCUUUGGAUCUGGUAUCUCUUUUGGAAUCGAGUCAUAUCCCUGCAUAACCAGGACACAUUCAUGAAUGUAGAAAUCCUGAAAGAUAACACCAUUGUUCAUAUAGAGCAAAGAGCUGAUGAUAUGAUACCUCUGGUUUAACAUCAUUGGGGUCAUUAAUGUAUUCUCUAUCAUCCCAGUCUGCUGGCUGGAAAGACAAGUAUGUAUAUUAGUCUUUGAGAGAAGAAGUAUAUCAAAAGGGGAUAGACAUAUAUUUGAUAAUAAACAUGCACGAGGAUUGCUUUGAGUAUACAUGGAUUUGUCCUCAUAUUCAAAAAUGUUUAUGGUUCAGUACAUGACUUGAUUCACAUCUAGAAAAGCAGCUAUUGUUCUAUGUAUUCAGUAAUUGGUUACAACAUUAUCAGACCAAUAAAGAUAAUUGAAAACAUCUUUCCCUAGAAAACCUUCCAAAUGCUCAUAAUAUAUGAUCAGAGAGCAGUACCUUUUUUGCAUGCACAUCUUUUAUUUUUGGUGGAGGGAGGAUAUCCCAGUCUGAAUACAGGCUUCCAGAUUCUCUUUCUCGAUUAUCUAUCAAGACACUAUAUGUUGCAUCAGGUCUUAAAAUGAAAGUGUAGAAGUGAGUUAAUUUGUCGGUUUCGCACUCUAUCUCUUUUUUAAUUGGAUAAUUCUGGCCCUGAUACGAUACUAUAACGUGGAGUUUUUUUGUCUGCGUGCCACAUAUAUCUGGUCCAAACAUAAAACUGCAUCAAAACAGCCAAACGGGUCAUGCUAACUUCCAUAAAAAAUGGUAUAGAAUGAGUCAAAAAUAAAUGAAACAAUAAAUAAACUAAAAAAAGGAAAAAUUAUCGUCUAAUUGUCUGUAGCAAAGGUUUCAUUGGAAAAUUUCAAUUCCAGUACUAAUGAAGUUCACUGGCAAGCUAUCAAUUCAAUGACUUUCAGGAUCAGUACCUUUGUUAGCAAUUAAACUCAUGAAUGAAAAUGACUAAUUUUAACUGAUUACAUAAUUACAUUUAUCUAUUUGGGUUUGCACAACAUUCCAUUACGUGAAACACACAUGGAUUUUUUUUUCACACAUGGAUUUAAGAAUAAAUACAGCAGCAAUUUGUGUUCACCAUUCAGUUUCCUAAGAAUCUAGUAAAUCAUAUUAGUAUAAAGCAGUGACACAAUUGUCUUAUCAAGUGGAAAACUAGGAAUAAGAGUUAUAACAGCUAUAAGAAUUUUAGUGCUUAUAAAGAGUUGCAGAAUACUAUUUCUGCUAUUCUGAAAGAAGGAUAACAAUAUACUAUUUCUUUCCAAGUUACAACUUGGGCAUAGCUCAAAAAGUUUCCAUAUCAUUGGACUCCUAAAUUGGCUCUUCCAUCACUGGUUAGGAUCAUUCAAUCAUUGUGGGAAAUCUAGAUAACCCAUUCAAUCAUUGUGGGAAAGCUAGAUAACCCAUUGUUCACUCAUCAUGCCAGCAAAUUUCUCUUCUUUCUCAUUUCCUUUUUCCCCUUGAUAUUAAAGGAGUAGUGUGAUCAGUCAAUCAUGUCACUCUAGAUCCUUAUACUAAUCUCCAAAGUGGAAGCUAAAGGUAAAGGUAUAUGUUAUUUGCUUCAGAAAAUUUUCCUUUCUUCUGUUUCUGAAAAAUUUCUCACCAAAUACCAUGUCUGUUUCUUUCUUUCCCUCAAAGGAAAUGUUUAAACAUUUCAGUUUUUCUUUAAACCAGAAGCCAAACAGAUGAUAAACUAAACUAUCAAAGGACCUUAUAUAUUUCUACAGUUUUGAGAUACACAAAAGGUUGCACUAACAGGUAAUAGACCUGUAAGGAGUAUCGCCACCAAAUUUCUUUUGGUUCACAUAGCCAGAGAGAAGCUUAAUGUAUCCUCCACCACAUUCGAUGUCUUGUUCAAUCUUUAUGGAAUAUUGAACCACUAGAGUUCUGUUCUUGUUGCUAAACUCAGGUAUCUUCGCAGAUAUAGCAUAAUGCCUGGCGUCAUUAUAUGUUUGCAGGCCUGCAUAUGAUACAUAACAGAUUAAUAGCUAGCAGAGUGUCAGUAAACCACCAAGAUAACACGUUGAAUUGGCUAUUAAUGUCCUCCUCAAGGAAUGGUAGGACAAUUACACAAGGAAAUAAAACAAGCAUCUCUGUGAUUCCAUCUGCUGUAAUUAAAUUUCACAUUUUGGGUAGCUAUAAAAAUUCUGACUUGUAUCAUCUGGCUGCUUAGAACGGGAAAUCAAUCAGACAGUUUGAUCUAUAUCAGAUGCUAUUGAGGUCCUUUAAAAUUGAUCCUUUCAAGUGUUAAGUUUCAAAAAUUGAAAAAUUUUCAUUCAAGGAUUGCCAACCAUAUUUCAUCCAUAUUUAACACUCUUAUCAGGAAAUUUCAUCCAUAUUCAACACUCUAUCAGGAAAUUUCAUCCAUAGUCUUACUUCUGCUGAUCAAACUAAUCAUCCAUCAGGCUGCAAGAACUGAUAUAUCUAUUCAUACAAGAAAACAGAAAAUAGAGGGAAAGCUUCACCUUUAUCAUCAGGAUCAGCAGCCCAUUUACCAGCUGUGUGCUUAAAAGUUCCUGCUUUUCCUUCACUCCUCUUCCAAUCUGAUAAAACCCACCUAUCUCUCCACCCAUCUUUGUCAUUUUAUUGUUCAAAAAAAAAUUUGCAAUAGAAUUUUGUUAGCCCAGAAGCACCCAAAAGAAAAGAGUUAGAUUGCGGAAUAGAAAGAAUAAUUGGCUGGAAAAUUGUAAAAUCUGUACCUUCAAAGCGCUCCUCGAAGAUUAUUUCUGAAGAAGUGAAGCAGAAAAUUAGGAGGAAUAUAAGAAGUCUGAGAAGAAGAAGAAGAAAAUUUUCCAUGGUUGGUUAUUCAGCUGAAGCUGAAGAAGAAGAAGAAGAAGAGGAGGAGUAAAAUAAUAUGAGAGAGGGAAAUUACAAAUUAGAGUGUAUUUAAGAAGUGAUUUCUUAUGAAAAUGUCCAAAAUGUGUUCCAAAACCACAGAAAUGCCAUUUAGCUCCGGCCAAUUUUCUUUAGUUUCUUUAGUUUUUAUUUAAUCAGUUUAUGGUUUUAUAUGAGCUUUGGAAUUAAGAGUUCUUUUCCUGUUUUGGGUGUUGUUAAGGGCAAUUGGCAAAGUUUUAUGAGGCAUUUAAAAUAAAAUGCACAAAAUAUUAGUUUGUAAAUUUUUAUAUGCAUUCUAUUAACUCAAAAUUAUUUUUCUCUUUUUGUUAAAAAUUAUUAAUAAGAACUUUUUUCCUUCAUAAAUUUAUUAAUGAAAAUUAAUUAUGACAUCGUAGAAAGAAGAAGAAAUUAUCCAAAGAUGGAAAAGUUCAAAUGCAUUAUACAGUGGACCACUACUUUUUUUUCUUUUUUUUUCUAUACAAGGUUUUUUUUUCUUAAAUUCUAUGCAACUCUACAAUGGAUGUAGGAGAGGAAAGUAAGGGUUAAAAGACGUGAAACCAUUAUUUCAAUUAUUUGUUAACAAUAAAAAUAUAUAUAAGCUUUUGUAAAGUAAAUAAUUUUUCUUUCUAAUAUCAAGUCUUCCAAAAAAAAAAUCUUCUCAAACAAAUGCAUCAAUUCUAUUUGUGUGUUCUUUUGUGAGGUAGUUUUUAGUUGGCAAUCAAGAGAAAUAACAUCAUCUAUAUCUAUUUUGGACUUUUUUUUAUAAAUUCGUUGAAAUUUUAAAAUUUUUUUAUGUGAUAUAAGCAACCCUACUUUGUAAUCAACUAACUAAAAAAAAAUAAAAAAUUUUCAAAAGCUGUUCAUAUCACUAUAAAUCAAGCAAAUCUUGCUAUUCAAAUCACAAAUAAGAAGUAUGAACUUCUUUGAGUAUUAGAUUUUGAAUUCUAUGAACCAUACAACAGGCAACCAAGAAAAAAAAAAAAGAAAACAAAAAUCUACUUCAUGAAUUGAGAGUCUUUAUGUAAUUAUUCUAGCAAGUAGUGGCAAUUGUGUUGAUUCUCUGGCUUCAAAGAAGGUGCUCCAAGUCAAGUCCACCGUUGACUGCAUUUACUUUGAAUUUUCGUUUAUUGUUUAAUUGAAAGUGACUUGCAUCAAAUUGCUACGAAAACGCAGGACUUGACUCGAUUCUGUCCCGUCCUUUUUCUUCCGUUAACCAAUCUAAUUAAUAUUGCCCCCAAGACCCGUUUGGAAGAAAAAGUGGGCAUUGGCCUCAAGCACUUUGAAACUGGAUACAAUCUAGACUUUUUUUUUUUAAUUUUCUAAUAGGGCAAAUGUUCUAAAAUCUUUAAGUUUUAAUAUUUCAACUUUAGUCACUAAUUCAAAGUCUCCUCAACAGUCAUAAUUUAGUUUGUUAUUUUUAAAAAAGAAAAAACUAGAGAUUCUUCCAUUUUAUGUGGUGUUAUAGACUCAUAAUUAAGUAGUGUAAUUUUAUGCAGUGUUGAAGUGAUGGCCUAAGGGGUUUAACAUUAUAGGAGUGCUAAAAUUUUUGGCCAAGGUAAAUAAAGGAAAGAAAAACAAACUGAAGGAGAUAAAUUGCAUUUUGUUGACACUAUGGAGAAAAAGAAAUUGACAGGAUGAAUUUUAGAUGUACCUUAUGAUUCACGAGACCAGUAUGAUCUAUCGCAUAUAUAUGUACUUUCUUAGUCGUCCGAUAUUAUGCAAUGUUACUCCUUUAUGUUAUACAUUAGCCCGUAGUAGAAAACGUUUUCCCUAGUGAGAAAGUGUCACGCAGACAUGCUUAUUGUUGGAUUCUUGUUUACUUUUGUUUCCAGCAGUUCAAUUUAUUCAGGUCAGCAAACCCGGAGAUCCCAAAAAAGAGAAAAAAGGGCAUGCAGCAAAACUUUACGAUAUUAGUAUGUUCUAUAUGAGUGACGUGUGACUGUACUGGAGUUCCUCAUCGCAAAAUAUAAAAGGUUUUCACGUACACAAAAGGCUUUCACGUAUCCUGUUCCGGGUAUGACUGUCAAUAGGGACAGCUCAGUCCGAGCUCGACUCGAUUCAAAGUUCAUCCAUUUAACCUUUCAUUGGGUUAAACUGAGAUUGAGUUUAAAUAUUAUGUUCAAAUUAAACGUAAGUCAAGUUUAUGAUUUAUUGGGCUCAAAUUCAAAAUAGAUUCGGCCCAUUAAUGUGUACCUAUAUAUAUCAUUAUAUAUAUGUAAUACAUUAAUACUUUGGUAUAUAUUAAUAAUAUCCAAUAAAUAUAUAAUUACUAAAUACUAAUACUUAUAUGUCAAAAUAUAUCAAUAUAUAUCAGAAAUAUUAAAUAAGCAGUAUUUACUCUACCAGUUCUUUCUCAACUCAAGAGUUAAAAUUAACCAUUCUGUUGCUUUCUUGAGGGCUAAAAUUGGUAGGUCAUAGUUGAAACUCUAAUUUUCUUUUUGGUUUAGAAAACUAGCAUUCUGACUCGUGCUAUGCACAGGUUUAUAUUUCAAUUCAAAACAAUACUUAUAUACUAUAGUAUAAGAUAAAGUAUAUAAAAAAGACAAAAAAAUUUAAAGAAGUGUAUGCUUAACAUGUUAAAAAAAGUUUAUUUCAUAAGUACAAAAUGGACAUUCUUAAUUUUAAUAUUUUAAAUAAGUUGAAACCAAAUUUUGUUAACCUAUUAUUUGUCAAUAUAUGAUAACAAUUUUAAUAAAAUAAUUUAAUUUAUAACGAUUUAUAUGAUAGAGCAAUUGUAAACUUAUUUAUCAAUAUAUCAUGUUAUACCCAUAUAUCAAAAUUUUUAACAUUAAAAAUAUAAAGUAUAACUAAUUCAUUUUCCUCAAUUUUAGAAAAUUUUUCUCACAUUUUGUAAUCCUAAAAUUGUUGAGUGCUUAUAGAAUAAUGUUCUUCAUAAAUUUUAAUAUAUAUUUAAAAUAAUCUUUGUAAGAUGUGUUUCAAAAUUUUCAAAUUUAUUAAUAAAUAUCACAUUUUCUAUCAUCUCUUACCUGCUAAUUAGCUAUCCACUGCCUUCUAUGACUUUUAGACCGCUUAACACGGUGUCAUCUUUCCUGUCAUAUCCCUACAAUUCCAUUCUUUCUUCUCUCCUCUCUUCGCCCAAUCUUGUAGUAAUUUACCUUUAUUUUUUGACUUUUCCUACCACUCUUUAACUUCUUGCUAUUCUCUUUCUUUUGUUUAUAGCUAACCUUUAACUUUCUAUUUUUGCCACCCAAUUUUCUAUUCUUUUCCCCUCAGCAUUCUCUCAAACCCUAUAAAUUCAUAAUUUGUUUUUUAGGCUAGUAGUACUUUGUUUUCUAUUUAGUAAUUUCAUAAUUUAGGAUUCACAAAUGGUACUAAUAUUGAUAUUUUAAAUCCAUGACCAGUGAAUAUUAUUUUCUUUUUGUUUCUAUAUAAUUUGCCCUUUUAGUUAGGAUUACUGAGUUGAAGAGUAAAAUAUUGUUAUUUACUCUUUUACUUUUAGUAAGGUUGGUGGUUUUCCUCUUUAUUUACCCUCACAUUAAUAGAUUUCAAAUCAAAUUUCUAUAUAAGUGAGCCACUUCUUACUUUUUAAAUUCAAAAGACAUGAAAAAAUAUAUAAAAAUUAAAAAAAUUUAAAAUUCUAUAAAAAAAAUAAUGAGGAGUUAUAAGCAUUCUGAUUUAAUCAUCCAAAAAACCAUCUCUACAAUACAUAUAGAUAUAGAUUUUUAUAGUAUUAUGUGUUUUACCCUAUUUCCCAGGUUAGGCAAAUUGUAUUCCCUAUUCCUCGUUUUCUUUGUAAGGUUGUUAUCUUAAUUAUUUAUUUAAAUCAGAGCCCAAGAAAUGGAAUACAAACCCAAAUAGCAAUCUCACAUUUGACUCAUUCCCUCUCCAUGUUCUUUAUUCACUCUAGAAGGAAGUUGAAAGAGAUGGUAAACUGCAGUUUUUGGUGAAAUUAUGUUGUUAUCUCUUAUUAUUGGGUUGGAGGAGUUUUUAAUUGGAAUGGAAUUGUUAAUUGGAAGAGUAUUAAUUGGAGUGAGAAAGUGUGUGAGGGGAGAAGUGUUAGUUGGAGUGGUAUUCUUAUUUGAUGAAAACGUGGACAUGAUGUAUUUUACGAAAUAAAUUAAAUAUAAAAUGCUAGAAAAAUGGAAUUGAGAGUGGAAAGGUGUGUGGAAACUUGUUACUAAAAAUCUCUUCUCAGAUUUAUAUAGGUAUAGAUUUUUGUGCUGGUAUGAUAUUGGUUGCUUUUUAUGUGCCACUGUUGGUGUAAUGGCUGCUUGUAUUUUGACUAAACAUAUAUGUUAGUUUCAAUUGCAAAGCAUGCAUUCUGUACACUCUACCAACUUAGUCUCUACUUGAAUUGACCACCAUCAUUUCUUGGUCUAUUUUCUUCUUUCAUGUAGGUUCUUAUAUGACUCAUGAGACAAAUAAAUUUGUUUACUUCUAUUUGGAUUCAAAUGUUGUAUUUUUGUUCAAAAUUGGUCACUGUGAAUAAAGGGGGUGGACAAAUCUUAGUAGGAGCAAAUUGAGAAGGCUAUGGGGAAAUUCCAACUUCUGAAAAUAUAUUGACCGUUGAUCAUAUUUUAUUACUAUUUUUCAUUUAUUUUGAAUGAAUUAGAUAUAAUUAUUGUUGAAAAAUUAUUGAUUUAUAUAAUUUGUAAUUGACUGUUAUUGGUUCAUGUAUAGUUUUAAUAUUGUGGAUGUUAAAUUAGCUUUAUGAAUUAACAGUUAUAGUAACUAUAUUAAAGAAAUUAAGGAGUAAUAAGUGAUUUUGAAUUAAUCCCAAAUUAGGCUCCAAGGUUGAAUUUUUUAUGAGCCAAAUAUGAGUUUCAUAUUUAUUAACUCGAAACCUGAAAGUGUUACUAAUUAGAUGAGCCAAAUUUGGACUUGUUAAAAUCCGGCUCAGAUGGAUUGAUUGACAGGCCUAGUUCCAAGCAAUCAAAUUAUCAUGUCACAAUCUACAAUGUUGAAAAUUGAAAAUCAACACUUGUCAUUAUGAUUUUUCUUUUUUCUUUUUGGUUCGAAGGGGAGAGGGGGUGUUAGGAGAGAAGGCUAUGCCCACACAUUUCUUAACCUGCUCAAUUCUCUUGGCUUUGUUUGAUUAAAGGGAAAGUUACGUGGGAAAGUGAUACGAAUUCCCCUAAGAUGAGAGAAAUAUGUAAUCCCACAAGAAAACUCCAAUUCGUAAGGGGACAGGUUUGGACGAAAUUUGGAUGGAAUUCAAGUAGAUUGGCCACAACUUGGGUGGAUACCAAAUUGAUACGACACUUAAUUCCCUCAAGAACACGCUCAAAAUGAAUCAAGAUUUGAAAGACAAGAGUCUUCACUCUGACCUGUAGAAAGUUUCAAAGGUUCAAUGUCAUAAAAUCACUCAAUUGAAUAACUACAUUUCAUACAACGUUAUUUAAACGAGACAACUUUCUAAAUUAAAUUCUAUAGAUCGGAUCCUAAUAGCCAAACAAACUUGACUCAAUAAUUGGCCCAUUAAGUUCAAAGGCUUAAUGCAUAUUGGACUUUUUUUAUUAACUAAAUAAACAACUUACUUUAAAGCCAAGCAAUAAUUAAUUAAAACGAAUAAAAUAGAAAAAAAUGCUAAAAAUCACAAUACAAAUCUGUGGACCGGCAAACAGCUAUUCUGACGUGCCCAUAUCUUAUCUAAUACAAGUCUUUCGGUCAACAUUUUUUUUACAGGAACAGGACAUGCCCGCCGCUUACAAUGUGAAGUCUUUUGCCUCUUCCUUGGACAAACUCUUCAACUAAUUUCGCUCGUUUCGUAUUCGUUUCAUUCUCCUUACACCAUUCACAAUUUUUUUGUGUUCUGUCAUAAUUUUCUCGAACCGUUCCAAUGUUACUUGGAUGCCUUGCUCUAGGGAAUAAGGUCUUUGUCUUCAACUGAAAUAGGAUAUAAGGUCCAUUUGUCUCUCCCUUCAGCCUAAAAAGCCUAGAGUUCGGGUUUAGCAAGAAGUUCUUAUCUUUAUCCUUAUAUCGACCAAAAAAAGAGAUUUCUUUCUUUGAUUCAAACUCCGAGAAUAGAGCAUCAACAAAAAGAUCUUCGAAGGUUGGGAUCGCAACCUCAACUGAAUAAAGAUUAGGAGAAGGUUGACUAUAGAUGCAGAGCAAGCAAAAUUAGUUGAAGAGAUUGUUCAAAAAGGGCAGGUAGAAGACUUUGCACUGUAAGAUGUGGACACGUCCUGUGACUGAACACAAAAAAAUUGUGACUAGAGACUUUCCUCAUAUAAGACGUAGGUAUGUCAGAGUAGCUGUUUGCUAGUCCGCAGAUUUCCAAAUUCAUAUAAUGAUUUUUAAAAAAAUUUCUAUUUUAUCCGUUUUAAUUAAUUAUUAUUUAGCUUUAAACUAAAUUGUUUAUUUAGUUCUUUUGUUUAUUCAAUUAAAAAAGAUCAAUAUGUGUUAAGCUUUUGAGAUUGAUGGGUCAAUUAUUGAGUCAAAUUUGUUUGGUUAUUAGAACCCGAUCCUUAGAGUUUAAAUAACGUUAUAUGGAAUAUGGUUAUUCAGUUGAGUGAUUUUAUGACAUUCAAUCUUUGAGAUUCUCUACAAGCGAGAGUGAAGACUCUUGUCUUUCAAAUCUUGAUUCACUUUGAGAGUGCUGUUGAGUGGAUUGAAUGUCAUAUCAACUUUGUAUUCACCCAAAUUGCGACUUGACCUACCCAAAUCCUAUCCAAAUUUCAUUCAAACCUAUUUUCUUAUAAACUGGGGCGUUCUUGUGAGAUUGCGGAUUUCUCUCAUCCUAGGGAAACUCGUAUUCAAAAGUGAAGUGAGGAAAGAGAGAAUUACUUUGCAAUGUAUGUUUGUUUGAUAAGAAAAAUCUUGAGAAAAAAUGGAUAGUCAGAGACAUUUACUAAAAAUAUUGUGAGUAAUUGACCAAAUUUUCCCAAAAUCCCAUAGACAGUGUUUGCUUGUUGAGAAAAAUGUGACUAUCCAUUUUUUUCCUGCAUUACGUGUCCUGCAAAAUUUGGAAGACUUUGAAUGAAAAUAGUUGAUUACUCACAAAGGUUUCAAUAACUUCUAUUAACUGCCAAUAACUUUCAUAUUCUCAUUGGCAUUUUUCUUUACCACACUUUCUUUCACUUCACUUUCCCAUACAACUUUUUUUCCUUUGGUAAGUGGAAAGUCUCAAGAGUCAGAAUCUCUCAUUUACACCUCCACUCCGGUACCAUCCAACCCAUCCCCUCCCUUCCAUCCCUCCCCCUCCUCCCCCCAACCCCCACAAACAAAAAAAAGUACAAUUUUCCUUCUAUUCAAACGAAGAUUUUGUAGGACACAAAUGCAAGAAAGUAACAGGAACUUUUGGAGUUGGCCUAGUACCUAGAAGACAGCUCUUAGAGUUCUUCCUACUGCUUGAUUUAAAGUUCAAAUCCCGAGUCUGGCAAUUAAGGGUAGGAAGGGGUGGAGGUUUUAAACAAAAACAAAAAACAAAAAACAAAAAAAGGAGGAAAAGUGCAGGGAAAUUUGCUGACUUUCCUGUCAAACAAACACAUAGAAAGGGGGGGGAAAAACAACUUUCUCACACUUUCUCACACAUUUCAUUGCAAACGAACACUACCUUAGGUGAACCACACUUGCGCAUGCCACACGGCAGUAAAGCUGAUACGGUUGAACUACUAAAACAUGGGGUUCCCUGAACUAAAUAAGUGAUCUUUUUUCUUCGCUUCUACUUCUUCACCAUAAUGUAUAUGACGACACGUUGGCUACGAUAAUCUGGAUGCCACUGUUCUUGAUUAAUACAACCAACGAUGAAAUCCUUCAAUGCGGCUUCCAAGAAAUACUCAAGGAUGGCAUCUGCUAAAGAAUACAUGAAUUUAUGCCAAUUCCACAUGUAAAAGUUCAUCGAAAAUGUAAACUAUAUGUACCGUUUCGAAGUUCUCCAGCGAAAAUAACAGUUGUAUGGGUUCCACAAAGAUCCAAUAGAGUCGCCAACAAAUCCAUCACAGCUUCCUCGCUAUAGAUCACAUCUGAGCCAAGCACUGAGAUGCAAUCACAAAAGAAAUGAAGGGUCAAGAAAUGAUAAUGAACAGCAUCUUUGAAGUAUGACCAAAGUAUGUGUGUAGCUAAGAUUAGGAUUAUGCAAAGCAAUAAACUGGUAUUGUCUUGAAUCCUGGGAAAUGAGGACUUCAGCUUAGAACAAACCAAGAAUACGCACAGAAAUGAGCUCUACUCAGCUUAACCCAUACUUAAACGUUAAUGCACAGAGGUCCAGGGCCAGAUUCUACGUCCCAUUUCAUGAAGGCCAUUAAUUUUAGCAUUCUCACUGUUGGAUAUGAUGUACAUAGAUUCCAUAUGUAGAACUUCAGCUUGGGUAAAUGGUGUCAUCUACAAAUACUAGCAGCAUAGGCAUUCACUAACAACUUAUUGAGUUCUCAGCCCCUCAAAAGAAAGUGAAAAACCCCCUUAUAGAGAUAACCAGCAAGUCAUAACUGCAACAGCAAGGAGAUGAUUGACCAAGGGUGCAAGGACUUUAGGUUCUUGGACUCUUCGAAUAUAGCUCAUUCAAUAUCGAUGCUUCUUUAGUUUAUGAACAUUUAAGUCUGCCAUUAGAUGAUUAUGCUUGGUAUAAAGCAUCAGAACGAAAAAAGCUUCUUGACCUGUCCAAGCAUUGUUGAGUUAUUUAGGCUUUGGCUACCAAUACUUUGUCUCUUUAAUAUCUCUUUGGUAACUAUGGUACAAUAAGCAAUAAGAUUCAGGCUUACCGUGGCAUAAAAGAUUAUAUCGUACUAAUUCCAGAAAGAGAGCACUUGAGGUUAGAGGUACAAAUGGUAUACAUUUAACUACUUUAACCCAAAAAAAAAAAAAGAAAAGAAAACUACUACUUGAAGUUCCAUAGUUGAUUCCUCUUUGCUUUAACCAAUUCUAAUUAGCACUCUUGGGCCAGGUUGCAGUGGUACAAACUAAUAGAUUUCUGCUUUCUGUGGGAUAUGUUCUCUUAUUUGCUCAGUUUCCUAGAAGUCUUUGACAGAAGAAGCUUUGCAUUGUGAACUUUCUUACCAUCAUCUUAGAGAACAAUGCCCAAACUCGCCAGAAAGUUGAGAGAUAGUGUCCAGAAUAUAAACAUGAAAAGAGUUCAGAAAAAAAAAAAGCCAUAGAAAACUAGUUAGAAGCUCCUCUUUCAACAUGACAGUUAUAGAAAACUAGUUAUAACAGCCAUUGAAAACUUUUCUACUUUCCUGCCCAUUGAUCCAUAAGAUAGAAAUAUAUGCCAUAUGGAUACACAUAAAAACCUAAGAAACAAAUAGUUGUACUAUGGACCAGCAAGGAGUAGAACCAUAUCUUUUGCUCCAUACAUCCACCUAAUGAUUCUCAACAAAUACAUAGUUUUCCUAUUGACCUGCAAGGAUUAGUUUAUGCUGAAUGCAAUCACCUGUGUGUUUGACUAGGAAAUAGUAUUACAGUAAUACUAUUGCUAGCAUAGUAUUACUCUUCCGAACCCUGGCAUCCUCCAGAGAAGGGAGAAAAAAGCAGAUGUUGAAAUAAUGGCGUAUUGAUGAAUGCAAAAGAUAACAUUAUGAAAGUAUACCAAUCAUUUUACCAAAAAAUAAAACAACAAUAUGGACUACGAAAGGCACAUGCAGAGGUAAUUUGUGUGCAAUUUAAGUUUGAGUAGAUGAGUAACCUAAGGUAAAGCAAAGCAUCUUAAGAGGCAAGUACCAUAAUCAGGAAGGGGAUAAUGCAAAUCUUGGUCCAGAUCAUCUCCCCAUGUGAGCUCUUUUACUAUGGCAGACCCUCGUACAUCACCAUAUAGAUUGGCUACAACAUUCUUCUUUAACAGCCUAAGUCUAUCUGGCAGGUCGGUGAGAACAACAUCAGCACCCAAAAGAGCUGUAAUGCAACUGAAGAAGACAUGAGAAAAAGGAAGUUCAAGAAAAAUAGCAUCAUAUGCGUGUCAAAUGAAAGAAAACCUUUUAACCUUUCUAACAACUCAUAUUUAUUCAAUUAUAUUCACACAGAUAAAUCCUAGAUAAAAUCAACUCAUAUCCAACAAUGUUUACUGCUAAUUCUCUUUCUCUCUUAUAAAAUAAACAAAUAAUCAGCCACAAGGCUAGAGAUGAUAAGUAAUAUUACCCAACCAAUCCACAGCCAGAACCCAACUCAACAACUUUUUUUUCCUGAAGAAGAACUUUUCUGCAUUCCACAGCAUGCUCUAAGAACUUUCCAAGAACAACUCCACUGUCCCACAUCACUGCCCCAGUUACACCAGGAGUACCCUAUUGCAUACUCUUGUUAUUGGUUUGAAAAAGGGUAUAACAAUUUUAAAGAAUUAUAAUCGUACAAGAAGAUAUUAGAUGGAAAUAACAAAGUAAACAUUGUCGAAGCUUGUCUAUCAAUGUUGAAGCCUCAAAUGGAAGCACAAGCAUUUCCAAGUCCAGAAGAAAAGGAGCUAUUACAAGCUAAAAAGCUUUCCAAACUAUAUCUGUUUCACUAUAUCCUGAUCAUCUCAGAGAUGGCUGCAUACAGAAUCCGAAAUACUUGAAAUUCUCAUCGAAGGACAAGCUUGAAGCUUACAUAUCUAGACUCACAGAAGAAACAAGUGUAUCAAAUUUUACUUGUAAAAUAGAAAUAGCAGUAGUUUGUCUUUCAUCAAUCUCACAAAAAUUAUCCACUUUCCCCUUUAAAGUCACCAUAUCUUGUAAACAAGGAGGUAACACUCCUAGAUUACUACAGAAAAUUGGUUACCUACUCAUGGUCCAAAAUGCUGUUAACACUUACUCUUGGUGCCAACUAAGUAAGAAUUCAUCCAUGAAAUAAACUUCAAGCAGAAUUAAUAAAAGCCACAUCUAAGACUAUUAUCGACUCAAGUGGAUCAUCCAUCAACUGUCAACUGAAGCACAAAUAAACUGAAUCAGACAUUCAACGCCUUUUCUUUCACAAGUAACAGUAAAAUAUCCUCUCUCUUUUUCUCCCCCAAUUUGAAAAAAAAAAAGGUCUACCAAUAGAUGCAUUGAAAUAAUUUCUUUCCAAGCCUAGUCAACUGGGCAUUGACUAUUUUCCGCCAAAUCUACAUCUACAAACUCGCCUACAGUUUUCAGCAUGUUAGAUCAAAUCAAAAACUAAAAAUCACUCAACAAUACUGUCAAUAUAAAGCCUAUUCAAAUUGGAAGAGAGGACAGAUAGAGAGAGAGAAGCUACCAAGGAAGAAGGGGAUUGGAGAAUGGAGAGAGAGCGACCGCAAGCAUCUAUGUGGAGUUGGGGAGAAGAUUGAUGAACAAAGACAUUGUGCUUUGAGAGAAUGGGCUGUUGGAUUCCCCACAAAAGCAUGAUUUCUUCGGCCGCCUCUUCACUACGCACAAUUCUCACUUUCCCCUUAUACAAUCCCAGCCCUUCCACUUCCAGCAUUUCUGAUUCCUCAAGCUCCUCUUCUCCUUUUUCACCUCCAUCUUUUGAGUAUUCACUGAGCAUGGUAGCCUUCGAUUCUUUUAAGGAUUUUUUUUAAAACAAUUCUUUUGGCCCCUCAAAUUCUAGUCUCUCUGUUUAGCUUCAUGAAUGAAAGGAAGAAGAUGAAUUGAUGAAUUACUUGGCAAUUCUACCCGGUCCGAUGGUGCUCCAUGUUAAAAUAUUUGUGCCCACUCACGACUCAUCUCUUUAAGGAAGGGCAAACUUCAUUUUGCACCUCCGAAUUUGUACCGUUUCACACGUUGCAUUCUAAAUUUUAAUUUUAGACAUUUUGUAUUCUAAAUUCUUAACGUGUUCGGGCCGGGUUGGGGCGCCGGGUCCAGGCCGCAGGGGAUUAGUCGGGCCCCGUAAGAAUUGACCCGGACACCCCUGUGUCGAAAAAAAAAAAAAGAGUAUUCUAAAUUCUUAAUUUUGAACGCUCUAUGCUCCAAGCUCUUACGUUUGUCAUACUUAAAUCCAGUCAAUAAUGAUUUUUACAAAAUUAAUGGUAUAAAGGAUCCAAUAAAUUAAUGAAAUAUGCCUAGAGUAAUCAAAAGGUGCCAAGGUAUCACAGUAAAAAUAAAACAAUACAUUAUUUGGAUAAGAGUUUAUUUGGAUGAUUUAUUUGAGAUAAUUACUGUAGCACUUUUUGUGAUAUGAUGUAUGUGAGAUAAAAAUGUGAUUGAGAAGAUAAAAAGGUGGUUGAAAUUUGUGAAGUAAAUUUUUUUAUUUGAAAUCAAAGUUGUCCAGACAAUUUUUAGUUUGCACCAUCUUUUAUCUCAUCAGAUUUGCUAACAAAUUAAUAAUUAAGACUCUAUAAAUGAAAGAUAAUGUGCUCCAAAUGGUAAAAAAAAGCUAAUGAAUCGUAGUUGGAACAAAGCAGUAUGUUGUCAUUAAUUUUCACUGUCUUUUAUCUCAUUGAUUUUGCCAACAUAAUCAUUGAUUGGACUUAAAUGGGACAAACCAACGUUGUCAAAAUCGCGAUCCGGAUUGUAGGAUCGUACAGAAAAUUACAAUAAAAAAUUUGAAAAAGAAAGAAAGAAAAAGAAAAGGAGAAGGAAAAAGAAAAAGAAAAGAAAAAAAGGUUUUACAUCUUAAAAAUUUUUUCUAUAAUUUUUACAGCAAGUUACAAUAAAGUUUUAAAUAAACACUCAAAAAACUCAUUUGCCAAACUGGGCCAUUGUUUCUUCGCUCAACAAUACUCUAGAGUAUUACUUAUAGACAUUAAUCUCCUCUAUCCUCAACUUCAAUUUGAAUACUGAAUAUAGUACUAUUCUUUUGCUACUUGUUUUGGAUAAUAUUCCAAUAAAAGUUAAUUUUAAUAUUAUUAAAACAGAAGACUUAAAAUUCAAAAAUUUGACAAAAUUUUCGUUGAAAUAUCAUGGAUAUCGUACAAAAAAAUCACACAAAUUGCAUUAUUCACGAUUAAUUUGCUUGUCAUCCUAGUUGAAUGAAAUUAUAGUUAUGCCCAUGAAUGGAUUUAAAACACGAAAUAAUCUCACAUCAAAGCAACGUUGUGUAUGCAUAUGUACUAUUUAACAAAAUAACAUGAAUGUUCCUGAUCAAUUAUACUCUUGUUGAGACACAAAAUGAGAAAAUUUACAAAAUUUUGAAUAAAUAACAUCAAAACAGGGGCCAAAACAAGCGACGAAAAUUAUUAAAAAAAAUUGAAAUUCAAAAUCGAGCUAAACCAACCCUUACAUGUAAUGGCUAGAGCUUCUUUUUGUGUGAUAGAGAGAUUGAUGAGAGGAACUGUAAUAGAUUUUGUCGAACAGCAAAGUGAAAACAAGUAAGGAGUCUAAAGAGGGAUUUUUGCAGUAGAUUUCAUGGAAAAAAUGAUGGAUCAAGAGCUGACACAGUGGGGCAAUUGAGAGCAAGAUGGGAAAGGAAAACGUUUAGGAAGAGACGGCAAUGGGAGAGGUUGUUUAAUUAAUGAUGGAUUAAUAAUUACCUCUUUAGUGGAGGCGGUUGUACAAUGAGAGCAAGAGCUAAAAUGAGUAGGGAAACAAGUGAAUACUAAACACGAAGGAGCAUGAAAAAAUACGUUCACCAACCUUUUAGAACACUACGGAAUCCAUCCUGAGGGCAUUGGAAUUGGUCUUCAAGUAAAAGGAAAUUUGAGCCGAGAGUUUUUUCUCUCUCUAGGUAGAGAAACUUCCGCCUAGUGGGUGCCUGAAAAUAAUUCAAGUUUUCAAAACUUUCUGUGCCUUCAUCUUUCCCAAAAACUUUCAGAGCCAUCUGAGCUGAGGAUCUACUUUGGUUUCUGCAAAUAAUUAGUAAAUGCAGUAGCAGGUAACUGUUAUUAACAAUUAUACGGUCGAAAAAAGAUGGAAAGUUGAAGUUUACAAAGGCAAAUUUGGACAGGGAUGGACACGAUUCACAAUAGAGAAUCUAAUGACAACAUUUGAUGUAAUACUAGUUUGGCAUAAUGGAAACUUAAACUUUGAUAUUGUCCAUUUUUCUAAGGUUAAAAUGUACACCUACUUUUUUCUUUUUUUGACAACACUAGUCUCAGUGUUUAGUAGCAACACAUUCUAAGAAGUAAUGGCAAAUGACCUUCUACACUUUCUAUUGAAUUUUAGAUAUCUAUAUGAGCAAAUUAUCCGGAUAAUUACCAAACUUUUAGAAUCGUUGAGUUUUGGUCAUUGAACUAUUACAAGUCUGGCUUUAACUACUGAACUAUUUAAAGUCUAGAUAUCAAGCUAUUCUGUUAGAUUUAAUCGUUAAAUAUGACAGAUUUGAGUGUUCGCACGAUUCACGAGACAAAAGAAAGAGGCAUAAUGUGAGAACUCGAGAAAAAUUAUAUGCAUGCUAUGAAUUUCUUUUAUUUUAGUUACUUUGAUAUUAGAAAUAUUAUAUAUAACGAAUAAAUGGUUAAAUUAAAUGCCUACUUGAAUUUAUAUAAAAAUUGAGAAUAUAGAAAUAUCCUAGAAUGGUUAAAAAAAAAUUAUAUGAAUCAAAUAAACAUAUGAUAUACAUAUUGUAAUUUGAGCCAUUUGAAUAUAUCAUAUAGUUGAAUAAGUUACAUGACUAAUCAAUUUUCCUUAAAGUCAUAUGUGUGAAAAUUUACUAGAUCAAAAUAAGCAAAAAUUUUCAAGGUACAUACAAAUUAGAACAAACGAAAUUUUGAGCCAAUGUGUGAGACAAUAAAAUUUCGGACUCAUGGCAAAUAAAUGAACUAAAAUUAAAAGACCAAACCAAUCUUGGAACCUAAGUAAGUAACCAUGCAGUCAAACAAAAUAAACUAUCAGCAAUUUUUACAAUAGGAGCCGAGGGAGGAAAAAACAGUUGGAGAAUUUGGAACCGAAUGGAAGUAAAAUAAUCUUCAAGAAAUUUGAGCGGUAGCCUGAGUGAGCUGCUUAGUUGGUAGCACCGACUGGAACAUUGACCACCGAAUGAAUUGUUUUCCUUUUGAUCCUUAAGUCUUCUAAGCAGAGAGCUAAGUGAAUAUAAGAGGAGAAAGUAGCUGCCAAUGGUUAGCCAAAUCCAAGCGGUGACCGACUGAAGGAAAAAGAGAAACCAACUACAAAACUUGGGCGGUGGCAGAGAGCAAGACAAAAUCUGUAGCACCUCUCCUUGCCAAGCUAGCAUCGAGAGAAAACAGAGAGAGUGAGAAAAGAGAGCGAAACUGAGGAAGAGAGUGGGAGCUUGGUUGGUUUCUUCACGAAUUAACCCAGGGACAAGAAGAAAUAUGGUAAGGAAAGUAAGGGAGGCUGGAGCUAACACUCGAGGGCACAAAAGUUGGGAAGAGAAACUGAUUACGUUUGCAAUUCCUAACACUUAAGGCCAGAGGUAAACUAUAGCCUUUCUUUCCAUUUCUUUUGCGUUUUUCUAGUAGUCUCUUAGGCUGAGUUAGAACCAAGUAAAGAAAGAAACUUUCUAGAAAGCAAAGAUCAACAAAGCUGGAAAUGUUCGUUUGAAAUUGUUAUCCGAUAUUUGAUGAGCUAAGCUGUAAUUUUCUGGUUGUUUCUUAUGUUGCGUAUCUUAUAUACACUCUCUAGCCAUAUAUCUUGACAUACAUACAGAUUAUAUCUUCAAAUAAAACCUGUUAAGAUGAAAUUAUGAUGAACUGCUGGCUGGAAUUCUUGAUACAAUGAAGGAUGAUUGCCGAUGGGGUAAAGUUGGAAAGAAUUUCGGUUCUGGCCAAAAGUUUUGUUGAAACUGGUUAGGACUUGUUUGGUGCACCAUCGGUGACCUUAAUCUGAUUAUGCAUGUAAUGUUUGAAGUGCUAAAAGCAAGAAAAAAAUGAACUUUGAAAGCAACACUGAAGCUGGAAUUUCAAGACAGCAGAUUGGGAUGGAAAAGCUGCAAUUUUGGUUAUUUCUCUAAAAGUUUUGCUAGAUUGUGACUAGAACUCAUGCAUUAUGCUCUGCAUAAUGUUUCUGGGGUGAUGCAUGUGAAUUUCUAUAGUAAAAAUUUGAGUUUUAUGGCAGGUUUCUUGCUGGAAUUCCCAGCUUUGGCCGAGAGAGGAAAUGAACUUCAGAUCAGCUUUUCUUUGGAAUUUUAGCUGCAAAUUUUUAUGUUUGCUGUUCAAGAUUACUUUGUAGCCUGAUAAUUAUAUUUUUGCAUGUUGAGUUGGAGUUAAAACUGAAGAAAUUAUGGAGGAAGUGCUGUAUACUAAACUGCUACAUGGUUGGAUGAUUUAGCUAGCUGAUGACAAGAUAUGUGGUGUAGCAUAUGUUACGCGAGUUAGUAUUCGCAUCGAAUUCAAUGGAUCUGCCUGAGUACAGUUGCCAGCUAGCCUUACCAUUGUUCAUUAGAUAAUAUCGUGGAAGCAUAUUGUUUCUUCAUUGCCUGCAUGGCACAGACUGUUCAUGCUUGCCCUACCAAGAGCAAUCACAUUUUUAUACCACCACUAGCUGCUGAUCUGACUAAUUCUCUUAAUGGAUUUCUCGGGGUCAUUCAAUUUUUGCCAAUAUGCUACUCUUAUCAUGCAUCAAACAUCACUCUGGUCUAGGGGUUAUUAGACCUUGCACAGGAUUUGUGGUCUCGUGGCUUGGAGUUUAUCAGUAAGGCAUUUUCAGCAAGUACCCCACACUCACCAUCCUUGUUGGAGCAAGAGUGCUAUACGUGAAAUGUACCCUCUACUUUUCAUAUUUCCGUGUAUCUGUUAUAUCUCUUUUUAUUUAUUGUAGAACAGAGCAUUGAGCAUGUUUGCUUCAUGUACGUCUUAUUGAUUUUAACACUUGAAAAGCUGGUGAAUUAGAGCAAAUUUAAACAACAAGCAAACUAGAAUCUGGUUUAGCUUAAAAAGGAAAGGAAUGAAAAGUUCACUAGCCUUAAUCUUUAAAUUUGGGUUGAAAAUAGUUUAAACUUAGUUUAAACACCUCACCGACCUUAAAUUUGGAGUAUAUGUAUAUCUCCCUUGUUUGAGUUGAUAAAUUUGAUAAAUCUCGCAGAGAAAUGUAAGAAAGAAUUGCUGGAAUUUCACAUCUUGUUUGAUAAGCUAAGGAACUUGGUUUCUAGUGAUUUAAACAUUAAAUCGGUGAGAUUUUAAAGCUUAAAACUUCUCUCUUUACACUUUAGAACUUUAGAACUUAUGUUUGGGGCUGCACAUAAAAUUCCUAACCCUAAAAGUGUGAAUCAAAUGGAAGUGUUAAGAGUACUAGACUGCUUGGAUUAGUUGAACUUUGUUUAGAGAAUCCUAAAACUCUAAAUAAACUUAUUAGAAUUCACAUUAAGAAUACCUGAAUGAUUGUAGUUGUAUUUUACCUCAGGAAUUGAGAGUGAUCAAGGGUUUAACCCAGAAAGCGAAGCUUAAUCGACAUUUAACGGUGAAUAUUUCCGGAUUUGUGUGUUUAACUGUUUAUGCUUACUUAAGUGAAAUUAUUUGAUAAAUGUGUUUAUUAUGAUUAUGUGAUAAAUGUGUUUAUUAUGGAAUAUUGCUAGUGACUCAAUUGUAAAGUGUAUCUCAAUUAUCCCUCACCUUCUAAGUCGGGAGUGUACUUUAUCGCACUUAAUUUAGUUUGAGUUUGAAGGUUGAUAAUUGAUCAAGUGUUAUUGUAAGUGUGCAUGACUGUAAGCCGUGUGUGUACUUUACCACACCGGCUGAACUGAGCCCCAAAACCCUUUGUUCAAUGGACUAUUCGAGCCAGCAAAAGGGUUUGGUCGGAUAGGACGGUAGUUUUGGGUAAGUGUAUUGGUAUGCUCGAGUAUUACCACGGAGUAGCAGAUUACUAAUAUUGAUAUGACCAUCUAAGUGAGGGAAGUGUUUAUUGUUUUGGAAGUUAUAAGGAGGAGUUCGGUGGAGUGUGUAGUGCAUUGAAGUGGCUCUAAUGCGAGCACCGUAUCCUUUUAAAAGUGAUUGUUCAGUCAAAUAUUUCCUUAAUUGUUUAAUUUUGCUACUUGUUUAAGUGUUUAAUUGAAUUUUACUUGUUCGGCAAAUCUCACUGAACUUUAUCUCAAUCUUUUAGCUUUGUUUUCCUUACAGGAGCUAGAGAUUGAAGAGUGAUUGGAUUGAAUUAGAAAGUUAUUUUGGGAAGAUCCAUUACCGUGUAUAUAUUGUAGUCAUAGUUUCUUUUAUAUUUUGAGAUGGUUGAAUCUUUUGUUUUGAGGUUGGUGUGAUAUUAAGAAUGGAUGUUUAGAAUAUGUAUUUUAUUUUUUUUAUUGGACAAAUUUAUGUUUCAAACUGAAUAGAGUUGUACCUAAGAGUGAAUGUUCAGUUGUUCAAUGGUAAUGUUAUUUCUGAAAUUAAUGUAAGUGAGUGACCCCUGGCGAGAGUCAGACAGGCGGUCCACUAACUUCUAGAGUAUGCCCUAGGAGAAGGUGGGGUCGUCACACAUAGUUAACGAUUAAAUUUGAUGGAAUGACCUGAAAUUUAAAUUU
rnacentral:lncRNA from 1 species